rnacentral:lncRNA from 1 species
GGAAAAGAAAAAAUAGAAGCCAUAUUCUUGGACAUGCCUGGAAUAAAAGAGGCACAAUGGAACAUGAAAGCCUUCUCUAAAAUGAGCAGACUAAGAUUGCUCAAAAUCGACAACGUGCAGCUUUCUGAAGGACCUGAAAAUCUUUCCAAUAAGUUGCUUUUUCUUGAAUGGCAUUCUUACCCUUCAAAAUCAUUGCCAGUUGGUUUACAGGUGGAUGAGCUAGUUGAACUUCACAUGGCUAACAGUAAUCUUGAUCAAUUAUGGUAUGGGUGUAAGGUGAGAUCAACUAAUUUAAGGGCCUUUGUAUUUCUUUUUAUCGUUUUCCUAUAUAUGUAUGAUAGUAGUGUCCAAAUUUCUUCUCCCCUGCUUGAUUGCAGAGUGCUUUUAAUUUGAAAGUCAUCAAUCUCAGCAACUCACUACACCUGACCAAGACUCCAGAUUUUACUGGAAUUCCAAAUCUCGAGAGUCUGAUUCUUGAAGGUUGUACAAGUUUGUCUGAGGUCCAUCCAUCACUCGGAUAUCACAAGAAGCUUCAAUAUGUGAAUCUUAUGGAUUGCGAAAGUAUUAGGAUUCUUCCAAGCAACCUUGAAAUGGAAUCACUUAAAGUUUGCAUUCUUGAUGGAUGCUCAAAACUUGAGAAGUUUCCAGAUAUAGUAGGAAACAUGAACUGUUUGAUGGUGCUUCGUUUGGAUGGGACAGGUAUUGAAGACCUGUCUUCAUCAAUUCAUCAUUUGAUUGGCUUAGAAGUACUGAGCAUGAAAACCUGUAAGAACCUUAAAAGCAUUCCGAGUAGCAUAGGUUGCUUGAAAUCCCUUAAAAAACUUGAUUUGUUUGGCUGCUCUGAAUUUGAAAAUAUACCAGAGAAUUUGGGGAAAGUUGAAAGUUUGGAGGAGUUUGAUGUAAGUGGAACUUCAAUAAGACAACCGCCAGCAUCCAUUUUUCUUUUAAAGAAUCUUAAAGUAUUAUCUUUUGAUGGAUGCAAAAGAAUAGCUGAGAGUCUCACGGAUCAAAGGUUGCCUUCUUUGUCGGGUCUGUGUUCUUUAGAAGUACUGGAUUUAUGUGCUUGCAAUCUAAGAGAAGGGGCACUUCCUGAAGAUAUUGGCUGCUUAUCUUCAUUGAAGUCUUUAGAUCUGAGCCGGAAUAACUUUGUUAGCCUGCCUAGGAGCAUAAAUCAGCUUUCUGGACUUGAAAUGCUUGCCUUGGAGGAUUGCACGAUGCUUGAAUCAUUGCCUGAGGUUCCAUCAAAAGUUCAAACAUUAAAUUUGAACGGUUGUAUACGCCUAAAAGAAAUUCCAGAUCCGACAGAGCUAAGCAGUUCCAAAAGAUCAGAGUUCAUAUGUCUUAACUGCUGGGAAUUGUACAAUCAUAAUGGCCAAGACAACAUGGGGUUGACGAUGCUUGAAAGAUACCUCGAGGUCUUCUCUUAAUCAUACCCCCAACCUUUUUUUUAUCUCUCUCCCUCUCCCUCUAUCUAUCUAACAUUUUUGUUUUUCAUGGUUCAGGGUUUGUCUAAUCCAAGACCUGGAUUUGGUAUCGCUAUUCCAGGAAAUGAAAUUCCAGGGUGGUUUAACCAUCAAAGUAUGGGAUCUUCAAUUAGUGUGCAAGUGCCUAGUUGGAGCAUGGGGUUUGUUGCAUGUGUUGCAUUCAGUGCAAAUGGUGAAAGUCCUUCUCUUUUUUGUCAUUUCAAAGCCAAUGGAAGAGAGAAUUAUCCUUCGCCGAUGUGUAUUAGUUGUAACUAUAUCCAAGUUCUGUCAGAUCAUAUUUGGCUAUUCUAUCUAUCUUUUGAUCAUCUUAAAGAGCUUAAAGAAUGGAAGCAUGAAUCCUUUAGCAACAUUGAGUUGUCAUUUCAUUCUUUCCAGCCUGGAGUAAAGGUGAAGAAUUGUGGUGUCUGUUUGUUAUCUUCUGUAUAUAUUACACCACAACCAUCUUCUGCCCAUUUUAUUGUUACAAGCAAAGAAGCAGCUUCUUCAUUUAAAGCUUCUUUAGCUUCUUCUUCGUCGUACCAUCAAUGGAAGGCCAAUGUUUUCCCUAGUAAUGCUGUCACCUAUUUAAAGUCAGAUCUAGCCCGGAGAUUCAUUGUCCCAGUCGAGAAGGAACCAGAGAAAGUAAUGGCAAUUAGAUCAAGACUCUUUAAGGCCAUUGAAGAAUCAGGGCUGUCAGUUAUUAUAUUUGCAAGAGAUUGUGCUUCUUUACCUUGGUGCUUUGAAGAACUUGUCAAGAUUGUCGGAUUCGUGGAUGAGAUGAGAUCGGACACUGUGUUUCCAGUUUCUUGUGAUGUCGAACAAUCAAAGAUAGAUGAUCAAACAGAGAGUUACACAAUUGUCUUUGAUAAGAAUGAAGAAAAUCUCAGGGAAAAUGAGGAGAAGGUGCAAAGAUGGAGGAAUAUUCUCAAUGAAGUUGAAAUUUCAUCUGGAUGGAAAAGGUAAUAAUUACUUCUUCUUUUUUGUGUGUAUAGCUCGACUUAUCAACCACUUCAAGUAAAUGAAACUGGGAAUGCUGAAAUAUCAAAUUUCAGAACUUAAUGUUAACAAAUCUGCACCGUGCAAGGUUCAGUACAUAAUGAGGUUACAAGUUUUUUUUUCAAGGUAGAUUAUGAAUUUAAGAAAACUUAAUAUUAAACUUAGUUGAGUUUAUAGUCUGCAUUAACCCGACAUGUUUUACUAUGGACAAUAUUGUUUACUUUAUUUUUUUUAGGUUUGUUAUAAAUUCAAAGGGAGAAAAAUAUUGAACCUGUUGAGUGCAUUAUCCAGGUCACAAGUUUGUUUUUAAAGGUUGGAGUAUAAAGUUUUUUAAAAAAUUUCAACCCAGUUGAGUAUUUUUUAUAAAGAUUGAGUUUUUUUAUGGUGUUGUGUAUUUUUAAUUUUUGAAUUUGUUUUUUUUUUAAGUUUAAUAUAAAUUUAAGAGAAAACAAUUAUUGAACCUCGUUGAAUUCAUGGUUCGAGUCACAUAUUUAAUUUUUUUUAAGGUUUAAGGAAAACAAUAUUGAAACCGAUUGAGUUCAUGAACUGAGUUACGAGUUUAACGAGUUAAGCCACAAUAACCAAAUAAUUUUUUUUUUUCUAAUGUUGCUUUUUUUUAUUGAUAUCUUUUUUUAUAUAUCUUAUUUUAGAUAAUUUUCAAUUUAUGUUUCAAUUAAUAUCACUCAUCUAUGAUUUGUUUUGUUUAUUUAACUUUUUUUUAAUAUAAAUUGUUUUUUGAUGGUGUUGUAUGUAUUUGUUUUUAAAUGUUGAAUAUAAAUUUAAGAGAGAACAAUAUAGAGUCUGGUUGAGUUCAUGGUCUGGGUCACAUGUUUAAUUUUUUUUUGUUAAAGGUUGAAUACAAAUUUAAAAGGAAAACAAUAUUGAACUCGGUUGAGUUUAUGCUCCGAGUCACGGAUUUAACGAGUUAAGCCACAACAACAAAACAAUGUUUUUUUUUUCUGAUAUUGCUUUUUUUUACUGAUAUUUUUUUAUAUAUCUUUUUUAAAAUAUUUUUUUAAUUUAUGUUUCAAUUAAUAUUCCACAUCCGUGAUUAUUUUUUUGUUUCAAUUAAUAUUCCUCAUCUAGUAUGUAAAAAAGCGUCAUCUUAUUUUUUUCACAAACAUCUUGCAACAAAAAAAAAAGUUAGUGGGCGUGGGCCCUAACAAAAUGCGGCAAUUGGGUUGGCUUAACUUAGUAGUCCCAACAAUGCCUGACCUUUGCUUCUUCUUUUUUUUCUGUUAUGUGUUUUUUUAAAAAAAUUAUAUUUAGAUUAACAUCCCUUCUUUUUUUUUUUAUGUUGUUUAGAGAUCCUCUUUGAAAUGAUGGUUAAUUUUUAGUUAUGCAUUUAAUUUUUGAGAAAGUUUUUCUUACUCAUUUAUAAUUUUUUUAAUUUUUUGUACAGAUGAACUUUAUUCUUGAAAAAAAAAAAUUUUAUUUUCAAAUAAUAUUUCUAAUAUGUGCAGCCUUGCAUAUUAUUUUUUUUCAUUUUAUUUUAUUCAAUCAAUUUAAUGUGUAUAUCUACUUUUAUUAUCGUUUGAUUGAAUAGAAAACUUGUUUUAAUUAAUAAAUUUAGUAAAUACAAUCGCGUAAAUAUCACGUAUUUUGAAAUUAAAUAUCUUAAUCUAGACCAAUUUCUCGAUUUUUGCACUUUUAUUUUUAGUUGUAGUUUAUAGUUGUUUUUCUUACUUAUUAACACAUAUAAUUCUUGAUUUAUUUGAUUAUAUUUAUGCAUAAUUUUUUUUUUCACUUAGAAUUUUUUAAAUACAAAAACAUGUUGAAAAAAUCUAUCUAUAAAUUUUUUAUUAAUUUUUUUUUUAACACCCAACAAAACAUGUAACAUCGAUUCCAUGUACAGUUUGACUAUACCUCAGCUGCAGCAGCUGCUCGAGCAGGAGGAGCAGAACCUGCAGCAGUAGGAGCAGCAGCUGCAGCAGUUGCUCGAUCAGCAGGUGCUCUGGCGGCGGCGGCGGCGGCGGCAGCAGCAGCUCGAUGAGCGGCGGCAGGUGCUCCAGACGGAUUUUAGGUUAUAUCUUUGGUGAACAUCUUGGAUUCAAUUUGCCAAAUUCUCAGUUAUUCUUGAAUUAACAUAAAUCUUGCAACUCAAGAUAAUUUUUUUUUUUUUUUUUACAAAGACUUAUUUUUAUUAAUUUAUAUUUUGUAUUUUAUAUAUUUCCUUCUAUUUUUAGUUAAAUAUAUAUUUUUUUACUAAUUAAUAAACAAUUUUUAUUAUUAAUAGCUUUAUAUUUACAACUAUAUAAACACAUAAAUAUUAAUAUAUAUAAUCACUUACUCGAAAAUUGGACUUGCUUCGUUUGUAACUGGCGAAAUAUCAACCCAUGAAGAUUUUAUGGGAAAACCCAGUUUUAUUUUUUUGAGAAAUAGUGGUAGUACUAAUGGGAAUCGGUGUGGUGGAUUUUGUCCAAGAGGGUAUGUGAGUGUAGCUGAGGCAUUGUCAUCAACAGAUGUUGAAGAUAAUGUGUCUGGUGCCGAUGAAGUGCAAGAAUUGCAGCCAGAAAUGAGGAAAGAAGAGGAGCACUUUAGCAGGAGGAGGCUACGUGCUAACCCUGGAAUAGGGUCAAGGAAGCAUAGGGUCUUAAGGAGAAGGCAAGUGAAGAUUGAGGCGGAAGCAUGGGAACUGGCAACGAAAGAAUAUAAGGAGCUUUUGAAGGAUAUGUGUGAGCAUAAGUUGGCUCCUAAUUUGCCAUAUAUGAAGAGUUUGUUCCUUGGUUGGUUUGAGCCUUUUACAGAUGCAAUUGCGAAAGAGCAGGAGUUGAUUAGAAUGGGGAAGAGUAGGCAGGGUUAUGCUCCGUAUUUUGAUCUGUUGCCAGCUGACAAGAUGUCUGUUAUUGCAAUGCAUCAACUUGCAGCAAUGGUAAUGACAGGUGGGGAACAUGGAUGUGCAAGAGUUGUGACUGCUGCUUGUAUGAUUGGUGAUGCAAUUGAGUGCCCAUAUAAAAAUAUUGAAAGAUAAGGGAAAACAUAAAGUUUCUUAAAUUUACUUUUAGACAACCUUCAUCUGAGGUGAUGAACUAGGACGAAAGAUGAAAGUUACUUUGUACAAUUAUGAGAUAAAAAUCAGCUAUGGAGCUAGUAGCGCCUGGAAAAUUAGAUUUUGAAGUUCCGUUCCGUAAAGUUUUGUUGAAUGUUGAAUGGGGUUUUUCUGGAUUUCUUUUUUAUAUAUCUAUAGUUUUUACUCUCAGUCCAAGUUCUUCUGCUGUUCAUCGUUCCAGGGAGGACACUAAAUGUAGGUAGGAAAAACAAUGUAGUGUAAGAUCCUUUAGAUACCAAGUUUUUACAAUUUUUUCAUUAUGUAUUAAACUUUUCAUAUCACGGGCCUUAUUAGGCUGAAUAUUCUAUUACGCCUUUCUUUUUUGAUCUAAAAUUUCUUCAAAGCAUGGACAUGGUGGACUCAUAAGAGUGACAUUUCAACUUUCCUUUGUCAGAGCUCAUCUCAUGUUUCGACAUUGUUUCACUAUGGAUUUAUACUUUUGCAUUUCCCUGUUGGGGACAGCAAUUAUCUUUAUCAUUUCAAUUAUGUGUGUUCUUGUUUGUGCCUUUGUUUUGUAAGUUGUUUAAGUUUUUCUCUUAGUUAGACUUUAAAGGCACGCGUGACACUUUGCUCUACUGUCUCUUCUGACUAUGGGAGGUGCUUCCUCUUUUCUUUUCCUUUUUUUUUUUUAAAAAAAGAACUAUACAAUGAAGAGAUAUUUAGGUGUACCAUUCUUAAUCCAUUUUUUGGAACUCCUAACUCUUCAGUCUUGUUCUCUUUCUUUGAACCGAGGACUGAAUCUGUAACAGUUUCUGUGAUGAAACAGAUUAGAAUACACAAUAUCUUGGAGAAAACAAGGAAGAAAAAGGAAAAGGCUAAUGAUAGCAAGAAUGGUGUAGAAGGUGAAUCCCCUGCUGUCAUGAAGGAACAAGAAAACCUAAGAAAAAAGGUUACUGAUUUGAUUAAAAAACAAAAGCUGCCAGCUGUGAGGAAGAUUGUGAAGGCGAAGGAUGAUUCAAAACCAUGGAAUGCAGAUGCUAGGGCUAAGGUUUGUGUGCUUGUAAUCAUUGAUAAAGGCUAAUUUUCUUGCACAAAUGUAUCGUGUACGAAUUUGAUUUCUGUCCUUGCACUUUGAGUGGUAUUUCUAUAAUACGACAAUUUAUAUAGUAUUUCUAUAAUACGACGAGGUUUAAUUUCUUUUCUUUUCAUGGUUAUCUCUCAGUGGAUAGCAGCAUCAAUCAUAAGAACUUCUAUAUUUAUAUUUAAUUUAAAUACUAAUUAAACGUGAUAAGAGUGGGAGUUAAAUAUAAUACUUUUAUUGGAAGCUUCUGCGAUGUGCCCAUCAAAUACGACUAUAGUGAAUCCCUGGAUAAGAGAUUGUUGCUUAAAAUAAUGUAUAACAAUGAGAAGAAGAACUUAAAAGAGUGUAUUGUGUGAUUGUUAAUGGGUGUGAUUUUGAAUUGUUAUUUGUGUAUGUUUGUUACUUAGUAAUCUUAAAUAUUUAUAUAUCUCAUAUCACAUGAAAUUAGCUUGGAAAGAGUGCAACAACAGAUAUAUCAUGCAUAGAUAACAUCUAAAAUCAUGUAUAAAGAAAUAUUUCCAAGGAAUCCUAGAGAUCGAAAUUCUCUCCAUCUGUGCAACUUCCCUUGGAUUCUCGCUUUUCGUCCUCACCAUUCUAAGGAUAUGCUUCCCGAGGACGUGCGAAGUAGAAACCAACAGCUUGGCCAAGUAGCAGUUGUUAAGUCAGUUCUAAAGAUAUUCGCUCUCUCUCUUUUUUAGGGGUCCUUUGGCCCCAUCAUGUAUAAAGAAAGAUUUAUUUGUGAAUGAAAAAUUGAGCUUUGUUCAUUAAAUUUUUUUUAAUUAUUUCUUGAUUAAAUUUUGUUUUUCAGUCAAAGAAAAAUUUAGCUUAUAUUUUGAGCAGAAAACACUUUUAAGAAGUUGUGAAAAAUUUAAAAAUAUCAUAUUACUUGCUAAUUAUGUUAAAUUUGGUCCUCAAACUUUUAAUUGCUAUAUAUUUUGUUUGAAUUUUUUUUUCAAUUUCAUCCCUUAAAAUUUAAUUUAAUUUGAUUUUUAUAUUAACUUUAGUUCUUAUUUUUAUGAUUGUUAUUUACUUUUUUCUUAUUAUUUUUUUAAUUGAAAUUUUUUAUCUAUCAAAUUUGAUCUUUAUUCUUUUAAUUAUUAUUUAUUUUAUUUAAAAUAAUAUAUGAAAUUAUUAUUUUUAUUAUUUUAAUUUCAUCAUCAUUAAAAUUAAAGGCCAUAUAUUAAUGGAUAGAUAUCACAAAGAUCACCGUACACAACUCAAAAGUGAUGCUCUAUACAAGUCUUGAGCAGAUUUACAAGCACCAAAAACUGUUUCCACCACCGACACCGACACAACGCAAAACCCCUGAAUUUACCCAUGUUUGUGUCAAUUCAUUUAUGCACUUUUGACCAAAUUUUUCUUUUGCUUUUUUAUGCUGUCCCACUGAGCAGACCUCUUUUGUUCUUUUGUGUGAAAAAAAAAACUAAAUAAAUUAAUUAAAAAAUAAAAAAAACUUUGGUUCAGUUCAAUUUCAGUUUUAAUUCUAAAACCGAUUGAACUACAUCAAGUCAGGGACUAGUCAUUAUUUUUAUAUUCCCGUUAUUAUUUAUUAUUCUAUAGAAGCUUUUGAAAAAAAAAAUUAACAUUGAUCAUUCAUUCACUUUUGAAAAAACUUUCUUUUGCCCUUUUAUGUUGUUCCACUAGAUGACCCCUUUUUUGUUUUUUUGUUAAUUGAAAUUAUAUUACAUGUAAUUGUUUCAUCUCAUUUUUAUUUUUGAAAAGUAAAUUUUCUUUAAUUAGAUUAUCCUUAAUAUUAAAUUAUCCCUUUGCUUUUUGCAGGUCUUGUCAAGCUGUUUGGUUUUUUAAUUUCAAAUGAAUCUAAUUAAACUGGUUGAAUUGAUUUUUAGUUUAUUUCAGAUUAUUUUUUCAUGAAAUGAAUAGGACAAUAAACACUCUUAAUAAUCAUCUUGCCUUUAACUUCAAUUAAUUAUCUCAAAUAGAGAUUAUCAAUUAAAAUUUCACAAACUUUACCGUUACUAAUAAUUUAUAUAAUUAUUAAUUUUAAGACUAAUAUAAUUAAUCAUAAUAUAUGCAAACUGCUCUAAUACUCUUGUUAAUAAUAAAAACAAAAUUACAAUCACAUCAGGCACAUGGUUGCAUUCAUGAUUGCAUUCGCUUUCACCCCCUGACUAUGAACAGGAACCCCAAUCAAAUGAAAAGAUUAAUUAAGAUAUGUGCAAACUGUGUUGGAUAUCCACAUUAAUAAAAAUAAAAAAAAAAUACAAUCUCAACAGGCACAUGGAAUUGAUCUCCUUGGUCCACAGCAUAUAUCCUUGGUCUGCAGGAACCCCAAUCAAAUGAAAUGGAUUUCCUGGAAAUUGAUCUCCUUGGUCCACAGCCGAUUCGAUUAACCAAGUCGGCUACCACUUGCAGCACAAUUCAUCAAAAGACGAUGUGAAUUAUCAUUUGACGUCAAACCAGGUGGAUUAUCAGCUGCAGCCACAAUUCACAAUUAUUUGAUGCAUAGCAAAAUAAUUAUUCAGAAUCACAGUACCUUGGCAGUCCUUUCCAGCCAAAUUGAUGUGUUGUGUGCUAAUCCGAUGAAAAUCAAGAUCCCAAAGAGGGUGAUGCCGCUGAUGUAGUAGUUGCAAUGCCGAGGACUUUUAUGUAUAUAUAAUUAUGUAUACUGUGUUUUUUAUUUUUAUUUUACUGGAUCUCAUAAUUAAAUUUUUGUUGCAUAAUUUUUAAUUAAUAAACAUGUAAUUAUAAAUGAAGGAAAGAAAAAAUUGGAUGGACUUGUUUGUUUCAAUUUUAUCUUUUUGGUUUUAUCUUUUUUAUUUGUUUUUUAAAGCCUUUUUUUAAGUCUUAAUCAAUUCUUUAUUUUUUAUUAUUUUUUUAAGUAUAAAAGUAUAUUCCAAAGAAUAUUUUAAAGUAAUUGGGCAAAUAACAUUGUUAGCCACGGAGAGAUCAAUGGUAUGGACAAAAUCAAUAGUAUAAUGAUUGGACUAAAAACCUUUCAAAGACAAGGGACCUCAUCAAAUCAAAAUCAAUAGUAUACGAUCCCUCAAACUCAUUAACCCCUCACAACUCACUAACCCAAUUUCUCUUGUUUUUGGAUAAUUAAAAAGAAUCCAUUUUUUAUGUUGUUUUGAAUUUUUUUUUAUUUACGAGUUUAAGAGUUAAAAUGUGCUUUUAGAGAUGAAAGAAUUGAGAUUAAAGGAAAGUAUGGAGGAGAGCUUGAUUCAAUUUGUUUUGAUUUUUGAUUUUUUAUUUCGUAAAUGUAAGAAAACUUUUUUCCAUGAUGAUUCAUUAUUUUGUUUUUUAUGUUUGUUCUUGAAUUGAGUAGAAUUGGUAUAAUGUAAAGUGAUUCAUGACCUGUUUGGAAAUUUGAUUUUUUUUUUAAAUUAUUUAUAUAUAUGUUUUUAAAUUGUAUUGAUGUAUUUAUAUCAAAAUUAUUUUAAAAAAAUAAUAAAAAUAAUUAUUUUUAUAUAUUUUAAAAAAAAUACUUUAAAAAAUAAUCACUACCAUAUUUUCAAGCACUUAUAAUGAAAGGUUUGAGAUGAGAUAUUGGUAAUGAGAGAAAAAUGGGUGUUUGUGAUAAAAAUAUUAAAGUUUGAGAUUCUAAACUCAAUUCAAUAUGAUUUUGUUUUUCGUUAAUUAGUUUCAGUUAAUAGGGUGGUACGUGGCUAAGUUUAUUUUUUUUAAAAAAAUCAAUGGGAAUUUAUAGUAUUUAAUAUAAGAGUUUUAUAGUUAAUAGUUUGAAAAUUCAUUAAAAAAUACUUUUCAAUUGUGAUGUGUGUGGCCCGGCCCUGCUCUUGACAGGAAGGUGCCUCUGCUUCCCAAUGCGCGUUCGAUAUCCCUUUCAUUUCUCUUUUUACUUUUUCCCCACCGAAACUCCAUCUUCUUUACAGUGUAAGAAAAAGAUCCGUAAGGAAACUUACCAGUACGAGUGAGUUCUUGACCUAAAGUAACCGGAAAAAAUUCGAAGUCAUUGGAAUAAAAAGAAAAGAAAAGGGCUUUCGAAGUUGGUUACUAAGAUACCAGAAGUAGGAGAAAUAUUGGAUUUGUACUUCGUGUUCAAGUUAUGGUUAUACAAGAGGUUGGAUUCAGUUUUGUUAUACAAGCACUGGUAUAUUAAAAAUUAUAAAUCAAUAAUAACAACAUUAUUAUUAUUAUUAUUAAUCAAGAUUAAAAUUAAUAAAGAAAUAAAAGACCAUGAUGUUUUUGGUCCACAGCCUAUUUUCUCCGAGACCGUGCGCAACAAUAUGGUGGUGGCGGAUUCAGUCAGCUGGACCAGUGGUAUGAUGAGACCAUGUUUUUGUGCGACAAUAUGGCUUUUUAUUCUUUUGUGUGAAUAAAAAGAAUAUCUAAAAAGAACAAAACCCUCAAAUAUCAAAUCUUUAUAUGUUUGAAUAUCUAAAAAGACGAAAAAGCAAAAAAUUUCAAACUUUUUUCCUCAAUUUUUUAAAAAAGGGGAAAAAAAGCAAUAUAGGUCAUGGAUUUCUUUUCUUUUCUUUUCUUUUUUUGUUACAUGGAGAGUAGUUAGAUCUCAUUAAAGCAAAUAAUUCAUCAAUCAUAAUCAAUACUCAAAACAAAGCAUGCAAGUAAACCAUUAAUAUUAAUGUUGAUGGUAAAAAAAUAAAAAUGAUGUGUAAAUUGAGAUGGAGAGCUAAACAUAUAAAAAGACCAAAAAACAAAACGAAUGCUACAGUCAAAUUUUGAACAUCUAAAAGAUAUCUUGUGUGCGACUAUUUCCAUGUCACUAUGCACGACAGAAAAAAGAGAAGAUGCUAUAAAAGAAUGUGUGGAACCAAGUAAAACAAUGAAUAUCCAACAACAACGGAGUUUGAAAUUGAUGAAUUAAGAUUUUAUCUGUAUAUUUUUAUAAAAAUUCAAGAAAGAUCUAUUUGGUUAAAUUUUUAAAAAUAUAAACAUGCAUCAAUAAAAACAUGUCAGGUCUGAUGCUAUUCAAAUCUAGGCAUAUUGGGCUUGGUAGUAUACCAAGUCCCGGACAUGCUACAUCUCGUCGUGUGAAAUGACCUUUUUUUCUUGGGCACGCUCAAGAUAAUGGAUAUCCUCUCUUGAGUGUAAUCUAUGAGAAUAGCUCAUCCUCUAUGAGCAUUAGCUACAUAUGAUGUAUAAAAGUCAUUCAAAGAUCCAUCAUAUUUCAUCAAAUAUUAAUAUAAAUAUAAGAAAUAUUUAUCUAUCAUUAAAUGUUAAAAGGAUUUCUUCACAAAAAAACAAGAUUCAUAGGCUAUAAAUACACAAUGAAACUUUCAGAAUAAAGAUUUACAAUAUUCAUUUUUUACUGCAUAUAUAAUUUCAAAGUAUCUCUUUCUAAAAUAUUAUUGUAUUUUUUUCUUUUUAAAAUGAUAUUUAUUUAAAUAUGGAUUUCAUCAUAAAUCAUGUUCACAGUUAAAAAAAAAAAUUAGCUGAUUCAGCAAAGCAAGUUAUAAAGGGCAAGAGCAACACAAUCCAUAGACACAGUGUUCAUCCAAAUCAAUUGGAAAUUGAUGAUCCAAAAAGCAGGAAGCAUUACAAACAACGCCAAUUUAUAAUUUUUUAUUAAUCAACCCCUGCUCUUGACGGGAAGGUGCCUCUGCCACCCAGUGCAACUCAAAUUUCGACAUCCCUUUCAUUUCUCUUUUUGCUUUUUCUCCACCGAAACUCCGUCUUCUUUACAGUGUAAAAAAAAGAUCAGUAAGAAAAUCCAGGAAACUUACCAGUACGAGUUCUUGACCUAAAGUAAUCGGAAAAAAUUCGAAGUCAUUGGAAUAAAAAGAAAGAAAAGGGCUUUGGAAGUUGGUUACUAACAUACCAGAAGAAGAAAAACUAUUGGGCUUGGCUGGAUCUUGUGCCUCUUUAGCCAACACUUACCACUCGGUUUGUUACGUCUAGAUUCGUGAAAUACUCGUAGAAAUUUGGUGUUUUCUGAUUUCUAAGUAGAAUUGUACUUGUUCCAGCUUGAAAUUGCUAUUUGGUAGAUUUAAUUGCCGAAUUUCUUGAUCUUACCUUCUGUUUCAUGUUUGACCACAGGAGCAGGCCUUGUACAAAAUAGCGUGGAAAGCAAUUGCUGAACCAAGCUAGCUUAGUUGGGGCUAGAAGGGAUCGGUACUAAUUUAUUGCUUUAGGGAUUUUCAUGGCUUCCACCAGCGUGCAAGGAAUGACCUCAUCUUCAUCUUCUUCUCCUCCACUAUAUAUGUAUGAUGUGUUCCUUAGUUUUAGAGACAAAGACACCCGGAACAACUUUACUAGUCAUCUAUAUUCUAAUCUGAAACAGAGAGGCGUCGAUGUAUAUAUGGAUGAUAGGGAGCUCGAGAGAGGAAAGACCAUCGAACCUGCUCUCUGGAAGGCCAUCGAAGAAUCAAGGUUUUCUGUCAUUAUAUUUUCAAGAGAUUACGCUUCCUCACCAUGGUGCUUGGAUGAACUUGUCAAGAUUGCUCAGUGCAUGAAAGAGAUGGGGCACACUGUUCUGCCAGUUUUUUAUGAUGUGGAUCCCUCAGAGACAUAUGAGAAAGCCUUCUUUGAGCAUGAACAAAAUUUCAAGGAAAAUUUGGAGAAGGUCCAGAUCUGGAAAGAUUGUCUCUCUACAGUGACCAAUCUAUCAGGCUGGGACGUACGGAAUAGGUAAAUCAUCUAUCUAUCUAACAUAGCUUAUACUCAAAUCCUCCCUGUAUUGUUUCAAUGAUGAUCAUAGCUUUUUGUUUUUUUUUCAAUGUUUUUCAAUUUAAACGUGUGAUUAAAUAUCGAAAUAAUCACAAGACAACAAGAGUAUCAAAACUAAUUCUUGAGUAAAUAAUUAUUAGUAUAUAUUUUUUAUUCCUUAAAUAGCUUUUUAACGAACCUUUUGUCUAUGAUCAACCUAUUUUUUCUUUAAUUUUGACUUUUAAAAUAAAAGAGGAGCACGUCUCAAAUCUCAAUUGUCACAAUUUUUAAGAAAUAAAAAUUGAAAACAAAUUAAAAAAAUUCUUGAACUUUUUGCUAAUUUCUAUUAUUUAAUAGAUCGAAUAAUAAAAUUUCAAUUAUCUAAAUUGAAUUGAAUUAUUGAGGCAUCUUUAGAAAAAGUCAAUAUUACAAAGACAUUUUUAGUAUCAUUAGAAUAUUUUUUCCUGAUUGUAUUAUAGAAUAACAGAGGAUAACUUUAUCGAUUGUAUUAACAAAAAUUUAAAAUCCUUGAGAAAUGUCUUGAUUAAUUUACUAAUGGAUUGUAACAAUGAAUUUACUAAUUUUUCAUUCUAAAAAAAAAAAACUACUUAUCAGGGAUACUAGGGUCUUUUUAUAAGGGCAAUAGUUAUUAUAGAAUUGAUAGGGGUAGUUAGAUUACUUAGUUGCCUUUAAAAGUAAAAAUAAAUAAAUUAGCUAUAGGAGCUUUUUUAAGAUUUUUCACUUUUCAGGGUGCAAUAAAAUAACUUUAUUUCCUUUAAAAUUAAAGAUACUUACCUUGUCUUCAAGGGCUUAUUCAUGCUUUUAUUUUUUUGCGAUAAAAAAAAGAAGAAAAGUGGUUGGCUUGUUUGUAGAACACACAAGCGAGUAAGUUGUUCUACCUUAUUUAAGCAGCACGAGUAAUGGCUUAUGACACCCAAAAAAGGCCUUCAUUGAUGUUUUUUGAUUAAUCACGACAUGACCUACCUCCCUAAGUGGCAUGUGUGGAGUAAUCCUUUCUGAUUUGGCACCAAAUUACUUUCGCUUCUUUUCUUUUCUUUUGUCUUUAUCCUUGAAUUCCGCACCCGACCUUCAACACUUGUAUAGUAACUCUUCAAUUUGGUUAUUUUUUUUUCAUAUUUAGUCAAUUUUCUUUUAAUUGAUAUUUUUUAUUUGAAUUACUUUUUAGAAUUGAAAUUUGUUUUUAAUUUUAUACUUUUUAAUUUUUUAAUAUAUUAGAUUUGAUUCUCAUUCUUUUUAUUACUAUUUAUUUUAUGUGAGAUUAUUUUAAAAAAAAAUUUGGCGAUUUCAUCCUUCAUUUUUUUAUUGUUAUGGUUUUUUACCUUGACAAGUUUUUAAAAUUGAUAUAUAUAUAUAUAUAUAUAUAUUAUUUGUUAUUUCAUAUUUUAACAUUGAAUUAAACUUUUUGGUUGAAUCUGGAUUUAGGAUUUAACGGAUUGAGAAUUUUGGGCACUAACCUGGGUUUAGGAGAUUUGUCUAGGUUUUUUUUUAUUUUUUUAAGCUCAUGUUUUUUUUUUCCAGUUUCAUCAUUCAAUAUUUAAUUUAAUUAGAGACUAAGCUCUAUUAAUUUUUUUAUUUUCUUUCUAUAAGAUUUUUAAAUAAUUUUAAAAAUAAUCAGGCUUAUCUUAAGUCUUUUUAUUUCUCAUUAUUUGUUAAAUCUAGUUGCUAUUUUUUUUUAAAAAAAUUUAAUUGAAUAUUUUUUUAUGUUUAGCUUUUAAUAUUUGAUUGAUUGAAAUUGGGCUCUAUUUUAUUUUGAUAUGGGUUCCAUGUAGUUUUCACGGAUUUAUGUUUCGGAUCGCGAGUUUCACAAGUUAACCAUAGUUACUCCAGGUCGAUCUAGUGUGUUGUCAUCACAAUUAUAUUCUUAAAUAAAUAUAUCAUCCAAUGUAUUAUUAUCUUAAUAUUUUAAAAGUGUUUUUCUAGCAUGUAUUGAGUUUUUUACUUUCAAAUAUUGUUAUGUUUUUGCCCAACUUAAAUAAAAAUAAGUUUAUAUUAAUGAAAUGAUCAUUAUAUUGAAAUUAAUAUGAAGAUUGCAUAAAAAUUGAAAGAUUAAACAGAGAAGAAAGAUGAAGAAAUGGGUUGUGAAAAUUUGUGUUGUGAGAAGCGUAUGUGAUAUCAGUGCACCCCAAGGUGCGUGGAUUGGAUUUGCGCAACCACUUAAACUAUGUUAGUUUGGGAAAUUUUCUUUGGGCUAUGCUAAUAUGGGAAAAAACUCAAAAAUUAAUAAAUUUAAAGUUGUUUUUUUAAAGUUAAUUAUGCUAAAUAAUUGAAUUUUUUGUUAAAAAUAAUUAUAAAAAUAACUUAUGGAUAUUUUAUUUCCUAGCUUUUGUUCUUGUAUGCAUGCUUCUGUAGUAACUGUGUGAUUCUAUACGCAAUAAGAUAGCUAUUGUACGAAUGAUUCUUAGCAUCAAUACAAUCCUAGUUCCUUGUUCAGUUUAUUCUUUCCUUUUCCUCUCUGUUCUUGAAGCUAUCUAUUAUCAGGGCCCUAUUUUUCUCAAAGGUUGGUGUAUUAAUUUCCGGCUAACAGCCAUACAUUUUCGAGCUAUAAUAUGCUAAUGUUUAUUUUCCCAUUAUCACUAUCUGAUUUCAUUUCUGCACACAGCAUGAUUAAUGUUUUCCACCACCAUAUGCAGGAAUGAGUCGGAAUCAAUUAAAAUAAUUGCUGAAUACAUAUCGUACAAACUAAGCAUCACUCUGCCAACAAUUAGCAAAAAAUUAGUUGGAAUAGAUUCUCGCCUACAGGUAUUAAAUGGCUAUAUAGGUGAAGAAGUAGGCAAAGCAAUCUUCAUAGGGAUUUGUGGAAUGGGUGGCUUGGGUAAGACGACUGUUGCAAGGGUAGUAUAUGAUAGGAUUCGUUGGCAAUUUGAAGGCAGCUGCUUCUUAGCGAAUGUCAAAGAAGAUUUUGCUAGGGAAGACGGACCACGUCGUUUGCAGGAACAACUUCUUUCUGAAAUCUUAAUGGAACGUGCUUCUGUAUGGGAUUCUUAUAGAGGGAUUGAGAUGAUAAAGCAGAGGUUACGACUUAAAAAGAUUCUUCUUAUCCUUGAUGAUGUAGAUGAAAAAGAACAACUAGAAUUCUUGGCUGAGGAGCCUGGAUGGUUUGGUCCAGGGAGCAGAAUUAUCAUAACAAGCAGAGAUAAACAAUUGUUGACUAGAAAUGGUGUUGCUAGAAUUUAUGAGGCUGAGAAAUUGAAUGAUGAUGAUGCUCUUACGUUGUUUAGCCAGAAAGCUUUCAAAAAUGACCAACCUGCUGAAGAUUUCGUGGAACUAUCCAAGCAAGUUGUGGGUUAUGCUACUGGCCUUCCACUGGCUCUUGAAGUUAUAGGUUCCUUUAUGCAUGGAAGAAGUAUCCUUGAAUGGGGAAGUGCGAUUAAUAGACUAAAUGAUAUUCCUGACCGUGAAAUUAUUGAUGUGCUUCGGAUUAGUUUUGAUGGUCUCCAUGAAUCAGAUAAGAAAAUAUUUUUAGACAUUGCAUGUUUCCUGAUGGGGUUUAAAAUUGAUCGAAUAACAAGGAUACUUGAAAGCCGUGGAUUCAAUGCAGGUAUUGGAAUAUCAGUUCUUAUUGAGAGAUCUCUCAUAAGUGUCUCUCGGGAUCAAGUCUGGAUGCAUAAUUUAUUACAGAUAAUGGGUAAGGAAAUUGUUCGUUGUGAAUCCCCUGAAGAGCCUGGAAGGCGCAGUAGAUUGUGGACAUACAAGGAUGUCUGCCUUGCACUGAUGGACAACACAGUGAGUAGCUAAUAGAGAACAUUAUCCAUAACAUUUCAUAAAGUUUAUUUUAAUUUACGCUCCAGCUCUACUUUGUAUUUGUUUUUUUUACUUGUAUUCCCUUUUGGUUGACAGGGAAAAGAAAAAAUAGAAGCCAUUUUCUUGGACAUGCCUGGAAUAAAAGAGGCACAAUGGAACAUGAAAGCCUUCUCUAAAAUGAGCAGAUUAAGAUUGCUCAAAAUCCACAACGUGCAGCUUUCUGAAGGACCUGAAGCUCUUUCCAACGAGUUACGAUUUCUUGAAUGGAAUUCUUACCCUUCAAAAUCAUUGCCAGCUUGUUUCCAGAUGGAUGAGCUAGUUGAACUUCACAUGGCUAACAGUAGUAUUGAGCAAUUAUGGUAUGGGUAUAAGGUGAGAUCAACUAAUUUAAGGGUCUUUGUAUUUCUUUUUAUCGUUUUCCUAUAUAUGUAUGAUAGUAGUAUCCAUAUUUCUUCUCCCAUGCCUGAUUGCAGAGUGCAGUUAAUUUGAAAAUCAUCAAUCUCAGCAACUCACUAAACCUGAUCAAGACUCCAGAUCUUACUGGAAUUCUGAAUCUCGAGAGUCUAAUUCUUGAAGGAUGUACAAGUUUGUCAGAGGUCCAUCCAUCACUUGCACAUCACAAGAAGCUUCAAUAUGUGAAUCUUGUGAAGUGCAAAAGUAUUAGGAUUCUCCCAAACAACCUAGAAAUGGAAUCACUUAAAGUUUGCACUCUUGAUGGCUGCUCAAAACUUGAGAAGUUUCCAGAUAUAGUAGGAAACAUGAACUGUUUGACGGUGCUACGUUUGGAUGAGACUGGUAUUACAAAACUAUGUUCAUCGAUUCAUCAUUUGAUUGGCUUAGGUCUAUUGAGCAUGAACAGCUGCAAGAACCUUGAAAGCAUUCCAAGUAGCAUAGGUUGUUUGAAAUCCCUUAAAAAACUUGAUCUGUCUGGCUGCUCUGAACUUAAAUAUAUACCAGAGAAUUUGGGGAAAGUUGAAAGUUUGGAGGAGUUUGAUGUAAGUGGAACUUCAAUUAGACAAUUGCCAGCAUCCAUUUUUCUUUUAAAGAAUCUUAAAGUAUUAUCUUCGGAUGGAUGUGAAAGAAUAGCUAAGCUGCCUUCUUAUUCUGGUCUGUGUUAUUUGUAAGUACUGGGUUUACGCGCUUGCAAUCUCUUGAAGAUUGCUUCAAGAGCUGUCAAAGAUUUUAUUUUUGUUUCUGUUAUUUCCAAUUCUCAUGCAAAUAAUGAGCUGUUAAUCUGUUAUUGUUAACAGAUCAUAGCAUGAUUUAAUUCUAUAAGUUUGCAGUUUUGUUUUUCUUAGUUUGAAUAUAUAUGUGUAAAGAUUGCAAUAGAAUGUAUGGAAUCGGUUUCUCAUUCAAAUUGAAAUAAAUUCAAAUACAUUCUUUGCUGUCUCUUCUUUUCUUCCUAUCUUCAUUUCUUCACGUAAACAUUUUUCUUUUAAACACUUUCACAAUCUAAGAGAAGGGGCACUUCCUGAAGAUAUUGGCUACUCGUCUUCAUUGAGGUCUUUAGAUCUGAGCCAAAAUAACUUUGGUAGCCUGCCUAAAAGCAUAAAUCAGCUUUCUGAACUGGAAAUGCUCGUCUUGAAGGAUUGCAGGAUGCUUGAAUCAUUGCCUGAGGUUCCAUCAAAAGUUCAAACAGUAAAUUUGAACGGUUGCAUACGCCUAAAAGAAAUUCCAGAUCCGAUAGAGCUAAGCAGUUCCAAAAUCUCAGAGUUCAUAUGUCUUAACUGCUUAGAAUUGUACGAUCAUAAUGGCCAAGACAGCAUGGGGUUGACCAUGCUUGAAAGAUACCUCCAGGUCUUCUCUUAAUCAAACCUUUUUGUAUCUCUCUCCCUCUCCCUCUAUCUAUCUAACAUUUUGGUUUUUUAUGGUACUAGGUUUGUCUAAUCCAAGACCUGGAUUUGGUAUCGCUAUUCCAGGAAAUGAAAUUCCAGGCUGGUUUAACCAUCAAUGUAAGGGAUCUUUAAUUAGUGUGCAAGUGCCUAGUUGGAGCAUGGGGUUUGUUGCGUGUGUUGCAUUCAGUGCAAAUGGAGAAAGUCCUUCUCUUUUUUGUCAUUUCAAAGCCAAUGGAAAAGAGAAUUAUCCUUCGCUGAUGUGUAUUAGUUGUAACUCUAUCCAACUUCUAUCAGAUCAUCUUUGGUUAUUCUAUCUAUCUUGUGAUUACCUUAAAGAGCUUAAAGAAUGGAAGCAUGCAUCCUUUAGCAACAUUGAGUUGUCAUUUCAUUCUUACCAGCAAGGAGUAAAGGUGAAGAAUUGUGGUGUUUGUUUGUUAUCCUCUCUAUAUUACAUCACAACCAUCUGCCCAUUUUAUUGCUACAAACAAAGAAGCAGCUUCUUCGUAUAAAGCUUCUUUAGCUUUUUCUUCAUCUUACCAUCAAUGGAAGGCCAAUGUUUUCCCUGGCAUCAGAGUUGCAGACACUAGUAUUGCUUUCACCUAUUUAAAGUCAAAUCUAGCCCUGACAUUCAUUAUCCCAGUCGAGAAGGAACUAGAGAAAGUAAUGACAAUUAGAUCAAGACUCUUUGAGGCCAUUGAAGAAUCAGAGCUGUCAAUUAUUAUAUUUGCAAGAGAUUGAGCUUCUUUACCUUGGUGCUUUGAAGAACUUGUUAAGAUUGUCGGACUCAUGGAUGAGAUGAGAUUGAACACUGUGUUUCCAGUUUUUUAUGAUGUCGAACAGUCAAAGAUAGAUGAUCGAACAAAGAGUUACACAAUUGUCUUUGAUAAGAAUGAAGAAAAUCUCAGGGAAAACGAGGAGAAGGUACAAAGAUGGACGAAUAUUCUUAGUGAAGUUCAGAUUUCAUCUGGAUCAAGAUCAUUGAAAAGGUAAUAAUUGACUAAACCCAAAAACGUUUGAAAAAAUUCCCAUUAUGCCAAGCUAUAUGUAUACACACACAACACUUCUGACAUCUCCUUCUUACUCUUAGCGGCAUAAGAGCUCCACCAACGCAGCAGCAGAUCCACCAGCUCCAGCUCCACCAGAAGCAGCAGCGGAUCCAGCUUCUCCAGCUGUUCGAGCGGCAGCAGGGAUGGCUCCAGCUGCUCGAGGAGCGGCAGCGGAUCCAGAAGCACGAGCUCGCGCAGCUGCUCUCUGAGAAGCAGCUGUUUGAGAAGCUGCUGUCUGAGCAGCAGCUGCUUGAGAAGCUGCUGUCUGAGCAGCAGCUGCUUGAGCAGCAGCUGCAUGAGUUUUGAUUACGAAUCUAACUUAAUUGCUUUAGCUUGUAUUAGCUCUUGAUUUUUUUUUCCUUGUUAAUUACCAUCAAAGUACAGUGAGCAGUGAUUGCAAGACAUCAUGUGAUCUUCCUUCUUGUUUGCAUGUUCAUCAAAGCAGCCAACACGAGGCAAAAAACAUAGCAAGGAUUUUCAUCAUGCUAGGACAGGUCCCUGUUUUUGCACAUCGUUUUGGUUUGGGGUAAUAUAUUUAUUUUGGCGUCUCGGUGUUUCUGUGACCGUAGAUCCGAAGAGGUUUUUCCAGCUACUAAUUUCUUAUUAGCUCUUCUUAUAAGGUUUGAUAGGUUGUAAGAGAAAAUAAAGUUCCUAAUAAAUAUUUAAUGUGAUUAUGCUUAACUAAUGAUACAAGCAUCUUGUUAAUGUAAAUGAAGGGAAAAAUGGAUUUGGGUAAUAUUAUUUAUAUUAAUAAAGUAAUAUAAGAAAAAAGAUAAAGAGUUGCAUCAUGACAAUAAUUGUAAGUUUAUAACUUUUCACCCUUAUAAAUAUAUAUAUGUUAUAUAAUAAUAGACAAAUAAAAAAAAUAUUAAAAAGAAAAGAACGUAGAACAAAAUAGAGGAGAAUGGACUCUCUCAAAGAAAAUUCUUUUUCAGUUUUCAGAAGAAUUGUUUCCACAAAUAAGGUAUGUUUAUGUAGUGAAUAAAAAUGAUGAUCAUUUAUUAUUUAAUGUGAUUAUGCUUAACUAAUGAUACAAGCUUCCUGAAAUAUGGUUAUAUUAUUUCUAAAAAAACAACCGUAGUCCUAGAACAAGAAAAACAUGAUUAUUUAAAAAUGAUGAAAGGAAUAUCAUCUCAAGUUUGCAGAUUGUCUAGAUGAUAUUCGUUUCAAGCUUCUUCAUGUGUGUGGGUAUGCGUUUCAAGCUUCUUCAUGUGUGUGGGUAUGCAACUUAAAUUAUAUAUGCAACUCAUAUCUAUGUUGGCAAUAAAUCUUAAUAAACAAGUGGAAUGAAUAUUUGCACGAACACAUGGUAUUCAUAACUCUUUAUUCUAUAUAAUUUGUCAUCCUCUAAAUUUACCAAUCUAGAUACGUUUGAAACAUAUAUAUCAGGAAAACGCAGACUCUUAUGUCAUUAGUAGAUAAGUAACUAUGCAUUUUUAUCUAAGAUAAAGCUAACUUUGAAUUUUAUGACCAUGAUCCAUUAUAAACCAACUUCAUAUUAUUAGGGUGACAAAACAAAUAUAUAUUUAUUAUAACCUUCAUGUUGUCCUUUGUAUUUCCUUUCACGUCCAUUAUUAUAUUAAAAAUGUUUUCAAAAAUGUUUUUUUUAUAUGCAUUAAAUCUAGAUUAUGACAGAGAAAAUUAUUUUUCCAACAAGGAAGCAUCCAAAAAACACUUUACUUUAUCCAAUUGUGGGUCAUACCAAAACUAAGAAACUUUUAUUUACUGAAUUGAAAACCAAACAUAAUACUUUUAUAUUGUGGGACCACAUCAUACAAUUCUUCACUCGAUAGUAUCAGUAGUACAACAUCUAUUUCAACUCUAGCUACAAAGAAGGUGAAACAAAUAAGUCAAAUAUACAUAACCCAAGAUGUACUCUCCGUGGUUCCAUUAAAAAUCAAUGGCGCACCCUAUUAAAUUGCUUUCAAGCUUCACCAUCGAAAGAGUGCACCAUAACCCCAUUUAUUGCAUCAUGUGAAUGAUGUCAUGUCAUGUACUCAAAAGUUUUUUGAGACAUGAAUAACAUUUGCAAUCUAUGAGUGAUUGAGAAGUAUCUCAAUUUUCUAUAUGCAACAAAAGUCCUUCCCUUACCAGUGUUGGGUUUAUCUUGAGCAUGCCUACUAGUUCUGCACUCAAUAAAAUUUGUAUUUUUUAUGGUAGUACAAUAUAUAAAAGUUUAGACACGUAUCAAUUUUUUAGUAUCAUAGGCCAAGGGUUUCAUCAUGGAUUUAGUAGUAUAAAAGUUCUCUUUAAACUUAUUUCCUUCAAAUAAAAGGUUUCUCGUCUAUUUGAUGACUCUGUAAUAGCCGACUUCAUUCAACCCAUGAUCUGACUUGAUAGUAAAUAAUUAUGCAAUAAAUGAUAAUUUUAUUAUGAUUUAUGCACAUAUCUUCGUUGAAAUUUUUAAAAUUUUAAAAACUCUAGCUGAAUAUAAAUUAAGGUGUGUGCCUGAUAGAAUAGACUAAAAAACACAACGAACACCGUUUAUGGCUUGGUGAAGGUGAGAGAGAGAAAGGGUGUGAGAAAAAGAGAAAGGCAUAGAGAGGGGAGAUGGGGAAAUAGAGAGAGGGAGAGUUUUGUGUGAGCUUGGACCGAUUAGGGUUUUCUUAGGUAAUUUUUAUGCACCAUCACUUUGUUUAAGGUAAAGUUAAAGGAUCAUUUUUAAAUUAAAAACUUCUUUGAAUUUAUAUUCUAAAUGAAAAAUGCUAUAAAUAUAGAUAAAUCAUAAUAAAAACUUUCACUGAAAUAUAGUAAGUGAUGAUUGAUGUAGUCAUGAAAAAACUUCACACAAAAAAUAUUGAGUUUUCCAUAAUUUGUUUUAAAACAAGGUCUGUGAUCUAAGAGUUCCUAAAAAAAUAGUUUUUUAUAGAACGAAAGACUCUUCUAUGCUUAAUUUAAUACUUGUAAAGGAGACAAAGAUGAUGUAUAUAUAAAAAAAUUAAAUAUAAAAAUAUAUUAUAUACAUAUAUAGGUUAUAUAGCUAUGUCUAAAGUUGAUUUCUACUUGGUGAGACCAGAUAUAUAUACACUCAAGCUUAAAACUUCCCUGUGGAGGAGGAACCACAGGAGGAAAUCAUGAACCUUUGGUGGCUCAUUGAUACGAGUUUGGAGAAAAAGUUGGUGUGUCAGUGCUUAAAAGUUAAAACUUCUUUUGGUCUUUGAUAUUUUUUUUUAAAAAAAACCUUUGGUUAAUAAUAUAUAGAUCUCACAAUUAUUAAUGAUCGGUUAUAUAUACUUAAUUACUAUGUAUGGAUUUUCUUCUUAAAUUUACGAUAAUCCCAUGUUUGCGGAUGGAAGGAUUGUUUCCAUAUUAAAACUUUUACAUGGCGGAAAGCCUUUUCUCUGGAAAAUUUCAACCAUUAUUUUGGAAUUGCUUGUCUGCCUAUUUUUUUUACUCUGGUUUUGGGUGUAUGUGUUAGAUUUAAAUUUAAAACAAUAUAUAUUUCCAAAAGAUAAAACCAAUAAUUUCUUAUCAAUCUGAAUUUUUUUUCCAUCAAUUUCAUUCAGAAUUCUUUGAAAUUAAUUUUUUAUUUAUCCAUAAUUAAUUUUAAAUAUUUUAAUAUUUCAUGUUAUAAUUAAUAUUCAUGCAAAAAAAAAUUUCAAUAAAAUCUUAACUCAUUGAUUUAAUUUUUGAUUAAAAUUUAAAUACAAUAACUAUAUUUUAAAACUAAUUUCUCCUAACUGUCAAAGAAUCAAUUCAAUAUAAUAGUUUAAGCUGUUAGGUGAGGUCUCAAGAUAUGAUUUAUAUUAUUCUCUAACACCCCUCUCAAGUGAAAGCAUUUUGGACUUGAAUUUGCAUAAGGCCAUAUUACAUUGUGUUUAAUUUUUAUUAAAUAAAUGAGGACAAUGAGAUUUGAACUCGUGACCAUUUGGUCAUCAAGACUCUGAUAUAAUGACAAAAAACCAAUUUAACUCGGUGGCUUAAACUAUUAAGUGAGGUUUCAAGAUAUGAUUUAUAUUAUUCUCUAAUACCAACUAUAUGCAUUUUACAUUCCACUACCAGAAAUUCACCUAAUAGCAACGGAUUUACCGACAGAAUAUUUCUGUCGGUAAUUUGAGGUUGAAAUUACCGACGACACUUUUUCCGUCCGUAAUUCAGUCAGUAACUACUGACGGAAUGCGUCCUUCUGACGGCGAAGCAUGGAAACACUUUAACAGUGUUCAUCCUCACUUUUCAGCUGAAUCAAGGAAUGUGCAUCUUGGGUUGUGUACAGACGGAUUCAACCCAUUUGGGUCAUUUGCUGCUCCUUAUUCUUGUUGGCCGGUCAUACUCACAGUUUAUAACUUGCCACUGAGAAUGUGUAUGAGGCCGGAGUUCAUGUUUUUGUCUACUGUCAUACCCGGUCCAAGCAGCCCGGGGCGGAAUAUAGAUGUUUGUCUUCAACCGUUGAUUGAUGAGUUGGCGCAGUUGUGGUCAUCCAGAGCUCUGACAUAUGAUAUAUCGAGUGUUGUUACUCAAUUUUGGACCCCACGUGCUGGAGACGGUAUAUACCUCUUUUGAACAGAGUGUAGGAGUUUAGCUCAUAUUCGCCAGAAGAUUGACAAAAGCACAGAAAGAAAUAUUUUGUUUUUUUAACCUUGUUUGAGCUGUUUUCUGCUUUUUUUAUCCUUCCCCUUUACUACCAAAAUCAUCAGGUUUUUCUUAGGUUGAUCAGGAGUCUUCAUAAUGCUAAAUUCGUUCUUUUUUAUAUGGUCUUUAAGGUUGAAUAAAUCCCUCAGAAUUUGCACUAAAAAAAUAGUUCUGCUGCUGUCGCAAUUUUUUGUUUCAACUUAGGCUCUGAUUCUGACUCAGUUUCGUACGAUAUCUGACCAUCCUAGGUAUAUUCUGUCACUCAUUACAUGUUGAAAAAUUGACGUACACCUUUAUUAGGUCCUAGGGAUCAUUUUUCUUAGAGCAGAUUCUCAGUCAGAUUUGGAUGCUCAGUAUUGUCAGAUCAAGAACCUUUUUGACCAACUAGAUUACUACCAGUUUCUGUUAUGUAAAAAGAUUUUAUCUCACUUCGACUCCUUCAUCAAAGUUAUAGUGCUAGACAGGUAGAUGAAUUUGAGCUUUUGAAUCACUCGAUUUCGAUAUCAGAGGCUCAAGAUGUUCCCGUUUGAAUAUCUAACGUGAAGGCAGAGAAUUCUGCCGCGAGAAGGAUAUUGACCCGAGUCUGCACUAAAAAAACUCUAUUUUUGGCCUAGUUUUUGUGAUUUUUGUUAUUAGUUCAUACUCUCAGUCAUAUCAGAAUUCUCGGCAUUCGUCAGUUUUUGAGUUUGACCCGGAGAUCCCUUUCGACCAACCAAAUUACUGCUAGAUUCUGUUCUGUAAAAAGAUUUUAUCUCACUUCGACUUCUUCAUCAAAGUUUUAUUCCUAGAAGCGUAGAUGAAUUUGGGCUUUUGAAUCACUUGAUUUCGAUAUCAGAAGCUCAAGAUAUUCCCAUUGAAUAUCUAACGUGAGGGCAGAAAAUUCUGGCGCGGGAAGGAUAUAGCUCAAGUUCGCGGGACUGAUUCGAAGGAUUUUUUUUGGACCAAGGACUGAAUUGAAAAGUGUUAAAAUGAGGGAUUUGAAUUGAAGAAUGAUAUUGAAAGCUGGAGAGGGGGGCUGGAUCAUCAUAAAUGACAGGAUUUUUUUCACGCCGAAUAAGGAAAAUGAGACUUUGCAGCUGCACCCUCCAUCUGAUUUCUUUCCUUUUUUCGCUGCAAAUUCCUGCUGUUUUUCCUUUAUCAUCAUGCCUGAUUUUUGGAGCUGCAACCACGUUUUUUCUUGCCUCAUUUCAAAGGGAGCAGCUGGCCCUAUGGAAGGAAAGAAAAGAGCCACACCCUCCUCUAAAACUGGAAAGAAAUCAGACGUAAAGCACCAACACAAAAUCAGAAUAUUGCAGUUUCCUUUUGCGUUUUUUUACUGCAAAUCAGUAGGGAUUUGCGUCCUAGGAUUAAUGCAUUGAAUCCUUCCUAAAUAGAGACAUAUUUAGACUAUAUAUAAGCCCUUCUAAUGACCUAACGGGAGAGGGAAAGAGAGCAGAAAAAUAGGAAAAAGAGAGCAGAAAAAUAAGAAAAGAGAGGAGAGAAUAGAGAACGGGAGAGAGACAGCAAAAGAAAAACAAGAAAGACGCCUUUGCUCCAUUUGUUUUCUGCAAAUAAAAACUGCAGAAACGGGAAAAGAAAGUUAGGAAUCAGUAAAGAAAGUGACGGAGGCGCAGAGUAAAGAAGGAGGCAAUAGGCAGACCCAAACACAGAACAUAAGAACAAGGACAGACGCAGACCGAGCAACCAUCACUCUUCCAACGCCACUGCAGUUUCUUCGUCUCCAGGUUGGUUUUCUAUUCACCUGUUGCAUGCUUUAUUUUGCUUUGUAUUUGCACUUUAGUGUGGUCUUUUUCUUUGUAAUGUAUGUGUCUGUACUGUUCAAGUGAAUUAAUUCACUUGAACAGUAGCUCUCCAUUCACAAAAGAGAGCUGCACCCCUUUUGUGUCCCGCCGGGUCACCUGCUUGGGCAAGUGACCCGGCCAGAACCCCCCCCUUUUUUUUUCUUCAAAAAAAUAAAAGAAAGAGAAAGUGAUUUAUGAUUUUUUUGGUAUAUUUAUUUUAAGGUCUGAAUUUUUUUUGUUGUAAAAAAUAUUAGUCUUGUGUUUAGAAUACCCGUUUUUUUUUUUACGCAAUGUGACAAAUAUACAUAUAUAUCAAAUUUGUUUUCUUGUGUGUUGCAUACGGCCAAUACCCUAACAUAUUUUGAAUGUUUUUUUAUAUACAAAAAAUAUUGGAAGUUUUGAAAAUGUGUUUUCGCAUGGAUUUCUUAAACACAACAAAAAAGUUGUUUUCUUGCAUUUCUGGAUUUUACAACAUGUUUGUAAAACUCCAAAGGGUAUUGGCCAAUAUUCCAAAAAAUAUAAAAAUCUUAUUUUGGGGGGAAUUCAUCUAUUAUUCACCGCUAAUGUUUGGAUAAAGAAAUCCUUAAAGGAUGAAUAUCCAAAAUAUUAUUGGGAAUAAUUUGUUAUUAUUCACUGUUAAUAUUUGGAUAAAGAAACCCGGAGUGGUAAAUAUCCAAAAUAAUUUUCUAGGAAUAAUAAAUCCGCACACAUCCUUGAAAGAAGCCUUGAUUAUAAUCGAGGACAUUUCAAUUUUUUACUCCACGGUUUACGAGCCGUGAGAGUAUAAAACACUAAGGUAAAAAUAGGCUUUUAAAGUGCCCUAGAUUUCUAAAUUUUUGUCCCUCCUCCUUGCGAUUUACGAGUCGCAAACUCUUGAAAUACCAAGGGAAAAAUGAGCUUUUAAAGCACAUGGAAUCUUCUUGGAUUUCUAUCUUAAUAAAUUUAGUUAGAAUCAAACUUAGAAAAACUGAUGGAAUUAGAAAACACCAACACCAUAGCAAUUUUAAGACAAACCAAACACCAAGCAGCUUACCUUAGGUAGGGCGUACUAGGGGUGCUAAUACCUUCCCUUUACGCAACCAGUCCCUUGCCUUAGAAUCUCUGAAAGACCAGUUAGGGUUCCUAGUGACCAUAAUACUAGGUGGCGACUCUCUUUUACACAAAAAAACAAAUAAACCGAAAUCAAUCAAUGGUCGCCGCGACGCCGCAAUCCGCCGCGAGGGUGCGACAUCGAGGAAACAAAAUUUCCUUAUGAGGGCGGCUUUGAUGUGGACUAUCAAUGAUUUUCCAGCUUAUGGAAUGCUUUCUGGUUGGAGCAUGCAUGGGAAACUCGCAUGUCCAUACUGCAUGGAAAACAACAAGGCAUUCACGCUAGCAAAUAGAGGUAAAGCUUCUUUUUUUGACUGUCACCGUGGUUUCUUGCCACUUAAUCACAGGUACAGAAAGAAUAGAAAAGAUUUCUUUGUUGGAAGAUUUGAAAAAGAUGUUGCAUCCUCGCGUCUUUCUAGUGAAGAAUUGCAUGAUGUUGUAUUAGAGUACGGUGACAUUGUGUUUAGCCUUCAAUCAGGUAAGCAAAAGUUUCCUGGUUUUGGUUUGACCUAUAAUUGGGUAAAGCGAAGUAUCUUUUGGGAGCUUCCUUAUUGGAAGACCAAUCUGCUCUGCCUUAACCUUGACGUCAUGCACAUCGAAAAGAACAUGUUUGAGAACAUUUUCAACACCGUCAUGAAUGUGAAGGGGAAGACAAAGAACAACAUCAAGGCUAGAUUGGAUAUAGCUUUAUACUGUAACCGUAAAAAUAUGGAGUUGGUUUAUGAUGAGUCACGGGUCACAAAACCAAGAGCAAACUUCGUGUUAGAGAAAAACGCACAACUACUAGUCUACAAAUAGCUUAAGAGUCUGUGUUUUCCAGAUGGACAUGCAUCGAACAUAUCGUCGGGAGCUCUAGCAAGUUGAAUGUUGAGCACAUUGAGAGGCUUCAAACGAAUAUCAUCGAGACACUAUAAAACUUGAGAUGAUAUUCCCUCCGUCAUUUUUUGACUCAAUGGAGCAUCUCCCUAUACAUCUACUGUUCGAGGCAAAAGCUGGAUGACUAAUCUAGUAUAGAUGGAUGUACCCAUUCGAAUGGUUAGAUAUUAUAGUUGCAAUGUUGUAAUAGUCCGACUGUACGACUCGAUCAAUGUUAAAAGAUUCCAACAUAUCCUCUUUAUUUAAGGGUAAUUUUUUUUUUCAAAAAUUUGACAGAGUUUCGUGUGCAUUUAGGACAUCCCAAGUUAUUGAUUACUAUCAGUUUACUCAAUCAACCCAUCAUCACAAGGUCCCUUAAUUCCAAACCUUAUAUCAAACCUCAUAAUUCCACACCUCAUACAAUCCACACAAUAUAUAUAUUUCAAAAGGGUUAAUUACAAGAUAACUAAAAUACUACAUGCUAAGCUGAACCUUUAUAAAUACAUCAAGGUUUGCACAAAAGUAUACAACAUAAACACAUUAAUUCCCUUUUGUUUUAAGUUAAAUAUUUACAUAAGCUUCACAAAGUAGAGUCCUAAACUAAUGAUCUUCCUGGAUGUUUGAUGGACCUGUUACAUAAAUAAACAUACCAUUAUGUUGAUAAAGAAUAUAUGUAUGCUCAUGUAAUGAAUACGAANNNNNNNNNNNNNNNNNNNNNNNNNNNNNNNNNNNNNNNNNNNNNNNNNNNNNNNNNNNNNNNNNNNNNNNNNNNNNNNNNNNNNNNNNNNNNNNNNNNNNNNNNNNNNNNNNNNNNNNNNNNNNNNNNNNNNNNNNNNNNNNNNNNNNNNNNNNNNNNNNNNNNNNNNNNNNNNNNNNNNNNNNNNNNNNNNNNNNNNNNNNNNNNNNNNNNNNNNNNNNNNNNNNNNNNNNNNNNNNNNNNNNNNNNNNNNNNNNNNNNNNNNNNNNNNNNNNNNNNNNNNNNNNNNNNNNNNNNNNNNNNNNNCUAAUCUUGUAAAUACACUAGGCUUUAUUUACAUUGAACACGAUAUUUAUUAUAAUUCCAUUCACCAGAAGGAUUCUAAAUUGUAUAAGUGCAAAUAGGAGGGAAAAUCACGCACCUUAUUCGCCUGUCUCGCGACCUCCCCUAACAGAAGAUCCAAUCCUGGUUGCUCCUCCUGAAUCACAAGGAAGUUUUUUUUUUGUUAUGAUUCCUUCAAGCUGAUAUUAUAGAGAAUUCAUAUUCAUCCAUUACUCAUAUGUUACUUUCUAUGCAUGUUCAUUUCCUCAUAAUAACAUACAUACAUUUAUCAUGUAUAUUUUCAAAGUUAGUAUCUCAAUAUACAAGUGUUUGUAUGACUCAAUUCUUUUAUAUUCUUAUUUAUAGUAUUCACGUGAAAGUCUACUGUUACUGUCCAAUUUCCAACUGUUACUGUCCAAUUUCCAACUGUUACUGUCUGACUUUUCCAGCUGUUACUGUCCGACUUUGAACUGUUACUGUCCAAUUUCCAACUGUUACUGUCUGAACACUCAUAAGAUUUUUAACUAUAUCUAAAGUUCUAAAACUCCAUUUUAAGUGAGAUUGAUCUCGUUAGAAAGCUAAGACACGAUGCUACUAGUUCUCUGAGGAAAAAGAACCCAGUUUUGCCUCCAAGAUAGUCAAAAUUAUUCAUUUACUAAUUAGUCCUACUGCCCUACAUAAUCAGUCACAACUCAGUCUCAGUUGGUAACCCAUAACUGGAGUUCUACAUUUCCAAAUUGAGCAAGACCAGUUUCCUUGGUUAGCUAACAUUCAAAUCUACAAUUUUUAUGGGGAACCCGAUCCUAAUCCCCUCAUCCUCCUACUCGAAAUCUCAUCGAAAGUUAGGAGACAAGUCUGUCCAUAUUCGUCUCCCCCUCCCCUUCACACAAUACUUUCAUAAACUACAUACCACACACAUGAAUUAACUUAAUCUCAACAAUAAGUACUUUUCCCCAAUUUAAGUCUAAGAACCCUAACCUAUGAUUCAAUAUCAAGGCAUCAAUUCUUCAUCGAAUUUAAAAAUGAAUUUUUUUAAGAUCAUGUUUAGAAUACCUUACCCGGUACAAAUUAAGAUUUUGAUCUUCAACCAGUUGAAGAUUUUCAACUCCCUCCUUUCUUUUCUUCUUGUUCAAUUCCCCUCCUGUCUUUUCUUCUUGUUCAAUUUCUUGGUAAUCCUUUGCUCUCAAGUGUUUAUCCCAUCUAUAAGCUCUUAAUCUUUGAUGGGUUCUUGAAAUUUUAGUAUUUCUCUCUUGAUUUCUCAAAACUGGGUAUAAAACACCCUAUCUUCUCUCCUUGUGGUUCCUACAGAUUGUCUUGGUGAGGAGAGAGUAUUUAUACUCUAUAUUUUCUCUUAUUUGCAUUUAGACCCCCCCUUUUUCCUUUAAGUGUAUUAUUCUCUUCAAUUAAAUCCAACCCUUAACAGUACCGGGUUUAUUAUAAUGUCUCGAAUUAUUUCGUCCGGAAAUUUAUAUUCAAAAAUUUCUGAAUUUCUGUUUUUAUUUAAUCAUAUGCAUGAUUUCUUCACUUUUAUUUAUUUAUUAUUUUUCCCGGGGUUUACAAUUGCCAUCAUGUUUUAUCUUCUAAACUCAUUUGUUGCCAAUGGCCUUCCUUCCUUGUGGUAGCGGAACAAGAUCCCAAGUGUUAUUUUUAUGUAGAGCUUCAAUCUCCUCUUGCAUUGUUGUCAUUCACAUAGAUACAUCUGUGCUUUUGAUAGCCUUGUGAAAAGUUGAUGGCUCUCCAUCCUCUAUUAGAAGACAGUAUACAAUGUUGCUCUCAGUAAUAUAUUCUGAGUGUCAAGCCGGUGGUCUUCUUACGAGUCAACUAUCAAACUUCAGGAGUUUCAGACUGUAUUUGUUCUUAUAUUUCAUUCUCUGGUGCAGCUUCAGAAGAAGUAUGAUUUUGAGUAUUUUCCAUCUGGACUGCUGUAGUCUACUUUAAAAUGCUAUUAUGUUCUUCCAUUUGCAUUUUAUUUUCUGCAAAUACAUCAUCUCUGCUGAUGACUACCUUGUGGGCAGUAGGAUCCCACAAGCGAUACCCCUUCACUCCAUUAGCAUAUCCUAAUGAUACAUAUUUUCUGGAUUUUGAAUCCAGCUUGCUAACUUCUUGAGUAUUGUACAUCACGUACACAGGACUUCCAAAUAUAUGCAAUCGAGAAUAAUCAACUGGCUUCUCAAUCCACAUCUCCAUUGGUGUCUUCAGCUCAAUUGCAGUUGAUGGAGAUUGAUUUAUCACAUAACAAGCGGUAUUGACUGCUUCUGCCCAGAAUGACUUUCCUAGACCUGCAGCCUUCAACAUUGCUCUUGUUCUUUCUAAUAGAGUUUUGUUCAUCCGCUCUGCCACUCUAUUUUGUUGUGGAGUGUAUGUCAUUGUGAAUUGCCUUUUGAUACCUUCAUGUUGACAGAAGUUAUCAAAUUCAUCACAGGUAUAUUCUCCUUCAUUGUCAGUCCUCAAACACUUGAUCUUCUUUCCAGAUUCAAGUUCUACCCGUGCUUUGAAGGUUUUAAAGACUGCAAGCACAUCUGCCUUCCUUCUAAUUGGAUACACCCAACAUCUCUUGGAGAAGUCAUUUAUAAAUGAUACAAAGUAUCUUGCUCCUCCCAAGGAUACAACCGGUGCUUGCCAAACAUCAGGAUGAAUCAAGUCUAAGAUGCAUUUGCUCUUAGUUGUUGAUGUGCCAAACUUCAACCUGUGUUGUUUACUUGUAACACAGUGCUCAUAAAAGGGUAAAGUAACCUUUGUAAGCCUAGGGAGUAACUUCUGAUCAGAGAUAAUUUUCAAACAUUUCUCUGACAUGUGGCCUAGUUUUUUUUGCCACAUCAUCGUCUUCUCUUCUACAGGACUGGCUGAUGCGAUUGACGUCUCUGCCUCAUGAUGUGUUUCUCCCAUUAACACAAACAAAUUUGCAACUAUCUUUCUUGCCUUUAAAACCACCAGCGCUCCUUUGACAAUUUUCAUGAUUCCAUUCUCUGUUCGAAUAUUACAACCAAGACUAUCAAAUUAUCCUACGGAUAAAAGAUUCUUUUUCAAAUCUUUCACAUGUCGUACUCCUAAAAUAAUACGAAUUAAGUCAUCAUUCAUCUUCAAUUUGAUGGUGCCAAUGCCAGCAAUCUCUAGAGCAUGAUCAUUACCUAUGAACACUGAGCCUUCAGAGAUGGGUUCAUAUGUAUGAAACCAAUCUCGAUUAGGAGUCAUAUGCCAUGUUGCUUCUGAAUCCAUUAACCAAACCUCAGUGAGCUCUUUUCUAUCUAUAGAGACUGUCGCUACUUCACUAUAUAAAACCUCUCCAUCUUCUGAGGUGAUUGCAACACAUCCUUGAGGUUUUGAUGACUCUACAGUGUUCUCUAUACCUUUUUUAAACCAAUAAUCCUUUUUGAAGUGCCCUUUUCUGCCACAGUUGUAGCAUUUCACAGUCUUCUUACUUCUUGAUUUGGACCUCCCCUAUCUUUGACUCCCACUAGAGCCACGCUCCGUUGAUCUUCCUCUUGACACCAACAAUGUCUCUGCUUGGUUUGAACUAUUUCUGUCUCCUUUGUUUUUGGGCCUAUUUUCUUCUUCCAAGAUAGCGGCUGCAACAUCAUCAAAGACUAAAUAGUUUGAGAGGAUAUUAUUAGUCAAGUUGAUAAUGAGCUGAUCAUACGAAUCAGGAAGACUUUGAAGUAGAAGCUCUGCACGUUCAUUUUCCUCUAAUUAUUGACCUAACGUAGUGAGUUGUGAAAAUAGAGUUCUUAUUGUGUUGAUGUGGUCAGUCACCAUUGUGGUUUCUGCCAUUCGAAGGGUAUAAAGUCUCUGCUUUAAGAAAAUCUUAUUGUGCAAGGACUUGGACUCAUAUAGCUUUGUCAGAGUAUCCCAUAUCUCCUUAGCUGUUUUCUUCUCCGCCACACUUGAUAAUACUUCAUCAGCUAAUGCUAAAUGUAUGUUAGUAAUAGCAUUGCCAUCCAUCUCAUUCCAUUUUGUAUUAUCAGUGAUCUCCGCGGGCCAAUCCCCAAUUGCUGUCAAGCAAUUGUCUUUUCUUAAAAUUGCCUUGAUUCUCAUUUUCCACAGUGAGAAAUUGCUCCCAUUGAACCUCUCAAUCUCGUACUUUGCUGUCAUUUUAUUCACCAUGAUCUAUUCAGCUAUCACUGUUUCACUGAUCUGCAAUGUAUACAGAAAUAGUAUCGUGUGAAUAAUACUUCACUAAGUAAGUUCCCAAGAAAGAUUGAAGGGGUCACAAACGGUCCCGCUUAAGGCUAAUGAUAGCAAGAAUGGUGUAGAAGGUGAAUCCCCUGCUGUCAUGGAGGAACAAGAAAACCUAAGAAAAAAGGUUACUGAUUUGAUUAAAAAACAAAAGCUGCCAGCUGUGAGGAAGAUUGUGAAGUGGAAGGAUGAUUCAAAACCAUGUAAUGCAGAUGCUAGGGCUAAGGUUUGUGUGCUUGUAAUCAUUGAUAAAGGCUAAUUUUCUUGAACAAAUGUAUCGUGUACGAAUUUGAUUUCUGUCCUUGCACUUUGCAGGUUGGAAGCCGUCUAAUUGAAUUGCUGUUACAAACAGCUUAUAUACAGCCUCCCUGUGAUCAGUUAGCUGAUAGUCCAUCUGAACCUCGACCUGCAUUUGUACAUACAUUCAGAAAUGUGUCAUAUGUAAACAAGUAUGGAGUCAUUCUUUAAUUGACUCGAUGAGCUCAAUUUAUCUUUUCUUCCUUGUAAUUGCUUCUAACUGAUGCACAAUGGCCUUUUCUUAAACAGGAAGGGCGUGAAAAAAUAUGUUGUUAUUCAAUGUGACCCACUAGUCCUCAAAGGCCUAGAGAAAACUGUGAGUAACCCUGUCAAAUUUUGUUCUUCUAGUGAUAUCUAGUUUUCAUAUUUUAUCAUCCUUUAUGACAUGAACUUGUGUCGGGGUGCCAUAUACUUUCAAAGCAGAUAGUUUAGUUUCUAGAUUUUAAAGCUGAAACAGAUAAGAUUUGUAGGCAAUUUCCAUGGUCCCUCUUAAGUUGCAGAUGUUUGUCUUUCAUUCUUUUUUCUUGCACAAGAAGUCAUAAAAAUGUUGUUUCUCCAAACAGGCUAGGCACAUGGUGAUUCCUUAUAUGCCAAUGUUGGUGCCACCACUUAGAUAGAGAGGGUAUGUUAACUUGUUUUAUAUUUACAGUUUUUCCACAAUUGUCUUGUUUUAAUUUUUUAUUUUUUAGUUGGAUAUAUUCCAAGUUCAGAAAUAUUAACAUAGUGUUUUGGUUACUUCUGCUUGAUGCCUGGAGCUGUUUUCAAUUUUCAUGUCAAGUUAAAUGCUUAAAAUGGUAUAAUAGAUGAAGGGAUGAAUCUCUGAUUAUAAAGACUGGAAUUCCAAUCCCAAUUUCAGUUAAUUGAAAUUAACAUUUCAGCAUGUUUCAAGGCUCUGCCUCUCCAUUUCUGUAACCUCCAUUGGAAGGGAAACUAAUUGUCUUGCAGGUGUUUAUUGAAAACAUGGUGAAUGUGAGAUAUGAGAUGGAAGGUUUUGUCUAGGAUUCUCAACAAAACGGAGAACAUUGUCUUUAAACAUUGAAGAGCAUUUGCUAAUCACAGCCAUGUCUCAUACCGGAAACUUAACAUUAUUGCCACAGGCAGGAGAAUUUAGGGAUUGCUAUGGAAUUCUUUNNNNNNNNNNNNNNNNNNNNNNNNNNNNNNNNNNNNNNNNNNNNNNNNNNNNNNNNNNNNNNNNNNNNNNNNNNNNNNNNNNNNNNNNNNNNNNNNNNNNAUACAGAGUUUGACUGUAGUGAAGAAUCCAGCUGCAGUUUCAUGCUACCUUUGCAGUGGAUGGUACAGGUCUGGGCUGGGGGUUGGCUUUUUAUAAUACAGUUAUUCUGAGUUUCCAUGGUAUAGAUAAAUUUUUUUAAAAGUUUUUAACCCAUCUUUAAGAAUACCUAGAAGCCCUAAUGUAGAAAAAUUGAAGUGCUAUAAACAUUAAAAUCUCCAAAUCACCUGAUAACAGAUGAUUACAUGGGCGAAAUGGCACAGACGGAUCUCUGCAGUCAAACUGAGAUUUUUGAACCUUAUUGUUUGGCAAGUUAGUUAGGAUAUGUUUUUCAUGGACUUUGGUUAAGUUUUUCAUGAAUAGGUGAUCACAAUCGUCAUUGGAAAAACUGCACAUGCUUUGGAAUAUGAAGAGGCCUCUAUAGCAGCUUCUGCCAUUCAACCUAUUGCCUUUAAAUCUGAUAAGCUCCCUAGCGCUUUUGGUUGUAAAUUGCCCAUUAGGACUGAGAUUCCUGGACACACUUUCUCUCUACAAAAAGAAAAGAUUUAAACCAGUGAUUGCACUCUGAAUAUCUUAAUUUGAUCAGAUUGAGCAUCAGACGAAAACCAUUUCAUGAAUUGGUUUUGGGGAAAGAGCACUUUGUUUACUAGCAAUUUUAUAGUGGGUCUUGGCUCUUUCACUCAAUCAUCAUGCAAGUUGCAGGAGGCACAUUAGCAUAGUCCCCACUAAAAUUAAUUUUAGAUCCAAAUUUGGAAGAUACAAAUUCUUCAUACAUGUUCCUUACAUAGGCUACUUUAAUCUGGAAUUUAAUGAGUUUGUGGUUGGAUUCUGGUUCCCAUGUAGUUGUAGCAACUCUUAACACCACUAUUGCUUCUAGUAACAAAUCAGGACCUGGCAUUUAAGUAGCUUUUUGGUGUGUUCUAAGCUCUUCUUAGAUAAUUGUGUCAUAGCUCUCUUGCUCGUGUCGAGCAUAACCUCAAUGCCCUUUGCAGUUAUGAUAAAGGAGCUCACUUGUUCUUACCAUCCUCUGUCAUGCGGACACAUGGUGCUAAACAGCAACGUGAAGCAGUUAAGAGGGCACCUAAGAAUCAGCUACAAGCAGUUUUUGAGGUCUGUACAUAUUAGAUGCAUUGCAUGGUUACUGAUGCAUAUUUUAUUGUUUGAACUAAAUCAUCUUUUGGUACUAACAUGUGAUGUUCUUUGAACAAAAUCUCAUACUGAUAAUUUUGUAUACCUUCACAUGCUAUCACAUGUGUAGAUUUUACCAGCUUAGCUUCUGGUUUAACAAGGAUUCUCCUUUGUUUGAGUUAAUUUUCCAGGCCCUGGAAUACCAAAUGGAGGGUAAAUAAGAGGGUACUUAGUGUCGUUCAUAGAAUAUGGAGUAAUGGAGGCUGUCUUGCUGAUUUGGUAGUGAUGUGAGUAUCUUUUCUAACUUUCCUCAAUGUAACUCGUGUUUUUUUUUUUAGAAACUCCUUUACCUUUACCUUUGUGUUCCAAGAAUUGAUCAUGAUGUCUAUAGCAAUUAAAAAACCUUUCUCGUUUAAUUUCUUCAUUCAGGUUCCUUUACCUGAGAAGCCAGAAACAGAGUUUUUCAAUUUUCCUUCAUUUGAGAAUGAUUUGUAUAUUUACAACUAUAUAAACACAUAAAUACAUAAACAUUAAUAUAUAUAAUCAAUAUCAAUAUUUACACCAAAAUUGAACUUUCUUCGUUUAUAAAUAGCAAUGCGCCAAGCCUAAAUAUAUUAAGUCUAAUGUUAGCUAGACCUAGACGCGGUGGAUCUAGCACUAGCUAGACCCAAGAAAUGAUUAAGUCUAUCCACCGCCAAACCCAAAUCUUGCUAGGUCUAGCACUAGUCAGACCUAACCAAAAUUGAGCUUGGUAGUGUGUCAGGCCGACGCAUGUUAGGUUUGGCGCUAGCCAUACCCAAUAGAUAAUUGAGUCUAAUUACAUAAACACUCCCUAGUCAAAGGUUUUAGAUAGAAUAUUUGCAAUGGGAGAGGAAUUAGUGUUUGUGAUCGGAACAUCAAAGUUGGGCUAUUUGCGUUAGGAAUAUUGAAGUUUGAGAUUCUAAAGUCGAUUUAUGGAUUUCCCUUUGUUUUUCGGUUUGGUUAAGAAUGUGGUGGCUAAGUUUUUUUAUUUAAUUCAAUGAAAAAUUUAUAAUAUCUAAAAUAAAAGCUUUAUAGUUAUUAGUUUAAAAAUAAUAAUAAUUUUGUAAAUAAUUAGAUAUUUUUGUAAGAUUUUUUUACAUGUGUUAGUGAGGAUAUAAAGUGUUAUCAUAAACAAUAAUUUUUUAAAAAAAGCUUAAUUCAUUAUUAAUUCAAUAUUGAAGGAUGAAAUUAAAAAAAAAUACAAAUAAAAAAAACCAUAGGUCAACUCACUAAACUCGCAAUACGGGUCAUAAAAUUAAAAUAAUUUUAUAAAAAAAAAACAACAAUAAAUUAUGAAGCUUAAUUUUUAAGGAGACAAAUACUGAAAGAAAGAAAAACAUGUAGAUUUUAAAAAAAAAAUACCACUGCAAAUUUUAAUUUGGUAAGAUUUGUUGUUAAUAUUACUAUAUUAGAUGAGACGCGCUGGAUCUACAAAUGUUGUGCCUGCUAUUUCUAUUCGAAUAUUUCUUUUGAAGCUUUUGAAAAGAAAUAUUAACAUUUAUCAUUCAUUUAUGCACUUUUGACCAAAUUUUUCUUUUGCUUUUUUAUGUUGUCCCACUGAGAAGACCUUUUUUGUUCUUUUGUGUGAAAAAAAAACUAAAUAAACUAAUUAGAAAAUAAAAAAAGUUUGGGUCCAGUUCAAUUUCAGUUUUAAAAUUCUAAAACUAAUUGAACUAGAUCAAGUCAUAGACUAGUUAUUUUUAUUAUAUUCCCAUUAUUAUUUAUUAUUCUAUAGAUUUUUCUACAUUGAAGCUUUUGAAAAGAAAAUUAACAUUGAUCAUUCAUUCACUUUUGAAAAAACUUUCUUCUGCUUUUUUAUGUUGUUCCACUGAGAUGACCCUUUUUUGUUCUUUUGUGAAUUGAAAUUAUAUUACAUGUUUGUAAUUGUUUCAUCUCAUUUUUAUUUUUUUUUAUUUUUGAAAAGUAAACUUCCUUUAAUUAGAUUAUCCUUAAUAUCAAUCCCAUUGCUUUUUGCAGGUCUUAUCAAGCUGUUUUAAUUAAUUUUUGUUGCAUAAUUUGUAAUUAAUAAACAUGUAAUUAUAAAUGAAGGAAAGAAAAAAUUGGUUGGACUUGUUGGUUUCAAUUUUAUGUUUUUGGUUUUAUCUUUUUUAUUUGUUGUUUAAAGCCUUUUUUAACUCUUAAUCAAUUCUUUAUUUUUUAUUAUUUUUUUAAGUAUAAAAGUAUAUUCCAAAGAAUAUUUUAAAGUAAUUGGGCAAAUAACAUUGUUAGCCACGGAGAGAUCAAUGGUAUGGACAAAAUCAAUAGUAUAAUGAUUGGACUCAAAAACUUUCAAAGACAAAAUCAAUAGCAUACGAUCCCUCAAACUCAUUAACCCCUCACAACUCACUCCUUUCCAGCCAACUUGAUGUGUUGUGUGCUAAUCCGAUGAAAAUCGAGAUCCCAAAGAGGGUGAUGCCGCUGAUGGUUGGUUCUCUUCCUCCUUGUGAGUUUUUACAUAAUAAAAUAGCGGCCUUAAUUACGAGAGUUCUUCCAUUUUUACAUAAAAAAUGGCUGGGAUUUCCUUUCGUUAUUUAGCAAUACGCUGUGUUAAUGAGCUUAAAGUUAUUAUGUUAUUGAUUUUGUUUUAAUAAGGCCUCUCAUCUUUGAGAUUUAUUAAUCCAACCAUUAUUCUAUUAGUCCAUCCAUAUCGUUAGCCCUUUCCUCACUAAUGCUAUGCUUUUGGUUAUUAAUUUUGAGAUAUUCUCUUCUAUGUUAAACAUAUCUAAGUAUAUCUAAAUCCAACUAACCAUUACUAACCAUAAUUUUUUAAAUCUUAUUUUUUUCAAAUCAUGAUUAUAGAAGCUGUCUCAAAAAUAAAUACGCUCUCAAGUCAGUUGGACCAGUGGUAUGAUGAGACCAUGUUUCUGUGCGACAAUAUGGCUUUUUAUUUUUUUUGUGAAUAAAAAGAACAAAACCCUCAAAUAUCAAAUCUUUAUAUGUUUGAAUAUCUAAAAAGAAGAAAAAGCAAAAAAUUUCAAACUUUUUUCCUCUAUUUAAAAAAGGGGGAAAAAAGCAAUAUAUAUAGGUCAUGGAUUUCUUUUCCUUGUUUUGUUAUAUGGAGAGCAGUUAGAUCUCACUAAAGCAAAUAAUUCAUCAAUCAUAAUCAAAACUCUAAACAAAGCAUGCAAGUACACCAUGAAUAUUAAUGUUGUUGGUAAAAAAGUAAAAAUGAUGUGUAAAUUGAGAUGGAGAGCUAAAUAUAUAAAAAUACCAAAAAACAAAACGAAUGCUACAGUCAAAUUUUGAACAUCUAAAAGAUAUCUUGUGUGCGACUAUUUCCAUGUCACUAUGCACGACAGAAAAAAGAGAGGAUGCUAUAUUCAUACAUCAAUCAAAGAAUGUGUGGAUCCAAGGAGAACAAUGAACAUCCCAAAAGGAGUCUGAAAGUGAUGAAUUAAGAUUUUAUUUGUAUAUUUUUAUAAAAAUUCAAUAAAGAUUUAUAAGUUUAAAUUUCAGGAAUAUAAACAUGCACCAAUGAAAAUAUGUCAGGUCUGACGCUAGUCCAAUUUAGACACAUUGGGCUUGGUAGUGUACCAAGUUCCAGACAUGCUAAGUCUAGUAGUUUGAAAUGACCUUUUUUUCUUGGACAAGCUCAAGAUAAUGAUCAUCCUCUCUUGAGUCUAAUAUUUGAGAAUAGCUCAUUCUCUAUGAGCAUUAGCUAUAAAAGUCAUUCAAAGACCUAUUAUAUUUCAUCAAAUAUUAAUAUAGAUGUAAUAAAUAUUUAUCUAUCAUUAAAUGUUAGAAAGAUCUCUUCACAAAAAAACAAGAUUUAUAGGCUAUAAAUACACAAUGAGACUUUCAGAAUAGAGGUUCACAUUCUUCAUAUUUUACUGCAUAUAUAAUUUCAAAGCAUCUCUCUUUAAAAUAUUAUUGUAUUUUUUUUCUUUUAAAAAAGAUAUUUAUUUAAGUAUGGAUUUCAUUAUAAAUCAAAAGUAUUAAUAUGAUUUUUAUUAUGGAAAGCAAAAAGCAAGAAACUAUUUGCUAUUAUUUUUAAUUUUAACAACUUUAAUUAAUGGUAUAGCUAUUCGAAUAGCUAAAAUACAUUUCUUCUACUAAAAUACUAUUUCUACAUACAAAAGCCAACGUCUCUUUAUCUAUGGUUGGCUUUUGUUUUUCUCUUUAAAGACACAACAAGAAGAAGAAAAGAAGCUUGCAAACCUAAAAAUUUUAACAUUAUUAUAUAAAACUGAAAACUGAAAAUAUUAAUAUAAAUAAAUUUUGAUUUUAAAAGUGUAAAAUUUAAACUUUAAAUUAUAUCUUUAAACUUUCAUAUUACUUCAUUAAUUUUAUAAAUUACUCAUAUUAAUUAUAUAAUAAAUAACAUGAUUAUAUUAUAUAAAAAAUAAUUAAACUAGUUAUAUAAUUAUAUUAAAAUUAGUUUAAUAUAAAAUAGAUUAAAAUAUAAUUAGCUUUUUCUAAAUGGUUUUUUAGCAUUGGAAUGUAUAUAAAUAAAUAAAAUUAUAUUUAUAUUAUUUUAAAAACCAUUUUAUCGAUUUAAUUUCAACUUUUAAAAAUAGCAUGUUUUAUUGGAGUUGCUCGUGUGCAGAAUUAUAUAAGGGAGAGAGGAAGGCAACAAAGGUAAAGAGACAAAAGAAGUCCAAACAUAAUAUAACCCCUGCUCUUGACAGGAAGGUGCCUCUGCUGCCCAGUGCGCGUUCGAUAUCCCUUUCAUUUCUGGUUUGGGAAAGUGGUUUUAGACCCGUUUGGAAAUUUGAUUUUUUUAAAUUAUUUUAUAUAUAUAUUUUUGAAUUGUUUUGAUGUAUUUAUAUUAAAAUUAUUUUAAAAAUAAUAAAAAAAAUUAUUUUUAUAUAUUUCUAAAAAAAAUUACUUUAAAAAAAUAAUUACUACUACAUUUUUAAGCAUCAUGGUAUAAGAUUUGAGAUGAGAUAUUGGUAAUGGGAGAAAAAUUGGUGUUUGAGAUUAGAAAAAAUCAAAGUUGGACUGUUUGUCAUAAAAAUAUUAAAGUUUGAGAUUCUAGAAUCAAUUUAAUAUGAUUUUUUUUUUGUUUUUCGUUAAUUAGUUCCAGUUAAUAGGUUGGUGGCUAAGUUUAUUUAAAAAAAAAUUGGAAUUUAUAAUAUUUAAUAUAAGAGUUUCAUAGUUAAUAGUUUGAAAAUUCAUUAAAAAAUACUUUUCAACUGUGAUGUGUGUGUCCCAACCCCUGCUCCUGACAGGAAGGUGCCUCUGCUGCCCAAUGCGCGUUCGAUAUCCCUUUCAUUUCUUUUUCUACUUUUUCUCCACCGAAACUCCAUCUUCUUUACAGUGUAAGAAAAAGAUCCGUAAGAAAAUCCUUGGAAACUUACCAGUACGAGUUCUUGACCUAAAGCAACCGGAAAAAAUUCGAAGUCAUUGGAAUAAAAAGAAAAGAAAAGGGCUUUCGAAGUUGGUUACUAAGAUACCAGAAGAAUAAGCAAAUAUUGGGUUUGCACUUAGUGUUCAAGCUAUGGUGGCUACAUUAUCCAAGAGGUUCGAUUCAGUUUUGUUAUACAAGCACUAGCUAGUAUAUUAAAAAUUAUAAAUCAAUAAUAACAACAUUAUUAUUAUUAUUAUUAUUAUUAAAAUUAAUAAAGAAAUAAAAGACCAAACUGAUAGAUAGAUCGAAGCCUAGAUAUAUUUUUGUUUCAAAAAAAUGAUUUCAAUUUAAUUAAGACCGAUUAAAUUUAUUUUAUUGUGAAUAAAGAAGUUGAUGCAAGUUUUUAAUCAAAGCCAUAAAAAUUAUAUACAACAACAAAUGUUAGAAUGCAAUAUUGAUGCAAAUCAAAGAAUGAAUCCAAAAAAAUUUAACAAUUUAAGUUAUAUAUAUCAACAUAAGAUAAAUUCCUAGUAUAAUCCCUUUUUUCUUAUUAAUCUAUUUUUCUCAACCAAAAAAUAUAGUUAUUUUUAGUGAUGUAUUUCAUUUAAUAAAAACUAAAGGCAAUUAGAAUAUGUUUGUGUUUGAUAUUGUGUUUUCAUAUUUAUUUAGGUGCUUUUUAAAAUUGUGUUUGUCUUAUAAAAACAUUAAAUUAAUGUUUUUUAAUAUUUUUUAAUGAUUUUAAUGUACUAGUAUUAAAAAUAAAAAAAUAUUUUAAUACAUUUUUUUAAAAAAUCACUUUUAAAAAUAACUUUGCCCCAUGAUAUACUAGCUAAGCAUGCACUAAAUAUCGAAUAGACUCUGAAGAUCCAAAAUACUAAGCUUACAAGGGCAUAAGUUUUUAAAGAAAUUGAGUCUUUCAAUAAGGCCCUUCUAUAAAAGUAGUGUCGACAAUCGACAUAUCAUGAAUAAACCGAAUGAUUUGUGUGGCAGUGUGCUUAAAGAGAUUUAUUUCCACACAGCAUAAUUUUUAAAAGCAAAAGAGAUUGGAAUCAAUAUCCCAAAAGGUUGGCUGGGAAAGCAGUUCGUGACCCGUUUGAAAAUUUGAUUUUUUGAAAAUUAAUUUUUUUAUGUUUUUGAAUUGUUUUGAUCAUAUAUUUAUAUCAAAAAUAAUAAAAAAUUAUUUUAAUACAUUUACAAGCAAAUUAUUUAAAAAUAUAUAUAUAAAUACUACCCAUUCUUAAACUCCCUUAAUAGGAGAGAAUUGGUGUUUGUGAUAGGAGAAAAUCAAAGUUGGACUGUUUGUUAUAAAAAUAUUAAAAUUCAAGAUUUUAAACUCAAUUUAAUAUGAAUUUCUUUUUGUUUUUCUUUAAUUAGAUUCAGUUAAUAGUGUGGUGGCUAAGUUCUGUUUUUUUAAAAAAACAAUGAGAAUUUAUAAUAUUUAAUUUAAGAGCUUUAUAGUUAUUAGUUUGAAAAUAAUAAUAAUUUUUGUAUAUAAUUAGAUAUUUUUUAUUGAUUUUUUUUACAUGCUAGUGAGGACAUAAAAUGUUAUCAUAAAUCAUAAUUUCUUAAAAAAAUAGAAAUAAAAUGAUUAAACUAUACAUAUAAUGAUCAAGGUUCAACGUAAUUACUUUUUAUUGUAUGUAAAAUGUCCUUAUUUACUUCUAAAAAAUAGAUGCUUGACUUGAGAAUUCAUUACAAAACAUGAAUCAACUCAAUUGUGAUGUCUGUGGCCCAACCCCUGCUCUUGACAGGAAGGUGCCUCCGCUGACUGCUGCCCAGUGCGCGUUCGAUAUCCCUUUCAUUUCUCUUUUUGCUUUUUCUCCUCCGAAACUCCAUCUUCUUUACAGUGUAAGAAAAAGAUCCGUAAGAAAAUCCAGGAAACUUACCGGUACGAGUUCUUGACCUAAAGAAACCGGAAAAAAUUCGAAGUCAUUGGAAUAAAAAGAAAGAAAGGGCUUUGGAAGUUGGUUGCUAAGAUACCAGAAGUAGAAAAAAUAUUGGGUUUGCACUUAGUGUUCAAUUAAGUUAUGGUGGCUACAUUAUCCAAGAGGUUGGAUUCAGUUUUGUUAUACAAGCACUAGCUAGUAUAUUAAAAAUUAUAAAUCAAUAAUAACAACAACAUUAUUAUUAUUAUUAUUAUUAUUAAUGAAGAUUAAAAUUAAUAAAGAAAUAAAAGACCAUGAUGUUUUACUAUAGAUAGAUCGAAGCCUACAUGUAUUUUUUUAUUGUUAAUAGAAGAAUUGAUGCAUGUGAUAUCAAGAAUUAUAUACAAAAAUAAAUAGAAUAUAAUAUUGAUGUAAAGUGAAGACUAAAUCAAGAAAAACUGAAAGAUAAAUAUAAUUUAAAAUAUUUGAACGACUUUUGCUUUUUUGCAGACUUUAUCAAGGUUUUUGGUUUCCUAAUUUUGACCAACUGAACGAGUUUGUUUUGAAUUGAUUAUUGGUUUUUUCAAAAAAUUAUUGUUCCUGGUUUGGUGAAUUUCUUAGAUCUAUAUUUGUUAAGGAAACAAAUAUGUAAUUAUGUGCUGUAAAAUAUUUCUUUUCCUAUUGCAGUAUAGAUUUUCUAUUGCAGUAUAGAUUUCCAGAAUAGCUUAGCACAAUUAUAGGAAACAACUCUUGUAUAAAGUUACGUUCUCUAAUUCAAUGAAUUAAUUCAUUCAGGCAAAUAUUCUUUUUCUCUUUCUUACAUGGUAUCAGAGCAAGGUUGACAUACCCUAGCUCUCUGUUUUUUUUGCCGUCUCAAUUCUCUUUUGCUUUGCCGCUACUCAUCAUCAUGGAGAGUGAGCAAUCUUCAAAAGAAGGCAAGAACAAUGCCUUCGAUCCCUUUUUCCUCUACCAUUCUGACCAUCCAGGAUUGAUGCUUGUUUCCAAGCCUCUCACCGGCGAUAAUUAUUCAACUUGGUGCCGAUCCAUGACCAUCUCUUUAAAUGCCAAAUCUAAAUUGGGUUUUAUAGAUGGUACAAUAGCAAUGCCGUCUGCCAAGAGCCAACCAGAUGCUCAUGCUUCAUGGAGAAAGUGCAACGAUAUGAUUCUAUCAUGGAUCCUUAAUUCAAUCACACCGGAUCUUGCAGAUAGUGUGAUCUAUUCAACUACAACCUAGGAGGUUUGGGAAGACCUUCGGGAUCGUUUUUCUCAGAGUAAUGCCCCUCGUAUUUUUCAGAUUGAGAGGGAUAUCGCUUGUCUCUCCCAAGCUCAGAUGACUGUUGCAGCCUACUAUACGAAGCUGAAAGGAUUAUGGGAUGAACUGGGUUCCUAUAACGGAACCAUUUGCUCUUGUGGGGCAGAUCAUAAACGACGCCAGUUGAUGCAAUUUCUCAUGGGUCUAAAUGAAUCCUACAAAGCAAUCAGAGGGCAAAUCUUAUUGAUGAAUCCGUUACCUGAUGUUCGCCAAGCUUACUCUUCCAUCGUUCAAGAAGAAAAGCAGCGCAGCUUAUGUGACAUACAUGAGACAACUGAAACUGCAGCCAUGGCAGUUCAAAGAAAUGAACCCACAGCCUUGGCUGUUCAACCAGGACACGGUUUUUCCCACUCCAAUUCCUCUAACCGCAAGCCAUUGCACUGCUCAUAUUGUGAUAAUGAUCAUCAUGUACGAGACACAUGUUAGAAGUUGCAUGGGUAUCCACCAGGUCAUCCAAAACAUAAAUCAACUCGAUUCAAUCGCAAAGGCAGUCGUUCUCAGUUUGAAAAUUCCGCUCAGUCUUCAGCCAAUCAUGUUAAGGAAGGACCAGCACUACAGGAAAUGCAGUCCGUGAUGAAUGGACUUUCUGAUAUACAAUUUCAGCAGAUAUUAUCUAUUAUGAACAAUAAGGGGACAAAUCAAUCCUCCAAUCCUAAGGGCAAUGCUGCUGGUACUUCUUCAGGUUUGUCACAAACAUCAUUGCGCCUCCAUCGAUUGGUCCUCGAUAGUGGUGAAACUGAUCAUAUUACCUCUUCUCCGAAUUUGCUUAUUAAUAGUCGUCAGAACACUAUUUUACCGCCAAUUAUUAUGCCAAGUGGAGAACAGGCCCCAAUCACAUCUAUUGGAACUUUACCCUUGAACUCUGUUAUUUCUCUUAAAAAUGUGCUUGGUGUGCCAUCUUUUAAGGUGUAUUUGAUGUCUGUGAGUAAAGUUACAAGAGGUCUCAAUUGUUCCGUAACCUUUUUUCCUUAUUGGUGUAUUUUGCAGGACUUGACGACAAAGACGACGAUUGGUUUGGGUAAACAACGAGGUGGACUUUAUUACUUAACCGCAUUGGCAUCAACCACACCGAGACCUACAAUCAAAUCCUCUGCUGCCAUUGCUAGUCGACCAUCUUGUUCUCAUGUCGUCUCCUCCACCGACUUAUGGCAUCGCUGAUUAGGGCAUCUAUCUUCCUCUAGAUUAGAUUUUAUGGCAAAAAAUUUACUCCAUUUCCCUUUCCAAUUCAAAAAUGCUUGUGAAGUUUGUGCACUUUCCAAGCAAUGCUGACUUCCCUUUUCUGCUAGUUCAAUUUCAUUUGUUAGAUCUUUUGAGUUAAUACAUUGUGAUAUUUGGGGGCCCUACAAAAUUCCUUCUCUUUCUGGUGCAAAGUAUUUUUUGACAAUUGUGGAUGAUUAUUCUCGAUUCACAUGGGUAUUCUUUAUGCAGCACAAAAAUGAAACACAACAUUUACUUACAACUUUUUUCUCUUUUGUCAAAACCCAAUUUAAUACUUCCAUCGCCAAUAUUCGAGUCGAUAAUGGGGGGGGGAAUUCUUUUCUAUGCGUGAUUUUUUUCGACAAAAUGGCACCAUUUAUCAACACUCUUGUGUUUAUACACCCCAACAAAAUGGGGUUGUCGAACACAAACAUCGUCAUAUCCUUGAGUCAGCCCGUGCCCUUCGUUUUCAAGCCCAUCUUCCUUUGUGUUUUUGGGCAGAAUGUGUUCUUACUGCUGUCCAUUUGAUUAAUCGUUUGCCUAUAACACUUCUUUCCCAGCAAACUCCUUUUGAACAACUUUAUGGCAAGGUUCCCUCUUAUUCCCAUCUUAAGGUUUUUGGUUGUCUUGCAUAUGCUACUGUUGUGCAUGUCUCUCAUAAAUUCGCUCCUAGAGCCACACGUUGUGUUUUCCUUGGUUAUCCGGUCGGCCAAAAAGCUUACAAACUUUAUGACCUUACCACUCAUAAAAUUUUCACUAGCCGUGAUAUUGUUUUUCAUGAGCAUAUUUUUCCUUUUGAGUCCCCUCCAUCCAUACCUACACCCACUGUACCUGUCCUCCCUCAUUUUAUUUCUGACCCUCCUCUUUCCGACACCUUCCCCACCAUCUCCACCACACCAUUAGAAUUUGUCCAUUCCGUCACCCCUUUCGACCUGACCCUGCCAGAUUCACCUUUCGCGUCUCUGCCUCCAGCCACUUCCACCUUUGCUCCACCCGUUCCUGACAGCCUCGUUCAACCCCCUUCUUUCAUCACUCCAGUGCAACCCUUACAUCGUUCUCAACGACAUCAUAGUCCUCCUCGUGCUUUACGUGAUUAUGUCUGCAACCACGUGACAUCUCCCAAACCAUCCCUGCCUUCAUUGUCUAGUUCCACUAAAGGUAUGCAAUAUCCUCUUUGUAACUUUAUCUCUUACCAUCGUUACUCACCACAACAUCAUUCUUUUGUUGCUACCAUCAGUCAGGAUGUUGAGCCCCGCUCAUACACAGAAGCCGCUUCCCAUUCACAAUGGCAAGCCGCAAUGCAAUCUGAAUCGGCAGCUUUAGCAGCCAACCACACUUGGUCUCUCACUCCUCUCCCUCCUGGAAAACAACCGAUUGGAUGUCGCUGGGUUUAUAAAAUCAAACGUCACUCGGAUGGCACCAUAGAGCGUUAUAAAGCUCGUUUGGUGGCCAAGGGUUAUACACAGUUGGAAGGUAUCGAUUAUCAUGACACUUUUUCUCCCACUGCUAAAAUGCUUACUGUCCGUUGUUUAUUAGCUCUGGCAGCUGCCCAGGAUUGGUCCCUUCACCAGCUCAAUGUCAACAACGCUUUCCUUCAUGGUGAUCUCCAUGAAGAAAUUUAUAUGUGUCCGCCUCCUGGUCUUCAGCGACAGGGGGAGAACUUGGUAUGUCACCUCAAUAAGUCGUUGUAUGGUUUAAAGCAAGCUUCCCGUCAAUGGUUUGCCAAAUUCUCUACAGUUAUUCAAGAUGCUAGAUAUGUUCAGUCCAAAGCAGACUAUUCGUUGUUCACAUGUCGAAAUGGCAAGUCCUUUACCGCUUUGUUGAUAUACGUUGAUGAUAUUCUUAUUACAGGUAAUGAUCUCAAGGCUAUAUCAACUCUAAAGCAAUUUUUGCAUAGUCGUUUUCGAAUUAAAGAUUUGGGUGCUUUGAAAUAUUUUCUGGGCAUUGAGGUCUCUCGGUCAAAGAAAGGUAUUUCUAUCUCACAGCGGAAAUACACUUUGGAAAUUCUAAAGGAUGGUGGAAUUUUAGGUGCUAAACCUGUGAACUUUCCCAUGGAGCAAAACACAAAACUCUCAGAUGUAGGUAAAUUGCUUAGAGAUCCAUCCCAGUAUAGGCGACUUGUGGGACGCCUAAUUUAUUUGACUAUUACUCGACCGGAUAUCAUGUAUUCUGUACAUGUAUUAAGUCGACUCAUGCAUGCACCACGUAAACCACAUAUGAAAGCUGCCAUGCGUGUGUUGCGUUAUUUGAAAAAUGCUCCAGGACAGGGUUUGUUUUUCCCUUCUCAAAAUGAUUUGUCUUUGCCAGCUUUUUGUGAUUCAGACUGGGCUGGUUGUCCAAUGCACUACGGACUAUUAUGUUUUUUUGGGAUCUUCACUUAUUUCUUGGCGAACAAAAAGGCAGAAACCAGUGUCACUCUCCUCAACAGAAGCCGAAUAUAGAGCCAUGGCCGAUACAUGCUAUGAGUUAUCUUGGUUAUGUUCAUUGUUGAAAGAUUUACGAAUAUUGCAUUCAAAACCAACAUUGCUACUUUGUGAUAACAAAGCAGUCUUACAUAUAACAUCCAAUCCUGUUUUCCAUGAAAGAACCAGACACAUAGAAAUGGAUUGCCACUUUAUUCGAGACAAAAUACAGGAUGGUUCGAUUGUGACCAAAUUUGUUACUUCAGCAAAUCAACUUGCGGAUGUAUUCACUAAACCAUUGGGUAAGGAAAAUUUCUCUACCAUGAUUCGCAAGUUAGGAGUUCUCAAUAUUCACUCUUCAACUUGAGAGGGAGUGUUAAGGAAACAAAUAUGUAAUUAUGUGCUGUAAAAUAUUUCUUUUCCUAUUGCAGUAUAGAUUUUCAGAAUAGCUUAGCACAAUUAUAGGAAACAACUCUUGUAUAAAGUUACGUUCUUUGAUUCAAUGAAUUAAUUCAUUCAGACAUAUAUUCCUUUUCUCUUUUCUCACAAAAUUGGAUAGAUCCGGAACAUGAACACCCCUGGUAAUCACCUUGGCUUUAACUUCAACCACCCAAUUACCUCAAAAUUGCAAUCACAUCAGGCACAUGGCGUUGCAUUCGCAUUCAUCCCCUGACUAUGAAAUGGAUUUCCUGGAAAUUGAUCUCCUUGGUAUGCAGGAACCCUAAUUAAAUGAAAUGGAUUUCCUGGAAGUUGAUCUCCUUGGUCUGCAGGAACCCUAAUUAAAUGAAAUGGAUUUCCUGGAAAUUGAUCUCCUUGGUCCCCAGCCUAUUUUCUCCGAGACCGUGUAACAUGUUGAAAAACUGAAAGAUAAAUAUAAUUUAAAAUAUUUAAUCUCUUGUAACCAAAAAAUUAAUUUUCAUCAUUCAUGCACUUUUGACUAAAUUUUUCUUUUGCUUUUUUUAUGCUGUCCCAUUGAGAUGAUCUCUUAUGCUCUUUUAUGUGAAUUGAAAUUAGAUUAGAUGCUUAUAAUUGGUUCAUCUCAUUUUUAUUUUUAUUUUAUUUUUGAAAAGUAAACUUCCUUUAGUUAGAUAGUUUUUUCUUGGCUAUUUUGUUUUGCAUGGUUUAAUCUUUUUUUUUCUUUGAUUAUCCUUGCUGAUAAUAUCAAAUCAUCCCUUUUUUUGCAGACUUUUUCAAGGUAUUUAGUUUCCUGAUUUUGACCAAACUAGACCAGUUUGUUUUGAAUUGGUUUUUGGUUUUUUCUAGAUUUGUUUUUCAAAAAAUUAUUGUUCCUAGUUUGGUGAAUUUUUUCUCCGAGACCGUACAACCAAGAUACUGUUUGAUUUAAUUUUGUUUUUUGAAUUUUUUGGAUUUUAUAUUUUUUUUUUGAAUUCUUAGCUAUCUUUCCGUUUUGUUUUAGGAUAAUAAUUUUCUUACUAUGUUAAGGUCAAUUUCACGCCUAUAUAAAGACUUGUAAAUAUCCAGAGAGACAAAAGUUAUCAAUUCAUUAUUUCAGAAAUAAAAAUAAUAUCUUAGAGUUCUUCCUGUUUUAAUAAAAAAGUUAUCCUUGUAGGGCUUUCAACUAUAUCAAAAAGUCUACCCAUAAUUUUCAUUAAUUGUAUUUAAGAAAGGAGUUAUAGUUUGACUCACGAUGAUGAGGGAUGAAUGUUCUUUAUAGCAUACUUAAAGCUAUUUUGAAAACAUGACCUUUGAGUUUUAGAUAAUUAGACUCGGUUAAGAGGGUGGUGGCUUAGUUUUUUUUUUUUUUUUAUAUAAAAAAUCAAUGUAAAAUUUAUAAUAUUUAAUAUAAGAGCUUUAUAAUUAUUAGUUUGAAAAUAAUAAUAAUUUUGUAAAUUAUUAGAUGUUUUUUGUUGAUAUUUUUGAAAAUAAUAAUAAUUUUAUAAAUUAUUACGUGUGUUAGGGAGGACAUAAAUUGUCAUCAUAAAAUAUAAUUUCUGAAAAAAUAAAGAUAAAAUAACUAAACUACACAAUGAUCAAGUAAUUUCUCCUUUUUAAAAAAAUAUCAUAGAAACUUUUUAUUGUAUCUAAAAUGUCCUAAUUUACUUUUUGAAAAAGAUAGUCAUAGGAAAAACUUUAAAGAUUAGAGAAAUAAACAUGAUUAUUUAAUUUAAUUUUGUUUUUGAGUUUAUUUUCUUAAAAAUAUUUCUAUAAAUUCUUAUUAUUUUCAUUUUAACUAUUUUUAUCUAGACAAUAAUUAAGGGCGUUAUAUGUAUUAGAAUAUGUUCCUAUAAAAUCGCCAAAUUUUUAAAUAAUUCUUACAAUUUUACAGUACUUCGCACGAUUUUUGUGAUUCACCUUAGAACUUUUGCAUGCACAUAUUAAUACACGGUUUAUGGUGUUUUUUUCACGGUCAGUUUUAAAAUUUUGUUGGAAAGUUCUUGGAAUGCAAAAAUAUUUAUGUUAAAUAAUAUGGACUUGAUAAUUCAUUAAAAAAUAUGAAUCACUCAAUUGUGUGGCCCUGCUCUUGACAGAAAGAUCCGUAAGAAAAUCAUUGGAAACUUACCAGUACGAGUUCUUGACCUCAAGAAACCGGAAACAAUUCGAAGUCAUUGGAAUAAAAAGAAAGAAAAGGGCUUUGGAAGUUGGUUACUAAGAUACUAGAAGAAGAAAAAAUAUUGGGCUUGGCUGGAUCUUGUGCCUCUUUAGUCAACACUUACCACACGGUUUGUUUCGUCUAGAUUCGUGAAAUACUCGUUGAAAUUUGGUGUUUUCUGAUUUCUAAGUAGAAUAUAAAUGUUCCAGCUUGAAAUUGCUAAUUGGUAGAUUUAAUUGCCGAAUUUCUUGAUCUUACCUUCUGUUUCAUGUUUGACCACAGGAGCAGGCCUUACACAAAAUAGCGUGGAAAGCAAUUGCUGAACCAAGCGAGGUAGUUGAGGCCAGAAGGGAUCGGUACUAGUUUAUCGCUAUAGGGAUUUUCAUGGCUUCCAGCAGCGUGCAAGGAAUAACCUCAUCUUCAUCUCCUCCUCCUCCACUAUAUAUGCAUGAUGUGUUCCUUAGUUUUAGAGGCAAAGACACCCGGAACAACUUUACUAGCCAUCUAUAUUCUAAUCUGACACAGAGAGGCAUCAAGGUAUACAGGGAUGACAGCGAGCUCGAGAGAGGAAAGACCAUCGAACCUGCUCUCUGGAAGGCCAUCGAAGAAUCAAGGUUUUCUGCCAUUAUAUUUUCAAGAGAUUACGCUUCUUCACCAUGGUGCCUGGAUGAACUUGUCAAGAUUGUUCAGUGCAUGAAAGAGAAGGGGCAAACUGUUCUGCCAGUUUUUUAUGAUGUGGAUCCCUCAGAGGUAGCUGAGCAGAAAGGGAAAUAUAAAAAAGCCUUCGUUAAGCAUGAACAAAAUUUCAAGGAAAACUUGGAGAAGGUCCGGAACUGGAAAGAUUGUCUCUCUAUGGUGGCCAAUCUAUCUGGCUGGGACGUACGGAAUAGGUAAAUCAUCUAUCUACUUAUUUUUAUUCUUAAAAUCUCCCUGUAUUGUUUCAAUGAUGAACAUAGCUUCUUCUUUUUCUUUUUUUAAUGUUUUUCAAUUGAAACAUGUGAUUAAAUAUCAAAAUAAUCACAAUACAACAAGAAUAUCAAAACUAAUUCUUGAAUUAAAAAAUUGUUAGUAUAUAUUUUUAAUCCAUUAAAUAGCUAUUUGUCUAUGAUCAGACUAGUUUUUCUUUAAUUUUGACUUUUAAAAUAAAAGAGGAGCACGUCUCAAAUUUCUAUGGUCACAGUUUUUUAGAAAAAAAAUUGAAUACAAAUUAAAACAAUUCUCAAAUUUCUUGCUAUUUUUUCAUUUAUUUACCAAUGAAAAUCGUUUGUUUGUUUUUUUUAAUCUUUUUUGAAUGUUUUGUUUACACUAGAAAAAUUAUUUUUCAAUUUAUUAUAUAUUCUUCAUCGCAAAAAUCAAUUAGCAAAUGCUUUAGUACUGUUCUUUGAGUUUUGUUAAUCAAAAGAUGGUAAAUAAUAUUGAAUGAAUGAUAAAAUUAUGGAUUUGUUGAUGAAACACUUAGUAGUAAAUGUAUAUUUUUUUCAUAUGCAUGCUUUUUUUUAAUUUAAUUUUUAUGAAAUCUUGAUCUUAUGUGAUCAAGCGCCCAUUUCUAAUCUUUAUGUAAAAUUUCUUUCUUUUCUUCGGUUUUUCUUUAUAUUUAAAAAAAAUAUAUAUUAGAUAGAAAAAUGAAAAUGUAAAAAAACGUUGAAAAAAAAUCUAGCAUGAACAAAUAAAAAGUUAGCUUAAAAACAUAAAAAUUGUGAAGAAAACAAAUUCAUCAUAAGAAAUAAAAAAUUGACUAAAUGUUUUGAAUAUAUUGGUUUUAGCUUUUCAAAAUAAAAUAAAAAGAUUUUCCAUCAUGAAUUAGAAAAUUCCAACUAUUUAUAAAUAAAAGAGACAAAUUUAUUUAUAAUUUUUUUGUGAAUAUUUUUAAUUUUAUGUUUUUCUUUUUAAUUUGGAAUCAAAAUUUGAUAGGUGUCUUUUUGUUAAAAAAAAUGAAUAUAAAAUUAGCUUGUUAAUUUGGACAGGGAAUUUCUAUUAUUUAAUUGAGUUUAUUGGGGCAUUUUUAUAAAAAUAUCAAUAUUACAAAGAAAUUUUUAGUAUGAUUAGAAUACUUUUUUCUGAUUCUAUUUUAGAAUAAUAGAGGACAACUAUAUCAAUUGUAUUAACAAAAACUUAAAGCCUAUUGGAAAAGUACAGUAAAAAUAUUUUGAUUUACAUGAAUUUACUAUUUUUUUCAUUCUAAAAAAUAUAAACUAUUUAUUAGGGAUAAUAAGGUCUUUUAUGGUCAUUGUAGAUAUGAUAGGGGCAGUUAGGUAUUUUUAAAUUUUUUAUAUGAUAUAAUUACAUAGUUGCCCUUAAAAGCAAAAAACAAAAUUAGAUUCUAAAAGCUUUUUUGAAAUUUUACUUUUCACAUCACAAUAAAAUGAAUCUAUAGCCUUUAAAAUAAAAACUUUCUUAAAUUGCCUUCAAGGGAUUAUUCAUAUUUUUAUUUUUAGUUUUUGUUUUUAAUAAUAAUAUCAUAAUAUCAUUUUAUAGACAGUUUAGUAUUUUAAUAAAUAAAUAAAUAUAUAUAAAAAAGAAAUGUGAUUGACGCAUCUAUAAAACACGCAAACGAGUAAGUCCUCCUGCCUUAUAAGCAGCUUGUGAAUGACUUACCUAUUCCGUACGUCAAUCACAUUUGCAUUUGCUUUUUGGUCUGUGAAAACCAAACUUGAUGGAUAUUUUAUUUCCUAGCUUUUGUUCUUGUAUGCAUGCUUCUGUAGUAUCUGUGUGAUUCUAUAGGCAAUAAGAUAGCUAUUGUACGGAUCAUUCUUAGCAUCAAUACAAUCCUAGUUCUGUUUUCAGUUUAUUCUUUCCUUUUCCUCUCUGUUCUUGAAGCUAUCUAUUAUCACGACGCUAUCUUUCUCUAUACUAAUUUCCGACUAAAAGCCAUACAUUUUCGGGGUAUAAUAUGCUAAUGUUUAUUUUUCCAUUAUCACUAUCUAAUUUGAUUUCUGCACGCUGCAUGAUUAAUGUUUUGCACUCUCCUGUGCAGGGAUGAAUCGGAAUCAAUUAAAGCAAUUGCUGACUGCAUAUCGUACAAACUAAGCCUCACUCUGCCAACAAUUAGCAAAGAAUUAGUUGGAAUAGAUUCUCGUCUAGAGGUAUUAAAUGGUUAUAUAGGUGAAGAAACUGGCGAAGCAAUCUUCAUAGGGAUUUGUGGAAUGGGUGGCAUAGGUAAGACGACUGUUGCAAGGGUACUAUAUGAUAGGAUUCGUCGGCGAUUUGAAGGCAGCUGCUUCUUAGCAAAUGUCAGAGAAGCUUUUGCUGAGAAAGAUGGACCACGCAGUUUACAGAAAAAACUUCUUUCUGAUAUCUUAAUGGAACGUGAUAUUAAUAUAUGUGAUUCUUCUACAGGAAUUGAAAUGAUAAAGCAGAAGUUACAACGUAUAAAGAUUCUUGUUGUUCUUGAUGAUGUAAAUGACCGUAAACAACUAGAAUACCUGGCUAAGGAGCCUGGAUGGUUUGGUCCAGGGAGCAGAAUUAUCAUAACAAGCAGAGAUACAAAUGUGUUAAUUGGAAAUGAUGAUACUAAAAUUUACGAGGCUGAGAAAUUGAAUGAUGAUGAUGCUCUUAUGUUAUUUAGCCAGAAAGCUUUCAAAAAUGACCAGCCUGCUGAAGGUUUUGUGGAACUAUCCAAGCAAGUUGUGGAUUAUGCUAAUGGCCUUCCACUAGCUCUUGAAGUUAUAGGUUCGUUUUUGUAUGAAAGAAGUAUCCCUGAAUGGAGAGGUGCAAUUAAUAGAAUGAAUGAGAUUCCUGACUGCAAAAUUAUUGAUGUGCUUCGCGUUAGUUUUGAUGGCCUCCAUGAAUCAGAUAAGAAAAUAUUUUUAGACAUUGCAUGUUUCCUGAAGGGGUUUAAAAAAGAUCGAAUAACAAGGAUACUUGAAAGCCGAGGAUUCCAUGCAGGUAUUGGAAUACCAGUUCUUAUUGAGAGAUCUCUUAUAAGUGUCUCUCGGGAUCAAGUCUGGAUGCAUGAUUUGUUACAGAUAAUGGGUAAGGAAAUUGUUCGUUGUGAAUCCCCUGAAGAGCCUGGAAGGCGUAGUAGAUUGUGGACAUACGAGGAUGUCUGCCUUGCACUGAUGGACAACACAGUGAGUAGCUGAUAGAGAACAUUAUCCAUAAGAUUUCAUAAAGUUUAUUUUAAUUUACGCUCCAUCUCGACAAAUCUCUACUUUGUAUUUGUUUUUUACUUGUAUUCCCUUUCGGUUGACAGGGAAAAGAAAAAAUAGAAGCCAUAUUCUUGGACAUGCCUGGAAUAAAAGACGCACAAUGGAACAUGGAAGCCUUCUCUAAAAUGAGCAAACUAAGAUUGCUCAAAAUCAACAACGUGCAGCUUUCUGAAGGACCUGAAGAUCUUUCCAAUAAGUUACGAUUUCUUGAAUGGUAUUCUUACCCUUCAAAAUCAUUGCCAGCUGGUUUACAAGUGGAUGAGCUAGUUGAACUUCACAUGGCUAACAGUAAUCUUGAUCAAUUAUGGUAUGGGUGUAAGGUGAGAUCAACUAAUUUAAGGGCCUUUGUAUUUCGUUUUAUCAUUUUCCUAUAUGUGUAUGAUAGUAGCAUCCGCAUUUUUUCUCCCUUGCCUGAUUGCAGAGUGCACUUAAUUUGAAAAUCAUCAAUCUCAGCUACUCACUAAACUUGUCCAGGACUCCAGAUCUUACUGGAAUUCCAAAUCUUGAGAGUCUGAUUCUUGAAGGUUGUACAAGUUUGUCUGAGGUCCAUCCAUCACUUGGAAGUCACAAGAAUCUUCAAUAUGUGAAUCUUGUGAAUUGCAAAAGUAUUAGGAUUCUCCCAAGCAACCUUGAAAUGGAAUCGCUUAAAGUUUUCACUCUUGAUGGCUGCUUAAAACUUGAGAAGUUUCCAGAUGUAGUAAGAAACAUGAACUGUUUGAUGGUGCUUCGUUUGGACGAGACUGGUAUUACAAAACUAUCUUCAUCGAUUCGUCAUUUGAUUGGCUUAGGUCUAUUGAGCAUGAACAGCUGCAAGAACCUUAAAAGCAUUCCGAGUAGCAUAAGUUGUUUGAAAUCUCUUAAAAAACUCGAUCUGUCUGGCUGCUCUGAACUUAAAAAUAUACCAAAGAAUUUGGGGAAAGUUGAAAGUUUGGAGGAGUUCGAUGUAAGUGGAACUUCAAUAAGACAACCGCCAGCAUCUAUUUUUCUUUUAAAGAGUCUUAAAGUAUUAUCUUUUGAUGGAUGCAAAAGAAUAGCUGUGAAUCCCACGGAUCACAGGUUGCCUUCUUUGUCGGGUUUGUGUUCUUUAGAAGUACUGGAUUUAUGCGCUUGCAAUCUAAGAGAAGGGGCACUUCCUGAAGAUAUUGGCUUCUUAUCUUCUUUGAGGUCUUUAGAUCUGAGCCAGAAUAACUUUGUUAGCCUGCCUCAAAGCAUAAAUCAGCUUUUUGAACUGGAAAGGCUUGUCUUGGAGGAUUGCUCGAUGCUUGAAUCAUUGCCUGAGGUUCCAUCAAAAGUUCAAACAGUAAAUUUGAAUGGUUGUAUAAGCCUAAAAGAAAUUCCAGAUCCGAUAAAGCUAAGCAGUUCCAAAAUCUCAGAGUUCCUCUGUCUUAACUGCUGGGAAUUGUACGAGCAUAAUGGCCAAGACAGCAUGGGGUUGACCAUGCUUGAAAGAUACCUCAAGGUCUUCUCUUAAUCAUACCCCAACCUUUUUGUAUCGCUCUCCCUCUCCCGCUAUCUAUCUAACAUUUUGGUUUUUCAUGGUACAGGGUUUGUCUAAUCCAAGACCUGGAUUUGGUAUCGUUGUUCCUGGAAAUGAAAUUCCAGGCUGGUUUAACCAUCGAAGUAAGGGAUCUUCAAUUAGUGUGCAAGUGCCUAGUUGGAGCAUGGGGUUUGUUGCGUGUGUUGCAUUCAGUGCAAAUGGAGAAAGUCCUUCUCUCUUUUGUCAUUUCAAAACCAAUGGAAGAGAGAAUUAUCCUUCGCCGAUGUGUAUUAGUUGUAACUCUAUCCAAGUUCUGUCAGAUCAUAUUUGGCUAUUCUAUCUAUCUUUUGAUUACCUUAUAGAGCUUAAAGAAUGGCAGCAUGGAUCCUUUAGCAACAUUGAGUUGUCAUUUCAUUCUUCCCAGCCAAGAGUAAAGGUGAAGAAUUGUGGUGUCUGUUUGUUAUCUUCUCUAUAUAUUACAUCACAACCAUCUUCUGCCCAUUUUAUUGUUACAAGCAAAGAAACAGCUUCUUCAUAUAAAGCUUCUUUAACUCUCUCUUCAUCGUACCAUCAUUGGAUGGCCAGUGUUUUCCCUGACAUCAGAGUCGCAGACACUAGUAAUGCUAUCACCUAUUUAAAGUCAGAUCUAGCUCGGAGAGUCAUUAUCUCAUUGAACGUAAAGGCAAUUAGAUCAAGACUUUUUAAGGCCAUUGAAGAAUCAGGGCUGUCAAUUGUUAUAUUUUCAAGAGAUUGUGCUUCUUUACCUUGGUGCUUUGACGAACUUGUCAAGAUUGUCGGAUUCAUGGAUGAGAUGAGAUCGGACACUGUGUUUCCAGUUUCGUAUGAUGUCGAACAAUCAAAGAUAGAUGAUAAAAAAGAGAGUUACACAAUUGUCUUUGAUAAGAUUGGAAAAAAUCUCAGGGAAAACAAGGAGAAGGUACAAAGAUGGAUGGAUAUUCUCAGUGAAGUUGAGAUUUCAUCUGAAUUGAGUUCAUCGGAAAGGUAAUAAUUACUUCUUUUUUGUGUGUGUAGCUCGACUUAUCAACCACUUCAAGUAAAUGAAACUUGGAAUGCUGAAAUAUCAAAUUUCAGAACUUAAUGUUAACAAAUCUGCACCGUGCAAGGUUCAGUACACAAUGGGGUUACAAGUAUUUUUUUCAAGGUAGAUUAUGAAUUUAAGAAAAAUUAAUAUUAAACUUAGUUGAGUUUAUGGUCUGGAUUAACCCGACAUGUUUUACUAUGGACGAUAUUGUUUACUUUAAUUUUUUUUUAGGUUUGUUAUAAAUUCAAAGGGAGAAAAAUAUUGAACCGGUUGAGUGUAUUAUCCAGGUCACAAGUUUGUUUUUAAAGGUUGAGUAUAAAUUUUUUUAAAAAAAUUUCAACCUAGUUGAGGAUUUUUUAUAAAGAUUGAGUUUUUUUAUGGUGUUGUGUAUUUUUAAUUUUUUAAUUUGUUUUUUUUAAGUUUAAUAUAAAUUUAAGAGAAAACAAUUAUUGAACCUCGUUGAAUUCAUGGUUCGAAUCACAUAUUUAAUUUUUUUAAGGUUUAAGGAAAAAAAUAUUGAAGCCGAUUGAGUUCAUGAACUGAGUUACGGGUUUAACGAGUUAAGCCACAAUAACCAGAUAAUUUUUUUUUCUAAUGUUGCUUUUUUUUUUAUUGAUAUCUUUUUAUAUAUAUCUUAUUUUAGAUAAUUUUCAAUUUAUGUUUCAAUUAAUAUCACUCAUAUGUGAUUUGUUUUGUUUAUUUAACUUUUUUUUUUAAUAUAAAUUGUUUUUUGAUGGUGUUGUAUGUAUUUGUUUUUAAAUGUUGAAAAUAAAUUUAAGAGAAAACAAUAUAGAGUCUGGUUAAGUUCAUGGUCUGGGUCACAUGUUUAAUUUCUUUUUUGUUAAAGGUUGAAUACAAAUUUAAAAGGAAAACAAUAUUGAACCCGGUUGAGUUUAUGCUCCGGGUCACGGAUUUAACGAGUUAAGCCACAACAACAAAACAAUGUUUUUUUUUUCUGAUAUUGCUUUUUUUUACUGAUAUUUUUUUAUAUAUCUUUUUUAAAAUAUUUUUUAAAUUUAUGUUUCAAUUAAUAUUCCUCAUCUGGUCUGUAAAAGAGCGUCAUCUUAUUUUUUUCACAAACAUCUUGCAACAAAAAAAAAAAAGGUUAGUGGGCGUGGGCCCUAACAAAAUGCGGCAAUUGGGUUGGCUUAACUUAGUAGUCCCAACAACGCCUGACCUUUGCUUUUUUUUUUCUUUUAUAUGUUUUUUUUUUUAAAUUAUAUUUAGAUUAACAUCCCUUCUCUUUUUUUUAUGUUGUUUAGAGAUCCUCUUUGAAAUGAUGGUUAAUUUUUAGUUAUGCAUUUAAUUUUUGAGAAAGUUUUUCUAAUUCAUUUAUAUAUUUUUUAAUUUUUUGUACAGAUGAAAUUUAUUCUUGAAAAUAAAAAUUUUUAUUUUCAAAUAAUAUUUCUAAUAUGUGCAGCCUUGCAUAUUAUUUUUUUUCAUUUUAUUUUAUUCAAUUAAUUUGAUGUGUAUGUCUACUUUUAUUAUCGUUUGAUUGAAUAAAAAACUUGUUUUAAUUAAUAAAUUUAGUAAAUACAAUCACGUAAAUAUCUCGUCUUUCGAAAUUAAAUAUCUUAAUCUACACUAGUUUCUCGAUUUUUCCACUUUUAUGUUUAGUUGUAGUUUAUAGUUGUUGUUUUUUACUUAUUAACACACAUAAUUCUUGAUUUAUUUGAUUAUAUUUAUGCAUAUUUUUUUUUCACUUAGAAUUUUUUAAAUACAAAAACAUGUUGAAAAAAUCUAUCUAUAAAUUUUUUAUUAAAUUUUUUUUUAACACCCAACAAAACAUGUAACAUCGAUUCCAUGUACAGUUUGACUAUAUCUGAGCUGCAGCAGCUGCUCGAGCAGCAGGAGCAGGUGCUCGAGCAGGAGGAGCAGAACCUGCAGCAGGAGGAGCAGCAGUUGCAGCAGUUGCUCGAUCAGCAGGUGCUCCAGCAAUGGCGACGGCAGGUGCUCCAGCCGGAGAGGCGACAGCUGCUCCAGCCGGAGAGGCGGCAGCUGCAGCAGGAGCAGCGGCUGCGGCGGCGGCUGCGGCAGCUCCGUCUGCGGCGGCAGCUCCGGCAGCUCCGGCUGCUCCAGCAGCGGCGGCAGCUCACCGGGUUUUGGUUAGUAAUUAACUUGCUUUAGCUUGAAGUUCUUCGGCAGUUUUUGCUCAUGGUUUUGGUUUGGGGUAAUUAGAUUCACAUUUUACUACCAGUAUAUUAAAAUAAUAUAUAAAAAAACUUAAUUUAAAAUAAAAAAAAUAAACUUAAUUUUUUAAAAAAUAUAUUUUUAAAAUAUAAAAACAAACAAACAAUCUACCCGACAACCUAUUAGAUCAAAUCAUGAGGAAAGGCGGCAUCUUUAAUUUGUUACUUUUACACAAAAGUGUUUGUUUGUUUCUUGGAUUCAAUUUGCCAAAUUCUCAGUUAUUCUUGAAUUAACAUAAAUCUUGCAACUCAAGUUUUGGAUUUUAUAUAUUUCCUUUUAUUUUUUAGUUAAAUAUAUUUUUAUUUUUUUUACUAAACAAACACAACAUACUGUAAAUAUAAAUUCAAAAUAUCUUUACUAUAAUAAAAAAAAUUAAUUUAGUAACAAUUUGUUUUAUAAGCCUGACAAAUUGUCGCUUUUAAAUAGAAUAUGAAUUUUGGAAGGUAUUUCUUUAGUAAUUAAUAAACUUCUAUACUUUUCUCUUAGAUGCACCAACAAUUUUUAUUGUUAAUAGCUUUAUAUUUACAACUAUAUAAACAUAUAAAUAUUAAUAUAUAUAAUCACUUACUCCAAAAUUGGACUUGCUUCGUUUGUAAUUGGCGAAAUAUCAACCCAUGAAGAUUUUAUGGGAAAACCCAGUUUUAUUUUUUUGAGAAAUAGUGGUAGUACUAAUGGGAAUCGGUGUGGUGGAUUUUGUCCAAGAGGGUAUGUAUGUGUAGCUGAGGCAUUGUCAUCAACAGAUGUUGAAGAUAAUGUGUCUGGUGCCGAUGAAGUGCAAGAAUUGCAGCCAGAAAUGAGGAAAGAAGAGGAGCACUUUAGGAGGAGGAGGCUACGUGCUAACCCUGGAAUAGGGUCAAGGAAGCAUAGGGUCUUAAGGAGAAGGCAAGUGAAGAUUGAGGCGGAAGCAUGGGAGCUGGCAACGAAAGAAUAUAAGGAGCUUUUGAAGGAUAUGUGUGAGCAUAACUUGGCUCCUAAUUUGCCAUAUAUGAAGAGUUUGUUCCUUGGUUGGUUUGAGCCUUUUACAGAUGCAAUUGAGCAGGAGGUAAGUAAUUUUUAAUGUUUUAUUUGCUUAUUUUUACUUGCGGUUUGAUUUGUAGACAGAGGAUAAUGAGUGCCCCUAUAAAAAUAUUGAAAGAUAAGAGAAAACAUAAAGUUUCUUAAAUUUACUUUUAGACAACCUUCAUCUGAGGUGAUGAACUAGGAAGAAAGAUGAAGGUUACUAUGUACAAUUAUGAGAUAAAAAUCAGCUAUGGAGCUAGUAGUGCCUGGAAAAUUAGAUUUUGAAGUUACGUUCCGUAAAGUUUUGUCGAAUGUUGAAUGGGGUUUUUCUGGAUUUCUUUUUUAUAUAUCUAUAGUUUUUACUUUCAGUCCAAGUUCUUCUGUUGUUCAUGGUUCCAGGGAAGACACUAAAUGUAGGUACGAAAAACAAUGUAGUGUAAGAUCCUUUAGAUUUUUUACAAUUUUUUCAUUAUGUGUUAAACUUUUCAUAUCACGGGCCUUAUUAGGCUGAAUAUUCUAUUACGCCUUUCUUUAUUGAGCUACAAUUUCUUCAAAGCAUGGGCAUGGUGGACUCAUAAGAGUGACAUUCAACUUUCCUUUGUCAGAGCUCAUCUCAUGUUUCGACAUUGCUUCAUCUAGGAACUCUUCUUCUCCUUGCACUUGUUGUCUCACUAUAGUACCUCGUUGGAUCCUCUGGGUACUCCUGCAUAAUCUCCGUAUGCCCUCGUGCAAUUUAUGUUCUCCAGAUUUAUCUAUACUCCUUGCUUAUGUUUGACAGUAGCUCAUCCUGUCACAACACCUGUCCAAGUCAAAAUAAGGUGUCAAUCUUUAUCCCCUUGCUAUAUUUCUCUUUCAUUAUUAGGAUCUUCAUCAAUUCUCCCCUUGAGAAAUCACAGUCACCGAAUCUAAUUUCUUUGGAGAAAUCACCACUCCAUCAGAUCCUUGAACAUACUGAACCCAACUAUUCCCUUAUGCCGUCAUCUUGCUAGUCUCCAACCGUUUCAUUACAAACUGUUAUAUAUACGAAAAUAGUACCGUAUGGAUAAUCCUUCCACUAAGCAAGUUCCCAGGAAAGAUUGGAGGGGUCACACCGGUCCCGCUUAAAACCCAAUCUCCUAAACAGAACUUCUAAGGCCAUAUCUAUCCAUCGUACUGUCUUUCCGUAUAUACAACCAUUUGCUAGCUUUAUUGCAGCUUUCUUUUACAAGUGAUCUGGAAUAUCUUGGUUCUAUACUUGAUUUCUCAACAUCUGACGAGACUACCAGUGCUUGGAUUCGUCAAGAUUGGUCUUCGUUAAUUUCCACUCUCCACCUCAAAUCAUCCACUUGAUCAGGUGUCCAAAGUGUUCCAAUUUUGCCUUCCUUCAAGGUAACUAAAAAAUCUCCCCGCUUAGCAGUUCAGCACAUGUAAUUGGAUAAACAUGUGAACCUUCUUCUUCUUCAUCUCCAUCGACCACCAUAAUGACCUUCAGAUGCCUCCUAAUCGGGCAAUCUCUCUUAAAAAUUCACCACCACCACUUUUGGUCUCAAUCUCAACGAUCAGACUGUACCAUUGCAUCUAAAACGAUCAAAUUAGCUAGAAACAAGUCUGAAAUCAUCGAAAUCGCAUUUCAGACGGCUAAAAUUUGAUCAAAACAAUUCUGGUCUGAUAAACGGCCCAGAUUCAAUCUCAGAUCCGAUUGCACAUAGAAUCCGCUACACAAGAUCCUAUACCUCGGCUCACGGCUCGACUCCUCUCGGCUCAGCUCUCGGCUGAUGAUGUGGCAGGUGGGUCCCAAUGUGCUGACGUGUUAGCUGACUGGGCGCUGACAUGGCAUGCCAACUGUGCAUGCUGACGUCAUGCUUAUGUCAUCCUUAUCCAGGUCAGUCCCAUGGGUCAAGUCAACUAGUAUUAGGGUUGGGUCAGCCCAUCCGGGCGAAGAAGACGAGUGGCACGCGUGGGGGGCGUCUGCACGCGUGGACAACCACCUCGUCGGCGCGUGUGGCCAUGUCUGACAUCCGAUUUCGAUGUCGUUUUCACCAGUGUGAUCGUCUCUUCCUCUUCUACACAGUGGUAUGGUCAAAACACCAUUUUGACAACUUUCAUUUUUGGGCAAAAAUCAAACACCACUUUAAACCAUGUGCUCUGAUACCAAUUGUUAGGAAUUCUGACUCCUAUGCGCGGACCGGUGAUGUUCUGAUAGUUACCCAUUGUAGGCUUAGCACACUGAGACACAAUAUUUAACGUGGUUCGGCAAAUCGCCUACAUCCACGGGAGAGGUCCAUAUUAUUAGAGAUAGAGAAAGGAUACAUACAAAUACAUGGAGGAGGAGGAUCACUUCACUCAACUCAACUCACAUCUCUCAUUGCUGCACUUGCAGCUACUGUGUAGAAGAGGCUCUGCCUCUCCAUUUCUGUAAUCUCCAUUGGAAGGGAAACUAAUUGUCUUGCAGGUGUUUAUUGAAAACAUGUUGAAUGUGAGAUAUGAGAUGGAAGGGUUUGUCUAGGAUUCUCAAUAAAACAGAGAACAUUGUCUUUAAACAUUAAAGAGCAUUUGCUAAUCACAACCAUGUCUAAUACGGUAAAAUUAACAUUAUUGCCACAGGCAGGAGAAUUUAGGGAUUGCUAUGGAAUUCUUUAUUAUAAUGUUUUUGAUGUUAAAGGGAGAGGUAUACUUCAUGGAAAAGAAUGAUUGGCAGUUAGAGAUAAAAUAUAGAGAAAGAAAAUGUGUUAGGUUUUCUACAAGGAUGUUGUGGUGGAUUAUUUUAGCGCAAGAAAAGACAAGAGUAUAUGUUUGGCAAGUUAGUUAGGAUAUGUUUUUCAUGGACUUUGGUUAAGUUUUUCAUGAAUAGGUGAUCACAAUCCUCAUUGGAAAAACUACACAUGCUUUGGAAUAUGAAGAGGCCUCUAUAGCAGCUUCUGUCAUUCAACCUAUUGCCUUUAAAUCUGAUAAGCUCCCUAGCCCUUUUGGUUGUAAAUUGCCCAUUAGGACUGAGAUUCCUGGACACACUUUCUAUCUACAAAAAGAAAAGAUUUAAACCAGUGAUUGCACUCUGAAUAUCUUUAUUUGAUCAGAUCUAGCAUCAGACGAAAAUCAUUUCAUGAAUUGGUCUUGGGGAAAGAGCACUUUGUUUUCUAGCAAGUUUAUAGUGGGUCUUGGCUCUUUCACUCAAUCAUCAUGCAAAUUGCAGGAGGCACAUUAGCAUAGUCCUCACUAAAAUUAAUUUUAGAUCCUUGUAUACAAAUUUGGAAGAUGCAAAUUCUUCAUACAUGUUCCUUACAUAUGCUACUUUAAUCUGGAAUUUAAUGAGUUUAUGGUUGGAUUCUGGUUCCCAUGUAGUUGUAGCAAGUCUUAACACCACUAUUGCUUCUAGUAACAAAUCAGGACCUGGCAUUUAAGUAGCUUUUUUGGUGUGUUCUAAGCUCUUCUUAGAUAAUUGUGUCAUAGCUCUCUUACUCGUGUCGAGCAUAACCUCAAUGCCCUUUGCAGUUAUGAUAAAGGGCACCUAGGAAUCAGCUACAGCCAGUUUUUGAGGUCUGUACAUAUUAGAUGCAUUGCAUGGUUACUGAUGCGUAUUUUAUUGUUUGAACUAAAUCAUCUUUUGGUACUAACAUGUGAUGUUCUUUGAACAAAAUCUCAUACUGACAAUUUUGUAUACCUUCACAUGCUAUCACGUGUAGAUUUUACCAGCUUAGCUUCUGGUUUAACAAGGAUUCUCUUUUGUUUGAAUUAAUUUUCCAGGCCCUGGAUACACUAGGGAAUACCGAAUGGAGGGUUUGCUCCCUCUGUGGUCUCAGGUUCGAGCCCUGUGGUUGCUCAUAUGAUAGCCACUGGAGGCUUACAUGAUCGUUAACUUCAGGGCCCGUAGGAUUAGUCGAGGUGCGCGCAAGCUGGCCCGGACACCCACGUUAAACUAAAAAAAAAAAAAAGAGGGUACUUAGUGUUGUUGAUAGAAUAUGGAGUAAUGGAGGCUGUCUUGCUGAUUUGGUAGACCACAGUGAUGUGAGUAUCUUUUCUAACUUUCCUCAAUGUAAUUCGUGUUUUUUUUAGAAACUCCUUUACCUUUGUGUUCCAAGAAUUGAUCAUGUAAACACAUCAUACAUGUAAAUAUGAAUACACAAUAUCCAUACCCUAACAAAAAUAUUAAUUUAGUAAUAGUUUUUUUUUAUAAGCCUAACAAAGUGUCGCUUUGGUAGGCAUGCUUUAAAAUAGAAUAUGAAUUUCGGAAGGUAUUUUUUUUAUUAAUUGAUAAACUUCUUUACUUUUCUCUUAGAUGCGCCAACAAUUUUUAUUAUUGAUAUUUACAACUAUAUAAACACAUAAAUACAUAAACAUUAAUAUAUAUAAUCAAUAUCAAUAUUUACACCAAAAUUGAACUUUCGUUUAUAAAUAACAAUGCACCAAGCCUAAAUGUAUUGAGUCUAAUGUUAGCCAGACCUAGACACGGUGGAUCUAGCACUAGCUAGACCCAAGAAAUGAUUAGAUCUAGCUACCGCCUGACCCAAAUCUUGUUAGGACUAGCACUAGUCAAAUUCAACCAUAAUUGAGCUUGGUAGUGUGUUAGACCAAGGCGCAUUGAGUCUGGCAUUGACCAGACCCAAAAGAUAAUUGAGUCUAACACCAUAAACACUCCUUUGUCAAAGGUUUGAGAUGGAAUAUUUGCAAUGGGAGAGGAAUUAGUGUUUGUGAUUGGAACAUUAAAAUUGGGUUGUUUGUAAGAGGAAUAUUAAAGCUUAAUUCAUAAUAAUGUUGAAGGAUAAAAUUAAAAAAAAAUACAAAUAAAAAAACCCUAGAUCAACUCGCUAAAUUCACAACACGAGUCAUAAAACUAAAAUAAUAUUAUAAAAAAAAAUCAACAAAUUAUAAAACUUAAUCUUUAAGAAGUAAAAUGUUGAAAGAUAAAAAAAGCAUGUAGAUUUUUUUAAAAAAAAAAUAUCAUUGCAAAUUUUAACUUGGUAAGAUUUUAUGUUAAUAGUAUUAUAUUAGAUGAGUCCAGCUCACCAUAAGCCUACAUGGAUGAAUAUGAGUUAAUGGUGAGUCGAGCUUGUAUAAUAAUUUAUGGGUAGCAAAAGUUGUGCCCAGUAUUUCUAUAAUACGACGAGGUUUAAUUUCUUUUUUUUUCAUGGUUAUCUCUCAGUGGAUAGCAGCAUCAAUCAUAAGAACUUCUAUAUUUAUAUCUAAUUUAAAUACUAAUUAAACGUGAUAAGAGUGGGAGUUAAAUAUAACGCUGCACAUCAAAUGCUCUUCAAAAAAAAAAAUCUACAUUGAAGCUUUUGAAAAGAAAUAUUAACAUUUAUCACCUUCUGCGUUCUAUUUGUUUAACUGAAUAUAGAGCCACCUUGUUACACUUUAUUAUUAUGAAUAAUAAAAUAACUCCAAACUGCAUUUAUUGGAAGCUUCUGCGAUGUGCCCAUCAAAUACGACUAUAGUGAAUCCCUGGAUAAGAGAUCGUUGCUUUCGACUUUCCGACCGCCGUUGCAUAGCUCAUCACAGCCAUCCCCACUUUCAAAAACAGCAGCAGCUCCCAUUCCUGUGCCUGCAUUUAAUUAGUGACAACAGUUAGCCAUAAGCAUACGUUUCCAGCAACACUCCACGCACCCAGAGAGAGAGGGAGAAGAAGAAUACCUAUGCACAUUGACACCACCCCGAAGCGACAGUCCAUGCCACGACGCUUCAUCUCAUGCAGUAAAGUAGCCACACAUCUAGCACCUGUAACAGUUGAUGAGGCAUGAAUUAGUCUCAGAAAAUGAUUAAACAAAUAACUGCUGCACCACAUAUUCAUGUGUAAAAUUAAAGAACAUAUAUUAAUGGAUUGAUAUCACAAAGAUCACCGUACACAACUCAAAAGUGAUGCUCUAUACAAGUCUUGAGCAGAUUUACAAGCACCAAAAACUGUUUCCACCACCGACACAACGCAAAACCCCUGAAUUUACCCAUGUUUGUGUCAAUUCAUUUCUGCACUUUUGACCAAAUUUUUCUUUUGCUUUUUUAUGCUGUCCCACUGAGCAGACCUUUUUUGUUCUUUUGUGUGAAAAAAAAACUAAAAAAACUAAUUAGAAAAUAAAAAAAAUAUUUAAAAUUCUAAAACCGAUUGAACUAGAUCUCAUAGACUAGUUAUUUUUAUUAUAUUCCCAUUUUUAUUUUUUAUUCUAUAGAUUUUUCUACAUUGAAGCUUUUGAAAAAUUUACAUUGAUCAUGCUUUUUUAUGUUGUUCCACUGAGAUGACCCUUUUUUUUUCUUUUAUGAAUUGAAAUUAUAUUACAUGUUUGUAAUUGUUUCAUCUCAUUUUUAUUUUUGAAAAGUAAACUUCCUUUAAUUAGAUUAUCCUUAAUAUUAAAUUAUCCCUUUGCUUUUUGCAGAGGUCUUAUCAAGCUGUUUGGUUUCUUGAUUUCAGUUGAAUUGAUUUUUAGUUUAUUUCACAUUAUAUUUUCAUGAAAUGAACAGGACAAUAAACUCUUUUAAUAAUCAUCUUGCCUUUAACUUUAAUUAGCUAUUUCAAAUAAAAAUUAUUAAUUUAAAUUUUACAAACUUUAUAAUUACUAAUAAUUUAUAUAAUUGUUAAUUUUAAAACUGUAUAAUUAAUCAUGAUAUAUGGAAACUGCUACAAUACUCAUGUUAAUAAUGAAAACAAAAUUACAAUCACAUCAGCAUGGUUGAAUUAUUCAUGGUUGCAUUCGCUUUCACCCCCUGACUAUGAACAGGAACCCCAAUUAAAUGAAAUGGUCCACAGCGUUUUCGGUCAACCAAGUCGGCUUCCACUUGCAGCACAAUUCAUCAAAAAACGAUGUGAAUUAUCAUUUGAUGUCGAACCAGGUGGACUAUCAGCUGCAGCCACAAUUAUUUGAUGCAUAGCAAAAUAAUUAUUCAGAAUCACAGUACCUUGGCAGUCCUUUCCAGCCAAAUUGAUGUGUUGUGUGCUAAUCCGACGAAAAUCAAGAUCCCAAAGAGGGUGAUGCCGCUGAUGUAGUAGUUGCAAUGCCGAGGAUAUCUAGAGAAAACUGUGAGUAACCCUGUCAAAUUUUUUUAUUUUUAUUUUACUCGAUCUCAUAAUUAAAUUUUUGUUGCAUAAUUUUUAAUUAAUAAACAUGUAAUUAUAAAUGAAGGAAAGAAAAAAUUGGAUGGACUUGUUUGUUUCAAUUUUAUUUUUUUGGUUUUAUCUUUUUUAUUUGUUUUUUAAAGCCUUUUUUAACUCAAUCAAUUCUUUAUUUUUUAUUAUUUUUUUAAGUAUAAAAGUAUAUUCCAAAGAAUAUUUUAAAGUAAUUGGGCAAAUAACAUUGUUAGCCACGGAGAGAUCAAUGGUAUGGACAAAAUAAUAGUAUAAUGAUUGGACUCAAAAACUUUCAAAGACAAAAUCAAUAGUAUACGAUCCCUCAAACUCAUUAACCCCUCACAACUCACUAACCCAAAUUCUCUUGUUUUUGGAUAAUUAAAAAGAAACCAUUUUUUAUGUUGUUUUGAAUUUUUUUUAUUUACUAUUUGAGAUUUUAUAAAAAAAAAUGGUUUGAUGACAGAGGAAUCCAUCAUGUUUGUAUUGAUGGUUGAAAUUGUGUUUGGGAUUUCAUUAAAUUUUUUAUAAUUGUUUUUUCUUAAAAAAAACAUUUUAUAUUUUGUUACCAGCAUGGAGCUGUGAAAAUGAAGGGUUGUAGUGGCGAGGAAUGUUUUUUGGAUUUAAUUUAAUGUUUUUUUUUAAUGUCAGUUAAUUAUAUAAUUUUCUUAAGAUCAAUCUUUUAAUAAAAAAUAUGUAGGAGCUAUAAAAUUGGUGGGACUUAUUCUUCUUAUUUUGAUUUUUUUUUUUUUGAAAACAUGUUUUUCUUUUCAGUGCUUACGAACUAGAUCAAAACAUGUAUUACUUUUUAUUGUAUGUAAAAUGUCCUUAUUUACUUUUAAACAUAGAUGCUUGACUUGAGAAUUCAUUACAAAACACGAAUCAACUCAAUUGUGAUGUGCGUGGCCCAACCCCUGCUCUUGACAGGAAGGUGCCUCUGAUGUCCUUAUUUACUUUUAAACAUAGAUGCUUGACUUGAGAAUUCAUUACAAAACACGAAUCAACUCAAUUGUGAUGUGCGUGGCCCAACCCCUGCUCUUGACAGGAAGGUGCCUCUGCUGCCCAACACGAAUCAAAUUUUUCUUUUGCUUUUUAUGUUGUCCCACUGAGAUGACUUUUUUUGCUCUUUUGUGUGAAUUGAAAUUAGAUUAGAUGUUUAUAAUUGUUUCAUCUCUUUUUUUUUUCUUUUUUUUUUGAAAGGUAAACUUCCUUUAAUUAGAUAGUAUUUUUUUUUUCUAUUUUGUUUUGCAGGCUUUAAUCUUUUUUUUUCUUUGAUUAUCCUUACUGUUAAUAUUAAAUUAUCCCUUUAUUUUUUUUGCAGCUGCCAAGAUAUUUGGUCCCGAUUUUUAAAUGUACCAAAUUGAAUCGGUUUGAUUCAAACUGGUUUUCAGUUUAUUUUGGAUCAUUUUCUCAAGAAAUUGUUGUUUCUGGUUGAUAUUUUUAGAUCUAAACUGUACCAAUCCAGACAAUGAACACCCCUAAUAAUCGUCUUUGCUUUAACUUCAACCAGCCAACUACCUCAAAUUUGCAAUCACAUCAGGCGCAUGGCGUUGCAUUCGCAUUCAUCCUAUUUUCUCCGAGACCUGUUGAAAACUUGCAGUUUGGUGGUGGCGGAUUCAGUGAGAUGGACCAGUGGUAUGAUCAGGAAGUAGUUUUAUCUUUUUUAUUUGUUGUUUAAAGUCUUUUUUAACUCUUAAUCAAUUCUUUAUUUUUUAUUAUUAUUUUAAAUAUAAAAGUAUAUUCCAAAGAAUAUUUUAAAGUUAUUGGGCAAAUAACAUUGUUAGCUAGCCACGGAGAGAUCAAAGGUAUGGACAAAAUAAUAGUAUAAUGAUUGCACUAAAAAACUUUCAAAGACAAGGGACCUCAUCAAAUCAAAUCAAUGGUAUACGAAUCCCUCAAACUCAUUAACACCUCAUAACCAAGAAAAUAAAAAUCGGUAACAUUAUUGAGUAACAGUAAUAAGUUGUAAAAGAAAUAAAGAGAGAGUUUGAUGUAUUAAGGAGUUUAAGAGUUAAAGUGUGUUUUUAGAGAUGAAAGAAUUGAGAUUAAAGGAAAGUAUGAAGGAGAGCUUGAUUGAAUUUGUUUUGGUUUUUGAUUCUUUAUUCUGUAAAUGUAAGAAAACUUUUUUCCAUAAUGAUUCAUUAUUUUGUUUUUUAUGUUUGUUCUUGAAUUGAGUAGAAGUGGUAUAAUGUAAAGUGAUUCAAGACCUGUUUGGAAAUUUGAUUUUUUUUUAAAUUAUUUAUAUAUAUAUUUUUAAAUUGUAUUGAUGUGUUUAUAUCAAAAUUAUUUUAAAAAAAUAAUAAAAAUAAUUAUUUUUAUAUAUUUUAAAAAAUAAUCACUACCAAAUUUUCAAGCAUUUAUAGUGAAAGGUUUGAGAUGAGAUAUUGGUAAUGAGAGAAAAAUAGGUGUUGGUGAUAAAAAUAUUAAAGUUUGAGAUUCUAAACUCAAUUCAAUAUGAUUUUGUUUUUCGUUAAUUAGUUUCAGUUAAUAGGGUGGUACGUGGCUAAGUUUAUUUAAAAAAAAAAUCAAUGGGAAUUUAUAGUAUUUAAUAUAAGAGUUUUAUAGUUAACAGUUUGAAAAUUCAUUAAAAAAUACUUUUCAAUUGUGAUGUGUGUGGCCCGGCCCUGCUCUUGACAGGAAGGUGCCUCUGCUGCCCAAUGCGCGUUCGAUAUCCCUUUCAUUUCUAUCUUCACUUUUUCUCCACCAAAAGAAAAUCCAGGAAACUUACCAAUACGAGUGAGUUCUUGACCUAAAGGAACCGGAAAAAAUUCGAAGUCAUUGGAAUAAAAAGAAAGAAAAGGGCUUUGGAGGUUGGUUACUAAGAUACCAGACGAAUAAACAAAUAUUGGGCUUGUCUAGAUCUUGUGCCUCUUUAGGCAACACUUAGCACACGGUUUGUUUCGUCUAGAUUCGAGUAAUACUUGGUAGAAAUUUGGUGUUUUCUGAUUUCUAAGUAGAAUUGUACAAAUUGCUAAGUGGUAGAUUUAAUUGCCAAAUUUCUUUUUUUUUUUUAGUUUAACGUGGGUGUUUAGGCCAGUUUUCGCGCACCUCGACUAAUCCCACGGGCCCUGAAGUUAACGACCAUGUAAGUUUCCAGUGGCCAUCAUAUGAGCAACCACAUAACUCGAACCUGAGACUAUAGAGAGAGCAAAUCUCUUAAUUUCAAACUCUUACCACUUGGUCAUCACCUAGAUAGUUAAUUACCAAAUUUCUUGAUCUUACCUUCUGUUUCACGGGCCCUGCAAUUCAUAUUUUUUUUUACUUGGUAAUUAAGUAUGAGAAAGAGUUAAAUUUUUUUUUUAAAAAGAGGUGUGCCUUAAGUGUGAUUUUACUUUUGAUUUUCUUUGAAUUUAUUCUUGACCUACAUGGAAAGAAAACAAUAUAAAAGUAUUAUUUUGUAAAAUAAAAAACAAAGCCACUAAUUUACCCUAAUAUAAAUCCUGCAGUCAAUUAAAAACAAAAAUAAAAACACAAAUUGUGAGCAAAAUUUUUCUACAAAAAAAUUGAAGUAAAGCCACCAAUUAAUUUAUCUUUCAUCAAACAAAAUAAGGAAACUUAAAUUUAAAAUUUAUUUUAAUUUUAUUUUGAGAUGUUUGUUAAUAAUUUGAUGAAAUUUUUUUAUAUAAUUCUAUCAUUUUUGCUUUUUUUUUUCUCAGAUUUGCUAAUUCUACCAAUUGUUUUUUAAAUUCUUGUUAUAGUGAUUUUUUUUUCUAAUUAAUUAUAUAUAUUUUAUUGGUUUGUUUUGAUUAUGUUUGGAUUUUUUUAUGUUGUUUUUAGCAGAGCCACUAAAAUUAUCAAUUUUUUCUUAUGAUAUAUGUUUUGAUUUUAGGUUGAACCAUAAACAAAAUAAGAAGAAUUGAUAUGAUAAUCGAUGAUUUUUAUUUUAUGAAAGAACGAUGAGUACAAUUAAAAUAAAUAUGUAAAAAUCAUUCUUUAUUAUUAUUUUUAUUUAUUUUAAAGUUUAUCAAACAUAAAUAAUGCUUCGUUUUAUUUAUGAUGUGUGAUGUGUAUGAUGGUUUGGGAAAGCGGUUUCAGACCCGUUUGGAAAUUUAAUUUUUUUAUAUUUUUAAAUUAUUUUGAUAUAUUUAUAUCAAAAUUAUUUAAAAAUAAUAAUAAUAAAAUUAUUUUAAUAUAUUUUUUAAAAAAUUCUUUUAAAAAAUAACAACUAUUAUAUUUUUAAGCACCCUAGCCCUUAGUAAAAGGUUUGAGAUGAGAUAUUGGUAAUGAGAGAAGAAUUGGUGUUUGCGAUCGGGGAGGAAUUAAAGUUGGGCUGUUUGUGAUAAAAAUAUUGAAGUUGGAGAUUCUAAAAUCAAUUUAAUAUGAUUUUUUUUUUCGUUAAUUAGUUCCAGUUAAUAGGGUGGUGGCUAAGUUUAUUUUUUUAAAAAAAAAAUCAAUGGGAAUUUAUAAUAUUUAAUAUAAGAGUUUUAUAGUUAUUAGUUUAAAAAUUCAUUAUAAAAUACUUUUCAAUUGUGAUGUGCGUGGCCCCACCCCUGCUCUUGACAGGAAGGUGCCUCUGCUGCCCAAUGCGCGUUCGAUAUCCCUUUCAUUUCUCUUUUCGCUUUUUCUCCACCGAAACUCCAUCUUCUUUACAGUGUAAACUUACCAGUACGACUUCUUGACCUCAAGGAACCGGAAAAAAAUUCGACGUCAUUGGGCUUGGCUAGAUCUUGUGCCUCUUUAGCCAACACUUACCACACGGUUUGUUUCGUCUAGAUUCGUGAAAUACUCGUAGAAAUUUGGUGUUUUCUGAUUUCUAAGUAGAGUUGUACAUGUUCCAGCUUGAAAUUAGUAAUUGGUAGAUUUAAUUGCCAAAUUUCUUGAUCUUACCUUCUGUUUCAUGUUUGACCACAGGAGCAGGCCUUACACAAAAUAGCGUGGACAGCAAUUGCUGAACCAAGCGAGCUAGUUGAGGCCAGAAGGGAUCGGUACUAGUUUAUCGCUAUAGGGAUUUUCAUGGCUUCCAGCAGCGUGCAAGGAAUAACCUCAUCUUCAUCUUCUCCUCCUCCACUAUAUAUGCAUGAUGUGUUCCUUAGUUUUAGAGGCAAAGACACCCGGAACAACUUUACUAGUCAUCUAUAUUCUAAUCUGACACAAAGAGGCAUCGAUGUGUACAUGGAUGAUAGGAAGCUCGAGAGAGGAAAGACCAUCGAACCUGCUCUUUGGAAGGCCAUCGAAGAAUCAAGGUUUUCAGUCAUUAUAUUUUCAAGAGAUUACGCUUCUUCACCAUGGUGCUUGGAUGAACUUGUCAAGAUUGUUCAGUGCAUGAAAGAGAUGGGGCAAACUGUUCUGCCAGUUUUUUAUGAUGUGGAUCCCUCAGAGUUUUAUGAUGUGGAUCCCUCAGAGGUAAUCGAGCGGAAACGGAAAUAUGAGGAAGCCUUCGUUGAGCAUGAACAAAAUUUCAAGGAAAACUUGGAGAAGGUCCGGAACUGGAAAGAUUGUCUCUCUACAGUGGCCAAUUUAUCUGGCUGGGACAUACGGAAUAGGUAAAUCAUCUAUCUACUUAUUCUUAUUCUCAAAUCUGCCAUGUAUUGUUUCAAUGAUGAACAAGCAUGAUAGUAAAUGUGUACUUUUUUCAUAUGCAUGAUUUUUUAUUUUUAUUUUUUUAUGACAUUUUGAACUGAUGUGAUCAAGCAUUUCUAAUCUUUAUAUAAAACUGCUUUCUAUUCUUAGGUUUUUCUUUAUAUUUUGAAAAUAAAAUAAAAUAUUAAACAGAAAAAUUAAAAUGUAUAAAAAUGUUGAAAAACAAAUCUAGCAUGAACAAAUAAAAAGUUAGCUUAAAAAAUUAAAAAUGGUGAAGAAAUGACAAUAAAUUCAUCAUAAGAAAUAAAAAAUUGACCAAAGUUUUUGAAUAUGUUGGUUUUAGCUUUUCAAAAUAAAAUAAAAAGAUUUUCCAUCUUGAAUUAAAAAAUUCAAACUAUUUAUAAAUCAAAGAGACAAAUUUAUUUAUAAUUUGUUUUGUGAAUAUUUUUAUUUUUUUAUUUGGAAUUAAAAUUUGAUAGUUGUCUUUCUUUUACUAAUGGAUUGUAAUAAUGAAUUUACUAAUUUUUCAUUCUAAAAACAAUACACUACUUAUUAGGGAUAAUAGGGUAAGUUGAAAACAAUACACUGCUUUUUUUUUUUUUGUCUUUUUUUUAUGAUAAAAAAAAAAGAAGAAAAGUGGUUGGCUUGUUUGUAGAACACACAAGCAAGUAAGUUGUUCUAUCUUAUUUAAGGAGCACGAGAAAUGGCUUAUGACACCCAAAAAAAACCUUCAUUGAUGUUUUAUGAUUCACCACGACAUGACCUUCUUCCCUGAGUGACAUGACCUUCCUCCCUGAGUGACAUUUGUGGAGUAAUUCUUUUUGGUCUAGCACCAAAUGACUUUUUUUUUUUUUCUUUUAUCUUUAUCCUCGAAUUCCGCACCCGACCUUCUAAACUUGUAUAGUAACCCUUCAAUCAGGUUUUUUUUUUAUAUUUGGUCUAUUUCCUUUCAAUUGAUAUUUUUUUAUUUGAAUUAUUUUUUAAAAUUGAAAUUUGUUGUUAAUUUUAUACUUUUUAAUUUUUUAAUCUAUUAGAUUUAAUUCUCAUUCUUUUGAUUACUAUUUAUUUUAUGUGAGAUUAUUUUUAUUUUAUUUUUUUAUUGAUUUCAUCCUUCAUUUUUUAUUGUUAUGUUUUUUUACCUUGGCAAGUUUUUAAAAAAUUGAUAUAUAUAUAUAUAUAUAUAUAUAUUAUUUCUAAUUUCAUAUUUUAAUAUUAAAUUAAGCUUUUUGGUUGAGUCUGGAUUUAGAAUUUAACGGAUUGAGAAUUUGGGACACUAACCUAGGUUUAAGAGAUUUGUCUAGGUUUGUUUUUUUUUUUAACUCAUGUUUUUUUUUUUUGUAGUUUCAUCAUUCAAUAUUUAAUUUAAUUAAAGACGACUGAGCUCUAUUAAUUUUUUUAUUUGCUUUCUAUAAGAUUUUUAAAUAAUUUUAAAAAUAAUCGGGGUUAUUUUAAGUCUUUUUAUUUCUCAUUCUUUGUUAAAUCUAGCUGCUAUUUUUUAAAAAAUUCUUUUUUUUAAUUGAAUAAUUUUUUAUGUUUAGCUUUUAAUAUUUGGUUGAUUGAAAUCGGGCGCUAUUUUAUUUUGAUAUGGGUUCCAUGGAGUUUUCACGGAUUCGUGCUUCGGAUAGCAAGUUUCACAUGUUUACCAUAAUUAUUCCAUAUCGAUCUAGUGUGUUGUCAUCACAAUUAUAUUUUUAAAUAAAUAUAUCAUCAGAUAUAUUAAUUUCACAAGAUGAAGAAAUGGGUUGUGAAAAUUUAAGUUCAGCAUCUCAAGGUGCAUGGAUUCAAUUUGCGCAACCUUAGGGAAAUUUUCUUCAGGCUAUGCUAAUAUGGGAAAAAACUCAAAAAUUAAUAAAUUUAAAGUUGUUUUUUUAAAGUUAAUUAUGCAAGAUAAUUGAUUUUUUUGUUAAAAAUAAUUAUAAAAAUAACUUAGUGGUCCAACAAAAAUAUGAUAGAACUCCUUUUGCGUCUAUUAAAACCAAACUUAAUGGAUAUUUUAUUUCCUAGCUUUUGUUCUUGUAUGCAUGCUUCUGUAGUAACUAUGGGAUUCUAUAGGCAAUAAGAUAGCUAUUGUACGAAUCAUUCUUAGCAUCAAUACAAUCCUAGUUCCUUUUUCAGUUUAUUCUUUCCUUUUCCUCUAUGUUCUUGAAGCUAUCUAUUAUCAGUGCCCUAUUUUUCUCAAAGGUUGGUGUAUUAAUUUCCGGCUAACAGCCAUACAUUUUCGAGCUACAAUAUGCUAAUGUCUAUUUUCCCAUUAUCACUAUCUGAUUUGAUUUCUGCACACUGCAUGAUUAAUGUUUUGCACCCUUCUAUGCAGGAAUGAAUCGGAAUCAAUUAAAAUAAUUGUUGAAUACAUAUCGUACAAACUAAGCGUCACUCUGCCAACAAUUAGCAAAAAAUUAGUUGGAAUAGAUUCUCGUGUAAAGGAAUUAAAUGGCUAUAUAGGUGAAGAAGUAGGCAAAGCAAUCUUCAUAGGGAUUUGCGGAAUGGGUGGCAUAGGUAAGACGACUGUUGCAAGGGUACUAUAUGAUAAGAUUCGUUGGCAAUUUGAAGGCAGCUGCUUCUUAGCAAAUGUCAGGGAAGUUUUUGCUGAGAAAGGUGGACCACGCCGUUUACAGGAACAACUUCUUUCUGAAAUCUUAAUGGAACGUGCUCCUGUAUGUGAUUCUUAUAGAGGGAUUGAGAUGAUAAAGCGGAGGUUACGACUUAAAAAGAUUCUUCUUAUCCUUGAUGAUGUAAAUGACCGUAAACAACUAGAAUACCUGGCUAAGGAGCCUGGAUGGUUUGGUCCAGGGAGCAGAAUUAUCAUAACAAGCAGAGAUACAAAUGUGUUAACUGGAAAUGAUGAUACUAAAAUUUACGAGGCUGAGAAAUUGAAUGAUGAUGAUGCUCUUAUGUUAUUUAGCCAGAAAGCUUUCAAAAAUGACCAGCCUGCUGAAGGUUUUGUGGAACUAUCCAAGCAAGUUGUGGAUUAUGCUAAUGGUCUUCCACUAGCUCAUGAAGUUAUAGGUUCGUUUUUGUAUGAAAGAAGUAUCCCUGAAUGGAGAGGUGCAAUUAAUAGAAUGAAUGAGAUUCCUGACGGCAAAAUUAUUGAUGUGCUUCGCGUUAGUUUUGAUGGCCUCCAUGAAUCAGAUAAGAAAAUAUUUUUAGACAUUGCAUGUUUCCUGAAGGGGUUUAAAAAAGAUCGAAUAACAAGGAUACUUGAAAGCCGAGGAUUCCAUGCAGGUAUUGGAAUACCAGUUCUUAUUGAGAGAUCUCUUAUAAGUGUCUCUCGGGAUCAAGUCUGGAUGCAUGAUUUGUUACAGAUAAUGGGUAAGGAAAUUGUUCGUUGUGAAUCCCCUGAAGAGCCUGGAAGGCGCAGUAGAUUGUGGACAUACGAGGAUGUCUGCCUUGCACUGAUGGACAACACAGUGAGUACUACUGAUAGAGAACGUUAUCCAUAAGAUUUCAUAAAGUGUAUUUUAAAGUAUAUCUCUACUUUGUAAUUGUUUUUUACUUGUAUUCCCUUUUGGUUGACAGGGAAAAGAAAAAAUAGAAGCCAUAUUUUUGGACAUGCCUGGAAUUAAAGAGGCACAGUGGAACAUGAAAGCCUUCUCUAAAAUGAGCAGACUAAGAUUGCUCAAAAUCAACAACUUGCAGCUUUCUAAAGGACCUGAAGAUCUUUCCAAUCAGUUACGAUUUCUUGAAUGGCAUUCUUACCCUUCAAAAUCAUUGCCAGCUGGUUUACAGGUGGAUGAGCUAGUUGAACUUCACAUGGCUAACAGUAGUAUUGAACAAUUAUGGUAUGGGUGUAAGGUGAGAUCACCUAAUUUAAGGCCCUUUGUAUUUCUUUUUAUCGUUUUCCUAUAUAUAUAUAUGAUUGGCUAACAGUAUCCAUGUUUCUUCUCCCCUGCCUGAUUGCAGAGUGCAGUUAAUUUGAAAAUCAUCAAUCUCAGCAACUCAAUAAACCUGUCCAAGACUCCAGAUCUUACUGGAAUUCCAAAUCUUGAGAGUCUGAUUCUUGAAGGUUGUACAAGUUUGUCUGAGGUCCAUCCAUCACUUGGAUGUCACAAGAAGCUUCAAUAUGUGAAUCUUGUGAACUGCAAAAGUAUUAGGAUUCUCCCAAACAAUCUAGAAAUGGAAUCACUUAAAGUUUUCACUCUUGAUGGCUGCUCAAAACUUGAGAAGUUCCCAGAUAUAGUAGGAAACAUGAACAAAUUGAUGGUACUUCGUUUGGAUGAGACUGGUAUUACAAAACUAUCUUCAUCGAUUCAUCAUUUGAUUGGCUUAGGUCUAUUGAGCAUGAACAGCUGCAAGAACCUUGAAAGCAUUCCAAGUAGCAUAGGUUGUUUGAAAUCCCUUAAAAAACUCGAUCUGUCUGGCUGCUCUGAACUUAAAUAUUUAACAGAGAAUUUGGGGAAAGUUGAAAGUUUGGAGGAGUUUGAUGUAAGUGGAACUUUAAUAAGACAACUGCCAGCAUCCGUUUUUCUUUUAAAGAAUCUUAAAGUAUUAUCUUUGGAUGGAUGCAAAAGAAUAGCUGUGCUGCCUUCUUUGUCUGGUCUGUGUUCUUUAGAAGUACUGGGUUUACGUGCUUGCAAUCUAAGAGAAGGAGCACUUCUUGAAGAUAUUGGCUGCUUAUCUUCAUUGAGGUCUUUAGAUCUGAGCCAGAAUAACUUUGUUAGCCUGCCUAAAAGCAUAAAUAAGCUUUCUGAACUGGAAAUGCUUGUCUUGGAGGGUUGCACGAUGCUUCAAUCUUUGCUUGAGGUUCCAUCUAAAGUUCAAAUAGUAAAUUUGAAUGGUUGUAUAAGCCUAAAAACAAUUCCAGAUCCGAUAACGCUAAGCAGUUCCAAAAGAUCAGAGUUCAUAUGUCUUAACUGCUGGGAAUUGUACUAUCAUAAUGGCCAAGACAACAUGGGGUUGAUGAUGCUUGAAAGAUACCUCCAGGUCUUCUCUUAAUCAAACCCCAACCUUUUUCUAUCUCUCUCACUCUCCCUCUAUCUGUCUAACGUUUUGGUUCUUUAUGGUACAGGGUUUGUCUAAUCCAAGACCUGGAUUUGGUAUCGUUGUUCCAGGAAAUGAAAUUCCAGGGUGGUUUAACCAUCAAAGUAAGGGAUCUUCAAUUAGUGUGCAAGUGCCUAGUUGGAGCAUCGGGUUUGUUGCCUGUGUUGCAUUCUGUGCAAAUGGUGAAAGGCCUUCUGUUUUUUGUGAUUUCAAAGCCAAUGGAAGAGAGAAUUUUCCUUCGCCGAUGUGUAUUAGUUGUAACUCUAUCCAGGUUCUGUCAGAUCAUAUUUGGCUAUUCUAUCUAUCUUUUGAUCAUCUUAAAGAGCUUAAAGAAUGGAAGCAUGAAUCCUUUAGCAACAUUGAGUUGUCAUUUCAUUCUCUCGAGCAACGAGUAAAGGUGAAGAACUGUGGUGUCUGUUUUUUAUCUUCUCUAUAUAUUACAUCACAACCAUCUGCCCAUUUUAUUGUUACAAGCAAAGAAACAGCUUCUUCAUAUAAAGCUUCUUUAGCUCUUUCUUCAUCUUACCAUCAAUGGAAGGCCAGUGUUUUCCCUGGCAUCAGAGUCGCAGAUCGGGCCCAGAGAUUCAUUGUCCCAGUCGGGAAGGAACCAGGGAAAGUAAUGGCAAUUAGAUCAAGACUCUUUGAAGCCAUUGAAGAAUCAGGGCUGUCAAUUGUUAUAUUUGUAGGAGAUUGUGCUUCUUUACCUUGGUGCUUUGAAGAACUUGUCAAGAUUGUCGGAUUCAUGGAUGAGAUGAGAUCGGACACUGUUUUUCCAGUUUCUUAUGAUGUCGAACAAUCAGAGAUGGAUGAUCAAACAAAGAGUUACACAAUUGUCUUCGAUAAGAGUGAAGAAAAUUUCAGGGAAAACGAGGAGAAGGUGCCAAGGUGGAUGAAUAUUCUCAGUGCAGUUGAGAUUUCAUCUGUAACGAGAUCAUUGAAAAGGUAAUAAUUACUUCUUUUUUGUGCCAAGGUAUUACUACAAGUAAAUGAAACUGGGAAUGCUGAAAUAUGUUAAUAAAUCUAAUCUAUUUUUUAUGACAAUUAGGAAAUGUAUUCUUGAAAGUUAUGAAUUGUUAAAUACUUACAUGAGUUUUAAAUUAUAUAGUAAAUUAUUCGUUUAAUAAUUGAAAAUUUUAAACUUUAUAGCAUUUGAAUUUUAAAAUAACAAUAAUUGAUUCCAUGUAUAGUUUAAUGGGAAAAAGAAUGUUUAGUUUUCACGUCAUUUUUAUCUAAUCUAUUUUUUUAUGAUAAUUUUACCUGAACCGAAAGAUAGAACACAACACUUCUGACUUCUCCUUCUCACUCUUAGCAGCAUAGGAGCUCCAGCAACGCAGCAGCAGCAGCAGAUCCAGAUCUACCUCCACCAGCAGCAGAUCCAGCUCUACCUCCACCAGCAGCAGAUCCAGCUCUACCUCCACCAGCAGCAGCAGCGAAUCCAGCAUCUCCAGCUGCUCGAGCGGCGGCAGGGUUGGCUCCAACUGCUCGAGGAUCGGCUCCAGCUGCUCGAGGAACGGCUGCGGCAGCCCCAGCUGCUCGAGGAGCGGCGGCUGCAGCGCCAGCUGCUCAAGCAGUGGCUGCAGCGCCAGCUGCUCGAGCGGCGAGGGGAGCUCGAGCGGCGGGGGGAGCUCGAGUGGCGGGUGCUGGAGUGGGAGCGGCGGCAGCGGGAGCAGCGGGAGCAGCGGGAGCAGCGGAAGCAGCGGGGGCUGCUGGAGCAGCGGAAGCAGCGGGGGCUGCUGGAGCAGCGGCUGCUGGAGCAGCGGCUGCUGGAGCUGGAGCAGCGGCUGCUGGAGCGGGAGCUGGAGCGGGAGCGGGAGCGGGAGCAGCGGCUGCUGGAGCUGGAGGGGCGGCUGCAUGAGUGGCGGCUGCAUGAGUGGCAGCUGCUGGAGCGGGAGUUGGAGCAGCUGCGGGAGCAGCUGCGGGAGCGGCCGGAGCGGCCGGAGCGGCAGCUGGAGCGGGAGCAGCGGCUGCUGGAGCUGGAGGGGCGGCUGCAUGAGCGGCGGCUGCUGGAGCGGGAGUUGGAGCAGCUGCGGGAGCGGCCGGAGCGGCUGGAGCGGGAGCAGCGGCUGCUGGAGCAGCGGCUGCUGGAGCGGGAGCGGCGGCUGCUGGAGCGGGAGCAGCUGGAGCAGCGGCUGCUGGAGCAGCGGCAGCUGGAGCUGCAGCAGCUGCUUGAGCAGCAGCAUGAGUUUUGGUUACGAAUCUAACUUGCUUUAGCUUGAAGAUCUUCGUCAGUUUUCCAUGGAUCUAAUUUCUUAUUAGCUCUUGAUUUUUUUUCCUUGUUAAUUACCAUCAAAGUACAGUGAGCAGUGAUUGCAAGACAUCAUAUGAUCUUCCUUGUUGUUUGCAUGUUCAUCAAAGCAGCCAACACGAGGGAAAAAACAUAGCAAUGAUUUUCAUCAUGAUAGGACAGGGCCUUGUUUUUGCACAUGGUUUUGGUUUGGGGUAAUUAGAUUUACAUUUUGCAAUCAUAAGAUUGAUAUUUUUUUUUUAAAAGUUUUAUUAUUUAAUAUUUAAUUUAAUUAGAGAUUGAGUUUUAUUAAUUUUUUAUUUUUUGAUUUUUAUAAAAAUUUUAAAUAAUUUUAAAAAUAUUUUUUUUAGUUUUAUUAUUUAAUAUUUAAUUUAAUUAGAGAUUGAGCGUUAUUAAUUUUUUUUAUUUGUUAUUUAUAAAUUUUUUAAAUAAUUUUAAAAAUAACAGGGGUUAUUUUAAGUCUUUUUAUUUCUCAUUCUCUGUUAAAUUUAGCUACUAUUUUUUUAAGAAAUUAUUUUUUAAUUAAAUAAAAUUUUUUAUUUUUGACUUUUAAUAUUUGAUUGAUUGAAAUUGGAUUCUUUAUUUUAUUUAGAUAUGGGUUUCUUGGGGUUUUUUCAGAUUGUGAGUCUCACAUGUUAAUCAUAGUUUUUUUUUAUAGAGCAGAAUUAUCAUAACUAGCAGAGAUAAAAAAAGUGGUAACUGGAAAUUAAUAAUACUAAUAGAAUUUAUGAUGAUGAGAAAUUGAAUGAUGAUGAUGCUUUUAUGUUGUUUAGCCAGAAAGUUUUCAAAAAUGACCAGCCUGCUAAAGAUUUCGUGGAACUAUCCAAGCAAGUUGUGGGUUAUGUUAAUGGCCUUCCACUGGCUCUUGAAGUUAUAGAUUCGUUUUUGUAUUAAAAAAGUAUCCCUGAAUGAAGAGGUGAGCUUAAUAGAAUGAAUGAGAUUCCUGAUGGCAAAAUUAUUGAUGUGCUUUGCAUUAGUUUUGAUGGUCUCCGUGAAUCAGAUAAGAAUAUAUUUUUAGACAUUGCCUGUUUCCUGAAGGGGUUUAAAAAAGAUCGAAUAACAAGAAUACUUGAAAGCCGAGGAUUCCAUGCAGGUAUUGGAUUACCAAUUCUUAUUGAGAGAUCUCUCAUAAGCAUCUCUCGGGAUCAAGUCUGGAUGCAUAAUUUAUUACAGAUAAUGGGUAAGGAAAUUGUUCGUUGUGAAUCCCCUGAAGAGCCUGGAAGGCGUAGUAGAUUGUGGACAUACGAGGAUGUCUGCCUUGCACUAAUGAACAACACAGUGAGUAGUUGAUAGAGAACAUUAUCUAUUAGAUUUCAUAAAGUUUAUUUUAAUUUACACUCCAUCUCUACAAAUCUUUACUUUGUGAUUGUUUUUUACUUGUAUUCCCUUUUGGUUGACAUGGAAAAGAAAAAAUAGAAGCCAUAUUCUUGGACAUGCCUGGAAUAAAAGACGCACAAUGGAACAUGGAAGCCUUCUCUAAAAUGAGCAAACUAAGAUUGCUCAAAAUCGACAACGUGCAGCUUUCUGAAGGUCCUGAAGAUCUUUCCAAUAAGUUACGAUUUUGUAUUCCUUCAAAAUUUUCAGGAAUAUAAAUAUGCAUCAAUAAAAACCUGUCAGGUCUGACGCUAGCUAGAUCUAGGUAUAUUGGGCUCGACAAUCUGUCAAGUCCCGGACAUGCUGGGUCUGACAGUGUGGAAUGGCUUUCAUUUCUUGAGCAUGCCCAAGAGAAUGAUCAUUGGGUCUAACUUAUGGGAAUAACUCAAUCUCUACGAGCAUUAACUACAUUUGAUGUCCUAAACUCUAAUUUCCUUACAUCUUUUAGGUGUAUAAAAGUCUUCCAAGAACUCAUCAUAUUUCCAUCAAAUAUUAAUAUAGAUGUAAGAUAUAUUUAUCCUUUAUUAAAUGCUAUCGAGUCUCUUUAUAGAAGAACAAGACUCAUAUGCUAUAAAUACACAAUAAGACAUUCAGAACAGAGGUUCACAAUCUUUAUUUUCUACUACAUAUAUAAUUUCAGAGUAUUUUUUUCUAGAAUAUUUUUAUAUUUUUUUUUUAUAAAAAAAACAUACUUAUUUAAACAUCAGAUUUCAUCAUAAAUAUGUUCAUAGCAAAAAAUGAAAAAGAAAAAAAAAGCUGAUUCAGCAAAGCAAAUUAUUAAGGGUCUGUAUUUGCUUUCAUUAACUAAAAUAGCCAGAGAAACACAAUCCAUAUAUACAUGCCUGGAAUAAAAGAGGCACAAUGGAACAUGAAAGCCUUCUCUAAAAUGAGCAAACUAAGAUUGCUCAAAAUCGACAACGUGCAUCUUUCUGAAGGACCUGAAGAUCUUUCCAAUAAGCUACGAUUUCUUGAAUGGCAUUCUUACCCUUCAAAAUCAUUGCCAGCUGGUUUACAGGUGGAUGAGCUAGUUGAACUUCACAUGGCUAACAGUAGCAUUGAGCAAUUAUGGUAUGGGUGUAAGGUGAGAUCAACUAAUUUAAGGCCCUUUGUAUUUCUUUUUAUCGUUUUCCUAUAUAUAUAUGAUUGGCUAACAGUAUCCAUAUUUCUUCUCCCCUGCCUGAUUGCAGAGUGCAGUUAAUUUGAAAAUCAUUGUACUAACCCAAUUCUGGGUUAUUCCCUAAAAUUCAUUUUUUUUAAAAUAAAAACAAAAAAAAUAAAAUAAAAAAUAAAAGCUGGCAAUGUGGAGAAAGCUGAUCAAGAAAAAUAGGCAAAAUAGGCAAAAAUCAAUCUGCAAUUUUCAGAGGAAAUUCAAGGCCUUUCGGCGCCCCAUUGUGCCCAAAAUCAGAGAAAAAAAUGCAAAUUCAAGAUCAAAUUAAAUGAUUAUUGGACAAAUUUGCAUAAAAAUUAAGUCCAAUAACAUAAUUAAAUUUUUAAUAGGCCAAUUUGAUUUAAUCAUGGGUCAAAUUAAAUUUUAGUUAUGUUUAAGAAUUAAUUUAGGUCCAAAUGAAGGAUUUAAUUAAGUGCAAGUACUUAAUUAUACUUUAAAUGGGUCAAAUUAAUUUUAUUUGGGGCUUAAUUGGUGAAAAAUUAAGUUUGGGAGCCUAAUUUGGGCUUAAUGGAGAAGAUUGGAAUUUUAAGAGACCAAAUUUAAUUUUUACCAAGUUAAUUGAUUGAAAUCAGGGGUCAAAUUGCAAGAAAAUUGAAGUUUUGGGGCCAAUUAGGGGUUAAAUUGACAAAAUCCAAAGCCAAGGGCCAAUCUGCAAAAGGCGCCAAACUAUAGGGGUCUAAUUGACAAAAGCCGGGGGUCAAAUUGAAGAAAUUGAAAGCUGGAGGACUCAAUUGAAAAUCGGCAAAAAUCCCUAGCUUUUGAUCCAAAACGGCGCCGUUUUUGGUGUUUAAGAAAAAACAAAGAGGGGGAAGGGACCAGGCGACGCGUCACCUGGUCACUGUUCAUCUUCUUCCCCACAAAACUGCCCGAGUAGCAGCUCUCCAGGCGCAUUUUCUACCUCGUUUGGCCUCCAAAUCCGACAACGCAUGCACCAAAAUGUCCACCUGAAACCCCUUUAUCCUUGAGAAUGGUCCGGUCGGGUAGAAAAACUUUGAAAUGGCUUCGUUUAUUGGCCCAAAGUGGCCACCUCGUUCAGUCUGCAGCCUUGGAUUGCCAAAUUUGGCAAUUCGAGGUGCACACUUUGAACCAACGGAUUGGAUUCCUCGAGUCGAAUCAAGGGCUGAGACUUUUUCCCGUUGAAGACAAGAUUACCCUCUUUCCAGCCCUAUAAAUAGGAGCCAAUGUCAUGCUCAGGGGGAGGGGAAAAUUGAGCUCAAAAUUGGCAAAACAUCAGCUUUUCCUGCCCGGUUUUCCUGCAACCAGCCUUCUCUUUUCUUUUUCUCUCCGCCGUGGCCUCCAGCCGCCACCACUGAUCUCGCCACCGUCCUUCCCAAGAAACACCACAUCCCAUCCAUCACCCAGCAACCUCACCACAGUCACAGUACCUCUCUUUCUCUCCCUCUCUUCUCUGCAAAAAUCUUAUCCUCUGCCACCGUGACUCCAACAGCGGCGGCGACAGCAGAGGUAGCAACCAUCUUGCCCAAAAGCUCUCUUCCACUCCUACCAGCAGCAGCCGGAGUAGCAGCUCCUUCCUCAGUCACACCAACAGCUCCAGCCGUGAGCUUUCCUUCUCCUCUGCAGGAAUCUGCUCCUUCUUCUUCCAGCCGGGACCAGUGCACGCCGCCGUCCUCGCCGCCUCCAGUCGCACCGCGCACCACCAGCUAGGCCGCCGACUCUCUCCACGCCAGGUAAUUCUCUCCUCCCCGCUCCACCCUUUUCAAAAACCUUUUUCCAACUAUUUUUUUUUUCAGGAUGCAGAUGUAGACUUUAAUAUUUGUGGGGUGUAAAAUUACACGAUAAAGUACACCCUCGGGUAUUAAACAUACAAGGUGUAAAUAAAUGCCAUCCUAAAAUUCAGACUUUAGAACGGUUAGGAUUUAACCCAAUAAGGUAGAGACUCCCUCACGAAGGGAGAUCUGCCUUGAACCUUAGAAAAGACCAACGAAUAGAAACUCGACCUAGAAAAACAAUCAAACAACAAUGCAGCUUACCUUAGGUAGGGUGCACUGGGGGUGAUGCAUCUUCCCCUUGCACAACCAGUCCCUUACUCAGACUCUCGCAGACCAUAGGUUCCUAGUGACCAUAAUACUAGGUGGCGACUCCAACGAACCAAGCAAAACACAAAUAAAAGAAAAAUCGCCAGCAGACGCCGCGCGGAUUUUCCGACGUGCGACAGAAUGGCGACUCCACUAGGGACGCCUUGUUUGGUCGGACUAAGCUUUGUUUGUUUGUUUAAUUAUCUGUUUUGGUCUGUUUAAAUGUAUUGUUUCAGCACUUUUAUUUCUUGCUCAUACAUAAAUAAUGUGUUCAUGCUUUUUUAAAUUCUUGCAAGAUAACCCAACACUAGGAUAGGAGGGGAGUAGCGGUCUGCCCCAUGACUUUCAGUCGGGGUUCAGAUUCACGAAACAUCCAACUAUGAGCUGCGUGUUUACUUGGUGAUAGCGGACACAUAGUGCCCGAACCUUCCCUUGUAAACCCCUAUACUGCCUUUACGUGAGGUGGUCACUGGGCAGUUCAUAUACCUUUUUGAGACCAGCUAGAAAACAUAUCCUCAUUUUUGGGAUCCACAAAUCGAAUCCCAACCGUACAUACAUGACUUUCUUGAGAAGCUUUCCUCAUUUUUGGGAUUUACAAAUCAGAUCUCAACCGUACAUACAAGACUUUCUUGAGAAGCUUUCCUUAUUUUUGGGAUCCACAAAUCGAAUCCCAACCAUACAUACAUGACUUCCUUGAGAAGCUUUCCUCAUUUUUGGGAUCCACAAAUCAAAUCCCAACCGUACAUACAGUACUUCCUUGAGAAGCUUUCCUCAUUUUUUGGGAUACAAAUCAAAUCCCAGCCGUACAUACAAGACUUUCUUGAGAAGAUUUCAUCAUCUCUGAGAUCGAUUUACAAAUCAGAUCUCAACCAUACAGGUAUGACUUCCUUCAGAAUAUUUCAUCAACCCUGAAGCUGAUUGUUGAAAUCACUUUCAUGUAUUUCACAAAAAUGUUGAAAUCACUUUCAUGUAUUUCACAGACGGGUCGGUUCACAAAAACAUUGUUGAAAUCACUUUCAUGUAUUUCACAAUGCUAAUCUGAAAUCACUUUCAUGUGUUUCAUAAAACAAAUGUUGAAAUCACUUUCAUGUAUUUCACAAAAAAAAAAAAAACCAAUGUUGAAAUCACUUUCAUGUAUUUCACAAAACCAUUGUUGAAAUCACUUUCAUGUAUUUCACAAUGCUAAUCUGAAAUCACUUUCAUGUAUUUCACAAGACUAAGAUUGAAAUCACUUUCAUGUAUUUCACAAAAAAAAACCAAUGUUGAAAUCACUUUCAUGUAUUUCACAACAUUAAUCUGAAAUCACUUUCAUGUAUUUCACAAGAUCAAUAUUGAAAACACUUUCAUGUUUUUCAUUUGGGCAGGUCGCCCAUAAGAAUUAGUCCAACUGAAAAAUCUGUGUAUUUUUUCAACACUUCCAUCAUUUUUCUUUACAAAACUUACUAUGCAAAGUCAAAAGAAAAUGAAUUUUCCAAUGCCUUUGCACCGUAAGCAUUGUAAAGAGGGGGCAACUGUUGUAACCCAAUUUUGGAUCCACCAAGAUUUUCUCAAAUGUUAUUUUAUUUCUAUUAUUAUUUAUAAAAAUCCAAAAAAAUUAAGAAAAAGAAAAAUUCAAAAAUAUAUUUUUCUCGAGUCAACCGCAUCUUUCCGUCAAAACCGAGUCCACCAGGUCAAUACGGGUCAAACCAUGUCGACCAGGGUAAAAAAUGAGUUUCGGGCCGUUUCGGGUCAAAGCCGUCAUUUUUGACCAAAACCGAGUUCACCGAGUCAAUACGGGUCAAACCAUGUCGACCAGGGUAAAAAAUGAGUUUCGGGCCGUUUCGGGUCAAAACCAUUAUUUUUGACCAAAACCGAGUUCCCCAGGUCAAUACGGGUCAAACCAUGUCGACCAGGGUAAAAAAUGAGUUUCGGGCCGUUUCGGGUCAAAACCGUUAUUUUUGACCAAAACCGAGUUCACCAGGUCAGUACGGGUCAAACCAUGUCGACCAGGGUAAAAAAUGAGUUUCGGGCCGUUUCGGGUCAAAACCAUUAUUUUUGACCAAAACCGAGUUCACCAGGUCAGUACGGGUCAAACCAUGUCGACCAGGGUAAAAAAUGAGUUUCAUGCCGUUUUGGGUCAAACCUGUUAUUUUUUGGUCAAAACCCGGUCCACCGGGUUUAUAUCCAUUGAAAGUUUUUUUUUAUGUUUCAACAUAAUUUUCGGUAAUUUAAAAUUGAUUUUUAGCGGUUGAAUCGGGCUUUUUCUAAUACUGAUUUAAGUUUUAAUUUUACCUGUAUAAAUAUAUAUUAUUAUAUAUAAUAAAACAAAAUUAAUAAUACAGAAUUGUCGCGGGGCAGUUACAUUUAUUGUAGGCGAGCAGUUGGAUGGAUAUAUUUUUUUAUUUAAACAAGAUGCUUGCUGUCCCCUCUCAUUGGCUAUAAAUAGCCAGUGAGGAAAAACAAAAAAGAGGGAAGAAAAAGAAAAGAAAAGAGUAUCACUAUUCAAGUUUUUUUUUACUAUUUCUUCACAAGAGUAGGAUAUUGAUUUAAAAAAAAAACAAUAUGGAAAAUACCAAAUAUAUCCUAACCGUUAGAUCUAAUAGUGUUUAGAUCUGAACCGUUGAUUUAAGAGGAUACAAUAGGGCUUACCACACCAGAUUAAAACCCAAACACAUCUCAGCCCUUGAAAUAAUCUAAGCUUUGAUCCCGUUGCGCCACGUCACCCGGUGUACCGAGAUUUCGGUGUACCGCGUCACACCCGAUCCUACCUCUGUUCAUCCGGACCGUCCGAUCAACCUGCAGAUCGGGCCAAUCCCAGCCGCACGAUCUUUCCAGCCGAGAUCCAACGGUGCACAGUGUUCAGCAGUACCGGUGUACCAUACACGCGUUCAUACCAUAGCAUAAUCUCGGACUCUCUCUCUCCUCUCGUCGGCGACGCUCUCUCUCUCAUCCGAUCUCCACUUUCCGGCCGUCUCCAGCCUCCGAACCACCACAGAAAGGUUUCUCCCCUGCUGUAAAGAAAAACCCUGGUGGUUGUCAUCGUUAUCUCGGCCUCAUCUGGCCGGAAAAGGACCGCGAUCGUCGGCUGCCACCGAAGCUUCAAGUUGACGAUUCUCCCUCUUCAGCCAUCAACGACCGUCGAGACCACCGCCAUCAGAACCCUCGACAUCAGAUCUACCAGGAUCGACCAUCGGUUGGCCAGAAAUCUCGCCGGAAAAUCUCACCGCCUCCAACAGUAGCCGCGCGUGUGCCACACGCGCCGCCAGUGGCAUUUUCGUAAUUUUCGGAGAAAUUCGAGGGUAUUUCAGUAUUUUGCCUAUACAGUGGCACUCAGGUAAUGUUUCGGGGUUUCUACUGGUAUUUUUGAUAUUUUUUAUAUAUAAAUGCUUGUAAAUUUUCUUGCAUGUUGUAAAAAAUACAAAAAUCAAAGUCGACACGUCUCUUUUUUAAAAAAGGACCGAUGUCAAAAAUGCAAAUACCAAAUAUGGAUUAUGUCCAUUAUUUCUUUUGGUAACCCAGACGUAAUUCUCCGUUUUUAGGGAUAAACGUCAAUAUUUUAGACGAGUCUCCUAAUUUUUAGGGACUGAUGUUAUUUUUAACGUGUCUCCUAUUUUUAGGGACCGACGUUAACCAUUUGAAAAAAAAAACAAAUUACCAAUAAACCCAAAAUAUAAUGGAUUAUAUCCAUUAUUUCUUUUGGUAACCCAGACGUAAUUCUCUUUUUUAGGGUUGAAACGUCAUAUUUUAGACGAGUCUCCUAAUUUUUAGGGACUGAUGUCAUUUUUAACGUGUCUCCUAUUUUUAGGGACCGACGUUAAUCAUUUACAAAAAAUUACAAAUAAGCCCAAAAUAUAAUCGCAUUUGAAUCAAAUAAAAAACACACAAGUAAGGGUAACCUUUCUUUUGAAAGGAUGUUUUAAGGGUGGUGUCUACCUUCCCUUAAUCAUAACUAACCCCGUACCCGAAUCUCUGGGACCAGUGUCUAAUUUGGGAUUUCUAGUUCCCUCAAAUUACUAGAUGGCGACUCCAAUAAAAUCUUUGUUUCCCCCAAUUGAGAAAAAACCCUUUUUGUUAAAUAAACAAAAAAAGCGGGAGCCGUCGCCUGACGUCGUGUAUCGACAUAUGUUGUCCCACUGAGAAGACCUUUUUUGUUCUUUUGUGUGAAAAAAAAAACUAAAUAAACUAAUUAGAAAAUAAAAAAAAUUUGGGUCUGGUUCAAUUUCAGUUUUAAAAUUUUAAAACCGAUUGAACCAGAUGAAGUCAUAGAGUAGUCAUUAUUAUUAUAUUCCCAUUAUUAUUUAUUAUUCUAUAGAUUUUUCGAAGCUUUUGAAAAGAAAAAUUAACAUUGAUCAUUCAUUCACUUUUGAAAAAAAAUUCUUUUGCUUUUUUAUGUUGUUCCACUAAGAUGGCCUUUUUUUUUUCUUUUGUGAAUUAUGAUUUGACGUCAAACCAGGUGGAUUAUCAGUUGCAGCCACAAUUCACAAUUAUUUGAUGCAUAGCAAAAUAAUUAUUCAGAAUCACAGUACCUUGGCACUCCUUUCCAGCCAAUUUGAUAUAUUUUAAUAUAUUUCUAAAUAAAAAAGCUUUGAAUCUAUUAUAAUCUCAAUCAGGUCGAAAUCGAGAUGAAGGUUUACAAGGUCAAAGACAGCGAUCAAACACUCAUAAAUGCAAUGAACAGCUUGUUUUGGACUUCCCACGUAUACACCUGUUUUCUACCAUUAUAUCUGAAAAUGUCUUCAACAAAGCAUAUUCUCCUUCUUCUUCAUUUUUUAAAUGUUUUGAUAUGCAUAUUAAUUCAACAUUACAUAAGGCUUUUAUGAAUAAAAAGCCAUAAACAAAUGUGCAGCAGACAUCCAUCAAUGCAAGAAAUGCCCAUUUUCAAGAACUCUAAGCAACUCCUAUAUCAUUAUAAGAAGCACUGUCCAGUUGUUCUCAUGAAAUUAUUUUCCUCUAACCUCAUUAACAAUUCAUUGAGAAUCCCAAUAACUGAUUCAGUCACUUAAAAACCAGAACAAAACCCUCAAAUAUCAAAUCUUUAUAUGUUUCAAUAUCUAAAAAGAAGAAAAAGCAACAAUUUUCAAACUUUUUUCCUCUAUUUAAAAAAGGGGUAAAAAAGCAAUAUAGGUCAUGGAUUUCUUUUUCUUUUUUUGUUACAUGGAGAGUAGUUAGAUCUCAUUAACGCAAAUAAUUCAUCAAUCAUAAUCAAAACUCAAAACAAAGCAUGCAAGUAAACCAUGAAUAAUGUUGAUGGUAAAAAAAAAUGAUGUGUAAAUUGAGAUGGAGAGCUAAAUAUAUAAAAAGACCAAAAAAAACGGAGGAUGCUAUAUUCAUACAUCAAUCAAAGAAUGUGUGGAAACAAGUAAAAUAAUGGACAUCCAAAAGUGAAGUUUGAAAGUUAUGAAUUAAGAUUUUAUUUGUAUGUUUUUAUAAAAAUUCAAGAGAGAUCUAUAAGUUUAAAUUUUCAGGAAUAUAAAUAUGCAUCAAUAAAAACCUGUCAGGUCUGACGCUAGCUAGAUCUAGGUAUAUUGGGCUCGACAAUCUGUCAAGUCCCGGACAUGCUGGGUCUGACAGUGUGGAAUGGCUUUCAUUUCUUGAGCAUGCCCAAGAGAAUGAUCAUUGGGUCUAACUUAUGGGAAUAACUCAAUCUCUAUGAGCAUUAACUACAUUUGAUGUCCUAAACUCUAAUUUCCUUACAUCUUUUAGGUGUAUAAAAGUCUUCCAAGAACUCAUCAUAUUUCCAUCAAAUAUUAAUAUAGAUGUAAGAUAUAUUUAUCCUUUAUUAAAUGCUAUCGAGUCUCUUUAUAGAAGAACAAGACUCAUAUGCUAUAAAUACACAAUAAGACAUUCAGAACAGAGGUUCACAAUCUUUAUUUUCUACUACAUAUAUAAUUUCAGAGUAUUUUUUUCUAGAAUAUUUUUAUAUUUUUUUUUUAUAAAAAAAACAUACUUAUUUAAACAUCAGAUUUCAUCAUAAAUAUGUUCAUAGCAAAAAAUGAAAAAGAAAAAAAAAGCUGAUUCAGCAAAGCAAAUUAUUAAGGGUCUGUAUUUGCUUUCAUUAACUAAAAUAGCCAGAGAAACACAAUCCAUAUAUACAUGCCUGGAAUAAAAGAGGCACAAUGGAACAUGAAAGCCUUCUCUAAAAUGAGCAAACUAAGAUUGCUCAAAAUCGACAACGUGCAUCUUUCUGAAGGACCUAAAGAUCUUUCCAAUAAGCUACGAUUUCUUGAAUGGCAUUCUUACCCUUCAAAAUCAUUGCCAGCUGGUUUACAGGUGGAUGAGCUAGUUGAACUUCACAUGGCUAACAGUAGCAUUGAGCAAUUAUGGUAUGGGUGUAAGGUGAGAUCAACUAAUUUAAGGCCCUUUGUAUUUCUUUUUAUCGUUUUCCUAUAUAUAUAUGAUUGGCUAACAGUAUCCAUAUUUCUUCUCCCCUGCCUGAUUGCAGAGUGCAGUUAAUUUGAAAAUCAUUGUACUAACCCAAUUCUGGGUUAUUCCCUAAAAUUCAUUUUUUUUAAAAUAAAAACAAAAAAAAUAAAAUAAAAAAUAAAAGCUGGCAAUGUGGAGAAAGCUGAUCAAGAAAAAUAGGCAAAAUAGGCAAAAAUCAAUCUGCAAUUUUCAGAGGAAAUUCAAGGCCUUUCGGCGCCCCAUUGUGCCCAAAAUCGGAGAAAAAAAUGCAAAUUCAAGAUCAAAUUAAAUGAUUAUUGGACAAAUUUGCAUAAAAAUUAAGUCCAAUAACAUAAUUAAAUUUUUAAUAGGCCAAUUUGAUUUAAUCAUGGGUCAAAUUAAAUUUUAGUUAUGUUUAAGAAUUAAUUUAGGUCCAAAUGAAGGAUUUAAUUAAGUGCAAGUACUUAAUUAUACUUUAAAUGGGUCAAAUUAAUUUUAUUUGGGGCUUAAUUGGUGAAAAAUUAAGUUUGGGAGCCUAAUUUGGGCUUAAUGGAGAAGAUUGGAAUUUUAAGAGACCAAAUUUAAUUUUUACCAAGUUAAUUGAUUGAAAUCAGGGGUCAAAUUGCAAGAAAAUUGAAGUUUUGGGGCCAAUUAGGGGUUAAAUUGACAAAAUCCAAAGCCAAGGGCCAAUCUGCAAAAGGCGCCAAACUAUAGGGGUCUAAUUGACAAAAGCCAGGGGUCAAAUUGAAGAAAUUGAAAGCUGGAGGACUCAAUUGAAAAUCGGCAAAAAUCCCUAGCUUUUGAUCCAAAACGGCGCCGUUUUUGGUGUUUAAGAAAAAACAAAGAGGAGGAAGGGACCAGGCGACGCGUCGCCUGGUCACUGUUCAUCUUCUUCCCCACAAAACUGCCAGAGUAGCAGCUUUCCAGGCGCAUUUUCUACCUCGUUUGGCCUCCAAAUCCGACAACGCAUGCUCCAAAAUGUCCACCUCAAACCCCUUUAUCCUCGAGAAUGGUCCGGUCGGGUAGAAAAACUUUGAAACGGCUUCGUUUAUUGGCCCAAAGUGGCCACCUCGUUCAGUCUGCAGCCUUGGAUUGCCAAAUUUGGCAAUUCGAGGUGCACACUUUGAACCAACGGAUUGGAUUCCUCGAGUCGAAUCAAGGGCUGAGAAUUUUUCCCGUUGAAGACAAGAUUACCCUCUUUCCAGCCCUAUAAAUAGGAGCCAAUUUCAUGCUCAGGGGGAGGGGAAAAUUGAGCUCAAAAUUGGCAAAAAAUCAGCUUUUCCUGCCCGGUUUUCCUGCAACCAGCCUUCUCUUUUCUUUUUCUCUCCGCCGUGGCCUCCAGCCGCCACCACUGAUCUCGCCACCGUCCUUCCCAAGAAACACCACAUCCCAUCCAUCACCCAGCAACCUCACCACAGUCACAGUACCUCUCUUUCUCUCCCUCUCUUCUCUGCAAAAAUCUUAUCCUCUGCCACCGUGACUCCAACAGCGGCGGCGACAGCAGAGGUAGCAACCAUCUUGCCCAAAAGCUCUCUUCCACUCCUACCAGCAGCAGCCGGAGUAGCAGCUCCUUCCUCAGUCACACCAACAGCUCCAGCCGUGAGCUUUCCUUCUCCUCUGCAAGAAUCUGCUCCUUCUUCUUCCAGCCGGGACCAGUGCACGCCGUCGUCCUCGCCGCCUCCAGUCGCACCGCGCACCACCAGCUAGGCCGCCGACUCUCUCCACGCCAGGUAAUUCUCUCCUCCCCGCUCCACCCUUUUCAAAAACCUUUUUCCAACUAUUUUUUUUUUCAGGAUGCAGAUGUAGACUUUAAUAUUUGUGGGGUGUAAAAUUACACGAUAAAGUACACCCUCGGGUAUUAAACAUACAAGGUGUAAAUAAAUGCCAUCCUAAAAUUCAGACUUUAGAACGGUUAGGAUUUAACCCAAUAAGGUAGAGACUCCCUCACGAAGGGAGAUCUGCCUUGAACCUUAGAAAAGACCAACGAAUAGAAACUCGACCUAGAAAAACAAUCAAACAACAAUGCAGCUUACCUUAGGUAGGGUGCACUGGGGGUGAUGCAUCUUCCCCUUGCACAACCAGUCCCUUACUCAGACUCUCGCAGACCAUAGGUUCCUAGUGACCAUAAUACUAGGUGGCGACUCCAACGAACCAAGCAAAACACAAAUAAAAGAAAAAUCGCCAGCAGACGCCGCGCGGAUUUUCCGACGUGCGACAGAAUGGCGACUCCACUAGGGACGCCUUGUUUGGUCGGACUAAGCUUUGUUUGUUUGUUUAAUUAUCUGUUUUGGUCUGUUUAAAUGUACUGUUUCAGCACUUUUAUUUCUUGCUCAUACAUAAAUAAUGUGUUCAUGCUUUUUUAAAUUCUUGCAAGAUAACCCAACACUAGGAUAGGAGGGGAGUAGCGGUCUGCCCCAUGACUUUCAGUCGGGGUUCAGAUUCGCGAAACAUCCAACUAUGAGCUGAGUGUUUACUUGGUGAUAGCGGACACAUAGUGCCCGAACCUUCCCUUGUAAACCCCUAUACUGCCUUUACGUGAGGUGGUCACUGGGCAGUUCAUAUACCUUUUUGAGACCAGCUAGAAAACAUAUCCCUCGUAUAAUAACCUAGAUUUUUUUCUAAACUUUACAGGAUUUUUAUUGCUAAGACCAUGACUUCCCUUACCUUUUCGGAAUAUGGGGAAAGAUCUGAGAUGAUACAAGUAAUUGAAGGGGAUUGCCCAAGAACCAAGGUUGAGGAAUUACCACACAUAACCAAAGUGCAUUAUUCCGUAGACACCAUAAAGAAGUUGGCCUCUCUUCUGGGAUAUAUUGAUGAGAAUCUGUUUGAGAAGAAGUAUGGAAGAAUUGCUCAUCUAAUAAGAAUGCCUGUUCAGAUUUCAGCGGUCAAAGCCUUGAUGCAUUUCUGGGAUCCAAGCUACAGAUGUUUCACCUUUGGGGAUAUUGAUAUGACUCCUACUCUUGAGGAGUAUGCUCAGAUCUUAAGUUUUCCUAAUAGCCCCUACAAAGUAUACUUCAGACAAAGAAUUGAGAAUACAGUUACAGCAGUUGCCAAACUUCUACAUUUGGAUCAAGUUGAUCGGUACAGGAUACCCAAUGGAGGUUUCAAGUGGAAGAUGAUCGAGAAUAAAUUAAAGACAGAUAAGGAAGAAGGGAAGUUAGGAGAAGAAAGAUAUCAGAUAAUUGCUUUUGCCAUAUUUGGGUUGGUUCUGCUUCUUUCAGAAGCCGCCAGAAUUAUUAGCAUUGAAGUUGCUAAUGCCUUCCUCGAAUUUGAAGAGGUAAAGAAUAACCCUACUUCAGCUAUCUUAGCUGAAACCUUCCUAUCUCUAAACCAUUGCAGAUUACAUGGGAAAGGGGCGAUGCAAUGCUGUAUCCCUCUCUUAUUCAUGUGGAUAGUAAUCCAUUUGGAAGCAUCAAAAGAAGUCUUCAAUAAUUCUUGGUGGUUUAACAUGAGGCCUCUUGAGUUGGUGCUAGCUGAAGAAUGGAAUGAUUUGGAUGAAAAGGAAUGGGUAGAAAAAUACCGAGAACUUCCCAAAACUAAUUUCAGAUGGAAAGCUCCUUGGGUAAGUGGUUCAUCUUACCUCAUGAGUUGUGGCGACAAGGCAUGGGUUCCUUUGAUUGGCUUAACUGGAUAUAUCAGCUACUCACCCUCAUUAGUAGCUAGACAGUUUGGAGGAGUACAACACGUGCCAAGAACUUGGGCGGUGGCCGAAUAUACCGGUCUGUUUAAAGAAGCUAGCUCUUUGGAUAUGUUAGACGCCAUCAGAAAUGACUGGAAGCAGCCUGUUUUGGUCUCUAAGGAAGAGCAUAAAAAAGAGUUCUCUGUUAGCCCUGCAUAUUCAAUAUGGGGGAGUGGCAGUUCAUCUAAGAUACUUCAAAAAGCAAAAAAGCAAAGAAAAGCCUAAGAUAAGUCGUCUGUGACGUUCGAGCUGAAAAGAAAAAGGGUCAACAAUGAGGAAGACCUCCGAGAAGAGUUGGAUAAGCUGAGGAUUGAGCUCGGUAAUAGUAAAAAUCAUCAAAGAUUCCUGGAAGACCAACUUUUGAAAGAAGAAGAGAUGAAGGCCUCUCUGGAUCAACAGUUGAAGGAAAGAGAUGAGCAGAUUGUUAAGCUAAAGAAGAGCCAGCAUGAAGCAAAUCAGCAACUGAAUGAGGGGAAGGCCAAGAAUGACGAGUUGGUAAAAAAGAAUGACGAGUUGGUAAAAAAGCAUGUAAUGGUGGAGCAUGAAUUGGCGAGUCUAAAAAAGGCCUCGGAAAGUAGAAAGUCUGCCGACAAAGAAACAAUAGCUUUUCUGAAGAAAGAAAGGGACCGGUAUAAAUUAAAAUGGGAGGCUGAAAAAGAGAAGAAUAGAUUGGCUGAUCUCGCCAUUGAAGAAGAAAAAAGGGUAAGGACUCGAUAUCAGAUGCAGGCUGAAGAUGAGAGAGAAGCAAGAAGGGUAGCUGAGAUAGAGAUGAAGGGAUACCUGGAUAAGAUAAAUGGUAUGAGAAACCGAGUGUCUGUGAUACAAGCCGAGCUUGAGUCCCGAGAGGAAGAAGCAAAGGAAAUCAAGACUAGAUCAUCAGUUUUGAUGCACAACUAAACACUAAGGUAGCCGAGCUUGAUGUAGAGAAGGAAGAAUUGCAAAGGGCCAGAAAUCAGAUUCAACAGUUGGAAAAGGUGGUUCGAAUUUUGGAGACAAACAAUGAAACAUUAGCCGCCAGCAAUGGAACAUUGCUUCAAGAUAACACCGUGUUCCAUUACAAGAUUGAACAAACUGACAAGUUAAUCGACAUGGUGGCUAGAAAGGCAAAUGAGCUACGAGCAAAGGCUACCAGGAUUGCCAACAACCGCCAUAGAUACGAGGAAUAUUUGAAUGAAGUUUCCUCUUUCAUCAGGAUUGUGGCCAAUAGAGGGAUAUCAUUUGAAUGAAGACACUUUGUAUGAACCACUUUGUACUAUGUCUACUUUUGGAACUUUCAUAAUGUGUACGAAAUUUAAUCAAUCAAUGGAAUUGGGUAAAACCUCUUUGUGAGUAUCAGAUUUCGGAUGUUACCUGUAUUUGGCGAAGGAAGUCAUGGAUUAGCUCUUUAAAUCCAUAUACAUGCAUUUGCAUUCAUGUUUAUACAUUCAUUCAUUAUAACACACAUGCAUACACCAGGUCAAAAUAUAGGUCCCCAAAGAACUUACCACACCCGACUUCGAGCAAGGAACAUGGAAGAUGAAGCACGUGCUUACCGUGAGGCUCAUUUCCAAGAAGAGUUGGACUCUUUAAAGGACAGUGUGGCUCGCCUCACCGGCUUACUCGAGCAAGUACUAAGGAAUACCUCGGGUGAAGGUCCUUCAACUAGGCCUGCUCCUCUCCCAACAAACCAACCUGAAGAGGUAAUGGGAGAACAUGUGCAGGAACCCCAACACAAUCCAGUUUUCAUGCAGUCGCCAACACCCGUACCACCUGUACCAACACCAGUACUGUUGUAACCCAUUUUUGGGUCCCCACAAAAUAUAUAUAUAAAUAUGUAUAUAGCCAAAGGAGGUUAAGAAAAAAUAACAGGAGGCAGAAGCGCUCAGAAAAUGGUUGGAAAAUCGAUCAAUAAGGUUAAAAAUACAAAGAUUGGAUUUUUGACAGUAUAUUCUUGAAGGAGGAGAGCCCUGUUGAGAAGGAAAAUUUGAAAUUUGAGGAGAAAAGCCCAAAUUUGGAUGUUUAUGGACUUAAUUUGAUUUUUAAAUGAAUUUAUAGAGGAUUUGAUUGCAAGAAAAAUUGAUUUUUAAGUCAAUUUGGGCUUUAAUUAGAAGAAAUUUAAGUUCUGGGGCCAAAAUAUAUUUUUUAGGAAUUUAUUAGGUCAAAUCAGGGGCCUAAUUGCAUAAAUAUUGAAGUUUAAGGGCCAAUUAGGGACUUAAUUGAGAAAAUCCGAAACCAGGGACCAAAUUGGAAGAGGCGCGUAAAUGGAGGGGCUGGAAUUAAUUGAUUCAGGGGCCUAAUUGAAGAAAUUAGAAGUUUUUUGAUCAAUUAAGGGCUCAAUUGCAUAAAUCAGACACCAAGGACUAAAGUGAAAAACGCGGCCAACAAGAGGGACGAAGACCGAAAUUGGCAGGGAUGCAAUUGAAGAAAGAGAAGAUGAUUGAGGGCUGAUUUGAAAUUUGGCGCGUUUUGGCGCCACAUUUAAAUGAAACGGCGCGUUUUCUCCAAAACGACGCCGUUUCAUACAUUCAAAAAAAAAAAAAAAAAAAAGAGCAGAACGGUGUCGUUUUGAAACGACACUGUUCAUCUUCUUCCCCCGAUCACGCAGCGGGGAAGAAGGAGAAAGGGAAGCUUUAAUUUGAAUUUUGCCGGCCACUCUCUCGCCUGGAGCCCACCGACCGGACACAAUGGCCGACCAUCCACCGCGCACCACCCACCGAACCUCGGCAGCCGCGCCCAAUGGCCGACCAGCCGGUUGCUCCCCCAUGAGAGCUGUAAAAAACAGCGUCCUUGGCCUCUAUAAAUAGAGGCCAAGAACGCUGAGAGNNNNNNNNNNNNNNNNNNNNNNNNNNNNNNNNNNNNNNNNNNNNNNNNNNNNNNNNNNNNNNNNNNNNNNNNNNNNNNNNNNNNNNNNNNNNNNNNNNNNNNNNNNNNNNNNNNNNNNNNNNNNNNNNNNNNNNNNNNNNNNNNNNNNNNNNNNNNNNNNNNNNNNNNNNNNNNNNNNNNNNNNNNNNNNNNNNNNNNNNNNNNNNNNNNNNNNNNNNNNNNNNNNNNNNNNNNNNNNNNNNNNNNNNNNNNNNNNNNNNNNNNNNNNNNNNNNNNNNNNNNNNNNNNNNNNNNNNNNNNNNNNNNNNNNNNNNNNNNNNNNNNNNNNNNNNNNNNNNNNNNNNNNNNNNNNNNNNNNNNNNNNNNNNNNNNNNNNNNNNNNNNNNNNNNNNNNNNNNNNNNNNNNNNNNNNNNNNNNNNNNNNNNNNNNNNNNNNNNNNNNNNNNNNNNNNNNNNNNNNNNNNNNNNNNNNNNNNNNNNNNNNNNNNNNNNNNNNNNNNNNNNNNNNNNNNNNNNNNNNNNNNNNNNNNNNNNNNNNNNNNNNNNNNNNNNNNNNNNNNNNNNCAUGCAGAACGAAUAGCGUUCUGCAUGCAGGGGCGGGGGAGAAAUUAAUUCUCCCCCCGCCCGUUUUGUUGCUGGGCCAGGCGGGUCCUGGCCCAGCCCAGUCUUCUGGGCCGGGUUUGGCCCAGAAGAGAAUUUUUUUUUGGGCCGAGAUCGGCCCAAUAUUUUUUGGGCCGACCUCGGCCCAUCAUUGUCUAGACCAGUCUUCUGGGCCGGGCCUGGCCCAGAAAAGAUUUUUUGGGCCGAGAUCGGCCCAAUACAUUUUUGGGCCGACCUCGGCCCAUCAUGGUUUUGGGCUGAGUCCGGCCCAGUGGUUUGGGCCGGCCCAGCCCGAUUUAAUAUUUAUUAUAUAUAUAUAUAUUAUAUUUUGUAUUAUUUAUAUAUAUAUAUUUAUAUAUAUGAAAAACAUUAUAAAAAAUUGCAAAAAUUAUAGAAAAAUAUAUGUGAUUUUGUUGUAAUUUUAUUAUUAUAUUUUGAUUAAUAUUGGUUGGUAUUUUAUUUUGUAAAGAUACAAAACUCGGUAUUAAAAUACCCGGUUUUCAUCAAAACAUCAAAGAUUUUCAAAACAAAAAAUGUCUUUUGCUUUCAAAAAUUUUCUAAAAAAUAUCUUUGAAAAUAUUGUUGAUUUUUCGGCAUUUAUUUUAUCAAAGUGGAUUAAUAUUUGGUUGUAUUUUUUACAAACCCAGUAUUAAAAUACCCGAUUUGCGUCAAAGCGUACAAAAAUACAUAUUUUUUUUUUUAAAAAAAAAUGUUUUGUUUUAAAAUACGGCCUAGUCUCUCCAAUAUAUAUAUAUAAAUAUUAUAACAUCAUAUUUUCACAACAAAAGAAAUUUCAAAACAAUAUAUGUAUUAGCAUGCAUUUUGGCUUUAAUAACCAGUUUAUUCAAGUCAUGAGAACUAGGCCAAUAUUUCAAAAAUUCUAAAAAAAAUCUUUUUGUCCUUGGGAUUACUAAUUUUUACAUAAAACGUUUUCCUGAUAUUAAAAAUGUUUUUUUUUACAUAGACAUUAGAACGGUUAGGUUUUACCCGAUAAGAUAAGGACCUCCUUAUUGAGGAGGACUUUUCUUGAACCAUAGACGGACCAACAACUAGGAAACACAACGAAACCUUAAAUUUUAUCAGACAAUAAAAUGAUGCAGCUUACCUUAGGUAGGGCGUAUUUGGGGUGCUAAUACCUUCCCUUUACGCAACCAGUCCCCGUACCCGAUCUCUGAGACCAGUUAGGGUUCCUAGUGACCAAAAUACUAGGUGGCGACUCCCACACCAUUUUUCACUGCUAAGAGACAACGAAUUCCUUGUCUCCCCACAUUGACCAGAUAUAUAUAUCCCCCAUCCCUUUUAUUUUAUUUUUUGUGGGUGGACGAUCGCCGCGACGUCGCUCACGUGCGACAGAAUGGCGACUCCACUGGGGACCUUGUGGAUUAAGCUUUGUUUUUGUCUGAUUUGUUUUUGUUUUCGUGUGUUCAUUGUUAAUAUGCCUUUCCUUUUGUUACCUGCUUAUACGCUUUAAAUAUUUUUACACAUAUUAUUCAUGCAUGUAUAGAACUGUCUCAUACAUCUUAUAGAACUGUCACAUGCAUCACAUACUUUGAUGAUUGAGAGCACACACAAACUUUAAGUUAAGUGGGGGACUAGCAGCUUACCUUACGACUGUUAGUCAAGGUUUAAGUUUGUGUAAACCCCAACUCUUCGCUGAGUGCUUAGACUGGUAAUAGUUGGUACAUGUGACCAUCUCAUUGCCUACAAGCCCCCAUAUUGCCUCCACGAGGGCAAUCACUGGGACAGCAAGAGACCCUUUUUAGAGACUGAAUAGCCAACCUACCCUCGUCAAACACAAAAGAUUUAGAACCAGGCUAUAGGGUGUAUGCCCCCACAAAAUACAUUCUUGCAUAACACAACCUAAACCAUAAAGUAUUUGGUUUUCAGGUCAUUUUGAAACGAUAAGAUGGCCAUCAUUACCAAAUUUACUACUGUGGAAUAUGGGCAGAAUUCUGAAUUGUCACAACUAUCAGAGGGAGAUUGCUCUAGAUAUGAUGCAAGGAAGCUUCCAGUAGUCAAAGACCUGAAUUGCGUAGUAUACGAGAUGAAGAGAAUAUUGGGCCAUAGUCAGAAUAUUGAUGAGGCAGCAUUUUUUGGGAAGUAUGGGCGAUUAUUGGAAAUUGCAAAGAUAGGAGUAUUGAAUCCAGCAAUUAAAGCUUUGAUUAACUUUUGGGAUCCCGAUUACAGAUGCUUUUCUUUCGGAAAUGUGGAUUUGUGUCCCACUAUAGAGGAAUAUGGAAUGUUGAUGGAGUUUCCCAAACACCUGCACCAAGUUUAUUUUCCUUUGAGAAAUGACAAGGUGAUUCCUGAGUUGUCGAAAUUAUUGAAGAUUCCACAUCUGAGCAGAUUUUUGGAGAAGAAUGGCAGCGGUUUAAAGUGGAAAUUUUUGGAGGUUGAACUAGAAAAGAAAAAGGAGCAAUACGCCUCAGUGGUAGAAAGAGACAGGUUAAUCGCUCUAGGGAUCUAUGGUCUCGUGUUAUUUCCAAGCUUAAAAGGGGUUAUAAGUCUAGAAGCUGCUGCUGCAUUCGUGGAAUAUGAAAGUACUCAUGUCAACCCUACAACUGCCAUAUUAGCUGAGACCUUGCUGACCCUCAACCAUUUUAGAAAAACAGGGAAAGGCGCAGUAAGAUGUUGUACUCAGUUAUUAUACAUCUGGAUGGUAAGCCAUGUUGAAACCAAGAAGCCGAUCUUUAAUAAUUUUUGGUGGUUUAACCAAAAACCUUUGAAGAUAGUAGAGGAAGAAGAAUGGGGAAUCCUAGGUGAUCAGGGUUGGAUGAAAAAACUCCAAGAGUUACCUAGUAGCAACUUUAGUUGGAAGGCCCCUUGGGUUAAAUCAGUUGAUGUCAUAGUAAGUUGUGGACAAAAAUGCUGGGUACCUUUAAUUGGGAUCACAGGUUAUGUCAGCUACGCUCCGGCUUUGGUGAUAAGACAAUUAUGUGGCAUACAACACAUCCCAAGAACUGUGGGACUUGCUGAAUUUUCCGGAUUUUUCAAGGAUCAAUCCGCGCGAGAAGUUCUUGAAACCAUCAAACAAGAUUGGAGCCAGUUGACUCUAAUUCAAAAGGAGUCAGAAAGUUUGAGAGACCCUAGCUCAAGUGAAGGAUAUGAAAAGUGGAGGAAUUUGACCCCGAUUGCCAUUCCGAAAAAGCCAUGUUCUGCAGAUGGGCCUUCACGAAUUGAAGAAGGGUCUUUGAAAAGAAAAAAGGUCAGUAAUGAAGAAGACCUUAUGGAGCAAAUAGAAAGGCUACAAAUAGAAUUGGGAAAGAGUAAGGGAGAUAAAGCAGCAUUAGAAAGGAUGAUGAUGGAAGGAGAUAAAAGCAGAGUGUUUCUAAACGAACAGCUCGAAUCCAAAGAUGCGAAAAUCGGGAUGUUGGAGCUGCAAUUGAGCAAAGGAAAGGCUGUAAUAGAGGAGUCUGAGAAAGAAAGAGGAAGACUGAUUUUGGAUUUUAUGCAAAGCAGCUCUGAGUUGGAAGCAUUGAAAGCCGACUUCGAUGGCUAUCAAGAGAAUGUUGAGUACAAUCAGGACAAAUUCUUGCAUGUUAAAGCAGAGUUGUUAGACCGAAUUGAGAAGUAUGAUGAGUUAAACAAGAAAUAUAUGAUGAUAGAAAGUCGGCUAACUGAAUUACAAGAGUUCGAAAGAAAGGGGAAUGAAGAGGAGGUUUUGAAGGCAGAUUUGGCAGUUAAGAAAAUUGAAAUUAGAAUGUUGAAGGUGAAGUUUGACAAAGAACGAGAAAAGGUGAAACAGUUGACCAACAGGUUGGAAGUUUCAGAAAAACAUAAAGAACAGAUCGACACCAACAACAAUACUUUGAAUCGGAACAACAUGGUGCUUAUAGAGAAGAUGGCCAAGGUAGAUGAGCAAAUGGAUGAAGCUGCCAUUCACGCACGAAUUAUUAGAGCCAAUGCUCGAAGGGUGGGAAGGGACAUCCUUCGUUAUCGACAAAGCUUGGCUGAGACAGAUGCCUUUUUAGAGAAAAUUGAGAAUCGAGGCCUCGCUUUCCUACCAGUGGCUAGAGAUAUGGAUGAAGAAGAAGAUUGAUGUAUUUAUCUUUUUAUUAUUUUGUACCCUCUCUUCAAGAGAUGUAUUAGCCAAUAUUAAUGAAAAGGGGCUUUGACCCAUCUUUUAUAAAUAUAAGCCUACCAAAGCAGCAGCUUGAGCACAACUACUCCUGAUAAGGAACGUGACAAAAAGAGUCCAUGCCCAUUACACAAGAGGAAUGUUGGCCAUCGAUCGUUUUUUUUAAAAAAAAAACAAGUUUCUAAGAGUAUUCAUGCAUUGUUUAUUUAUCACACAUUCAUUUACAUUUUUUUCAUGCAUCCCAGACCGUGAAACAUAGGUCCCACAUCCAAAAUCCACAACACCCGGUCUCGAGCGAGAAUGGAGAACGAAGAAAGAGCUCACUUAGAGUCACAUUAUCAGACCGAGUUGGAGUCUGUAAAGAAUGAAGUUUCUCGGCUAACCGACUUACUUGAGCAGCUUCUAAGGGCUAAGAAUGGGGAGGGAACAUCAGCACGACAGCUUGAAGGAGCGCCAGCAGUUCACAUUCCUCAAGCAUCUCAAAACCAGGGGGCAAACUCGGCCAAUGAACAACAGUUUGUGCCUAUUACUCCUAGCCUACCACCUCAUACUCCAGUCACUGUUGACCUAACAACGGAGGGAGUCCCGGAUAAUAGGUCUCCCAGUUUGAUAGACCAAGACAAGCUGUUUGCUCUGGAAGAAAGAUUAAGGGCAGUUGAGGGUAAUGACUGGUUUGACCCUAUGCGAGCAGCCGAAGUAUGUUUGGUACCAAACAUCGUGGUACCAAAAGAUUUUCGCAUACCAGAGUUCAUUAAGUAUACCGGUUUGGAAUGCCCAAACACUCACCUUCGAUCCUACUGCAACAAAAUGGCGGAAGUAAUCCGUGAUGAUAAAAUGCUAAUCUAUUUCUUUCAAGAUAGCCUAGCAGGAUCCGCUUUAAGCUGGUACAUGAGGUUAGACAGCAUCAGGAUCAAGAGCUGGAGAGACUUGGUGGAGGCUUUCCUCAAACAGUACAAGUUUAACAUGGAAAUCGCUCCUGAUCGAACAAGUUUAAUGGCAAUGGAGAAAAGAAGCCAGGAGUCAGUAAGGGCUUAUGCGCAAAGAUGGAGGGAUGAGGCAAUGCAUGUCCAACCCCCUUUGAUAGAAACGGAGAUGGUGAGCUUGUUUGCCAAUACCUUCAAAGCACCUUAUUAUGAGCACCUAAUGGGUAGCUCCUCUCAACAUUUCUAUGAUGCGGUACGCAUAGCUGAGAGGAUAGAACAGGGGAUCAAAGCUGGGCGAAUAGCAAUGCCAGUGGAAAAGAAGGGCUUUAUUGGAAGAAAGAGAGAAGGCGAUGUUAACAAUUUGGAGGACGGGUAUAAGGGCAAGAAAGUAGAUUCCCACAAUCCACAAGUACCUACCUCUCAAUUCUCACGCAUAAACUUUAACCAAUCUUUUUCGCCUAAUCGAACAAAUAACCAAUCAAACUACCAAAAUCACUACCAAAGACCCCAUACGAGAUACCCUUCGGAACAACUACCACCGCUACCCAUGCCUUUGAAGGACAUGUAUGCCAAACUGUUGAGCAUUGGGCACAUAGCUCCUAUCCCUACACUACCAUUACAACCACCAUUCCCAAUUUGGUACAAGCCCGAGUUAACUUGUGAGUACCAUGCGGGUAAUCCUGGGCAUGGGAUUGAAACCUGUUACGCUUUCAAGAAAAGAUUGAUGGAGCUUAUUAAGAUAGGAUGGGUAUCCUUUGAAGACAAGCCCAAUGUUAAUUCAAACCCGUUGCCUAAACAUGCCUCAAGUAGUAGUGGAAUAGGCAUGAUAGAAGUUGGAAAUCAAUGCAAGGUGUUGAAGGUGUCUAUGGAAAAGAUGUACUACAUGUUAGUACGAUCAGGAUUUCUAGAGGCAAAUAUGGAAGGCCAUUCGGAGGGAGGUAGUUAUUGUGAGUUCCAUGGCAGAGAUGGACACUAUAUUGAGGAUUGCAUCGAGUUUUGCGAAAAGAUUGCAAAAAUGUUAAAAAUGAGGCAAUUAAGAAUUGAACCCAUGGAGAACAGGGGUGAGGUGAGUAUGAUAGAAGAUCAGAUGGAGAUGACAGGAGUAUGCAGGGUCCAACAAACAGCUAAUGGUCCCCCAAGGCUAAUCUUGGUUAAACCAUCCUACACAAAAGGGAAUCACAAUGCCAUGCCUUAUAAUUAUGGUUAUGCCUCCAACGUUCAAGCUCCUCUUCCUUUGUCCCAGACUGAGAUAAGUGGGUUGACCAGGAGUGGUCGUUGCUUUACUUCCGAGGAGUUGAGGAAGGAAAAGGGUAAAGAAGUGGUAGAUCUUGACAAAGCACUAGAAGUUAAUAAGCCGGUAACAGAAGAAGAGUCGAAUGAAUUCCUGAAGUUGAUCAAGCAUAGUGAAUAUUGCAUAGUUGAUCAACUAAAGAAGACUCCAGCUAGGAUCUCCCUUAUGUCCUUGAUACUCAGCUCUGAGCCGCAUCGAAACGCCUUGCAAAAGGUAUUGAAUGAGGCAUAUGUACCCCAAGACAUUGAGCAUAAAACCAUGGAGCAUCUAGUGGGGAGGAUCCAUGCAACUAAUUACCUAUACUUCACAGCAGAUGAGCUCGAUACUGAAGGUACCGGACAUAACAAGCCCUUAUACAUUACGGUUACGUGCAAGGACUGCCUCAUAGGAAAAGUACUCAUUGAUAACGGCUCGGCCUUUAAUGUGUUGCCAAAGCACAUGUUGGAAGAAAUGCCGAUCGAUGAAUCCCAUAUAAAGCCAAGUACUAUGAUGGCCAGAGCGUAUGAUGGCUCACCUAGGCCAAUAAUUGGGACUCUAGAAGUGGAGCUAUAUGUGGGACCACAAAUGUUCCUAGUAACACUUCAAGUUAUGGAUAUUCAUCCUUCCUAUAGUAUGUUGUUAGGAAGACCUUGGAUUCAUGCAGCGGGGGCAGUAGCUUCAUCAUUGCACCAAUGCCUGAAGUAUAUCAUGAAUGGGAUGUUGGUAACUGUCAAGGCUGAGGAGACAGUAUCCAUGAUAAAGAAUGUAGCUGUGCCUUUUAUCGAAGCGAAUGAUUGCAAGGAUAACAAUAUCCAUGCCUUUGAAAUUGUGAACACUGACUGGGUGCCGGAGAACACAGUGCUAAGAAGGCCAAGGAUCUCAGAAGCAGCAAGGAUGGCAAGUCUAUGCCUUUUGAACCGCGGGAUCCCAUUUCAGUAUAACUUUAUUAUCAGGAUACCGAAGGGGUUAAUCUGGCAAGGAUGAAAAGUGUUGCUCAAAGAUUUGGGUUAGGAUACCAACCUAACCAAGAAGAUUAUCGGUGGGCUGCUGGUCGGAGAAGGGCAAGAAGGAUGGCUAGAAUUAAAGGAAGAGAGCCUGAUGAAGAAAAGCUAGAAAUCCCUCCCCUUAGCAUGUCAUUCCCAAAAGCUGCAUACAUAAUGCAAAAUGAUAAAGAAGCCGAAAGCCUUAAUCAAGAGCUGUCAAACAUGAGCAUAAAUACCUUGGGGGAAAACAAGGUGGAAGAAGAUGACAUGAAGACAGUAGCAAGAAAGGGAGAUGAAGCACUCCCACAACUGACGGUCUACACCAUAGAAGAGGUCUCCGCCAAGACCUUUGUGCGCAAGUUGGCUCAAGACGAGAAGUUUCAGAAUUGGGUGACCCAAGAAGCUCCAGUGGUUUUCAAAAUGUAAACCAAUUUUGUUUAUCUUAACAUGCUUUUGUCAUUGCUUUGUUUGGUUUUCAUUUAUUUUCGCUAGUCGACAAUCAAGGCUCAAUUGUCGGUUAGACUUUAUGUUUGUCAUGGAGCCCACUUUUUCUUUAAAUAAUUGUGAGAUCAUGCACUUUCCACAAAUUGCUUUCUUUUUUAUGCAUUUACACCAAACACUUCCCGCUUUCAGGAAUCCUGAAAGCGGAUCUCCAACAACAUCACAUAUAUUUAGCAUCAAGAAUAAAUGGCCAAACUUGAACGAGCAUGUGAUAGCUAUGGAAGAAGAAGAAUGGGAUGAAAGCAAUAUUAGUGAAUUCACCAGGCUAGUAGAACAACAGGAACAGACUUGGAAGCCUAUCGCCGAGGAACUCGAAACCAUCAAUGUGGGUAGUGAUCAGCUCAAGAAAGAGUUGAAAAUAGGUACCUUAGUUACUUCUGAACAAAGGACAAAAAUGAUCGCCCUGUUACAAGAAUAUGCAGAUGUCUUUGCUUGGUCUUAUGAAGAUAUGCCUGGUUUGGAUACAAAUAUUGUAGUACACAAGAUACCGUUGGAAGAAGGCUGUAAGCCAAUCAAGCAGAAGCUGAGGAGGGCCCACCCGGAUGUCUGGAUCAAGGUCAAGGCAGAACUCGAGAAGCAAUGGGAUGCUGGCUUUCUAGAAGUAGUUAGAUAUCCACAAUGGGUAUCUAACAUUGUUGUGGUACCUAAGAAGGAGGGGAAGAUUAGAGUAUGCGUGGAUUUUCGGAAUUUGAAUAAAGCUAGCCCCAAGGAUGAUUUUCCUCUACCACACAUAGAUGUUUUAGUGGACAAUGCUGCCCGGAGUUCCACAUAUUCCUUUAUGGAUGGUUUUUCAGGAUACAACCAGAUAAAAAUGGCUCCGGAGGAUAAGACGAAAACAACUUUUGUUACACCGUGGGGGACAUUCUGCUAUAAGGUCAUGCCAUUUGGAUUGAAGAAUGCAGGAGCAACCUAUCAAAGAGCAAUGGUGACUUUGUUCCACGACAUGAUGCACAAGGAAAUUGAGGUGUAUGUAGACGACAUGAUUGCCAAGUCUAAAAGAGGAGAGGAUCAUGUUGAAGUUUUGAGGAAGUUGUUUGAGAGAUUGAGGAAGUAUGAAUUAAGGCUCAAUCCUGCCAAAUGUUCAUUUGGAGUUAAAUCGGGUAAGCUGUUAGGUUUUGUGGUAAGUGAUAGAGGUAUAGAGGUGGAUCCAGAUAAAGUAAGGGCCAUCCAAGCUAUGUCAUCCCCUAAGACGGAGAAGGAAGUAAGAGGAUUCUUGGGAAGGAUAAACUACAUUGCUCGGUUCAUAGCUCAGUUAACAACGACGUGUGAACCAAUAUUCCGACUACUAAGGAAAAAGAAUCCUGGAACCUGGAAUGAGGAGUGUGAGGAGGCAUUCAAUAAAAUCAAGCAUUAUUUGCAAAAUCCACCUUUACUGGUCCCUCCGGUAUCGGGAAAACCUCUAGUAUUGUAUCUAACAGUGACUGAAGCAGCUAUGGGAUGUGUAUUGGGUCAGCAUGAUGAAACCGGAAGGAAGGAAAGAGCUAUUUAUUACUUAAGUAAGAAAUUCACUGAAUGUGAGUCUAGAUACACGGAGAUAGAAAGGCUUUGUUGUGCGUUGGUGUGGGCAGCAAAGAGGUUGCGGCAUUAUAUGUUAUACUAUACCACUUGGUUGAUUUCAAAAGUGGAUCCUCUGAGGUAUAUUUGUAACAAGCCAUUUCUCUCAAGUCGAAUUGCAAGGUGGCAAGUUCUAUUGGCAGAAUAUGACAUAGUAUACAUGACAAGGAAAGCCAUAAAAGGAAGUGCAAUCGCGGACCAUCUGGCUGAUAAUGCUGUUGAAGAUUACGAACCCUUGGAUUUUGACUUCCCUGAUGAAGAUAUAUUGUCAAUAGAGAAAGAAGAAGAGCAGACAGAUUGGUGGACAAUGUUUUUUGAUGGUGCAGUGAACGUAUAUGGUAACGAGGCCGGCGCGGUAAUAAUCUCUCCUGAUAAGAAACAGUAUCCAGUUUCGGUUAAACUACAUUUCGAGUGCACCAACAAUACAGCUGAGUAUGAAGCUUGUAUCCUUGGUCUAGAAGCGGCAUUAGAGCUGAAGAUAAAGAAGUUAGAUGUGUACGGAGAUUCAAUGUUGAUUAUCUGUCAGGUUAAGGGGGAAUGGCAGACCAAAGAGGAAAAGUUGAGGCCGUACCAGGAAUACCUGUCCACGCUAGCGAAGGAAUUUGAAGAAAUUAGAUUCACCCACCUGGGAAGAGAAGGGAACCAUUUUGCAGAUGCUUUGGCCACGCUAGCAGCUAUGACUACCAUUGAUCUCAAGUGCAAGGUACAACCGGUACACAUUGACAUUAGAAAUGACCCAGCUCACUGUUGUUUAGUUGAAGGAGAGAUAGACGGACAGCCUUGGUAUUAUGAUAUCAAGAACCUUGUGCAAAAUCAGGAAUAUCCAGUGGGAGCCUCCAAAACGGAUAAGAAAACCUUGAGAAGGUUGGCUACAGAUUUUUAUUUAGAUGGAGAGAUUCUGUACAAAAGAUCAUUUGAUGGAACCUUGCUAAGGUGUUUGAAUGAGGCAGAUGCUAGAAAGGCAUUACGGGAGGUCCAUGAGGGGAUUUGCUCAACCCAUGCUAGCGGGCAUAUGAUAGCAAGGAAAAUCCAAAGGGCUGGUUAUUUUUGGAUGACACUAGAGAAAGACUGCAUCGACUAUGUCAGGAAAUGUCACAAGUGUCAAGUUUACAGUGAUAAGGUCAAUAUGCCACCAGCUCCUCUAUUUAAUCUGAUAUCUCCUUGGCCAUUUGCAAUGUGGGGAAUCGAUGUAAUUGGUCCGGUUAACCCAAAAGCUAGCAAUGGGCAUAGAUUCAUCCUUGUGGCUAUUGACUACUUCACCAAAUGGGUGGAAGCUAAUUCGUAUGCCCAUGUAACACAGAACGUAGUNNNNNNNNNNNNNNNNNNNNNNNNNNNNNNNNNNNNNNNNNNNNNNNNNNNNNNNNNNNNNNNNNNNNNNNNNNNNNNNNNNNNNNNNNNNNNNNNNNNNUGACCGAUAAUGCACACAAAUUCAAUGCCAAAAUGAUAGUGGAGCUGUGUACUAAAUGGAAAAUCAAGCAUUCGAAUUCCUCACCAUACCGACCAAAAAUGAAUGGCGCAGUAGAAGCCGCCAACAAGAACAUCAAAAAGAUUAUUCAGAAAAUGGUAGUCACAUAUAGAGAUUGGCAUGAGAUGUUGUCAUUCGCUCUUCACGCAUACCGCACUACAGUGAGGACCUCGACAGGAACUACUCCAUAUUCUUUGGUGUACGGUAUGGAAGCAGUGAUGCCUUUGGAAGUAGAAAUCCCGUCGUUAAGAGUAUUGAUGGACUCCGAAUUAGAAGAGGCCGAGUGGGCCAAAGUGAGAUAUGAGCAACUGAACCUGAUCAGUGAAAAGAGGAUGGCCGCAAUAUGUCAUCACCAACUGUACCAGAAACGAAUGGCCAAGGCAUAUGAUAAGAAGGUUAGACCGCGGUUGUUUCAAGAAGGGGAUCUAGUAUUGAAGAAAAUAUUGUCACUACCUGGAGACGAUCAAAGCAAAUGGGCACCGAAUUAUGAAGGUCCUUACAUAGUAAAGAAGGCAUUCUCAGGAGGAGCACUGAAGUUGGCUAGAAUGGAUGGAGAAGACCUAGCUCGACCUGUGAAUUCUGACUCUGUAAAAAGAUAUUAUGCUUGAUGUAGGCUCCUAAAUCAAUAAAGCAAAGUUUGGCCAUUGACUUCUUUCUCUUUUGCAUUGAUCUCACAACAGUCAUUUUUACAUUAAUCCCAACAGUGCAUGUUUUGUUUUAUCUCAUUUAAAAAGUGUAGCGUCGGCUGAACGAAUUUCUUCUCUCUAUAAAAGCCUAGACUAGAAUCACACCCCUACACUGGGGGCAAUAAGAGAUAUUUUCAUGUACGAAAGCCUAUAGAUUUUGAAAACCAAGCUAAAACAUUUGACAAAAGCAUGACAAAGAGGCAAUGACAAGUCAUAUAUUUUGGAAAAAGGACUAUUUGAAGAAAGUCAGAGAUUUCUUCUCCAAGAAUAUGAUCGGAGGCAACACGAGAGAGGAAUCCAGCAUACGACUUCAAAAGCAAGCUCAUGAUAAGAUGGAAUCUCAUGAACUCGAAGAAGAGGAUGGGGCCUAUGUUUCAAAACCAGGUACGAAUGCAUGCAUGGCAUUUAAUCAUAAAUCAUUGCAUAUAUGUUUUUUUGGGAUCGUUACAGGAGGAGACCUUAAUACAUUCCAACAAAAUUGAAGACGAAGAAAAAAUCAUUGAGUUGAUUCUAAAACAACAAGAAGAGAAAAUAAUAAUGUUCAAACCCUGCCAUCAGGAAGAGCGACAUCGAGCAAGCGGUAAAAGGGAAUCGCCAGAGGGGACUCCAGGUUAACCGAUUUACAAGAUAGAUUUUUUGGUUUUUGAUUAAAGGAGAUCGCCAGAAGGGAUCUCAUUAUUUCAGCUUCGAAUAAAAGGGAAUCGCCAGAUGGGAUUCCAAGUUGUCUUAGAUCGCAAGAGGGGAUCUUGUAUUUCGAUAUUGGUCAAAGAAGGUCGCCAGAAGGGACCUCGCGUAUCGCUUUGAAUAAAAGGAAUCGCCAGAUGGGAUUCCAAGUUAAAGGAGACCGCCAGAAGGGAUCUCGUGUUUCGCUAUUUGAAGGUCGCCAGAUGGGACCUCGUAUUACCUGUUUUAAAAAAAAAGGAAUCGCCAGAUGGGAUUCCAAGUUGAUUAAAGGAGAUCGCCAGAAGGGAUCUCGUGUUUCAUUAUUUGGAGGUCGCCAGAUGGGACCUCGUUUUUCAUGAAUAAAAGGAAUCGCCAGAUGGGAUUCCAAGUUGAUUAAAGGAGAUCGCCAGAAGGGAUCUCGUGUUUCACUAUUUGGAGGUCGCCAGAUGGGACCUCGGUUUUCAUGAAUAAAAGGAAUCGCCAGAAGGGAUUCCAAGUUGAUUUAAGGAGAUCGCCAGAAGGGAUCUCGUGUUUCAUUAUUUGGAGGUCGCCAGAUGGGACCUCGUUUUUCAUUAAAUAAAAGGAAUCGCCAGAUGGGAUUCCAAGUUGACUAAAGGAGAUCGCCAGAAGGGAUCUCGUGUUUUGAUAUUUGGAGGUCGCCACAUGGGACCUCAUAUUUCGUUUGAAUAAAAGGAAUCGCCAGAUGGGAUUCCAGGACGAUUAAAGGAGAUCGCCAGAAGGGAUCUCGUAUUUCGCUAUUUGGAUGUCGUCAGAAGGGACCUCAUAUUUCAACAUUGGUUACAAGGAAUCGCCAGAUGGGAUUCUAAGAUUUUUUGUUGAAGGAGAUCGUUAGAAGGGAUCUCGUAUUUCAAUAUUGGUUAAAAGGGAAUUGCCAGACGGGAUUCCAAGUUGAGUAAGCAAUAAUUAUAGAUUUUGGUUUAGAGAGAUCGCCAGAAGGGAUCUCAAGAUGAUAAAUUUUGAUCAUAGUUUUUGAAGUUAAGGAGGAUUGCUGUAAAAGACAAGUUUCAGGUCAAUCAAGCUUCAACCAGAUCAGUUUUGGGAGUUCCGUUUAGGGUUUAUCUUUAUAAAACUUACUGCGCAAAACCUCUGCUCCGUAAGCAUUAUGCUGUAAAAGACAAGUUUCAGGUCAAUCAAGCUUCAACCAGAUCAGUUUUCGGAGUUCCGUUUAGGGUUUAUCUUUAUAAAACUUACUGCGCAAAACCUCUGCUCCGUAAGCAUUAUAAAGAGGGGGCAUCUGUUGUAACCCAUUUUUGGGUCCCCACAAAAUAUAUAUAUAAAUAUGUAUAUAGCCAAAGGAGGUUAAGAAAAAAUAACAGGAGGCAGAAGCGCUCAGAAAAUGGUUGGAAAAUCGAUCAAUAAGGUUAAAAAUACAAAGAUUGGAUUUUUGACAGUAUAUUCUUGAAGGAGGAGAGCCCUGUUGAGAAGGAAAAUUUGAAAUUUGAGGAGAAAAGCCCAAAUUUGGAUGUUUAUGGACUUAAUUUGAUUUUUAAAUGAAUUUAUAGAGGAUUUGAUUGCAAGAAAAAUUGAUUUUUAAGUCAAUUUGGGCUUUAAUUAGAAGAAAUUUAAGUUCUGGGGCCAAAAUAUAUUUUUUAGGAAUUUAUUAGGUCAAAUCAGGGGCCUAAUUGCAUAAAUAUUGAAGUUUAAGGGCCAAUUAGGGACUUAAUUGAGAAAAUCCGAAACCAGGGACCAAAUUGGAAGAGGCGCGUAAAUGGAGGGGCUGGAAUUAAUUGAUUCAGGGGCCUAAUUGAAGAAAUUAGAAGUUUUUUGAUCAAUUAAGGGCUCAAUUGCAUAAAUCAGACACCAAGGACUAAAGUGAAAAACGCGGCCAACAAGAGGGACGAAGACCGAAAUUGGCAGGGAUGCAAUUGAAGAAAGAGAAGAUGAUUGAGGGCUGAUUUGAAAUUUGGCGCGUUUUGGCGCCACAUUUAAAUGAAACGGCGCGUUUUCUCCAAAACGACGCCGUUUCAUACAUUCAAAAAAAAAAAAAAAAAGAGCAGAACGGUGUCGUUUUGAAACGACACUGUUCAUCUUCUUCCCCCGAUCACGCAGCGGGGAAGAAGGAGAAAGGGAAGCUUUAAUUUGAAUUUUGCCGGCCACUCUCUCGCCUGGAGCCCACCGACCGGACACAAUGGCCGACCAUCCACCGCGCACCACCCACCGAACCUCGGCAGCCGCGCCCAAUGGCCGACCAGCCGGUUGCUCCCCCAUGAGAGCUGUAAAAAACAGCGUCCUUGGCCUCUAUAAAUAGAGGCCAAGAACGCUGAGAGUGGGAGGAGGAAAAACAGAAAAAGAAAGAAGAAAAUGAGAAGACCGAAACAUAGAAAAAAAAGAGGAAACGGAGGAGAGAGNNNNNNNNNNNNNNNNNNNNNNNNNNNNNNNNNNNNNNNNNNNNNNNNNNNNNNNNNNNNNNNNNNNNNNNNNNNNNNNNNNNNNNNNNNNNNNNNNNNNNNNNNNNNNNNNNNNNNNNNNNNNNNNNNNNNNNNNNNNNNNNNNNNNNNNNNNNNNNNNNNNNNNNNNNNNNNNNNNNNNNNNNNNNNNNNNNNNNNNNNNNNNNNNNNNNNNNNNNNNNNNNNNNNNNNNNNNNNNNNNNNNNNNNNNNNNNNNNNNNNNNNNNNNNNNNNNNNNNNNNNNNNNNNNNNNNNNNNNNNNNNNNNNNNNNNNNNNNNNNNNNNNNNNNNNNNNNNNNNNNNNNNNNNNNNNNNNNNNNNNNNNNNNNNNNNNNNNNNNNNNNNNNNNNNNNNNNNNNNNNNNNNNNNNNNNNNNNNNNNNNNNNNNNNNNNNNNNNNNNNNNNNNNNNNNNNNNNNNNNNNNNNNNNNNNNNNNNNNNNNNNNNNNNNNNNNNNNNNNNNNNNNNNNNNNNNNNNNNNNNNNNNNNNNNNNNNNNNNNNNNNNNNNNNNNNNNNNNNNNNNNNNNNNNNNNNNNNNNNNNNNNNNNNNNNNNNNNNNNNNNNNNNNNNNNNNNNNNNNNNNNNNNNNNNNNNNNNNNNNNNNNAAUUUUAUUAUUAUAUUUUGAUUAAUAUGGGUUGGUAUUUUAUUUUGUAAAGAUACAAAACUCGGUAUUAAAAUACCCGGUUUUCAUCAAAACAUCAAAGAUUUUCAAAACAAAAAAUGUCUUUUGCUUUCAAAAAUUUUCUAAAAAAUAUCUUUGAACAUAUUGUUGAUUUUUCGGCAAUUAUUUUAUCAAAGUGGAUUAAUAUUUGGUUGUAUUUUUUACAAACCCAGUAUUAAAAUACCCGAUUUGCGUCAAAGCGUACAAAAAUACAUAUUUUUUUUUUUAAAAAAAAAUGUUUUGUUUUAAAAUACGGCCUAGUCUCUCCAAUAUAUAUAUAUAAAUAUUAUAACAUCAUAUUUUCACAACAAAAGAAAUUUCAAAACAAUAUAUGUAUUAGCAUGCAUUUUGGCUUUAAUAACCAGUUUAUUCAAGUCAUGAGAACUAGGCCAAUAUUUCAAAAAUUCUAAAAAAAAUCUUUUUGUCCUUGGGAUUACUAAUUUUUACAUAAAACGUUUUCCUGAUAUUAAAAAUGUUUUUUUUUACAUAGACAUUAGAACGGUUAGGUUUUACCCGAUAAGAUAAGGACCUCCUUAUUGAGGAGGACUUUUCUUGAACCAUAGACGGACCAACAACUAGGAAACACAACGAAACCUUAAAUUUUAUCAGACAAUAAAACGAUGCAGCUUACCUUAGGUAGGGCGUAUUUGGGGUGCUAAUACCUUCCCUUUACGCAACCAGUCCCCGUACCCGAUCUCUGAGACCAGUUAGGGUUCCUAGUGACCAAAAUACUAGGUGGCGACUCCCACACCAUUUUUCAUUGCUAAGAGACAACGAAUUCCUUGUCUCCCCACAUUGACCAGAUAUAUAUAUCCUCCAUCCCUUUUAUUUUAUUUUUUGUGGGUGGACGAUCGCCGCGACGUCGCUCACGUGCGACAAGUACCAAUUGUCAUGGAUGCAUUCGUUAAUGAGUCGCACAAAACUAAGCCAUCUGAGGAUGUUGAUCAAGACAAGAUGGCAGCACUAGAGGCCAGGAUUAGGGCCAUUGAGGGAAUAGACUUAUAUGACCCUGUGCGAGCUGUAGAAAUGUGUCUAGUCCCUAAUGUGGUGGUACCAAAGAAAUUUCGAGUUCCGGAAUUUAUCAAAUACACCGGCACUCAAUGCCCUGUUACCCAUCUCAAAUCUUAUUGCAACAAAAUGGCAGAAGUAGUUCACGAUGAAAAACUACUAAUGCAUUUCUUCCAAGACAGCUUGAGUGGAGCGACAUUGAGUUGGUAUAUGAGGUUAAAUAAUACCAGGAUCCAUACAUGGAAGGACCUCGUGGAUGCUUUCAUCAAGCAAUAUAAAUACAACAUGGAUAUUGCUCCUGACAGAACCAGUUUGUCUAACUUGGAGAAAGGAGAUAAAGAAAGCAUAAGAGAGUAUGCUCAAAGAUGGAGAGAUUUGGCAGCACAAGUCCACCCCCCUCUCUUGGAAAAGGAAAUGGUUGCUCUGUUUGCUAACACACUAAAAGCGUCAUACUAUGAACACGUGAUGGGUAGUUCGGCCCAACAAUUCACGGAUUCUAUGGUCGUGGCUGAACGAAUAGAAAAAGGAGUAAAGAGUGGAAGAAUCUCUGCACCUGUGGAGAAAAGAGGUUUUGGAGUGAAGAAGAGAGAGAUCGACCAUGUCGAAAGUAGUUACAGAAGCAAGAAAGGCCCUUUCCAAACAUAUAACCCUCAAUCCUCUUCACCCCAAGUUGCCAACACCAACUUCAACUUUCCAAGUCCAGCCAGAAAACUUGAACCCCAAAGCCACCAAGUAAAAAACCAAGCUGAAAGUUUCCCCAAAAGAAACUACCAAAGAACCUCAGAACAAUUGCCUCCAUUACCGUUACCCCUAAAUGAGAUGUACCAAAAGCUGCUAAGUAUUGGGCAAGUAGUCCCUGUGCCUUUGAUACCCCUCCAACCACCUUACCCCAGCUGGUAUAAGCUGGAUCUCACUUGCGAAUACCAUGCCGGUAUAGCUGGACACAACAUCCAUACUUGCAAUGCCUUCAGGAGAAAACUUCUGCAACUGAUCAAAGCAGGAUGGAUAGCAUUUGAAGAUGCCCCUAAUGUCAAUGCAAACCCUCUACCCAAUCAUGCUUCGGGUAGUGGGUCUGUAAACAUGUUAGAAGAGGGACACUCAAAAAUCUUAAAGGUGUCAAUGAAUAGGAUCUACCAAAUGAUGGUAGAUGCAAGGUAUGAAGAGGGUAGCGAGAAAUGUUGUGAACUUCAUAAUGAAAAAGGCCACGUGAUCAGCCAUUGCGAGGGCUUUCAUAAAAAAGUGAUGCAAAUGAUGAGUCGAGGGAUGCUGCGAAUUGAGAAAGCAACAAAUGAAGAGGUGUUCAUGAUGGAGGCACCAAAGAAAGAGGUGUGUCGAGUGCAUUUCACUACCGGAAAGCCAUCCAGAUUGGUCUUGUCCAAACCAGUAGUGGAACAUAAAGGGAACUAUAGUGCUUUACCUCACGACUAUGGGUACUCUUUCAAAAGCACUCCACAACCGCCUAUCUUUCAAGCAGAAAUUAGGGGUUUAACCCGUAGUGGCAGAUGUUUCACCCCAGAAGAGUUGGAAAAACAAAGAAAAGUUAAGGGAAAAGAAGGGGCUGAUGUAACUGAAGAAAUAAACAAACCUGCCACGGAAGAGGAAACCAACGAAUUCCUAAAGCUGGUGAAACACAAUGAAUAUAGUGUUGUUGAACAGCUCAAGAAAACACCAGCCAGAAUAUCGUUAUUUUCUCUGAUUCUAAGCUCUGAGCCACAUAGAAAGGCUUUACAAAAAGUACUGAAUGAAGCAUAUGUUCCUCAAGACAUCAAUCAAGAAACCAUGGAACAUUUAGUGGGAAGAAUCCAGGCCUCAAAUUAUAUAUACUUCACUGAAGAUGAAUUGAGUCCUGAUGGUACUGGGCACAACAAGCCGUUAUACAUUACGGUGCGUUGCAAGGAAAUUCUAAUCGGAAAGGUGCUCAUUGACAAUGGUUCUGCAUUGAACGUCCUACCAAUGCAUAUGUUGAAAGAAAUGCCUGUCGAUGAGUCACACAUGAAGCCUAGCACCUUGAUGGCGAGAGCAUAUGAUGGUUCACCAAGGCCGAUCAUUGGGACCCUAGAAAUAGAGCUAUAUGUGGGGCCACAAAUGUUCUUGAUAACAUUACAAGUAAUGGACAUUCAUCCAUCUUACAGCAUACUAUUAGGAAGGCCAUGGAUUCAUGCAGCUGGAGCAGUGGCUUCUUCAUUGCACCAAUGCUUGAAGUAUAUCAUGAACGGAAUGCUUAUAACUGUCAAAGCCGAAGAGACAGUUUCCAUGAUAAGAAAUGUGGCCAUACCUUUUAUUGAAGCAGAAGAUUGUAGAGAUGGGAAUAUUCAUGCUUUUGAAAUUGUGAAUGCAGAAUGGGUUCCUGAAGGCACAGUGCUGAGAAAGCCUAAAAUCCCAGAAACGGCGAAGAUGGCUGCCAAAUGCUUUUUAAAGCAUGGGGCUCCUUUUCAAUGUAAUCCUGAGACCAGAAUGCCUAGCCUGAUCAAGCCAAACUGUGCAAAUCAAAGAUUUAGGCUUGGAUAUAAGCCCAAGAAAGACGAUUACAAGCGGGUCACUCAGGUUAAAAGAGAAGCAAGAAUGGCGAGGAUUGAAGGAAGAGAGCCAGAAGAAGAGGGACUUGUCAUCCCACCACUCCGAGUGUCUUUCCCAAAGGCUGCAGAAGUGAUUAGAUCUGGCAUAGUGGAUCUUCACAUCAAUACCUUGGAGAGCCAAGAAGAAAAACGAAUAGAGGAAGCGGAUCUGGAGAUAAAGGAUGAGGUUUUGCCACAACUCUCCAUUCACACCAUUGAUCAACCUCCUGCCAGAUUUUUCGUGCGAAGAUUGGCUGAAGGAGAGGUGUACCAGAACUGGAAGAUGGAGCCUGCUCCUAUUGUGUUUAAAAAGUAAUUGUUCUUGUUUGAUAAUGCUCGGACUUGUUUGCCUUGUUUUGACUUGUGCUGAUCUUGCCGGUAUUUUUAGCUCAUGAUACCGCAAGAAUUUUCUAUGUUAACCAAGCACUUUUGUUUUAAUGAGAUCAUGCAUUUUCUUGUGUCCAAUCGCGUGCUUGCAUUUUUUUAUCUUUUCACAAAUCACUCUUACACGAGCACGCCUUACACUUUCAGGAAUUCUGAAAGUUCCAUCGAUCCACAAAAUCAUUGCACUAAGAAUAAUUGGCCAAACUUUGAUAAUAUGAUUGCAAUGGAUGAUGAAGAAUGGGAAGAGGAAGAUCUAAAAGAGUUUACUAGGCUGGUAGAAAAUUCAGAAAAAGCCUGGGAACCGGCCAGUGAGAAACUAGAAGUCAUUAACGUCGGAGAUGAACAAGAUAAUAAGGAAUUAAAGAUUGGCACUCUUGUCACAACUGAAGAAAGAAAUAGACUAGUCUCUCUAUUACACGAGUAUGUAGAUAUUUUUGCCUGGACUUAUGCCGACAUGCCUGGUCUAGAUACUGACAUAGUUGUACAUAAGAUUCCUUUAAUCGAAGGGAGCAAGCCAAUUAAGCAGAAAACCAGACGAAUGCGCCCGGACAUGUUACUCAAGGUAAAGUCCGAGAUACGAAAACAGUGGGAUGCAGGGUUUCUAGAUGUAGUCCAAUAUCCACAAUGGGUAGCUAAUGUGGUCGUAGUCCCAAAAAAGGAUGGGAAGAUUCGGGUGUGUGUGGACUAUAGAGAUUUGAACAAGGCGAGCCCAAAAGAUGAUUUUCCUUUGCCCCAUAUAGACAUUCUCGUUGAUAAUGCUGCAAGAAAUGCUACAUAUUCUUUUAUGGAUGGAUUCUCUGGUUAUAAUCAAAUUAGAAUGGCUGAAGAAGAUAAAGAGAAGACCACUUUUGUCACACCAUGGGGAACGUUUUGCUAUAAAGUAAUGCCAUUCGGAUUGAAGAAUGCUGGAGCCACAUAUCAAAGAGCAAUGGUUACCCUAUUCCAUGAUUUGAUGCACCAAGAAGUGGAAGUUUAUGUGGAUGACAUACUUGCAAAAUCAAAAAAAGAGGAAGAUCACGUGCAAGUGUUAAGAAGACUAUUUGAAAGGCUUCGAAAAUUCCAGCUAAAGUUGAACCCUGCAAAAUGCUCAUUCGGGGUGAAGACAGGAAAAUUAUUGGGCUUCAUUGUGAGUGGUCGAGGAAUAGAAGUUGAUCCUGAUAAAGCUAAAGCUAUCCAGGAGAUGCCUGCUCCUAGAACAGAAAAGGAAGUACGAAGUUUUCUCGGGCGCCUGAAUUACAUAGCUCGAUUUAUAUCCCAGUUGACGGUGACUUGUGAACCAAUCUUUCGUUUGCUCAGAAAGAAAAAUCCUGGAGUAUGGGAUGACGAUUGUCAAGAAGCCUUCGAUAAAAUAAAGAGGUACUUGCAAAAUCCACCAUUACUAGUACCGCCAACACCGGGGAGGCCUUUGAUCCUGUACUUGACAGUAACAGAAACAGCUAUGGGCUGUGUGUUGGGACAACAUGAUGAGUCAGGAAGGAAAGAGCAAGCUAUCUACUACUUGAGUAAAAAAUUCAAUGAUUGUGAGUCGAGAUAUACAACAAUUGAGAGGUUGUGUUGUGCUUGGGUUUGGAGUGCAAAAAGACUCCGGCAGUAUAUGCUAUACUACACAACCUGGUUGAUUUCAAAAUUAGAUCCGCUCAAGUAUAUUUGUGAAAAGCCUUACCUGUCAAGUAGAAUAGCAAGGUGGCAAGUGUUGUUGGCAGAAUAUGACAUUGUCUUUAUGACAAGAAAAGCUGUAAAAGGAAGCAUAAUUGCCGAUCAUCUUGCAGAUCAUGCCAUGGAGAACUACGAGCCGCUAAACUUUGACCUCCUAGAUGAAGAUGUGAUAGUAGUAGAGAGUGAAAGUGGGGAAAGCGAUCAGUGGACCCUCUACUUUGAUGGGGCAGUAAAUGUAUCGGGGAAUGGAGCCGGAGCUGUGGUGAUUUCCCCAGAAAAUAAGCAGUAUCCCGUUUCAACAAGGUUACUGUUUGAAUGUACCAAUAAUACUGCCGAGUAUGAAGCCUGCAUCAUUGGCUUGGAGGCUGCUCUAGAACUUGAAGCCAAGAAGCUUGAGGUCUUUGGAGAUUCCUUACUAAUCAUCUGCCAAGUCAAAGGUGAGUGGCAAACCAAGGAUGAGAAGUUGAAGUUGUAUCAAAGUUAUCUCUUGAAGUUAGCCGAUGAAUUUGAAGAAAUCAAAUUCACCCAUGUAAGCAGAGAUAAGAAUCAGUUUGCUGAUGCCUUAGCAACCUUAGCUUCGAUGACACAAGUUGAUGCUAAAAGCAGGAUACAACCAAUAAAUAUCGAGGCCAGAAGCUUUCAAGCCCAUUGUUACUUCAUUGAAGAAUCUCCAGAUGGGAAACCAUGGUACAAUGAUAUCAAAGAGUUUCUCCAUAUCGAGAAUAUCCUGAAGGGAUUUCCAAAAUAGAUGAAAAGACUUUGAGAAGAAUGACUGUGGGUUUUUACUUGGAUGGGGAAAUCUUAUAUAAAAGGUCAUUUGAUGGGACUCUGCUCAGAUGUUUGAAUGAAAAUGAGAUUGAACAAGCAUUAAAAGAAGUCCAUGAGGGGAUCUGUGCUACACAUGCUAAUGGGCAUACAAUGGCGAAACAAAUUCAAAGGGCUGGAUACUUAUGGUUGACCAUGGAGAGAGAUUGUGUAGACUACGUGAGAAAAUGCCAUAAGUGUCAAAUAUAUGGCGACAAGAUAAAUGCGCCUCCGGCACCUCUAUUCAAUAUGAUCUCGCCUUGGCCUUUUGAUAUGUGGGGUUUGGAUGUUAUAGGGCCAAUCAACCCCAAAGCAAGCAAUGGGCAUAGAUUCAUUUUGGUGGCCAUCGACUACUUCACCAAAUGGGUAGAAGCCAACUCUUAUGCCCAUGUAACACAGAAAGUAGUCAAGAGAUUUAUUGAAAAGGACUUGGUCUGUCAUUAUGGUCUGCCGGCAAGAUUGGUAACCGACAACGCCCAGAACUUUAAUGGGAAGCUGAUUGACGAAUUGUGCACCAAAUGGAAGAUUAAGCACCUCAACUCUUCCCCUUAUAGACCAAAGAUGAAUGGGGCAGUCGAAGCAGCUAACAAGAAUCUCAAGAAGAUUAUCCAGAAAAUGGUGAUCACCUACAAAGAUUGGCAUGAGAUGCUCCCAUAUGCACUUCAUGCGUACCGUACCACUGUUAGAACUUCGACAAAUGCCACCCCAUACUCUUUAGUAUAUGGAAUGGAGGCGGUUGUGCCCUUGGAAAUAGAAAUCCCAUCACUGCGGAUCCUGAAGGAUGCAGGACUGGACGAAUCAGAAUGGGCAAGGUCAAGAUUUGAGCAGCUAAACUUGAUCGAUGAGAGAAGACUAGCAACUAUUUGCCAUCACCAGUUAUACCAAAGCAGGAUAGCCAAAGCUUACAACAAGAAGGUCAAACCAAGGGUGUUCGAGGAAGGAGAUCUGGUGUUAAGGAAGAUCUCACUAGCGUCAGGAGAAGAUCAAAGUAAGUGGGCACCAAACUACGAAGGGUCAUAUGUGGUGAAAAAGGCCUUUUAUGGAGGGGCUUUAAUUCUGACCAAUAUGGAUGGAAGGGAUCUACCAAGGCCUGUAAACUCAGAUGUUGUAAAGAAGUACUAUGCCUGAUGUACUUACCUAUAUCAAUCAAUAAAAUUGAAGUUUGGCCAAGAUUUCUUUAGUGUGUUCCCCCUAAAAAAUUUAUGCAUGAUCUCAUGUUUCAAUAAAGAUUUUUGGGAAUUCAAAGUGUUAGUACAAAACUAGAGUCAAAUUGAUGUUUGUUCAAACAAAUAAGUUCUGAGAAUUCAAAUGACAUCCUGACACUCGAAAAAACCUGAAAGACAACCCAAGCACCAUGAAGUGACUCUAAAGCUGAGUUUUAUUUGCAUGAAUAAUGAGAAAUCACUCUGCAUACUUGCAUGAACGCAAGGCUUACCGAUCCUAAUUACAUGCAUUUGAGAUGAAGAAAGGCCAUCUUUGAUAACUCUUUCACAAAUUCUAAAAAAAUCCCUUGCAGUCCCCUUUUGAGCCUGGUAGUGUUUUUUGGAAAUAACCUUGACUAGGAUCACACCCUACACUGGGGGCAAGUGCCAAAAAAAAUCCUUAAUGAUUGAAAGUGCCCAAACAAUACUGGGGGGCAUAAAAAGUCUUCAACGAUGAAAGUGCCCAAACAAUACUGGGGGGCAUAAAAGAAAAUUCUCAAUCAUCGAAGGUGCCCAUACAAAGCUGGGGGGCAUAAAAAAAAAUCCAAAAAAAUUUGAGCAAAAAAAAAAAAAAGAAAGAAGCCAAGGCAAUGAUGCUCAAAAUCAAACGAAAAAAACAAAAACAAAGAGAAAGAGCCCAAGCCCAACAUUGGGGGGCACCGUGGACCAUUUUACAAAUCAAUUCCAAGGUCUAGAAAUGUAUGAACAAAAGAGUUUGGGAUAUAAGCACUAGUGAUCCUUAGUCUUAAAGUCCCUUAAACACCUUUUGAGCCUACAAAUAUCAUUUUCUUCAUAGUCAAUGGCCCAAGCCUACAUUACGUGCCUAAUCAAGCCCUUUCUGAUCAAAGGCAAGCAAUUUGGAUCGGUAGGCAGUGCUUUCUCAUGCGAAACAAAUCAUUUAUCAUGCAAAUAGAAAUGAAUGCUUUGAAAAACANNNNNNNNNNNNNNNNNNNNNNNNNNNNNNNNNNNNNNNNNNNNNNNNNNNNNNNNNNNNNNNNNNNNNNNNNNNNNNNNNNNNNNNNNNNNNNNNNNNNNNNNNNNNNNNNNNNNNNNNNNNNNNNNNNNNNNNNNNNNNNNNNNNNNNNNNNNNNNNNNNNNNNNNNNNNNNNNNNNNNNNNNNNNNNNNNNNNNNNNNNNNNNNNNNNNNNNNNNNNNNNNNNNNNNNNNNNNNNNNNNNNNNNNNNNNNNNNNNNNNNNNNNNUUGGCAUGAUCAAGCUAGAGAGCAAUUCACCAAAACACAUAGGGUUGGCUCCAUGAUUCCCCUUCUAAGAAAAUAGGAAAUGUUGGGUUAAGCUGGAAAUCUCUUCAGAUAAAGGUUUGAGGGAUAAGAUGUAUGUUGAUGUCAUAUCCUGCCCGGGGGUCAAGAUCACAAGAUGUGACUCGAGUAAGCAAGAGCGAAAAGAGACAUCAAAGCUUACUAUCAGACACUCCAACUCUUGAGAAAAGAAAGGCACCAUGAAGAAGAGGGGACCUAUAUUUCUCAGGUAAGUAUACAUGCAUAUCGAUCACGAUGCAUCCUCGACGUAUCGGUGUCUUACCAUCACCUCCUUUUUGAGCGGGCAUUGAGCCCCAUCAUUCAGAUAGUAUGCUUUCUAGCCCUAUCUUCUUCCUUUUUAGUGCGCCUUAGAGCCAUCAACCACCUUAGGUAGUGUGUUUUCCAACCCUGCCUCCCUCUUUAGUGCGCCUUAGAGCCAUCAACCACCUUAGGUAGUGUGUUUUCCAACCCUGCCUCUUUUUAAGUGCGCCUUAGGGCCAUUAACCACCUUAGGUAGUGUGUUUUCUAACCCUGCCUCCUCUUUUGAAUGUGCCUUCGAGCCCUCACCUCUUAGGUAGUGCGUUGUCCAACCCUGCCUCUUUUUAAGAGCUCCUUCGAGUCCUAACCUUUUAGGUAGUGUGUCUUUCUAACCCUACCUCCUUUCGAGUGCGCUUUCUAACCCUCAAGAGGAUUCAUCAUUCCUCAACAAGAUGAGCCUACCUCCUUUCGAGUGCGCUUUCUAACCCUCAAGAGGAUUCAUCAUUCCUCAACAAGAUGAGUCAAUCAUAUCUCAUCCUUGUUUUUCUUCUUUACAAUGCUUACUAUCUAAAGUCUCUUACGAGACUUUCUAUCAUAAGCAUUGUAAAGAGGGGGGCAAUUGUCAUAACCCAAUUCUGGGUUAUUCUCCAAAAUUCAUUUUUUUUAAAAUAAAAACAAAAAAACAAAAUAAAAAAUAAAAGCUGGCAAUGUGGAGAAAGCUGAUCAAGAAAAAUAGGCAAAAUAGGCAAAAAUCAAUCUGCAAUUUUCAGAGGAAAUUCAAGGCCUUUCGGCGACCCAUUGUGCCCAAAAUCGAAGAAAAAAAUGCAAAUUCAAGGUCAAAUUAAAUGAUUAUUGGAUAAAUUUGCAUAAAAAUUAAGUCCAAUAACAUAAUUAAAUUUUUAAUAGGCCAAUUUGAUUUAAUCAUGGGUCAAAUUAAAUUUUAGUUAUGUUUAAGAAUUAAUUUAGGUCCAAAUGAAGGAUUUAAUUAAGUGCAAGUACUUAAUUAUACUUUAAAUAGGUCAAAUUAAUUUUGUUUGGGGCUUAAUUGGUGAAAAAUUAAGUUUAGGAGCCUAAUUUGGGCUUAAUGGAGAAGAUUGGAAUUUUAAGAGACCAAAUUUAAUUUUUACCAAGUUAAUUGAUUGAAAUCAGGGGUCAAAUUGCAAGAAAAUUGAAGUUUUGGGGCCAAUUAGGGGUUAAAUUGACAAAAUCCAAAGCCAAGGGCUAAUCUGCAAAAGGCGCCAAACUAUAGGGGUCUAAUUGACAAAAGCCGGGGGUCAAAUUGAAGAAAUUGAAAGCUGGAGGACUCAAUUGAAAAUCAGCAAAAAUCCCUAGCUUUUGAUCCAAAACGGCGCCGUUUUUGGUGUUUAAGAAAAAACAAAGAGGGGGAAGGGACCAGGCGACGCGUCACCUGGUCACUGUUCAUCUUCUUCCCCACAAAACUGCCCGAGUAGCAGCUUUCCAGGCGCAUUUUCUACCUCGUUUGGCCUCCAAAUCCGACAACGCAUGCACCAAAAUGUCCACCUGAAACCCCUUUAUCCUUGAGAAUGGUCCGGUCGGGUAGAAAAACUUUGAAACGGCUUCGUUUAUUGGCCCAAAGUGGCCACCUCGUUCAGUCUGCAGCCUUGGAUUGCCAAAUUUGGCAAUUCGAGGUGCACACUUUGAACCAACGGAUUGGAUUCCUCGAGUCGAAUCAAGGGCUGAGACUUUUUCCCGUUGAAGACAAGAUUACCCUCUUUCCAGCCCUAUAAAUAGGAGCCAAUUUCAUGCUCAGGGGGAGGGGAAAAUUGAGCUCAAAAUUGGCAAAAAAUCAGCUUUUCUUGCCCGGUUUUCCUGCAACCAGCCUUCUCUUUCCUUUUUCUCUCCGCCGUGGCCUCCAGCCGCCACCACUGAUCUCGCCACCAUCCUUCCCACGAAACACCACAUCCCAUCCAUCACCCAACAACUUCACCACAGUCACAGUACCUCUCUUUCUCUCCCUCUCUUCUCUGCAAAAAUCUUAUCCUCUGCCACCGUGACUCCAACAGCGGCGGCGACAGCAGAAGUAGCAACCAUCUUGCCCAAAAGCUCUCUUCCACUCCUACCAGCAGCAGCCGGAGUAGCAGCUCCUUCCUCAGUCACACCAACAGCUCCAGCCGUGAGCUUUCCUUCUCCUCUGCAGGAAUCUGCUCCUUCUUCUUCCAGCCGGGACCAGUGCACGCCGCCGUCCUCGCCGCCUCUAGUCGCACCGCGCACCACCAGCUAGGCCGCCGACUCACUCCACGCCAGGUAAUUCUCUCCUCCCCGCUCCACCCUUUUCUUCUUCGUGUUCUUCGUAGCCGCUGCAUGCAAAAUUCAUUUCUGCAUGCAGUGGAUAAUUAAUUAGCCACCUGCUUGGGCCCGACCCCAAAAAAAAAAUUCAAAAAAAAAUUAAAAAUCAUUUCAAAAAAUUUGUGAUUUUCUUAAAUAUUUUUCUACCAAGUUUGCUUAAUAUUAGGUUGCAUACUUACAUUGUAAGAUAAAAGUCCGGUAUUAAAACAUCCGGUUUCCUCCGAAAUAUUUCAAAAAAAAAAAUUUUCAAAAAAAGAAAAAAAUAUUUUAUUGCAUACGGCCAAGUCCUAAAGAAUUUUCCAAGCAUGUUUUUAUGUUUAAGAAGAAAAAAAUGCAUCUUUCUCACGUUUUAAAAAUCCAAAAAAUGGAUAUCAUAACUAGUUUAUGAUCAUCCGUUAGGGUUUGGCCAAAAUAUCAAAAACCUUUUUCCAACUCUUUUUUUUUUUUUCAGGAUCCAGAUGUAGACUUUAAUAUUUGUGGGGUGUAAAAUUACACGAUAAAGUACACCCUCGGGUAUUAAACAUACAAGGUGUAAAUAAAUGCAAUCCUAAAAUUCAGACUUUAGAACGGUUAGGAUUUAACCCAAUAAGGUAGAGACUCCCUCACGAAGGGAGAUCUGCCUUGAACCUUAGAAAAGACCAACGAAUAGAAACUCGACCUAGAAAAACAAUCAAACAACAAUGCAGCUUACCUUAGGUAGGGUGCACUGGGGGUGAUGCGUCUUCCCCUUGCACAACCAGUCCCUUACUCAGACUCUCGCAGACCAUAGGUUCCUAGUGACCAUAAUACUAGGUGGCGACUCCAACGAACCAAGCAAAACACAAAUAAAAGAAAAAUCGCCAGCAGACGCCGUGCGGAUUUUCCGACGUGCGACAAUCAUCAAUCUCAGCAACUCAAUAAACCUGUCCAAGACUCCAGAUCUUACUGGAAUUCCAAAUCUCGAGAGUCUGAUUCUUGAAGGUUGUACAAGUUUGUCUGAGGUCCAUCCAUCACUUGGAAGUCACAAGAAUCUUCAAUAUGUGAAUCUUGUGAAUUGCAAAAGUAUUAGGAUUCUCCCAAGCAACCUCGAAAUAGAAUCACUCAAAGUUUUCACUCUUGAUGGCUGCUCAAAACUUGAGAAGUUUCCAGAUGUAGUAGGAAACAUGAACUGUUUGAUGGUGCUUCGUUUGGAUGAGACUGGUAUUACAAAACUAUCUUCAUCGAUUCAUCAUUUGAUUGGCUUAGGUCUAUUGAGCAUGAACAGCUGCAAGAACCUUGAAAGCAUUCCAAGUAGCAUAGGUUGUUUGAAAUCCCUUAAAAAACUCGAUCUGUCUGGCUGCUCUGAACUUAAAUAUUUAACAGAGAAUUUAGGGAAAGUUGAAAGUUUGGAGGAGUUUGAUGUAAGUGGAACUUUAAUAAGACAACUGCCAGCAUCCGUUUUUCUUUUAAAGAAUCUUAAAGUAUUAUCUUUGGAUGGAUUCAAAAGACUAGUUGUGCUGCCUUUUUUGUCUGGUCUGUGUUCUUUAGAAGUACUGGGUUUACGCGCUUGCAAUCUAAGAGAAGGGGCACUUCCUGAAGAUAUUGACUGCUUUUCUUCAUUGAGGUCUUUAAAUCUGAGCCAGAAUAACUUUGUUAGCCUGCCUUAAAGCAUAAAUCAGCUUUAUGAAUUGGAAAUGCUUGUCUUGGAGGAUUGCACAAUGCUUGAAUCAUUGCCUAAAGUUCAAACGGUAUAUUUGAUUGGUUGUAUAAGCCUAAAAACAAUUCCAGAUCCGAUAAAGCUAAGCAGUUCUAAAAUCUCAGAAUUCAUAUGUCUUAACUGCUGGGAAUUGUACUAUCAUAAUGGCCAAGAGAGCAUGGGGUUGACGAUGCUUGAAAGAUACCUCAAGGUCUUCUCUUAAUCAUACCCCAACCUUUUUCUAUCUCUCUCCCUCUCCCUCUAUCUAUCUAACACUUUUGUUUUUCAUGGUAAAGGGUUUGUCUAAUCCAAGACCUGGAUUUGGUAUCGCUGUUCCAGGAAAUGAAAUUCCAGGGUGGUUUAACCAUCAAAGUAAGGGAUCUUCAAUUAGUGUGCAAGUGCCUAGUUGGAGCAUGGGGUUUGUUGCGUGUGUUGCAUUCAGUGCAAAUGGUGAAAGUCCUCCUCUUUUUUGUCAUUUCAAAGCCAAUGGAAGAGAGAAUUAUCCUUCGCCGAUGUGUAUUAGUUGUAACUCUAUCCAGGUUCUGUCAGAUCAUAUUUGGCUAUUCUAUCUAUCUUUUGAUCAUCUUAAAGAGCUUAAAGAAUGGAAGCAUGACUCCUUUAGCAACAUUGAGUUGUCAUUUCAUUCUUCCGAGCAACGAGUAAAGGUGAAGAAUUGUGGUGUCUGUUUGUUAUCUUCUCUAUAUUUUACACCACGACCAUCUUCUGCCUUAUUGUUACAAGCAAAGAAGCAGCUUCUUCAUUUAAAGAUUCUUUAGCUUUUUCUUCGUCGUACCAUCAAUGGAAGGCCAACGUUUUCCCUGGCAUCAGAGUCGUAGAUCGGGCCCGGAGAUUCAUUGUCCCAGUCGGGAAGGAACCAGAGAAAGUAAUGGCAAUUAGAUCAAGACUCUUUGAAGCCAUUGAAGAAUCAGGGCUGUCAAUUGUUAUAUUUGCAGGAGAUUGUGCUUCUUUACCUUGGUGCUUUGAAGAACUUGUCAAGAUUGUCGGAUUCAUGGAUGAGAUGACAUCGGACAUUGUGUUUCCAGUUUCUUGUGAUGUCGAACAAUCAAAGAUAGAUGAUCAAAAAGAGAGUUACACAAUUGUCUUUGAUAAUAUUGGAAAAAAUCUUAGGGAAAACAAGGAGAAGGUACAAAGGUGGAUGGAUAUUCUUAGUGAAAUUGAGAUUUCAUCUGGAUCGAAAAGGUAAUAAUUACUUCUUCUUCUUUUUUUUGUGUAGCUCGACUUAUCAACCACUUCAAGUAAAUGAAACUGGAGAUGCUGAAAUAUCGACUUUCAGAACUUAAUGUUAACAAAUCUUUUUUCUUUUUUUUUUUUUUUUUUUUGCAUGGGAAAAACACCGUGCAAGGUUCAGUACACAAUGGGGUUACAAGUUUUUUUUUUUUUUUCAAGGUAGAUUAUGAAUUUAAGAAAAAUUAAUAUUAAACUUAGUUGGGUUUAUGCUCUAGAUUAAACCGACAUAUUUUACUAUGGACAAUAUUUUUUUUUUAGGUUUGUUAUAAAUUCAAAAGGAGAAAAAUAUUGGUCAGGUAUCCAGGUCACGAGUUUAUUUUAAAGGUUGAGUAUAAAUUUAAAAAAAAAAAUUUCAACCCAGUUGAGGUGUGCAUUUUUAAUUUUAGAAAUUUUUUUAGAAGAUGAAUAUAAAUUUAUGAAAAAACAAUAAUUGAACCUCGUUGAAUUCAAGGUUCGGGUCACAUUUAAUUUUUUUUAAGGUUUAAGGAAAAAAAUAUUGAACCUGGUUGAGUUUAUUAACUAAGUUACAGGUUUAACAAGUUAAGUCACAAUAACCGGAAAAUUAUUUUUUUUUCUAAUGUUGCUUUUUUUUCUAAUAUUUUUUUUUCUAUAUCCUUUUUUUAGAUAAUUUUCAAUUUAUGUUUUAAUUAAUAUCACUAAUAUGUGAUUCAUUUUGUUUAUUUAACCUUUUUUAAUAUAAAUUAUUUUUUGAUGGUGUUGUAUGUAUUUGUUUUUAAAUGUUUAAUAUAAAUUUAAGAGAAAACAAUAUAGAGGUUGAGUUCAUGAUCUGGGUCACAUGUUUAUUUUUAUUUUUGUUAAAGGUAACUUGAUUGAGUUCAUGCUCCGAGUUGUGGAUUUAACGAGUUAAGCCACAACAACAAAACAAUGUUUUUUUAUAUUACUUUUUUUUACUGAUAUUUUUUUAUAUAUCUUUUUUAAAAUAUUUUUUAAAUUUAUGUUUCAAUUAAUAUUCCUCAUAUGUGAUUAUUGUUUUAUUUAUUUUUGGAUAGUUAUUGUUUUUUAUGGUAUUGUUCGUAUUUAAUUUUUAAAAAACUUAUUAUGAUUCAUCAAUAAUGUUUUUUAUCUUUUUGUAUAAAAUAACUUUAUUUUAAAAAAUAAAAAAUAUUUAUUUUCAGAUAAUAUAAUAUGUACAACAACCUUAUAUAAUAUUUUUUAUAUUUUUAUUUUAUUUAAUCAAUUUAAUAUGUAUGUUUUUUCUAAAAUCAUUUAAUUGAAUAAAAAGAUUAAUUUCAAUAAAUAAAUUAAAAAAAAUAUAACUGGAUAAAUGUUCUGUUUAUUAACACAUUUGAAUUUUUUUAAUUUUAUUUUUAGUUAUUUUUAAUAUAUUAUUAUUAUUAUUAUUAUUGUUAUUAUUAAUUCCCAUAGUUAUCAAUUUAUUUGAUUAAAUGUAUGUAUGAGCUUUUUAAUUUACAGUUUAAAUUUUUUUAUGUAUAAAAUUGCAUCAGAAAAACAUGCAUGCACAACUUUUUUGUAAGAGAAAAAAAUAUCUAGUAUGUACAAGAGUAUCAUUUUACUUUUUUCACAAACAUCUUGCAACCAAAAAAAUAGUUAGUGGGUGUUGGCCCUAACAAAAUGCGGCCAUUGGAUUGGCUUAAUUUACUAAUCUCAACAAUGUUUGGCCUUUGCUUCUUCUUCUUUUUUUUUUUCUUUAUAUGUUUUUUAAAAAACAUUUAUAUUUAGAUUAACAUCCUUUUUUUUUAUGUUGUUUAGAGAUCCUCUUUGAAAUGAUGAUUGUUUUUUAGUUAUGUAUUUAAUUUUUGAGAAAUGUUUUUUUUAUGUUUUAAUCUUUUGUAUAGAUGAACUUUAUUCUUGAAAAUAAAAAAUUUUAUUUUCAAAUAAUAUUUAUAAUAUAUGCAGUCUUGCAUAUUAUUUUUUUUCAUUUUAUUUUAUUCAAUUAAUUUAAUGUGUAUAUCUAUUUUUAUUAUCGUUUGAUUGAAUAAAAAACUUGUUUUAAUUAAUAAAUUUAGUAAAUACAAUUGCAUAAAUAUCUCGUUUUUUAAAAUUAAAUAUCUUAAUCUAUAUUUGUUUCUCGAUUUUUUCAUUUUUAUUUUUAGUUAUAGUUUAUUGUUGUUGUUUUUUACUUGUUAACACACAUGAUUCUUAAUUUAUUUAAUUAUAUUUAUAUAUAUAUUUUUUAUUUUUACUUAGAAUUUUUUAAAUAUAAAAAUCUAUAAAUUUUUUAUUAAAAAGUUUUUUUUGACACCCAACAAAACAAAACAUGUAAGAUGUAACAUCGAUUCCAUGUACAGUUUGACUAUACCUGAGCAGGAGCAGCUGCUCGAGCAUCUGCAGUGGUGGCAGCAGCAGCUCGAGCAUAAGCUGAUGCUCAAUCAGCGGCAGUGGCAGCGGCAGCAGCUGCAGCUCGAGCAUAAGCUGAUGCUCGAUCAGCAGCAGCUCCAGCAAUGGCGGCAGCAGCAGCUCGAUGAGCUGCUGCUCGAUCACCAGCUGCGACGGCAGCAGCAGGUGCUCCAGCAGCUGCAGCAGCAGUAGGUGCUCCAGCAGCUGCAGCAGCAGCUCCCUGGGUUUGGAUUAGGAAUUUAACUUGCUUUAGCUUGAAGAACUUCGUCAGUUUUUGCUCAUGGUUUUGGUUUGGGGUAAUUAGAUUCACAUUUUACUAUGUAUGGAUUUUCUUCUUAAAUUUAGGAUAAUCUCAUGUUUGCGGAUGGAAGGAUUGUUUCCAUAUUAAAACUUUUACAUGGAAAGCCAUUAUUUUGGAAUCGCUAUUCUGCCUAUUUUUUAAACUCUGGUUUUGGGUGUAAGUGUUAGAUUUAAAUUAAAAACAAUAUAUAUUUCUAAAAGAUAAAACCACUAAUUUCUUAUCAAUAUAAUUUUUUUUCAUCAAUUUCAUUCAGAAUUCUUUGAAAUUAAUUUUUUAUUUAUCUAUAAUUAAUUUUAAGUAUUUUAAUAUUUCAUGUUAUAAUUAAUACUCAUGCAAAAAAAAUAUUUUUCAACAAAAUCUUAACAUAUUAAUUUAAUUUUUGAUUAAAAUUUAAAUACAAUAACUAUGUUUUAAAACUAAUUUCUCCUAACUGUCAAUAAAUCAAUUCAAUUCAAUAGCUUAAGCUAUUAGGUGAGGUCUCAAGAUAUGAUUUAUAUUAUUUCUAACACCCUCUCAAGUGAAAACAUUUUAAACUUGAAUUUAUAUAAGGUCACAUUACCUUGUGUUUAAUUUUUAUAAAAUAAAUAAGGAUGAUAUUGGGAUUUGAACCCGUGAUCGUUUGGUUAUCAAGGCUUUGAUAUAACGACAAAAAACAAGUUUAACUUAAUAACUUAAAUUAUUAAGUAAAAUUUCAAAAUAUAAUUUAUAUUAUUCACGUGUAUUUUACAUUCAAAAUACAUGAAAAUUAAUUUUACAUACGGCUGAGCUGUGCUUACGGAACAGGCACUCUGCACACAAAAUGAUAGUUCUUUAUUUUAAGAAGCCUCUUUAUUAUUAUGUAAUAUUAUUGUGUAAUAGUUAUUUUUUUCAAUAUUUUUUAUUUUAAAAUAUUUUAAAAUAAUAUUUUUUAUUUUUAAAAAAUAAUUUUUGAUAUCAGUAUAUUAAAAUAAUAUAUAUAAAAAACUUAAUUGAAAAUAAAAAAUAAACUUAAUUUAAAAAAAAUAUAUUUUUAAAAUCUAAAAACAAACAAAUAAUCUACCCGACAACCUAUUAGAUCAAAUCACGAGGAAAGGUGGCAUCUUUAACUUGUUACUUUUACGUAAAAAGUGUUUGUUUUUUUCUUCUCAAAAACAGAAAACCACCUUCGAUGUGCAAUGCAACAUUUCAUGCCCCAAGGUAGCUAGCUGCUGUCAAAACCCUGCGAUAUUGGAAAUUAAAGUUUGCUGAUAGUAAUUUUAGGUUAUAUCUUUGGUGAACAUCUUGGAUUCAAUUUGCCAAAUUCUCAGUUAUUCUUGAAUUAACAUAAAUCUUGCAACUCAAGAUAAAUUUUUUUUUUUUACAAAGACUUAUUUUUAUUAAUUUAUAUUUUGUAUUUUAUAUAUUUCCUUCUAUUUUUAGUUAAAUAUAUAUAUUUUUACUAAUUAAUAAACAAUUUUUAUUAUUAAUAGCUUUAUAUUUACAACUAUAUAAACACAUAAAUAUUAAUUUAUAUAAUCACUUACUCCAAAAUUGGACUUGCUUCGUUUGUAACUGGCGAAAUAUCAACCCAUGAAGAUUUUAUGGGAAAACCCUGUUAUUUCUAAGUGAUUGGUUAGCAAUUCACGAUGAAGAGAAAGACCACACCACUUUAUUGAAUGAAAGCUGGUUUAUAUAAUCAAACCAUUACAACAGAAAUCAGAAAAAUAAGCAACCCACGUUUGACUCUCCUACAAACGUGGUUAACAAACAAAGAAUAAAUCAAAUCUAAUCCUUUGAUCCUAUUAGCUAGGAUAUUAUUGACUGACUUAGUCCUAACAAUCCCUCCCUUAAACUGCAUUGCUGUCAGUAAGCAGUUUAUUCGUUUGGUACCUCACAAACACCCAGUAAGCUUCUUAGUUUCUCAAAUGCAUCCAUCUUCAAAGCUUUUGUCAUAAUAUCAGCAAUUUGAUCUUGUGUAUUGCAGUGCUUCAGCUCAAUUAUUCCUUCCUUGCACAGCUCACGUAGAAAAUGAAAUCUAAUAUCUAUAUGUUUGCUUCUGCCAUGCAUAAUCGGAUUCUUUGCUAAUUUAAUUGAAGACAUAUUAUCACAGUGUAUGAUAGUAUGUGUCCCUUGCUUGCAAUCUAUCCUUUCAAGUACUCUUCUCAUCCAUACUGCUUGACACGCACAAUGAGCUGCAGAUAUAAAUUCUGCCUCAGUUGUUGAUAAAGAGACUACCGGUUGUUUCUUGGAGCUCCAAGCAACUGCUCCUUCACUUAGCAUAAAAACAUAUCCCGAAGUACUCCUACGAUCAUCUUGAUCCCCGGCAUAGACACUAUCAGAGUAGGCCAUUAAUCUUUCAUCACUUGCAGCUUCUCUUUUAUAAUGGAUGCCCAAGUUCACAGAUCCCUUCACAUAUCUCAAAAUUAUCUUAAUAGCCUGCAUAUGUAGAGUUGUAGGUCUCUCCAUGUAUCUACUGAUCAGACCAAUCCCAAACAUGAGAUCUGGCCUGGUUACUGAUAAAUACAUGAGAUUUCCAACCAUUUGUUUGUAUUGAGUAACAUCCACUUGCUCGCCAUCUUCAUUUCUCAUCAGCUUCAUACCUGGUAUCAUUGGAUUGCGAACUGAAUUUGCCUUUUCUAGACCAAACCUCUCCAGUACUUCAAGUGCAUAUUUUCUUUGCUUAGAUAAAUUCCUUCAUCAUUCUGCACGACUUCUACUCCAAGGAAGAACUUCAUUUUACCUAAAUCAGUCAUAUCAAACUCUCGUUUCAUUGAAGCUUUGAAAUCAGCAAACAUCCCCUCAUCACUUCCAGUGAACACCAAAUCAUCUACGUAUAUGCAUACUAUCAGAAUUUUCUUGUCUUCUUGAAUUUUAACAAACAGAGUAUGCUCACUUGGACAUCGAGCAAAACCUUCCUUCACAAAAUAUGCUUCAAUCCUGCUAAACCAGGCCCUUGGUGCCUGCUUCAAACCAUAUAAUGCUUUCUUCAACUUGAGGACUUUGUGUUCUUCUCCUUUUUUUUCAUAGCCGAGAGGUUGCUCUACGUAUACAUCUUCGUCUAAUUUCCCAUGAAGAAAUGCACUCUGUACAUCAAGUUGAUACACCUUCCAUUUUCUUUGUGCUGCUAUUGCUAGAAUCAUCCGAAUUGUGUCCCAUCUUGCUACUGGUGCGAAUACCUCAGUGUAGUCGAUUCCAUGUUGCUGUGCAUAUCCCUUUGCUACAAGUCUGGCCUUGUAUUUGUCAACUUCACCUUUUUCAUUAAGCUUUGUCUUGUAUAUCCAUUUCACCCCAAUCUUCCUUGAAUUAUUCGGCAGCACAGUUAGUUCCCAUGUGUCAUUCCUUUCUAUCGCAGCAAUUUCAUUGUCCAUGGCUUCUCUCCAUUGGUGAUUUUUUUCAGCUUCUUCAUAGGUGUGUGGAUCUCCAGCAGUAGUGUAUAACACCAUAUUUUGUGUUUCCUCUUCUUUAGAUAAGCUUGCUCCCAUGACAUAAUCCUCCAUCCAGUGUGGUGCUCUUCGAUUUCUGACACCUGCAGCUUGAAUAUGCUCAUUUUGUUCUUCUGCUUCAAGUUCUUCAACAGCAUCUCCAGUACCUGCUUCAUCUCUAAUUUCAGCAUCUCCAGUACCUGCUUCAUCUCCAAUUUCCCUAAUCUGUUCUUGUGUCUGCUCCUCAUCUUUUUCUAUUCUUCUUCAUGUAUACUGUCAUCAUUAUCUCCCCAGCGUAGCAGUAUACUAGUGUUGUCUUCUGCCCAGUUCCAAGUUGCAUUUUCUUCAAAGAUGACAUCACGACUAAUUAUCAACUUCUUUGUGAGAGGAUUAAACAUUCUGUAACCUUUUGUUUCUUCACUGACUCCCAACAGUACACAUUUUAUGCUCCUUGAAUCCAGCUUUGUUCUUUUUUCAUGUGGUACAUGUACAUGACCAAUGCAACCAAACACUCGAAAAUACCCCACUGAGGGUUUGACUCCACUCCAUGCUUCUUCAUGUGUGACUUCUUUUACUGCUGCAGUAGGACUCCUAUUUAGUGUAUGUAUACACCAAUUUACAGCUUCUGGCCAGAAUUCUCUGGGAAUGUGUUUUUCAGACAAUAUGCUUCUAACUAGAUUCAUUAUUGUCCGAUUCUUCCUCUCAGCAACACCGUUUUGUUGAGGAGUAUAUGCAGCCGUUAAUUGUCUCUUGAUCCCAUUCAUACUGCAGUACUCAUUAAACUCUUUCGAAGUAAAUUCACCACCUCUAUCCGUGCGUAAACAUUCCACCAAGGAACCAGCCUCUUUUUCAACUAGAUUCUUGAAUUUUUUGAACAUAUUAAGAGCAUCUGAUUUUUCUGAAAUGAAAUACACCCAACACUUUCUACUAAAGUCAUCAAUGAAAGUGAUUAGAUACCUCUUGCCACUAUUGGAUUCCGGAUUCACAGGUCCACAGAUGUCUGAGUGGAUGAGUUGUAAUUUGUGUGCUGCUCUCCAGUGACUUUUCUUUGAAAUGUUGUCUCUGUGUUGUUUGCUGCUCAAGCAAUCUGCACAUACUUUGGUAGGAGCUUUAAGUAGUGGCAGCCCAUUAACCAUUUUGUUGUAAUACAGCAUCCUCAAACCUUUGUAGCUGAGAUGAGCAAAUCUGCUAUGCCAUAAUUGUGCUUCACUUUCUUCACUGGUUUGAAAGAAAGCCACUGAUUCUUUUGGAGGUAUUGUUGCAAGCAUUAUGAACAUUCUGUUGACUGUCAUGGCUAUCUCCAUGAUGAGGCCUCUACUUGGAUGAAAUAGCUUGCAUGUAUUAUUUUUAAUCAGUAUUGUUAAUCCUUUCUCCUGUAGUUGCCCUAUGCUGAGUAAAUUGUUUCUCAGCUCCGGAAUGUAAUAAACUUCAUCAAUCCUUUGUAUUGCACCAGCUACUUUCAACUUUACACAUCCCUUGCCCAUUACUGUCAUUCUCGAAUUGUUGCCAAGCUUGACUGAAUGUCUAAAUUUUUCAUCUAAUUCUGUAAACCAUAGUUUAUUCCCACUCAUAUGAUUGCUGCAACCGGAGUCCAAAAACCAUACCUCUUCUCUAGUUGAGUUAUGAAGUUCCACAUGUGACAUCAACAACAUUUCUUCUUCGCAAUCCAAUUCUGCAUAAUUUGCUGUUUUUUCAUAACCAGGACAUUCAUAAGAGAAAUGUCCUAGUUUAUGACAUCGAAAGCAUUCAAUAAUAGCUUUAUUGAAAGAUUGUCUUCCCCAGCUCCUGCCUCUGCCUCUGAAACUUCCUCUGAAUCCUCCACAGUUUCUACUCCUUCCUCCAAAUCGAACAUCUUCUCUUGCUUCAGACAUGACCUUAAGAACUUGCUCUUCCUCUUUGUGCCCCUUCAUCCUUUGCUCAUGUACGAGCAAACUACUUUGAAGUUCAUCAAUAGUCAUUUCAGCAAGGUUAUUUGAUUCUUCGAUUGAGCAUACGACAUAGUCAAAUUUUGUCGUCAUAGAUCUCAAAAUUUUCUCAAUAAUAACAAUCUGCUCCAUUCUUUCACCAUGUGUUUUCAUUUUGUUGACAAUGGUAAGAGUUCUCCCAAAGUACUCAUCAACACUCUCACCAUCCUUCAUUCCGAGUAGCUCAAAUUCUCUCCGCAACGCUUGUAGUUGUGCUCUUUUCACCUUAGUGGACCCUUGAUAUUUCUGACGCAUUGAAUCCCAUAUUCCCUUUGCAGAGUCUCUAUCCAGGAUUGUUUCCAUGAUAGUGCGAUCAAUGGAUUGAAAAAGAUAAUUUUUCACUUUUAAAUCUUUCAAUCUCAGCUCCUCCAUGUGUUUCUGUUGGACCUCCGUGUGUUCUGCUCCAGUUGUGCUUGCAGGAAUUCCACUCUCUAUUAAACUCCAGUAAUCUUUGGAACGUAGCAGAUUUUCCAUUAACAUAGCCCAAUGAUCAUAGUGACCAUCAAAUCUGGGAAUCGCUGGUUGAACAAAGUUUCCCUCUGCCAUGGCUUUGGCUUUGAUUUCACUCCUCUCUACAGAAUAUUUCACUCCUCUCUGUGUUUCAGAUGGUUACCACUCAACUCACUGAUUUCUCACACUCCUCUCUGUUUUUACUCUUCUCUUUCUCGAGAACGUUCACUCCUCUCUCUUGAUCAGACUCUUUUGUUGAAGCUCUGAUACCAAUUGUUAUUUCUAAGUGAUUGGUUAGCAAUUCACGAUGAAGAGAAAGACCACACCACUUUAUUGAAUGAAAGCUGGUUUAUAUAAUCAAACCAUUACAACAGAAAUAAGAAAAACAAGCAACCCACGUUUGACUCUCCUACAAACGUGGUUAACAAACAAAGAAUAAAUCAAAUCUAAUCCUUUGAUCCUAUUAGCUAGGAUAUUAUUGACUGACUUAGUCCUAACAAACCCAGUUUUGUUUUUUUGAGAAAUAGUGGUAGUACCAAUGGGAAUCGGUGUGGUGGAUUUUGUUCAAGAGGGUAUGUGAGUGUAGCUGAGGCAUUGUCAUCAACAGAUGUUGAAGAUAAUGUGUCUGGUGCCGAUGAAGUGCAAGAAUUGCAGCCAGAAAUGAGGAAAGAAGAGGAGCACUUUAGCCGGAGGAGGCUACGUGCUAACCCUGGAAUAGGAUCAAGGAAGCAUAGGGUCUUAAGGAGAAGGCAAGUGAAGAUUGAGGCGGAAGCAUGGGAACUGGCAACGAAAGAAUAUAAGGAGCUUUUGAAGGAUAUGUGUGAGCAUAAGUUGGCUCCUAAUUUGCCAUAUAUGAAGAGUUUGUUCCUUGGUUGGUUUGAGCCUUUUAGAGAUGCAAUUGCAAAAGAGCAGGAGUUGAUUAGAACGGGGAAGAGUAGGCAGGGUUAUGCUCUGUAUUUUGAUCUGUUGCCAGCUGACAAGAUGUCUGUUAUUGCAAUGCAUCAACUCGCAGCAAUGGUAAUGACAGGUGGGCAACAUGGAUGUGCAAGAGUUGUGACUGCUGCUUGUAUGAUUGGUGAUGCAAUUGAGCAGGAGGUAAGUAAUUUUUAAUGUUUUAUUUGCUUAUUUUUACUUGCAGUUUGAUUUGUAGACAGAGGAUAAUGAGUGCCCAUAUAAAAAUAUUGAAAGAUAAGGGAAAACAUAAAGUUUCUUAAAUUUACUUUUAGACAACCUUCAUCUGAGGUGAUGAACUAGGAAGAAAGAUGAAAGUUACUAUGUACAAUUAUGAGAUAAAAAUCAGCUAUGGAGCUAGUAGUGCCUGGAAAAUUAGAUUUUGAAGUUACGUUCCAUAAAGUUUUGUCGAAUGUUGAAUGGGGUUUUUCUGGAUUUCUUUUUUAUAUAUCUAUAGUUUUUACUUUCAGUCCAAGUUUUUCUGCUGUUCAUGGUUCCAGGGAGGACACUAAAUGUAGGUACGAAAAACAAUGUAGUGUAAGAUCGUUUAGAUACUACGUUUUUACAAUUUUUUCAUUAUGUGUUAAACUUUUCAUAUCACGGGCCUUAUUAGGCUGAAUAUUCUAUUACGCCUUUCUUUUUUGCGCUACAAUUUCUUCAAAGCAUGGGCAUGGUGGACUCAUAAGAGUGACAUUCAACUUUCCUUUGUCAGAGCUCAUCUCAUGUUUCGACAUUGUUUCACUAUGGAUUUAUACUUUUGCAUUUCCCUGUUGGGGACAGCAAUUAUCUUUAUCAUUUCAAUUAUGUGUGUUCUUGUUUGUGCCUUUCUUUUGUAAGUUGUUUAAGUUUUUCUCUUAGUUUAGACUUUAAAGGCACGCGUGACACUUUGCUCUACUGUCUCUUCUGAUUAUGGGAGUUGCUUCCUCUUUUCUUUUCCUUUUUUUUUAAAAAAAAAAACUAUACAAUGAAGAGAUAUUUAGAUGUACCAUUCUUAAUCCAUUUUUUGGACCUCCUACCUCUUCAGUCUUGUUCUCUUUCUUUGAACCGAGGACUGAAUCUGUAACAGUUUCUGUGAUGAAACAGAUUAGAAUACACAAUAUCUUGGAGAAAACAAGGAAGAGAAAGGAAAAGGCUAAUGAGAGCAAGAAUGGUGUAGAAGGUGAAUCCCCUGCUGUCAAGAAAAAAGGUUACUGAUUUGAUUAAAAAACAAAAGCUGCCAGCUGUGAGGAAGAUUGUGAAGGGGAAGGAUGAUUCAAAACCAUGGAAUGCAGAUGCUAGGGCUAAGGUUUGUGUGCUUGUAAUCAUUGAUAAAGGCUAAUUUUCUUGAACAAAUGUAUCGUGUACGAAUUUGAUUUCUGUCCUUGCACUUUGCAGGUUGGAAGCCGUCUAAUUGAAUUGCUGUUACAAACAGCUUAUAUACAGCCUCCCUGUGAUCAGUUAGCUGAUACUUCAUCUGAACCUCGACCUGCAUUUGUACAUACAUUCAGAACUGUGUCAUAUGAAAAUAAGUAUGGAGUUAUUCUUUAAUUGACUCGAUGAGCUUAAUUUAUCUUUUCUUCCUUGUAAGUGCUCCUAACUGAUGCACAAUGGCCUUUUCUUAAACAGGAAGGGUGCGAAAAAAUACGGUGUUAUUCAAUGUGACCCACUAGUCCUCAAAGGCCUAGAGAAAACUGUGAGUAACCCUGUCAUAUUUUGUUCUUCUAGUGAUAUCUAGUUUUCAUAUUUUAUCAUCCUUUAUGACAUGAACUUGUGUCGGGGUGCCAUAUACUUUCAAAGCAGAUAGGUUAGUUUCUAGAUUUUAGAGCUGAAACAGAUAAGAUUUGUAGCCAAUUUCCAUGGUGCCUCUUAAGUUGCAGAUGUUUGUCUUUCAUUCUUUUUUCUUGCACAAGAAGUCAUAAAAAUGUUGUUUCUCCAAACAGGCUAGGCACAUGGUGAUUCCUUAUAUGCCAAUGUUGGUGCCACCACUUAGAUGGAGAGGGUAUGUUAACUUGUUUUAUAUUUACAGUUUUUCCACGAUUGUCUUGUUUUAAUUUAAUAUUUUUUAGUUGGAUAUAUUCCAAGUUCAGAAAUAUUAACAUAGUGUUUUGGUUACUUCUGCUUGAUGCCUGGAGCUGUUUUCAAUUUUCAUGUCAAGUUAAAUGCUUAAAAUGGUAUAAUAGAUGAAGGGAUGAAUCUCUGAUUAUAAAGACUGGAAUUCCAAUCCCAAUUUCAGUGAAUUGAAAUUUACAUUUCGGCAUGUUUCAAGGCUCUGCCUCUCCAUUUCUGUAACCUCCAUUGGAAGGGAAACUAAUUGUCUUGCGGUGAAGUGCAUCUUGGCUUCAAAGCAGCUUUUCCCCCAAUCAGUCUUGGUGAUGUGCAUCUUUCCUACAUUCAUUCAGAAGCAGUUGCACGAUGACGUCUGUCAGGAGUCAUGGCUAUGUUUCAGAGGAUAAACCAAGAUGAUAAUAUGAAAAUGUCCUUCAUGUAAUCUUAACUCUCAAUUGAUGCCGGGGUCUACUGGAUCAUGGACAGUCUUUGAAUAACAUUAUCCCCAGUAUGAUCUGAAUGUGCUCCUUCAUUGAUUAUCUUUCUUUGAACACUCAUGUUCUCAGUUUACCGAUUCAUUAUUUAAUCAUCUUUAUUUGCUCCCGGUUGAUCUGAAUACUGUUUGUUUUUCCUUUUCAGAAUCCACUAUAUUGCCCCCAAUGCCCUUUGCAGUUAUGAUAAAGGACCUGGCAUUUAAGUAGCUUUUUGGUGUGUUCUAAGCUCAUCUUAGAUAAUUGUGUCAUAGCUUGUGAUAUUUACCUCUCUCUUACUCGUGUCGAGCAUAACCUCAAUGCCCUUUGCAGUUAUGAUAAAGGAGCUCACUUGUUCUUACCAUCCUAUGUCAUGAGGAUACAUGGUGCUAAACAGCAACGUGAAGCAGUUAAGAGGGCACCUAGGAAGCAGCUACAACCAGUUUUUGAGGUCUGUACAUAUUAGAUGCAUUGCAUGGUUACUGAUGCGUAUUUUAUUGUUUGAACUAAAUCAUCUUUUGGUACUAACAUGUGAUGUUCUUUGAACACAAUCUUAUACUGAUUAUUGUGUAUACCUUCACAUGCUAUCACAUGUGUAGAUUUUACCAGCUUAGCUUCUGGUUUAACAAGGAUUCUCUUUUGUUUGAAUUAAUUUUCCAGGCCCUGGAUACACUAGGGAAUACCAAAUAGAGGGUAAAUAAGAGGAUACUUGGUGAUAGAAUAUGGAGUAAUGGAGGCUGUCUUGCUGAUUUGGUAGACCACAGUGAUGUGAGUAUCUUUUCUAACUUUCCUCAAUGUAACUCUUUUACCUUUGUGUUCCAAGAAUUGAUCAUGAUGACUAUAGCAAUUAAAAAACCUUUCUCGUUUAAUUUCUUCAUUCAGGUUCCUUUACAUGAGAGGCCAGAAACAGAGUUUUUCAAUUUUCCUUCUUUUGAAAAUGAUUUGUAAAUAAGCUGAAUGUUUUUCUCUUCCCCUAUAUUUAGCUGCUUCUCCCACUACAUACCCUCCCCCUAUGUCAUGUUCUUUUUGUGGUUGGAUUGCUCCAAGUUCACUCAUUAUUUUUAAAUUCAAUAAAAAAAGACAGAAAAUAUAUCACAAUAUAAUUUAUGUUUUGAAUUCUAUAAUUUUCUUUUAUCUUUUUAGUUAAAUAUAUUUUUAUCUUUUUUAUAUUCAAAAUACUAAACAAACACAACAUGCAUGUAAAUAUGAAUACACAAUAUCCAUACCCUAACAAAAAUAUUAAUUUAGUAAUAGUUUUUUUUUAUAAGCCUAACAAAUUGUCGCUUUGGUAGGCAUGCUUUGAAAUAGAAUAUGAAUUUGGGAAGGUAUUUUUUUUUAAUUAAUUGAUAAACUUCUAUAUUUUUCUCUUAGAUGCGCCAACAAUUUUUAUUAUUUAUAUUUACAACUAUAUUAACACAUAAAUACAUAUACAUCAAUAUAUAUAAUCAAUAUCAAUAUUUACACCAAAAUUGAACUUGCUUAGUUUAUAAAUAGCAAUGCGCCAAGCCCAAACGUAUUGAGUCUGGUGUUAGCCAAAUCUAGACGCGGUGGUUCUAGCAUUAGCUAGACCCAAAAAAUGAUUAGGUCUAGCCACUGUCAGACCCAAAUCUUGAUAGGUCUAGCGCUAGUUAGACCUAGCCAUGAUUAAGCUUGGUAGUGUGUCAAGCCGACGCGUGUUGGACAUCCAUCAAGUCUUUUCAAGCAAUAGAAGUUCAGAAAAACAAAAGAGAUGAGAGUUAAAAAAAAAAAAACAUGUGAGAAAGCAUGCGAUAAAAACAAAAAAAUACUAUUAGAAUUCACAGUAAAAUAAAAAAAAUACUAGUCAGUUUUUCUAUUGAUGUAGAAUAGGAAAGAAGACGAGGGAGAGAAUAGAUGACGGAGGAAAAUUGUGUUGAAGAAUGUGGGGAGGAGAGCAGUAGGAGUUGAUAUUCAGAUUUUAAAUGUCGAUUGUCAAAAGCCUUUCUAAAACAUAAUAUAUAUGCGUUCUCUUCUUAUGAGGUUUGAUAAUUGGUAAGAGUGUCCUAUAAAAUAAUUCCUAAUAAAUGCUAAAAAGUCAUAAUAAAACUCUUAAUUAAUACUAAAAAUCUUGUUAGUGUAAAUGAAGGAAAAUAGAUUUGGGUAAUAUUAUUUAUAUAUUAAUAAAGUAAUAUAAGAAAAAAAGAUAAAAAGUUAUAUCCUGACAAUAACCGUUAUAAUUAUUCACCACUCUUCAGCCUUGUAAUUAUGUCUGUUAUACAGUAUUAAUAGACAAGUAAGAAAAAAGAAUAUUGAAAAGAAAAGAAUGUAGAACAAAAUAGACUCUCAAAGAAAAUUCUCGGCCAAUGAUCCCAUUAAAAUUGUUUCUGCAAAUAAGGUAUACUUAGAUAGUACAAGAAAAUGAUGAUUAUUUAUUAUUUAAUGUGAUUGUGCUUAACUAGUAAUACUGAUCAAAAGAGUAUAAUUUGAAUGAAAAAGAACUCAAGGGAUGCACAAAUGUGCAGGAUUGUUAUCCGCUUUACAACCUUACAUGUUUCAGUAUAAUAAGCGUUAGGGAUAUUCAAGGAAACUGAAAAAUUGAUUAAACCAAAAACAAAGCAAUCCAAAAAAUCAAAUUAAGAAGAAAAACUCAAUAAACUAAUUAGAAAAUAAAAAUACUUUCCAUCCAGUUUAGUUUCAAUUUUAAAAUUUUAAAACCAAUUGAAUCAGAUCAAGUCGUAGACUAGUCAUUAUUAUUAUAUUCCCAUUAUUAUUUCCUAUUUUAUAGAUUUUUCUACAUUGAAGCUUUUGAAAAGAAAUAUUAACAUUGAUCAUUCAUGCAUGCACUUUUGACCAAAUUUUUCUCUUGCUUUUUUAUGUUGUUCCACUGAGAUGACUUUUUUUUUUGUUUUUUUUUGUGAAUUGAAAUUAUAUUAGAUGUUUGUAAUUGUUUCAUCUCAUUUAUAUUUAUUUUUUUAUUUUUGAAAAGUAAACUUCCUUUAAUUAAAUUUUUCUUUUUUUUGCUAUUUUUUUUUGUAGGGUUUACUCUUUUUUCUUCUUUGAUUAUUCUUAUUGUAAUAUCAAAUUAUCCCUUUGUUUUUUGCAGGUCUUAUCAAGCUGUUUGGUUUUUUUAUUUUGAAUAAAUCGAACUGAACUGAUUUAAUUUAAAUUGAUUUUUAAUUCAUUCCGGAUCGGAUAAUAAACACCCCUAAUAACCAUCAAAUCAUUUUCUCACGAAAUGGAACCGGAGAAUAAACAAUUAAACACCCCUAAUAAUCAUCUUGGCUUCCAGCUAUCUCCAAAUUGCAAUCACAUCAGGCACAUGUCGUUGCAUUCGCAUUCACCCCCUGACUAUGAACAGGAACCCCAAUUAAGUGAAAUGGUCCACAGCGUUUUCGGUCAACCAAGUCGGCUACCACUUGCAGCACAAUUAAUCAAAAAACGAUGUGAAUUAUGAUUUGAUGUCGAACCAGGUGGACUAUCAGCUGCAGCCACAAUUAUUUGAUGCAUAGCAAAAUAAUUAUUCAGAAUCACAGUACCUUGGCAGUCCUUUCCAGCCAACUUGAUGUGUUGUGUGGUAAUCCGAUGAAAAUCAAGAUCCCAAAGAGGGUGAUGCCGCUGAUGUAGUAGUUGCAGUGCCGAGGACUUUUAUGUAUAUAUAAUUAUGUAUACUGUGUUUUUUAUUUUUAUUUUACUCGGUCUCAUAAUUAAAUUUUUGUUGCAUAAUUUUUAAUUAAUAAACAUGUAAUUAUAAAUGAAGGAAAGAAAAAAUUGGAUGGACUUGUUUGUUUCAAUUUUAUUUUUUUGGUUUUAUCUUUUUUAUUUGUUUUUUAAAGCCUUUUUUAAGUCUUAAUCAAUUCUUUAUUUUUUAUUAUUUUUUGAGGUAUAAAAGUAUUUUCCAAAGAAUAUUUUAAAGUUAUUGGGCAAAUAACAUUGUUAGCCACGGAGAGAUCAAUGGUAUAAUGAUUGGACUCAAAAACUUUCAAAGACAAAAUCAAUAGUAUACUAUACGAUCCCUCAAACUCAUUAACCCCUCACAACUACCUCAAAAUUGCAAUCACAUCAGGCACAUGGCGUUGCAUUCGCAUUCAUCCCCUGACUAUGAAAUGGAUUUCCUGGAAAUUGAUCUCCUUGGUCUGCAGGAACCCUAAUUAAAUGAAAUGGAUUUCCUGGAAAUUGAUCUCCUUGGUCCACAGCCUAUUUUCUCCGAGACCGUCCAACCUGUUGAAAACUUGCAGUUUGGUGGUGGGUGUUUAGUAACAAAUCAAAGUGGGGUCCAUUAAAAAAAUUAAGUUUGAAAGAUAAUUUUUUUUAACAGUUUUUACAUGUUUUUUAACCGAGUUUCGUAAAAAUUUCUAAAACCUGUUUGUUUUUUCAUUUCAAAAACGCUUUUGAAAAAAGUUUAUUUUUAUUUUUAUUUUUUUCUUUGCUUCAAAUUAAUAUUUUUUUGUGUUUUCAAAUCAUUUUGAUGCGCUGAUAUUAAAAAUAAUUUUUAAAAAUUAAAAAACAUUAUUUCAAUUAAUUUUCAAGUAAAAAACACUUUGAAAAACAACCGCAACCACACUCUCAAACAAAACUACCAAACAUUUUAUAGAUGUUUUUUACUAUACAUAAACUUCAACUAUAAUUUUUACUAAAAUAUAUCUAAAUCCAACUAAACAUAACUAACCAUAUUUUUUUAAAUCUUAUUUUUUUCAAAUCAUGAUUAUAAAAGCUGUCUAAAAAAUAAACACGCUCUCAAGUCAGUUGGACCAGUUGUAUGAUGAGACCAUGUUUCUGUGCGACAAUAUGGCUUUUUAUUUUUUUAUGUGAAUAAAAAGAACAAAACCCUCAAAUAUCAAAUCUUUAUAUGUUUGAAUAUCUAAAAAGAUGAAAAAGCAAAAAUUUUCAAACUUUUUUCCUCUAUUUUUUUAAAAAAGGGGAAAAAAAGCAAUAUAGGUCAUGGAUUUCUUUUUUUACAUGGAGAGUAGUUAGAUCUCAUUAAAGCAAAUAAUUCAUCAAUCAUAAUCAAUACUCAAAACAAAGCAUGCAAGUACACCAUGAAUACUGUUGAUGGUAAAAAAUUAAAAAUGAUGUGUAAAUUGAGAUGGAGAGCUAAAUAUAUAAAAAUACAAAAAAAAACGAAUGCUAAAGUCAAAUUAUGAACAUCUAAAAGGCAUCUUGUGUGCGACUAUUUUCAUGUCACUAUGCACGACAGAAAAAAGAGAGGAUGCUAUAUUCAUACAUCAAUCAAAGAAUGUGUGGAUCCAAGGAGAACAAUGAACAUCCAGAAGGAGUCUGAAAGUGAUGAAUUAAGAUUUUAUUUGUAUAUUUUUAUAAAAAUUCAAGAAAGAUUUAUAAGUUUAAAUUUCCAGAAAUAUAAGCAUGCACCAAUGAAAAUAUGUUAGGUCUGACGCUAGUCAAAUCUAGACACAUUAGGCUUGGUAGUGUACCAAGUCCCGGACAUGCUAAGUCUAGUAGUUUGAAAUGACUUUUUUUUUUGGACACGCUCAAGAUAAUGAUCAUCCUUUCUUGAGUCUAAUCUAUGAAAAUAGCUCAUUCUCUAUGAGCAUUAGCUAUAAAAGUCAUUCAAAGACCUAUUAUAUUUCAUUAAAUAUUAAUAUAGAUGUAAGAAAUAUUUAUCUAUCAUUAAAUGUUAGAUAGAUCUCUUCAUAAAAAAACAAGAUUUAUAGGUUAUAAAUACACAAUGAAACUUUUAGAAUAGAAGUUCAUAAUCUUUAUUUUUUACUGCAUAUAUAAUUUCAAAGCAUCUCUCUAAAAUAUUAUUAUAUUUUAAAAAAAAAAGAUAUUUAUUUAAGUAUGGAUUUCAUUAUAAAUCAAAGGUAUUAAUAUGAUUUUUAUUAUGGAAAGAAAAAAGCAAAAAACUAUUUGCUAUUAUUUUUAAUUUUAACAAUUCUAAUUAAUAGAAUAGCUAUUUGAAUAGCUAAAAUACAUUUCUUCUACUAAAAUACUAUUUUUACAUACAAAAGCCAACGUCUCUUUAUCUAUGGUUAGCUUUUGUUUUUCUCUUUAAAGACACAACAAGAAGAAGAAAAGAAGCUUGCAAACCUAAAAAUUUUAACAUUAUUAUAUAAAACUGAAAACUGAAAAUAUUAAUAUAAAUAAAUUUUGAUUUUGAAAGUGUAAAAUUUAAACCUUAAAUUAUAUCUUUGAAUUUUCAUAUUACUUCAUUAAUUUUAUAAAUUUCUCAUAUUAAUUAUAUAAAAAAUAACAUGAUUAUAUUAUAUAAAAAAUAAUUAAACUAGUUAUAUAAUUAUAUUAAAAUUAGUUUAAUAUAAAAUAUAUUAAAAUAUAAUUAGCUUUUUCUAAAUGGUUUUUUACCAUUGGAAUGCACAUAAAUAAAUAAAAUUAUAUUUAUAUUAUUUAAAAAACUAUUUUAUCAAUUUAAUUUCAACUUUUAAAAAUAGCAUGUUUUAUAGGAGUUGCUCGUGUGCAGAAUUAUACAAGGGAGAGAGGAAGGAAACAAUGGGAAAGAGACAAAAGAAGUCCAAACAUAAUAUAACCCCUGCUCUUGACAGGAAGGUGCCUCUGCUGCCCAGUGCGCGUUCGAUAUCCCUAUAAUUUCUGGUUUGGGAAAGUGGUUUUAGACCCGUUUGGAAAUUUGAUUUUUUUUAUAAUUAUUUUAUAUAUAUAUUUUUAAUUUGUUUUGAUGUAUGUAUAUUAAAAUUAUUUAAAAAAUAAUAAUAAAUAAAAUUAUUUUUAUAUAUUUCUAAAAAAAAUUACUUUUAAAAAAUAAUUACUACUAUAUUUUUAAGCAUCAUGGUAUAAGAUUUGAGAUGAGAUAUUAGUAAUGGUAGAAGAAUUGGUGUUUGAGAUUGGGAAAAAUCAAAGUUGGACUGUUUGUCAUAAAAAUAUUAAAGUUGGAGAUUCUAAACUCAAUUUAAUAUGAAUUUUUUUACUUUGUUUUUCGUUAAUUAGUUCCAGUUAAUAGGUUGGUGGCUAAGUUUAUUUUUUAAAAAAAUCAAUGGGAAUUUAUAAUAUUUAAUAUAAGAGUUUCAUAGUUAAUAGUUUGAAAAUUCAUUAAAAAAUACUUUUCAAUUGUGAUGUGUGGGGCCAAUCCCUGCUCUUGACAGGAGGUGCCUCUGCUGCCCAAUGCGCGUUCGAUAUCCCUUUCAUUUCUCUUUUCACUUUUUUCUCCACCGAAACUCCAUCUUCUUUACAGUGUAAGAAAAGGAUCCGUAAGGAAACUUACCAGUACGAGUGAGUUCUUGACCUAAAGGAACCGGAAACAAUUCGAAGUCAUUGGAAUAAAAAGAAAAGGAAAGGGCUUUCGAAGUUGGUUACUAAGAUACCAGAAGAAUAAACAUUAUUAUUAUUAUUAUUAUUAGAAUUAAUAAAGAAAUAAAAGACCAUGAUGUUUUACUAUAGAUAGAUCGAAGCCUAGAUCAUAUAUUUUUUUUCAAAACAUUGAUUUCAAUUUAAGACCGAUUAAAUUGGAUUGUACUAGAUUUUGAAGUUAGAAGUAGGUCUCCGGAAGAUAUUAGGACGAGUUUGAGGAUUUGUUUUUACUGGAAAUGAAGAAAAAAGGUGUUAGGAUGCACAUGGAUAAUAUUGGUGGCCCUUGAUUUCCUGACUAUCGAAGCAUCCUCGAGAAAACAUAUAUAGCACCACAUGUUCUUCCAAUAAAUAACGUGUUUUUUUUUUUUUUAGAUUAAUGUGAAUAAUUGGAUCAGCUUACGUGUACCUCGACUAAUCCUAUAGGCCAUGAAGUUAACGACCAUGUAAGCCUCCAGUGGCCAUCAUAUGAGCAACCACAAGGCUCGAACCUGAGACCACAGAAAAAGUAAAUCCCUUAGUCCCAAGUUCUUACCACUGGACCACCACCUAGAUAGUUCUAAAUAUUCUUUGUUACUUCUUGUUGUGGAUAUCGGAUUAAAAGUUAUUUUUCAAUAGAAAAAAAAAAGAUGUGAGCACUGUCAACUUUUUUUAAGUUGAAGAAAUUUUUUAUUUUGCAAAAAAAAUGCAUGUUUUUAAUCAAAGCAAUCAGAAUUAUAUACAAUAAAAAAAUGUUAAAAUGCAAAUCAAAGAAUAAAUCUAGAAACUAGGUGAUAAAUACGGUUCAAAAUAUAUGAUUUCAUGUAGCCAAAAAAAUAUUAACAAUUUAAGUUCUAUCAACAUAAAAUAAUUCCUUAGUCCUUUUUUUAUUAUUUAUUGUCAAUAAAAAAUAUGUUUGUGUUUGAUAUUAUGUUUUUAUCUUGCGUUUGAAUACAUUUUAAAAAUAUGUUUGUCUUGUAAAAAUAUCAAAUUAAUAUUUUUUAAGUAUUUUUUAAUGUGUUUAUAUAAAAAAAUUUUAAAAAAAUUUAUACCGCAAUAUUAAACGCACACUAAAUAUCUAAUAGACUCCAAAGGUUCGAAAUAACCAUAAAAAAACAUAUUCAUAAUUAAAUCCUCUUUAUACUAUUAUUGUGAUUUUUUAAAUUUUAUUUAUUUAUUUAUUUAUCAGAAUAUUUAUUUUUUGAAGAAAAAAAAUUACGAGAGUCAUAAAAAAAUUAAUUAAAAAAAUAAUUAAUGGUUUUAUAAUUAUGCCAUGAAUGUAUAUUUUUUAUGUAAUCAUGCAGUAAUAAAAAAGUUGUGCGGAAAGCCAAAAAUCAAAAUUUAUUAUAGAGCCAACGGAAAUAAAGGUCGCGAAGAGGGUGAUGCCGCUGAUGGUUGGUUCUCUUCCUCCUUGUGAGCUUUUGUGGACACGUUCGGCCUCGGACAUUAAAGUUGAGGCAGGUAAUUGAUGGUACUGCAAUUGUGAGGAACGUGCGGUAGAAGAAAUAUUGGAUUAUCUCUUGGAGUCUUCGUCUAUGGUAUGUUAACUAUGGGUAGAAAGUGUCGGGAGAUGAGUGGCUGGGAUUCAUUAAUGAAUAGCGGCGUUACGAAUUUUCAUUAUUGGACGGAAAACCAUUUUUAUGAGUUUGCAUUUCAGGGUGUAGGCUGACGAAAAGCAUGGUUGAAUAGUAGCUAUGGGGUGGCAGCCCGCAUGACAGUAACUAUUUGAAUAUCUAAAAUACAUUUUCUUCUACUAAAAUAUUAAUUUUACAUAUUUACAUAUAAAAGCCAAAAACAAGGAGAAAAUAUAUACAGAACAAGCCUUUAGCCAACUUCUCUUUUAUCUGUGGUUGGCUUUUGUUUCUCUCCUUAAAAACAGAACAAGAAGAAAAAAAAGCUUGCAAACCUCAAAACCUAAAAUUUUUAACAUUAUUAUACAAAAUUGAAAAUUAAAAAUAUUAAUAUAAAUAAUUUUGAUUUUAAAAGUUUAAAGUUUAAAAUUUAAACUUUAAAUUAUAUCUUUAAACUUUCAUAUUACUUCAUUAAUUUUAUAAAUUACUUAUAUUAAUUGUAUAAUUAAUAACAUGAUUAUAUUAUAUAAAAAAUAAUUAAACUAGUUAUAUAAUUAUAUUAAAAUAUAAUUAGCAAUUUUAAAUAGCUUUUUACUAUUGAAAUUGCACAUAAAAAAAGCUAUAUUUACAUCCAUUUUUUCAAUUUAAUUUUUAACUUUUAAAAAUAGCAUGUCUUAUUGAAGUUGCCCUUAUGCAGAAUUACAAGGGAGAGGAAGACAAAAGAAGUCCAAAAAUAUUUAAUUUUUAAACAUAGAUGCUUGACUUGAGAAUUCAUUACAAAACAUGAAUCAACUCAAUUGUGAUGUGUGUGGCCCAACCCCUGCUCUACUGCCCAAUGCGCGUUCGAUAUCCCUUUCAUUUCUUUCUCUACUUUUUCUCCACCGGAAGUCCAUCUUCUUUACAGUGUAAGAUCCGUAAGAAAAUCAUUGGAAACUUACCAAUACGAGUUCUUGACCUAAAGGAACCGGAAAAAAAUCGAAGUCAUUGGAAUAAAAAGAAAGUAGUGAGGGCUUUGGAAGUAUGUUACUAAGAUACCAGAAGAAGAAAAAAUAUUGAGCCUGGCUGGAUCUUGUGCCUCUUUAGCCAACACUGACCACACUGUUUGUUUCGUCUAGAUUCGUGUAAUACUUGUAGAAAUUUGGUGUUUUCUGAUUUAUAAGUAGAAUUGUACAUGUUCCAGCUUGAAAUUGCUAUUUGGUAGAUUUAAUUGCCAUAUUUCUUGAUCUUACCUUCUGUUUCGUGUUUGAUCACAAGAGCAGGCCUUACACAAAAUAGCGUGGAAAGCAAUUUCUGAACCAAGCUAGCUAGUUGAGCCUAGAAGGAUCGGUACUAAUUUAUCGCUAUAGGGAUUUUCAUGGCUUCCACCAGCGUGCAAGGAAUAACCUCAUCUUCAUCUUCUCCUCCUCCACUAUAUAUGCAUGAUGUGUUCCUUAGUUUUAGAGGCAAAGAAACCCGGAACAACUUUAGUAGUCAUCUAUAUUCUAAUUUGAAACAGAGAGGCAUCGAUGUAUACAUGGAUGAUAGGGAGCUCGAGAGAGGAAAGGCCAUCGAACCUGCUCUCUGGAAGGCCAUCGAAGAAUCAAGGAUUUCAGUCGUUAUAUUUUCAAGAGAUUACGCUUCUUCACCAUGGUGCCUGGAUGAACUUGUCAAGAUUGUUCAGUGCAUGAAAGAGAUGGGGCACACAGUUCUGCCAGUUUUUUAUGAUGUGGAUCCCUCAGAUGUAGCCGAGCGGAAACGGAAAUAUGAGAAAGCCUUCGUUGAGCAUGAACAAAAUUUCAAGGAAAAUAUGGAGAAGGUCCGGAACUGGAAAGAUUGUCUCUCUACAGUGGCCAAUCUAUCAGGCUGGGACGUGCGGCAUAGGUAAAUCAUCCAUCCACUUUUAUUCACAAAUCCACCCUUUAUUGUUUCAAUGAUGAACAUAGCUUCUUUCUUUUAAUGUUUUUCAAUUGAAACAUGUGAUUAAACAUCAAAAUAAUCACAAUUAAACAAGUAUAUCACUACUAAUUCUUGAAUAAAUAAUUGUUAGUAUAUAUUUUUGAUCCAUUAAAUAGCUAUUCCUAGCUUUUGUUCUUGUGUGCAUGCUUCUUUAGUAACCGUGUGAUUCUAUAGGCAAUAAGAUAGCUAUUGUAAGGAUCAUUCUUAGCAUCAAUACAAUCCUAGUUCCGUUUGCAGUUUAUUCUUUCCUUUUCCUCUCUGUUCUUGAAGCUAUAUAUUGUCAAGCCCUAUCUUUCUCAAAGAUUGAUUUAUUAAUUUCCGGCUAACAGCCAUACAUUUUCGAGCUAAUAUUUAUUUUCCCAUUAUCACUAUCUGAUUUGAUUUGCACACAGCAUGAUUAAUGUUUUCCACCACCAUAUGCAGGAAUGAGUCGGAAUCAAUUAGAAUAAUUGCUGAAUACAUAUCGUACAAACUAAGUGUCACUCUGCCAACAAUUAGCAAAAAAUUAGUUGGAAUAGAUUCUCGUCUAGAGGUAUUAAAUGGCUAUAUAGGUGAAGAAGUAGGCAAAGAAAUCUUUAUAGGGAUCUGUGGAAUGGGUGGCAUAGGUAAGACGACUGUUGCAAGGGUACUAUAUGAUAGGAUUCGUUGGCAAUUUGAAGGCAGCUGCUUCUUAGAAAAUAUCAGAGAGAUUUUGCUAAGAAAGAUGGACCACGUCGUUUGCAGGAGCAACUUCUUUCUGAAAUCUUAAUGGACGUGCUUCUGUAUGGGAUUCUUAUAGAGGGAUUGAGAUGAUAAAGAGGAGGUUACGACUUAAAAAGAUUCUUCUUCUCCUUGAUGAUGUAGAUGACAAAGAACAACUAAAAUUCUUGGCUGAGGAGCCUGGAUGGUUUGGUCCAGGGAGCAGAAUUAUCAUAACAAGCAGAGAUAAACAAGUGUUGACUAGAAAUGGUGUUGAUAGAAUUUAUGAGGCUGAGAAAUUGAAUGAUGAUGAUGCUCUUACGUUGUUUAGCCAGAAAGCUUUCAAAAAUGACCAACCUGCUGAAGAUUUCGUGGAACUAUCCAAGCAAGUUGUGGGUUAUGCUAAUGGCCUUCCACUGGCUCUUGAAGUUAUAGGUUCGUUUAUGCAUGGAAGAAGUAUCCUUGAAUGGAGAAGUGCGAUUAAUAGAAUAUAUGAUAUUCUUGACCGUGAAAUUAUUGAUGUGCUUCGCAUUAGUUUUGAUGGCCUCCAUGAAUUAGAGAAGAAAAUAUUUUUAGACAUUGCCUGUUUCCUUAAGGGGUUUAAAAAAGAUCGAAUAAUAAGGAUACUUGACAGCUGUGGAUUCCAUGCACAUAUUGGAACACAAGUUCUUAUUGAGAAAUCUCUCAUAAGUGUCUCUCGGGAUCGAGUCUGGAUGCAUAAUUUAUUACAGAUAAUGGGUAAGGAAAUUGUUCGUUGUGAGGACCCUAAAGAGCCUGGAAAGCGCAGUAGAUUGUGGACAUACAAGGAUGUCUUCCUUGCACUGAUGGACAACACAGUGAGUAGCUGAUAAAGAACAUUAUCCAUAAGAUUUCAUAACUUUUAUUUUAAUUUACGCUCAAUCUCUACUUUGUAUUUGUUUUUAACUUGUAUUCCCUUUUGGUUGACAGGGAAAAGAAAAAAUAGAAGCCAUUUUCUUAGACAUGCCUGGAAUAAAAGAGGCACAAUGGAACAUGAAAGCCUUCUCUAAAAUGAGUAGACUAAGAUUGCUCAAAAUCGACAACGUGCAGCUUUCUGAAGGACCUGAAGAUCUUUCCAAUGAGUUACGAUUUAUUGAAUGGCAUUCUUACCCUUCAAAAUCAUUGCCAUCUGGUUUACAGGUGGAUGAGCUAGUUGAACUUCACAUGGCUAACAGUAGUCUUGAGCAAUUAUGGUGUGGGUGUAAGGUGAGAUCACCUAAUUUAAGGGCCUUUGUAUUUCUUUUUAUCGUUUUCCUAUAUAUGAUUGAUAGAAGUAUCCAUAUUUCUUCUCCCCUACCUGAUUGCAGAGUGCAGUUAAUUUGAAAAUCAUCAAUCUCAGCAACUCACUAUACCUGACCAAGACUCCAGAUCUUACUGGAAUUCCAAAUCUCGAGAGUCUGAUUCUUGAAGGUUGUACAAGUUUGUCUGAGGUCCAUCCAUCACUUGCACAUCACAAGAAGCUUCAAUAUGUGAAUCUUGUGAACUGCAAAAGUAUUAGGAUUCUCCCAAACAAUCUAGAAAUGGAAUCACUUAAUGUUUUCACGCUUGAUGGCUGCUCAAAACUUGAGAAGUUUCCAGAUAUAGUAGGAAACAUGAACGAAUUGAUGGUGCUUCGUUUGGAUGAGACUGGUAUUACAAAACUAUCUUCAUCGAUUCAUCAUUUGAUUGGCUUAGGUCUAUUGAGCAUGAACAGCUGCAAGAACCUUGAAAGCAUUCCAAGUAGCAUAGGUUGUUUGAAAUCCCUUAAAAAACUUGAUCUGUCUGGCUGCUCUGAACUUAAAUAUAUACCAGAGAAGUUGGGGGAAGUUGAAAGUUUGGAUGAGUUUGAUGCAAGUGGAACUUCAAUAAGACAACUGCCAGCAUCCAUUUUUAUUUUAAAGAAUCUUAAAGUAUUAUCUUUGGAUGGAUGUAAGAGAAUAGUUGUGCUGCCUUCUUUGUCUGGUCUGUGUUCUUUAGAAGUACUGGGUUUACGGGCUUGCAAUCUAAGAGAAGGGGCACUUCCUGAAGAUAUUGGCUGCUUAUCUUCAUUGAAGUCUUUAGAUCUGAGCCAGAAUAACUUUGUUAGCCUGCCUAAAAGCAUAAAUCAGCUUUUUGAACUGGAAAUGCUUGUCUUGGAGGAUUGCACGAUGCUUGAAUCAUUGCCUGAGGUUCCAUCUAAAGUUCAAACGGUAUAUUUGAAUGGUUGUAUAAGCCUAAAAACAAUUCCAGAUCCGAUAAAGCUAAGCAGUUCCAAAAGCUCAGAGUUCAUAUGUCUUAACUGCUGGAAAUUGUAAAAUCAUAAUGGCCAAGACAACAUGGGGUUGACCUUGCUUGAAAGAUACCUCAAGGUCUUCUCUUAAUCAAACCCCAACUUUUUUUUAUCUCCCUCUCCCUCAAUCUAUCUAACAUUUUGGUUUUUCAUGGUACAGGGUUUGUCUAAUCCAAGACCUGGAUUUAGUAUCGCUGUUCCAGGAAAUGAAAUUCUUGGCUGGUUUAACCAUCAAAGUGAGGGAUCUUCAAUUAGUGUGCAAGUGCCUAGUUGGAGCAUGGGGUUUGUUGCGUGUGUUGCAUUCAGUGCAAAUGGUGAAAGUCCUUCUCUUUUUUGUCAUUUAAAAGCCAAUGGAAGAGAGAAUUAUCCUUUGUUGAUGUCUAUUAGUUGUAACUCUAUCCAACUUCUGUCAGAUCAUCUUUGGCUAUUCUAUCUAUCUUUUGAUUACCUUAAAGAGCUUAAAGAAUGGAAGCAUGCAUCCUUUAGCAACAUUGAGUUGUCAUUUCAUUCUUAUGAGCCAGGAGUAAAGGUAAAGAAUUGUGGUGUCUGUUUGCUAUCUUCUGUAUAUAUUACAUCACAACCAUCUGUCCAUUUUAUUGUUACAAGCAAAAAAGCAGCUUCUUCAUAUAAAGCUUCUUUAGCUUCUUCUUCAUCUUACCAUCAAUGGAAAGCCAAUGUUUUCCCUGGCAUCAGAGUCGCAGACACUGGUGAUGCUUUCACCUAUUUAAAGUCAGAUCUAGCCCAGAGAUUUAUUAUCCCAUUCGAGAUGGAACCAGAGAAAGUAAUGGCAAUUAGAUCAAGACUCUUUGAGGCCAUUGAAGAAUCAGAGCUCUCAAUUAUUAUAUUUGCCAAGGAUUGUGCUUAUUUACCUUGGUGCUUUGAAGAACUUGUCAAGAUUGUCGGAUUCAUGGAUGAGAUGAGAUCGGACACUGUGUUUCCAGUUUCUUAUGAUGUCAAACAAUCAAAGAUAGAUGAUCAAACAGAGAGUUACAUAAUUGUCUUUGAUAAGAACGUCGAAAAUUUCAGGGAAAACGAGGAGAAGGUGCCAAGGUGGAUGAAUAUUCUCAGUGAAGUUGAGAUUUCAACUGGAUCGAGAAGGUAAUAAAUCUGUGCUCUUUAUAACAUCGGUUCCAUGUAUAGUUUGACUAUGCGGUGGGGAUGGGAAAAAUAAUGUUUAGUUCAACCAAAAAGCAUUAAUAGUCCUUUUUAUCUAAUCUAUUUUUUUGUGACAAUUUUACCUGAACCAAAGAUACCUGCUUUACCAAAUCUGAAUAUGGAUAUAAAUUAUUUUUAUUCAUUUGGGUUUGGAGGGAUUAAUAAUUUUAAAGUUUGAAAAAGUUCCCAUUAUGCCACAACACUUCUGACUUCUCCUUCUCACUCUUAGCGGCAUGGGAGCUCCAGCAACGCAGCAGCAGCAGCAGAUCCAGCGGAUCCAGCAGCAGAUCCAGCUCCAGCUCCAGCUCCAUCUCCACCAGCAGCAGCGGAUCCAGCUGCUCAAGUGGAAGUGGCAGCCCCAGCUGCUCGAGCCCCCGCUGCCCCAGCUGCUCGAGCCCCCGCUGCCCCAGCUGCUCCAGCGGCUGUGGCGGCAGCUCCAGCAGCAGCUCCAGCAGCGGAUCCAUUGGAUCCAUUGGAUCCAGGACUGCGACAACUUGCGUGAGCAGCAGGUGCGUGAGCAGCAGCUUGAGCAGCUGUCUGAGCAGCAGCUGCUUGAGCAGCAGCUUGAGCAGCUGUCUGAGCAGCAGCUUGAGCAGCUGCAUGGGUUUUCGGGAAGAAUCUAACUUGGUUUAGCUUGAAGAUCUUCGUCAGUUUUCCAUGGAUCUAAUUUCUUAUUAGCUCUUGAUUUCUUUCCUUGUUAAUUACCAUCAAAGUACAGUGAGCAGUGAUUGCAAGACAUCCUGUGAUCUUCCUUCUUGUUUGCAUGUUCAUCAAAGUAGCCAACACGAGGGAAAAAACAUGGCAAGGAUUUUCAUCAUGCUAGGACGGGUCCUUGUUUUUGCUCAUGGUUUUGGUUUGGGGUAAUAAGACUCACAUUUUGCAAUCUAGGCUAUCGGUAUAUUUUUAUUUUGGCGUCUCGGUGUUUCUGUGACCGUAGAUUCCAAGAGGUUUUUCCAGCUACUAAUUCUAUAAAUCUAAUGAAAACAGAAAUGAGAAACUCGUCAGUUUUUCUAUUGAUGUAGAACGAGGAAGAAGACGAGGGAGAGAAUAGAUGAAGAAUAGAAAGGUGACGUAUAAAGGAAUGUGGGGGGUGGGGGGGGGGGGGGGCGUGCAGAUUUUAAAUGGAUAUGGGUAAUAUUAUUUAUAUUAAUAAAGUAAUAUAAAAAAAAAAAGAGGAUAAAGAGUUACAUCCUACUAAUAAAAAUCAAAUAUCAUUAACUCUUCAUUCUUAUAAAUAAAUAUGUCUGUUAUACAAUAAUAAACAGUAAGAAAAAAUAUUGAAAAGAAAAAAAUAUAGAACAAAAUAGAGGAGAAUGGAUUCUCAAAAAAAAAAAAUCUAAUUUAAUUUUCAGAAGAAUUGUUAAAUAAAGUAGGCUUACUGAGUAAUGUGAUGUGAUAGUAAUUAUUUUUUAAUUUAAAAAUAUUUUUAAAAUGUAAAACAAUAGUAUUAAUUAAUUGUCAAAUUAUGUGCAAACAUUAUAUAUAUUGUCAAAUAUAUAUAUAUAUAUAUAUAUAUAUAUAUUAUUGCUUAUGUGUAUUUAUUGUUGUGCAAUUCUUUUCUCCUCUGUCUGUCUUGUUGAAACAAACUAGAAAGAAAAAUAAUGUGCCAGUUAGAAAUUGAGGGUUGAACACCAACUUGGUGAGAUUGUCUGAAACUUAAAAAGUAAAAAUGUAAUGGCUGGGAGUCGAACUUGGGUAGGCCAAAUACGCAAGAUUUAAGUCUCAUUCACCGCUGGGCCGUUGCUUGAGUUUUGUCACGCAUACAAUAUAAAUAAUAAUCAAACCUAAGACCUUAAGAAGGAACUACUGCAUUUAGUUGUGUUGUGGAUGUAUACAUUAAUAAUAUAUAUAUUUAGAAACAAAGGGUAUAAUUCUGCGUUGGUGAUUUAUAUUAAUGAUGUGGACUAAUUUUUGUGCAUUUUAUUUCCAUGUGCAAUUCUAAAUUAAUGAUAUGUGCAUUGAUUAGUUAUGAUAAAUUAAUUUAUAUAUGUUAUGACUACAAAUUUAUUAUUCACAUAUGUUUAUAUAUAUAUAUAUGUAUACAUGUUUUCCAAACACAGUGUAAUUCCAUGUUUAACCUAGUAGAAUUGUGAAUUUAUUGAAUUCUUAAAAUAUAUGUUAUUUUAAAUAUAUGAUCCUUACGUAAUUAAUUAUGAUAUUAAUAAUAUGAUUAUGAAAAUAGUGAGCUUUCGAUUUUUGAUUUUAAAUAUGAUGUGAAAUCAUUGUUGGCAUAAUUAAUUGAUAUUAAGGAUAUGUAUAUAUGUUUUAGUCAUCUAUUAAAUGUGAACCUCUGACUAAUAAAAUAAUUUUUUAUGUGAAAAAAAAUAAGAAAUGACUAUUGCUACCAGGAAUAUUGUGGCCGAGCUCAAUAUGAUCUUCUUAAGCCAACAAGCCUAAAAUUAAUUAAUAUAUACAUGGUUGUUUCUAGUUCACAAGGUACAAGAAGAAAGAAGCGUAUGCAUCAAAGUGAAUCUCAAUAUAAGCAAGGUAAAGAGAAAUCCAUGGAAAAGGAAAACAUUCUUCUAAGAAGAAAAGGAACAAUCACCAAGAGGUUCCUCUGGUCCACAAAGGGAUUUGAGCUUUCGACAUCUGCUGAUCUCAAGUUGCAUAACCCCACUCUUCAAUUUCCUGACAUAUAAAAUUGAUGAUGGAUCGACUGUGAGACUUGCGAGUCACAAGAGGUUNNNNNNNNNNNNNNNNNNNNNNNNNNNNNNNNNNNNNNNNNNNNNNNNNNNNNNNNNNNNNNNNNNNNNNNNNNNNNNNNNNNNNNNNNNNNNNNNNNNNNNNNNNNNNNNNNNNNNNNNNNNNNNNNNNNNNNNNNNNNNNNNNNNNNNNNNNNNNNNNNNNNNNNNNNNNNNNNNNNNNNNNNNNNNNNNNNNNNNNNNNNNNNNNNNNNNNNNNNNNNNNNNNNNNNNNNNNNNNNNNNNNNNNNNNNNNNNNNNNNNNNNNNNNNNNNNNNNNNNNNNNNNNNNNNNNNNNNNNNNNNNNNNNNNNNNNNNNNNNNNNNNNNNNNNNNNNNNNNNNNNNNNNNNNNNNNNNNNNNNNNNNNNNNNNNNNNNNNNNNNNNNNNNNNNNNNNNNNNNNNNNNNNNNNNNNNNNNNNNNNNNNNNNNNNNNNNNNNNNNNNNNNNNNNNNNNNNNNNNNNNNNNNNNNNNNNNNNNNNNNNNNNNNNNNNNNNNNNNNNNNNNNNNNNNNNNNNNNNNNNNNNNNNNNNNNNNNNNNNNNNNNNNNNNNNNNNNNNNNNNNNNNNNNNNNNNNNNNNNNNNNNNNNNNNNNNNNNNNNNNNNNNNNNNNNNNNNNNNNNNNNNNNNNNNNNNNNNNNNNNNNNNNNNNNNNNNNNNNNNNNNNNNNNNNNNNNNNNNNNNNNNNNNNNNNNNNNNNNNNNNNNNNNNNNNNNNNNNNNNNNNNNNNNNNNNNNNNNNNNNNNNNNNGCACUAAGCCAGCCCUCAUCUAUAUAUUAGAAAAGUGUGCUUAAUAGUCAUAUCUCUUUUCUUUCAAGUGUGUUUUGUAGCCCUUAUAUACUAGAUAAUGCACUUUAUAGUAAUAUUCAUUUUUCUUUUGAGUGCACUUUUUAGCCCUUGUAUACUAGAUAAUGUGCUUUUGAGCUCUAUCCAUUUUCCUUUUAAGUGCGCUUUCUAUCCCUCAUCCAUCAAAUAGUGCACCUUUUAACCUUAUUUUUUUUCCUUUUGAGUGCGCUUUCUAGCAUUCAUCCAUCAGAUAAUAUAUUUUCAAGUCCUAUCCUUUUCUUUUUAGUACGCUUUUUAGUCAUAUCAUUUUCUUCCCAAGUGUGCUUUAGAACUCUCAAUUCUAACACUCUUGGAAAGAUUAACUAUUUUUUUAACUGUAAAUCUAUGAUGUUGUGUCUUUUCUUAUUUACAACUUACUAUUUAAAGUCUCUUAUAAUUUUUUUUGUCAUAGGCAUUGUAAAGAUGAAGCAACUGUUAUAACCUAAUUUUGGGUUCCCCCAAAUUACAAGUUUUUUAAAUGAAAAGCAAUAAAAAAAUUGAAAAUGAAAAAGACUGAUAAAUUAAAAAAAAAAACAGGUUGAGAAGGGUUUCAAAUGCAUGGAAGAACCAAGCUGGAGUUGUAGACAAAAUUGAAAUCCUAAUUGUACCUAUUUGUACCCAAGAUCAAAAGACAAUGUAGAUUAAAGGGCAAAUUCAAUUAUUAUUGGAUUAAUUUGUAUUUUAAUAGGUCAACUUGAGUUAAUCAUGACCCUACUUAAAGGUUUUAUUAAGUUUAAAAAAUAAUUUGGGUCAAAUUAAGAGAAAUAAUUAAGUGUAACGACUUAAUUAGACUUUUAAUAGGUUAAAGUUAUUUUUAUUAGAAAUUUAAUUGGUGAAAAAUUAAGUUUGAAAGCUUAAUUUGGGCUUAAUUGAGAAUAUUAAAAUUUUAGAUGAUCAAAUUUAUUGUUUUUAAGCUUAAUUGUUUGAAUUCAGGGAUAUAAUUGUAAGAAAAUCAAAGUUUAGUGGUCAAUCAAGGAUCAAAUUAAAGAAAUUCAAGAUUAAAAACCUUUAUGCAAAGGAGCAAAAAUUUAGGGCUCAAAUUCGGUUGAAAACAAGGAUGAAAUUUAAAAAAUUAAAAGUUUGAAAUUCAAUUAAAAAUAAAAUCAAAGAACCUUUAUGUAAAAGCAACGUGUUUUUCGAAGCCAUCUCUCCCCUCCACAUCCCUCACACCAUGACACUAAACAUACCUCUCUUGUGACCUGCUAUUGUACCCCCAUCAAGAGCAGAAAAACAAGUCCUUUGGCAGUACUAAGAACACUGCCAAUCCGGCUUUUGUGGCUUUGUUUGGACAUGAGAAGGGUGGUCCAACACGUCCCUCACCCUCUAUAAAUGCCAACCUCAUGGCAACCAUAUGGCAGGGGGGGUAAAAAAGAAAAGAAAAAAGAAGACCAAACACUACACUAACACUAAACCCUCUCUACACCGACGACCUCACAAAAAUCAAACAACCUCAUCUCUUCCUGUCCCAAAGAACAACAACUAGAGACCAUUGAAAGAGCUAUCACAUCAACAAUUGUUUUUCUCUCCUAGCAUUCAUUCCUCCAUCGAUACUCUCUUGUGCACCAGCAACAGCCUUGACAGACCAAAAUUCAUUUUGUUAUGUUUCAAUUCGUGAGUUUGAGAGAGAAAAAAGAAAGUCACUUACGUACUAUUGGGUGAGGUCUUAGUUUUUUCACCGGUUAAAAGUUGUUUUGAUAUUUGAUAUGGAUUUAUUAAGAAGUGUGGGGUGUUUAUUAGGUGUUUUCAAGUUAAAAAUAAAAAAAAAAGUUAUUUAGGUUCAAGAAAAUGAAACCUAACUUUGAAGACCAAACACCUAUCCUUGACCCUUCAGGAAACACCAUCCAAGAUGUUGUGUCUACCCUUAUCCUUACCAUCUCCUUGUAUUUUGUUGGAGAUUCUUCCCAUUUGAAAGAUAAAAAUAUUGAACUUCUCUCCAACCUUCGGUGCAAGAAACUCAGUGACUUUCAGUGGUACAAAAAUACCUUCCUUACUCGUGUUAUGCUUCGAGAAGAUUCAAACCAACCAUUCUGGAAAGAAAAAUUCCUUGCAGGCUUACCAAUUCUCUUAGGAGAAAAGGUCCGCAACAAGAUCAAAGAUACCUUUACAACCAAAACCAUACCAUAUGACCAGCUUACAUACGACGAACUUGUAAGCUUCACACAAAAAGAAGGUCUUAAGAUCUGCCAGGAUCUCAAACUUCAAAAACACCUAAAGUGGGAAAUAAGAUGUACCAGGUAAGAACUUGGUAGUUUCUGUCACCAGUUUGACCUUUCCACCAAAAAACCCUCCUACAGUGGAACCUGUUCACAACCCAAAAAAUAUUCGAACCACAAGCCUCCUUAUAAACAAUCGGCCCAUAAAUACCGACAACAAUUUUAUCCCAAACCAGAUCAACCUUACUACAAAAAGCUCUACAAAUUCAUCAAACCCCACAAACCUUUCCAGUCAAAACCCAAACCAAAAUUUGACCUAAAAAAUAUCACCUGUUACAAAUGUAACCAGAAAGAACAUACAGCCCGUUUCUGCAAAGUCAAUACCAAACUUCAUGAGCUCCAAAUAGACGAAGAUACCAUCAACCAAAUACAAAAUCUUUAUAUUGAAGCCACAUACACUAACCACUCUCCUUCAGACACUUCUGAAGAAGAAUUUCAAAUUGAUGAAAUAGUAACCACCAAUGUUACUUCAGAUUCCUCUACGGAUUCCAAACAAAUUAACCUCCUAACCCAAGACCAAGAAUUCAUUCUUGAGGCUAUCAAGAGACUUGAUGAUCCCCAUCUUCAAAAAACCUACUUGGAUAGACUGUUGAAAGAUUUUCACCAACCAGAACACCCUCCAUAUAAUCCUCCAAACCGCUCUUUAUUACCCUUUACCAGCAUCAAUACAUAUGACCUUAAGAAGAUUCUUAACAAAAAGAAGUCCAAAACCACAGUAACCAUUCCAGAAUUAUAUUAUGAGAUCUAAACCCUUAAAUCCGAAUUACAAACCUUGAAACAAGCCCAACAGAAAGACUCUGCCAUAUUACAACACCUCCUGUCUAAAAUUAAAAGCCAGUUUGACACUGAAUCUGAACCAGAAGAUCAAACCAUUGAAUCUCAUGCAUUGCCCCAUACACUUACAAACAUUGAGCAUAUCCCAGAUGAUUUCCUAAAUGUAUUAACACAAAUAUUUUCAAAAAAAUAUUUGAUUAAAAUUACUCUGAUUUUUUCAGAAGAUUUUAAACUGGACACUAUCGCCUUAUUUGACACAGGUGCAGAUUUAAACUGCAUCAAAGAAGGCGUAGUUCCAAAAUGAUUUUUACAAAAUACCUCUGAAAAACUCUCUGCUGCUAAUAAUUCAAAAUUGCAUAUUGCAGGAAAAACCCAAGCCUCUGUUUUCAACAUGAGCAUUUCUCUUAAAACAUUCUUCGUUGUUACAAAAGAUAUAAACCAUACCAUUAUUCUUGGCACUCCAUUUAUUGACAUGAUCACUCCAUAUCAAACACAUCAUGAUUGUAUUACUACCAAAAUCAAUAGCAUCAAACUUGUUUUCCCAUUCUUAGAAAAAUCUAAGACUAGAAAUUUAAAUUUAAUUAAAGCAUGUUCCAUACAUACAUAUCAUAUCAAUGCACUGAUUCAUGGAAAACAAUUCCAUUUACAUGAUUUACAACACCAUGUUUCCUUUUGUCGUAUCAACAAGCAAUUACAAAACUCUGAUUUACAAAAGAAAAUUAUUGAUUUACAAACUAAGAUUGAACAACAGAUUUGUUCAGAUUUGCCUAAUGCUUUCUGGAAAAGAAAAACANNNNNNNNNNNNNNNNNNNNNNNNNNNNNNNNNNNNNNNNNNNNNNNNNNNNNNNNNNNNNNNNNNNNNNNNNNNNNNNNNNNNNNNNNNNNNNNNNNNNNNNNNNNNNNNNNNNNNNNNNNNNNNNNNNNNNNNNNNNNNNNNNNNNNNNNNNNNNNNNNNNNNNNNNNNNNNNNNNNNNNNNNNNNNNNNNNNNNNNNNNNNNNNNNNNNNNNNNNNNNNNNNNNNNNNNNNNNNNNNNNNNNNNNNNNNNNNNNNNNNNNNNNNNNNNNNNNNNNNNNNNNNNNNNNNNNNNNNNNNNNNNNNNNNNNNNNNNNNNNNNNNNNNNNNNNNNNNNNNNNNNNNNNNNNNNNNNNNNNNNNNNNNNNNNNNNNNNNNNNNNNNNNNNNNNNNNNNNNNNNNNNNNNNNNNNNNNNNNNNNNNNNNNNNNNNNNNNNNNNNNNNNNNNNNNNNNNNNNNNNNNNNNNNNNNNNNNNNNNNNNNNNNNNNNNNNNNNNNNNNNNNNNNNNNNNNNNNNNNNNNNNNNNNNNNNNNNNNNNNNNNNNNNNNNNNNNNNNNNNNNNNNNNNNNNNNNNNNNNNNNNNNNNNNNNNNNNNNNNNNNNNNNNNNNNNNNNNNNNNNNNNNNNNNNNNNNNNNNNNNNNNNNNNNNNNNNNNNNNNNNNNNNNNNNNNNNNNNNNNNNNNNNNNNNNNNNNNNNNNNNNNNNNNNNNNNNNNNNNNNNNNNNNNNNNNNNNNNNNNNNNNNNNNNNNNNNNNNNNNNNNNNNNNNNNNNNNNNNNNNNNNNNNNNNNNNNNNNNNNNNNNNNNNNNNNNNNNNNNNNNNNNNNNNNNNNNNNNNNNNNNNNNNNNNNNNNNNNNNNNNNNNNNNNNNNNNNNNNNNNNNNNNNNNNNNNNNNNNNNNNNNNNNNNNNNNNNNNNNNNNNNNNNNNNNNNNNNNNNNNNNNNNNNNNNNNNNNNNNNNNNNNNNNNNNNNNNNNNNNNNNNNNNNNNNNNNNNNNNNNNNNNNNNNNNNNNNNNNNNNNNNNNNNNNNNNNNNNNNNNNNNNNNNNNNNNNNNNNNNNNNNNNNNNNNNNNNNNNNNNNNNNNNNNNNNNNNNNNNNNNNNNNNNNNNNNNNNNNNNNNNNNNNNNNNNNNNNNNNNNNNNNNNNNNNNNNNNNNNNNNNNNNNNNNNNNNNNNNNNNNNNNNNNNNNNNNNNNNNNNNNNNNNNNNNNNNNNNNNNNNNNNNNNNNNNNNNNNNNNNNNNNNNNNNNNNNNNNNNNNNNNNNNNNNNNNNNNNNNNNNNNNNNNNNNNNNNNNNNNNNNNNNNNNNNNNNNNNNNNNNNNNNNNNNNNNNNNNNNNNNNNNNNNNNNNNNNNNNNNNNNNNNNNNNNNNNNNNNNNNNNNNNNNNNNNNNNNNNNNNNNNNNNNNNNNNNNNNNNNNNNNNNNNNNNNNNNNNNNNNNNNNNNNNNNNNNNNNNNNNNNNNNNNNNNNNNNNNNNNNNNNNNNNNNNNNNNNNNNNNNNNNNNNNNNNNNNNNNNNNNNNNNNNNNNNNNNNNNNNNNNNNNNNNNNNNNNNNNNNNNNNNNNNNNNNNNNNNNNNNNNNNNNNNNNNNNNNNNNNNNNNNNNNNNNNNNNNNNNNNNNNNNNNNNNNNNNNNNNNNNNNNNNNNNNNNNNNNNNNNNNNNNNNNNNNNNNNNNNNNNNNNNNNNNNNNNNNNNNNNNNNNNNNNNNNNNNNNNNNNNNNNNNNNNNNNNNNNNNNNNNNUAUUUCUAAAUUUGAUAUGAAAUCCGGGAUUUUGGCAAAUCCAGAUGAUCCCAAAGAUAGAUACAAAACUGCUUUUACAGUUCCUUUUGGUCAAUAUGAAUGGAAUGUCAUGCCUUUUGGUUUAAAAAAUGCCCCAUCUGAAUUUCAACGCAUCAUGAAUGACAGCUUCAAUGCACAUUCAAAAUUUUGCAUUGUUUAUAUUGACGAUGUACUUAUUUUUUCACAAUCCAUAGACCAACAUUUCAAACAUCUACAUACAUUCUUUCAUACUGCAAAACAAAAUGGUUUAGUUGUUUCUAAAACAAAAAUUUCUCUUUUCCAAACCCGUGUCUGUUUCCUAGGCCAUUAUAUUUGUCAAGGUACUGUCACACCAAUAGCUUUAACCUUUACAAGUAAAUUUCCUGAUAAAACCCAAUUGCAACGAUUUUUAGGCAGUCUAAAUUAUGUUCUGGACUACUAUCCCAAUAUUAGUCGUCUAGCCAAGCCUUUACAUGAUAGAUUAAAAACCAACCCCAUUCCUUAGUCUGACCUCCAUACCGAUCUAGUCAAACGAAUUAAGAAACAGGUUCAAAACAUUCCUCUCCUUCAUUUAGCUAAUCCUUUAGCUCCUAAAAUAGUCGAGACCGAUGCCUCUGACAUAGGAUAUGGUAGGAUUCUUAAACAAGUACAAGAUAACAAAGAACAAAUACUCCAGUAUACAUCCGCCCACUGGAAUGAUUGUCAAAAAAAUUACUCUACUAUCAAAAAGGAAAUCCUUUUAAUUGUUCUUUGUAUUACAAAAUUCCAAAGCGAUUUAUUAAAUCAAAAAUUUCUUUUACGUGUUAACUGUAAAUCUGCAAAAGAAGUUUUACAAAAAGAUGUCCAAAAUCUUGCUUCAAAACAGAUUUUUGCCCGAUGGAAAGCUAUUUUAAGUAUUUUUGAUUUUGAUAUUGUUUACAUUAAAGGAGAUUCAAAUUCUAUCCCUGAUUUCCUAACCCGAGAAUUCCUCCAAAACAGGUCCUGAUGCCACCUAAAGCAAGGGCUAAAGACAAGGGGGAAGCCCCCCAAACACAGCCUACAAAACCAGAAAGCCCCAAGCCUUCUGCAAAACUCGUGUCUUUCGCCAUCCUUUCUGUCAAACCUGUCAAAUCAUGGUAUGAGGCAGUUCUUGAAGAAGAAGAACCUACAAAAUCACCACAGGUCCAACCCGACACUAUUCAACAUUGGGUUGACACCAUCUCCAAAUCACCAGAAUUACUCAUGGCAUUACAAAAAGUGUCCCAACAGGCCUAUAACGACUCCGUAUCUCCAACAGGUAGUAUUUCCAAAUCCCUUUCAAAACCCCAAGGAGGUUUUUCUACUUCAAAACCCCUCCUUUCUUUACAACAAACCAGUUUUCCAAAAACCAAAUCCAAAUAUAUUUUCAAAACUACUUUCCAAAAUAUUUUAACUAUAGAAGAAGGAUUUUAUCAUGAAAAUCCUUCCAUUGUUGCUUCAAAGAUUUUCCCUCCAAAUUGGUACUACAAACCCUGGAAUUUAGCCAAACCACAAUCCUACUAUGCCACCAUCCUUGAGAUUACCAAUUCUGUCAAAUUCAAACACUUCAAACUAUAUUCUGAUCAUAUUGAACCCGCAUAUUCUACAUGCAUCAUUCACAAAGUUAUUCACCCUAAAGAUUGGGGGCAAUCCUUACAUCAACCUCUCUCCUUCCCCAUGCACUUUCGUACAAAUCCUCAGGAUUUCAAUACUACCUAUACGUAUUGGGAUUACCAACAGCCAUGGUUCAGUGCCUUCCUCCUACAAAAUCAAAACCAUAGCCACUCUUGGCUUUUCUACUUCCAUAAUACAAUGAAUACUACAAACUUUCCCCUCUGGUUCCUCCAAUGGUGGGACUACUAUGGUUGUCACGUUGACUACCUCAAAGACCAUCCUCUGGUUGAAAAUGGUUACCUCCAUUUCAAAAAUAAUUUUCAACAGCCCCUUCUGAAAGGAAGUUUUCUUCCCUUCUCAUUUUCUGUACAAAGUUUUUUGUUCCAUGGGUAUGUUCCUGGUUCUAUGACUAUAAUCUACAAAACGGACACCCAGUACUUGUUCGGAAAUUCAAAAUUAAAUGGUGGGAUUCCUUUGCAACUGAGUCCAAAAGUUCCAAAUUAGCUGUUACGGAAUGGUUACAAAAAUAUCAAAAGACUCCCAUUAUUGAUCAUCAUCCUGAAUCAAAGUUUCUAGCCCGAAAGGCUCAAACAGCAGCUCUCCUUGCCUUUGCCAGAACUGAAGAGGAAUACUUACAAAUAGUACAAGGCAUUAUACAAAGCCAAGAUCCAAAAACAGUCUUGUCACACUCUAGCUCAUCUGGCUCGAUAUCUCCUGCCAUUUCCCUUGGAGAUGAUAAUGAAGAUGACUGCUUUGGUAUCUUGCCACCUAUCAAGUGACAUUAAAAAAAAAGUAUUUCGAACUUUCUCAGGCUUAUCUGUUUAGAGCUCAUAUCUUUUUGACUCACCUGUUUUGAGUCUCUUUGCUAAAGCCCAUUUGUUUUAGGCUUUUCCUACAAAUAUUACCUGCUACUAUAAACAUACAAAUCAAGUGUCGGUAGCAAGAAGACAACAAAUGAAAGUCCCACAAAAAACGUGGGCAUCCUCCAUUUUGUCAUCACUCAAUCAUGGCAGGCAAUACCACAUGGGUUCACAUGGGUUCUGAAGGCAUCUCCAAACUUUUCAACAAGAUGUUUUGGCCUCUUCUAGGACAACUCGUCUAUAAAAAGGAGACUCCUACAACCUCAGGAGACAGACUAAUUUUUUCCCAGAAAAUUUUACUCUCCCCUGUAAGUCAUAUCUGUAACCCAUUCUCGUAACCAAUAUCUCCUGUAUUAAUUUUCAUUACAAAUUUAAGUAAGAUAAUCUUAUUUUUAUCUAUAUUUUGUUAUAUCUGUUCCUGUUCUUUUUAUUCUUAUGAUAUUUAUCUUUUUAUUCUUGUUAUAUUUAAGUAUGCUCUAUGUUUGAUCAAGGAUCCUGACAUUGCUGGUCUUGCCUUGUUCAUUCGCAUCAGAAAUCUGUUUAUAUUCUUCUGUUCUUGUUCUUUUAUAAAAUCAGUAUAUAGGCUGGAAACCUGUGACCCGAUCUUUUAAAUCAUUCUCAGGUAUAACAACGCCACGUACUGAACCCUUUGUUUAUAUUUAAAUUUGCUUAUAUAUAUGGCCACCUAACGUUGAGAAGGAAAGAUGAACGAAUUAUUCUCACAAUAUUACUUUGUUUUAACAUGGUAUCAGAGCAACAAAUUUGAUACCCUUUUUCUCUUUUAUUUCCCGAAGUUUAAAUUGUUAGAGUACAGUGCAUUAGAUUAUAACAAGUGUCUAUAGUUAGUUAGUUAGUUAGAAAAGUUACAUGCAGUUAAGCUGUUACAGCUACAUGUGUGUGUGUGUGUGUAACUAACUAACUAUAGACAAAUUAAGCAAUUGAAUAACAGAAAGAAGAAGAUUAAUAAGUUUUCAUUUUUCUCAUCUCUCACUCAAUCUCUCUGUAUAUUACAACUUGAUAUACAUGUUAACAUGGUAUCAGAGCUAUCAGCUCACGCUUGAAGAUCCUCUCUAUUGCUUCCACAUUCUCUCUGCUUCUUCUCUAAAUUCUGAUCUCUGUUUGAUAAUCUUGAAACUUUUCAAUAGUGAUUGCUUCACAACUUCAACUUCUGCAUUCUCCAAUCACAGCUCUUCUCUCCUCUAUUCCCACAUCUAUUAAUGUCAAGCUAGAUGAUUCAAACUACCUCAAUUGGAACUUUCAGAUGUGACUUCUUCUUGAAAGCAAUGGCAUUAUGGGGUAUGUUGAUGGAUCAAUUCAUUGUCCACCUCAACUCAGCUCAACUUCAAGUGAAUCUGGUAUCACCUCUUCUUAGAAUGAUGAAUACAUAGUCUGGAAAAUGCAUGAUCGAGCCAUCAUGCAAUUGAUCACUACUACAUUAUCACCUGUUGUUAUGUCUUGUGCAAUUGGUAGCACUAGCUCCAAGGAUUUGUGGAAUCGAUUGAAGGAACAGUUUUCAAUUGUGUCUAGAACUAGCAUUUUUUAGAUGAAAUCUAAUCUACAAACAAUCAAGAAAGGGCAGAUUCGAUUUCACAAUAUCUUCAUCGUAUUAAAGAAGUUAGGGACUAUCUUUUGGCUGCUGGUGUAUACUUUGCUGAUGAAGAUAUUGUUAUUCUAGCUCUAAAUGGCCUGCCUACUAAGUAUAACAUGUUCAGAUGUGUUAUAAGGGGGCGUGAAAGUGUGAUCACACUGUAUGAUUUUCGAUCACAGUUGCUUGCAAAGGAAGUGAUUGUAAAGGCAUCGGCUCAUGCUCCUCUAAUGACAGCUGUUGUUACUCAUUUUUGGACCCCAUGUGCUGGAGACGGUGUAUACCUCUUUUGAACCAAGUGUAGGAGUUUAACUCAUGUUUGCUGGAGGAUUGAUAAAAGUAGAGAAAGAAAUAUUUUUUUCGAAACCCUGUUUAAGCUGUUUUCUGCUCUCUUUAUCCUUCCCCUUUGCUGCCAAAAUCAUCAGGUUUUCUUAGACUAACUAGGGGUCUUCAUAAUGCUAAAUUCAUUCCUUCGUUAUCUUGUUUUUUAAGGUUGGAUAAAUCCCUUAAAUUUUGCACUAAAAAAAAACUGAUUCUGCUGCUAUCGCAAUUUUUUAUUCCAAAUUAGGCUCUGAUUCUGACUUGGUUUUGUACAUAUCUAACCAUCCUAGCUAUAUUCUGUCACUCAUGACAUGUUGAAAAAUUGACCUACACCUUUAUUGGGUCCUAGGGAUCACUGAUCUUAGGGCAGACUCUUAGUCAGAUUUGGAUGCUCGGCAUUGUCAAAUCAAGAACCUUUCUGACCAACGAGAUUACUGCCAGAUUCUGUUCUUUAAAACGAUUUUAUCUCCCUUUGACUCCUUCAUCAAAGUUGUAGUUCUAGACGCGUAGAUAAAUUUGGGCUUUUGAAUCACUUGAUUUCAAUAUCAGAAGCUCAAGAUAUUCCUGUUUGAAUAUCUAGUGUGAAAGCAGGGAUUCCUGCCACAAGAAGGAUUUUUUGCCCAAGUUCGCGGGACUGAUUCGAAGGAUUUUUUUUGGACCAAAGACUGAAUCGAAAAGUGCUAAAAUGAGGGAUUGAAUUGAAGAAGGAUAUUGAAAGCUGGAGAGGGGGGUUGGAUCAUCAUAAAUGACAGGAUUUUUACCACAUCAAAUAAGGAAAAUAAGACUUUGCCGCUGCACCCUCCAUCUGAUUUCUUUCCUUCUCUGUAAAUUCUAAUGUUUUUCCUUUAUCAUCACGCCUGAUUUUUAGAGCUGCAACCACGUUUUUAUUGCCUCAUUUUAAAGGGAGCAGCUGGCUCUAUGGAAGGAAAGAAAAGAGCCGCACCAUCCUCUAACUAGGAAAGAAAUCACUGGUGAUCACAGAAUCAGAAUCAAAUAUUCUGGUUUCCUAUUUCUGCUCACCCGAUAUUACACCCUAGAGUUAAUGUAAUAUUUGUUUCCUAAACAAAGCCAUGUAUAGGCUAUAUAGAAGCCUCGGCUGCUGACCUAAAGAAAAAAAAAGAAACACAGAAAAAGAAAGGAAAGAACAGAAAAAAACGAGAAAAGAAAGACAAGAAGAAACGAGAGAGAGUCAAGGCAGAGAAAGCCAUAAGAAGGACACCGUCGAAAGUAAGGAAAAACACAGAGACAAGGGCGACAACUCCACCAGCACAACACGCCUUCAUCGCCAUCAUCUUCGUCAUCUCGCGAGAAAGCAUCAGCAGAAGGAGAGAAAACGAACAGAGACCAAAACCGGCGUAGCCUAUCUGUUUCGCUGUCCCCAGAAGCAGCAACCAUUGGCUGAGCGCAAAAGCUUCAGCACCUGUCGUCUUAGUUCGUCUCAGCGCCAGCUUUCAAGAAAAGGAAAGCAGAACAGAGAAGAAGGGACAGAGAUAAAAGGAGGAGAAAACCGGAGAGAAAGGAGCAGAAAAAAAACAGCAAAGAGAAAGAUAAGAAAAACGCAAGAGAGGUAGAGUAAAAAGAAAAAAUAGAAGAAAAAACCAGUGAGACCUACAGUUCUAGAUGUUUUAACGUAGAGGAAAGAAAAACUAGAGAAGCAGACAUAAAUACAGAGCAGGAGGAAAAUAUUUGAAACAGACGAACACCGGAUCAACCAUCACGCUUUCAACGUCGCUGCAGCUUCUUCCCUUCCGUUCCCAGGUCUGUUUUUUUUCUCUUCACCUCCCAGCAUGCAUGUUUUUUGUUUUGUGUUUGCACUGUUCAAGUAAAUUAAUUCACUUGAACAGUGCUCGCCAGCUUUCUUUGAACUUUACCUGCGCCCCCCCUUUUUUUGUGUCCAGCCGGGUCACUGGCUUGCGCAAGUGACCCAGCCGGACUUCCUUACUUUUUUUUUUAAAGAGGAAGAGAUUUAUUUUCUGAAUAUUUAUUUUAAAGUCUGAAUUUUUUUUAUGUUGUAAAAAAAUAUAUACCAAUCUCGUAAUUAAAAUACCCGGUUUUCGACGCAACUGCGGCAAAUAUACAUAUAUAUCAAAAUUUGUUUUCUUGUGUGUUGCAUACGGCUAAUACCCUAACAUCUUUUUGAAUUUCCUCUUAAAAAAACAAAUAUUUGAAGUUUUGAAAAUGUGUUUUGGCAUGAAUUUCUUAAACACAAAAAUUAUUUUCUUGCAUUUAUGGAUUUUACAACAUGUUUGUAAAACUCCAAAGGGUGUUGGCCAAUAUUUUAAAAAAUAUAAAAAUCUUAUUUUGGGGGGAAUUCAUCUAUUAUUCACCGCUAAUGUUUGGAUAAAGAAAUCCUUAAAGGACGAAUAUCCAAAAUAUUAUUGGGAAUAAUUUGUUAUUAUUCACUGUUAAUAUUUGGAUAAAGAAACCUUGAGUGGUAAAUAUCUGAAAUAAUUUUUUAGGAAUAAUAAAUCCUCACACAUCCUUGAAAGAAGCCUUGAUUAUAAUCGAGGACAUUUCAAUUUUUUUUACUCCACGGUUUACGAGCCGUGAGAGUAUAAAACACUAAGGCAAAAAUAGGCUUUUAAAGCGCUCUAGAUUUCUAAAUUUUUGUCCCUCCUUGCGAUUUACGAGUCGCAAACUCUUGAAAUACCAAGGGAAAAUGAGCUUUUAAAGCACAUGGAAUCUCCUUGGAUUUCUAUCUUAAUAAAUAUAGUUAGAAUCAAACCUAGAAAAAACUGAUGGAAUUAGAAAACACCAACACCAUAGCAAUUAUAAGACAAACCAAACACCAAGCAACUUAUCUUAGGUAGGGCGUACUAUGGGUGCUAAUACCUUCCCUUUAUGCAACCAGUCCCUUGCCUUAGAAUCUCUGAAAGACCAGUUAGGUUUCCUAGUGACCAUAAUACUAGGUGGCGACUCCUUUAUUCACAAAACAAAAAAAAACCCCCCGAAAUCAAUCGAGGGUCGCCACUCCGCCGCGAGGGUGCGACAACAUCAAUGGCUGCUGAUACAGGUUUUCUUGUGAAUCAUGGUCCAUCUCAGGCUGUUAACAGAGGUUUUAAGCCUUAUAGUGGGAACAUAAACAAUGGUAGAGGUCGAUUUAUUCAGGGAGCUAGAUAGUUUCACUCUAGACCAGUGUUUUCAUCUAUGGCACAUAAACAUCCACACUCUAAUCCUGGAGUUCUUGGCCCUUCCCCUGGUCAGCAGUUUCACAGUAAUUCUGCAUCCAUGAUGCCAAUCUGCCAAUUAUGCAAUUCUAAGGGACAUACUGCCCCGUUCUGUGAUGCUUCCUCUUAUAAGAAAACCAAAUGUCAUAUAUGUGGUAGAACUAAUCAUACUACCUGGUUUUGCUUUUAUAAUGACAAAGGACCAAACUAUAUUGGCAUGCAUACUUCUAUUACUUACUCUUCACAACAGUCUUAUCCCACACAACCACCAACUAUGCAGCAUCCCUCAUACCGAGCUCCUUCACCACAUCUCUCAUUCUCAUCUUUUUAGUUUCCAGACCAACAGCCCACUAUGCAAGCCAUGCACACCAUGCUCAACUCUGCAUCUCCAUCAUCCAAUUCUUCAGGAUCAUCUCAAGUAUGGCUCGCUGAUUCUGGUGCCACCAAUCAUACGACGGCAGAUUUGAAUAAUCUGAUAUUGGCCUCACCAUAUCCAAUAGCUGACACAAUUCAUACUGCCAAUGGUGAACGUUUGAAAGUAUCUCAUGUUGGUCAUUCUAUCAUUAAUUCAUCUAUGUCUCCACUCAAAUUGAAUUCUGUGCUACUUGUUCCUCAAUUAACUCAGAAUCUACUGUCAGUCCAUCGGCUCUGCCUUGAUAAUAAUUGCUGGCUUAUUUAUGAUGCAUUUUGCUUUUGGAUUCAGAACAAAGCCACAAGGAGGAUUCUUUACAGAGGCUUGUGCAGUAAUGGACUGUAUCCUAUCCAUGCUUUUUCACCUUCACAUUCCACGACAUCGCCAACUCAGGCAUUUCUUGGACAACUCAUUCAGUCCAAUCUAUGGCACCAUAGGUUAGGACAUCCCACAAAUUCUAUCGUCUCCCUCAUGCUAAAUAAAGCUCAUAUUCGUGUUCCCAAAACUUCUUCCCCUAUGUUGUGUCAUCCUUGUCUUGCAGGGAAAGUUAGCAAACUACCUUUUCCACAACAUCAUUAUAAAUUUACUUCUCCCUUUGCCAUUAUCCAUACUGAUUUGUGAGGACUCGCACCAUGUAUAUCAGUGGAUGGUUAUAAAUAUUAUACUAUCUUUAUUGAUGAAUGUACAUGUUAUUGCUGGCUUUUUCCCCUAGUCAAUAAGUCUGAUUUGUUCUCUAAAUUUGUUGCCUUCUAUUCCUUUCUUGUUACACAAUUUUCUGCUACUGUUAAACUCUUCAAACUGAUGGGGGGGGUAUACUUGCAAUCAUUUGAAACAUUUUUUUCUUGACAAAGGCAUUGCACAUCACCUCUUUUGUCCACACACUCUUAAACAAAAUGGGGUAGCUGAGAGGAAACAUAGACAUAUUAUGGAAACUACAAUCACUCUAUUGCACACAACCAAAUUACCAUAGACAUAUUAUGGAAGCUACAAUCAUUCUAUUGCACACAGCCAAAUUACUAUCUCAAUUCUGGUCCUAUGCAUGUUUAACAGCUAAAUACCUCAUAAAUCGUAUGCCAACUCCUGUCCUUCUUCACAACUAUCCUUUAGAGAUGUUAUUUGGGUCUUCUCCAGAUCUUAAUCACCUUAGAAUAUUUGGUUGUGCCUGUUUUCCUCUCCUUCACCCUUAUAAUCAUAACAAAUUACAGCCCAAAACUACCAAAUGUGUGUUUCUUGGGUAUGCCAUCAAGUAUAAAGGUUAUUUGUGCUAUCAUGUGCCUACACUGCGAUUGUUUAUUUCUAGACAUGUUAUAUUUGAUGAACAUCAAUUUCCCUAUCCUGAAUUCCUACAUAUCUCUUCACCCACAGUUCUGUCAUCACCGUCCUAUUCCUCUUCCACAUGUCCUAUGAUUCUUGUUAAUACAGAGAACACAGUUAUUCCUUUCUUCUAAUCGUUUACAAUUUUUAGCUGAUAAUUCGCUUAAAUUUAAUUUUGAUUCCAGUCAUAAAUGUGACGUUUGUCCAUUGGCAAAACAAACUCGUCAACCUUUUCCUUCUAGUUCAAUUUCAACUUCGAAGUGUUUUUCUCUUAUUCAUUGUGAUAUUUGGGGUCGUUAUAAAACCCCUUCUAUUUCUGGUGCUUUUUAUUUCUUGACCAUUGUGGAUGAUUUUUCUCGUUUUACAUGGGUUUUUUUAAUGCGUAACAAGAGUGAGACACAAACUCUACUUCGUCAGUUUUUUCAUUAUGUUCACACUCAAUUCAAUACAAAGGUUCAAAAACUCCGUUCUGAUAAUGGGGCUGAAUUUCUUUCAUUAAAAAAUUUCUUUCUUGAGGAAGGCGUCCUUUUUCAACACUCUUGUGUAUAUACACCUCAGCAAAAUGGUGUCGUUAAGCGCAAACAUAGACACAUCCUUAAAACUGCUCGCGCUUUAUGUUUUCAAUCUCAUUUACCCAUUACUUUCUGGGGAGAAUGUAUUCUUACUGCCAUCCAUAUUAUUAAUCGCCUUCCUACUCUGUUGCUUAACAAAAAAACACCAUUUGAGAUUCUUUACAACAAACUUCCUGAUUAUUCUCGCAUGCGAGUUUUUAGAUGUGUUGCUUUUGCAACUAUAGUCAAUCCAUCCUCAAAAUUUUCUCCCAGUGCCACAAAAUGCAUUUUUCUUGGUUGCCCUAUGGGACAAAAAGCUUACAAACUUUACGAUAUUGCAACUCAGAAAAUUUUCACCAAUCGGGAUGUAGUAUUUCUUAAGGACACCUUUUAUCAUCCACCACAAGUCUAUCUUCCAGCACAUAAUCCACCAGGCUUGCCUAUUCCUCUUCCUAUUGUGUCUGAUUCUUAUUCCCAUCUUCCUCCCUCAUCAGUCAUCAUCGACCCCUUUGAUCCCCCCAUAUCCUCUUCACCUGCACCAACCGACCCAGUACCUUCUCUUCCUGAGCCACCUUCCUCUACUCCAUUAACUCCACCAGCUGCACAACAAACCCCUGUUUAGCCGGAUGACCUUGUCCUUCCUGCACCUACUCUGGUUAUUCCUGAUCAGCCACUUCGCCGUUCUCAACGCCCUAGAGAAGCCAAUGUUCGCCUCAAGGAUUAUGUUUGCUCGCAGGUGAUUCUGCCUCCACACCAAUUGUUCUCAGCCUCGUCUGCACCUACACCAGGUACGAAGUAUCCUCUCUGUCAUUUUAUUUCUUAUAAUCGGUAUUCUCCAUCACAUCUCUGUUAUAUUGCCAAUGUUAGUCGUGAUGAGGAACCUCCUUCAUAUGAACUUGCUAUGACUGAUCCUAAGUGGCAGGAAGCUAUGAAUUCUGAGCUUCAAGCUCUCAUUGACAAUCAGACAUGGAGCCUUGUUCCUUUGCCCUCUGGCAAACGCCCGAUCAGUUGUAAAUGGGUGUAUCGCAUCAAACGCAAGGCUGACGGGUCUGUUGAGCGCUAUAAAGCUCGCCUGGUCGCUCGGGGUUUCACACAAACUGCUGGAAUUGAUUAUCAUGAUACUUUUUCCCCCACUGCAAAAAUGGUCACUGUCCGCUGCCUCCUUGCUAUUGCUGCCAGUCUGAACUGGCCUUUACAUCAGCUAGACGUUAACAAUGCUUUCUUAAAUGAUGAUUUAUUGGAAGAAAUAUAUAUGUCUCCUCCUCCUGGUCUUCGGCGACAGGGGGAGAACAUUGUGCGUCGCCUCCACAAGUCACUAUACGGCCUUAAGCAAGCAUCUCGACAGUGGUUCUCUAAGUUCACAGAAGCUGUUCUUGCUGCUGGUUUUUUUCAGUCAAAAGCCGACUAUUCCUUGUUCAUCAAAAGAGAUGGCACAUCUCUUACUAUCCUAUUGAUCUAUGUAGAUGACAUUUUGAUAACCGGGAACAACAUUGAAUCCAUCAAAGGUUUAAAGCAGUUCCUUCAUACUCGUUUCCGCAUCAAAGACCUUGGUGAUCUGAAAUUCUUCUUAGGCAUUGAAAUAGCCCGUUCCAAGAAAGGCAUUUACAUUUCCCAGCGCAAAUAUGCUUUGGAAAUUAUCAAAGACAGUGGAUACUUGGGUGCCAAACCAGUUGAGUUUCCUAUGGAAGAAUGCAGACUUUCAAAUACAGGAGAAUUGCUCAAAGAUCCUUGUAUAUACCAGCGUCUAGUUGGUUGAUUAAUUUACUUAACCAUCACUAGACCUGAUAUCACAUAUUCAGUUCACAUUCUCAGCCGAUUCAUGCAUGAACCACGACAACCUCACAUGGCUGUUGCUCUUCGAGUUGUUCGUUAUUUAAAAUCAGCUCCUGGUCAAGGUUUGCUUCUUCAUUCAAAUAACUCAUUACACUUAACGGCAUUUUGUGACUCUGAUUGGGCGGGUUGUCCUGUCACUCGCCGCUCCACCACUGGGUAUUGUGUAUUCCUUGGCAAAUCUUUAAUUUCAUGGAGAACAAAAAGGCAAAAGACAGUUUUCUUAUCAAGUGCGGAAGCUGAAUAUAGAGCAAUGGCAGGUACAUGUUGUGAGCUUACUUGGUUAAGACAUUUAUUAACAGAUUUACAUAUGCCAGUUUCAGAUCCUGUUACUCUGCAUUGUGAUAAUCAAGCUGCCUUACACAUUGCAAAAAAUCCUGUAUUUCAUGAGAGAACUCGGCAUAUUGAAAUGGAUUGCCACUUCAUUCGGGACAAAAUUUUACGAGGUGAAAUUGCUACUCGAUACGUGAUUUCUUCACAACAAUUAGCAGAUGUGUUUACAAAAGCUUUGGGAAAAGAGAAGUUCAAAUAGCUCAUGUGCAAGUUGGGAGUUAUUGAUAUUCACUCUCCAACUUGAGGGGGAGUGUUGGAAAUUAUAUUAAUAGUGUUUUGAUGUAAAUAGGAAAGUUAUAUCUUGAGAUAAGUAGGAAAGAUACGUAAGAAUAUUUUGUAUCAAUCUGCAUUCAAUUAGCUGUCAUUUCUUAUCAGUCUCUGAUGUAUAAGGGAACCCUAAUGUAUCUUGUAUAUAAAUUGAACUUAAUCAAUACAGAAAAGCAUUCCGCUUGAAUAGUUUUUUACUUAUAAAGUUUUGUUUGGACAUUGUUUCACUAUGGAUUUAUACUUUUGCAUUUCCCUGUUGGGGACAGCAAUUAUCUUUAUCAUUUCAAUUAUGUGUGUUCUUGUUUGUGCCUUUGUUUUGUAAGUUGUUUAAGUUUUUCUCCUAGUUUAGACUUUAAAGGCACGCGUGACACUUUGCUCUACUGUCUCAUCUGACUAUGGGAGUUGCUUCCUCUUUUCUUUUCCUUUUUUUUUUUAAAAAAAAAGAACUAUACAAUGCAGAGAUAUUUAGGUGUACCAUUCUUAAUCCAUUUUUUGCACCUCCUAGCUCUUCAGUCUUGUUCUCUUUCUUUGAACAGAGGACUGAAUCUGUAACAGUUCCUGUGAUGAAACAGAUUAGAAUACACAAUAUCUUGGAGAAAACAAGGAAGAAAAAGGAAAAGGCUGAUGAUAGAAGAAUGGUGUAGAAGGUGAAUCCCCAGCUGUCACGAAGGAACAAGAAAACCUAAGAAAAAAGGUUACUGAUUUGAUUAAAAAAACAAAAGCUGCCAGCUAUGAGGAAGAUUGUGAAGGGGAAGGAUGAUUCAAAACCAUGGAAUGCAGAUGCUAGGGCUAAGGUUUGUGUGCUUGUAAUCAUUGAUGAAAGCUAAUUUUCUUGAACAGAUGUAUCGUGUACAAAUUUGAUUUCUGUCCUUGCACUUUGCAGGUUGGAAGCCGUACAAUUGAAUUGCUGUUACAAACAGCUCAUAUACAGCCUCCCUGUGAUUAGUUAGCUGAUAGUCCAUCUGAACCUCGACCUGAAUUUGUACAUACAUUCAGAACUGUGUCGUAUGAAAAUAAGCAUGGAGUCAUUCUUUAAUUGACUCGAUGAGCUCAAUUUAUAUUUUCUUCCUUGUAAUUGCUUCUAACUGAUGCACAAUGGCCUUUUCUCAAACAGGAAGGGCGCCAAAAAAUAUGGUGUUAUUCAAUGUGACCCACUAGUCCUCAAAGGCCUAGAGAAAACUGUGAGUAACCCUGUCAUAUUUUGUUCUUCUAGUGAUAUCUAGUUUUCAUAUUUUAUCAUCCUUUAUGACAUGAACUUGUGUUGGGGGGCCAUAUACUUUCAAAGCAGAUAGGUUAGUUUCUAGAUUUUAGAGCUGAAACAGAUAAGAUUUGUAGGCAAUUUCCAUGGUGCCUCUUAAGUUGCAGAUGUUUGUCUUUCAUUCUUUUUUCUUGCACAAGAGGUCAUAAAAAUGUUGUUUCUCCAAACAGGCUAGGCACAUGGUGAUUCCUUAUAUGCCAAUGUUGGUGCCACCACUUAGAUGCAGAGGGUAUGUUAACUUGUUUUAUAUUUACAGUUUUGCCACGAUUGUCUUGUUUUAAUUUAGUAUUAUUUAGUUGGAUAUAUUCCAAGUUCAGAAAUAUUAACAUAGUGUUUUGGUUACUUCUGCUUGAUGCCUGGAGCUGUUUUCAAUUUUCAUUUCAAGUUAAAUGCUUAAAAUGGUAUAAUAGAUGAAGGGAUGAAUCUCCUAUUAUCUACACUUGACUUUUGUUUUUCUAUUUGAAAACAGAGCAAGAAGAAGUAAAGAAACUUGCAAACCUCGAAGUCUAAAAAUUUUAACAUUAUUAUAUAAAACUGAAAAUUAAAAAUAUUUAUAUAAAUAAAUUUUUAUUUUAAAAGUUUAAAAUUUAAACUUAAAAUUAUAUCUUUUAACUUUCAUAUUACUUCAUUAAUUUUAUAAAUUACUUAUAUUAAUUAUAUAAUUAAUAACAUAAUUAUAUUAAAAUAUAAUUAACUUUUCUAAAUGACUUUUUACUAUUGAAAUGCAUAUAAAUAAAAAAAACUAUAUUUAUAUUAUUUAAAAAGCUAUUUUAUCAACAAAAAAAAUUAACUUUUAAAAAUAGCAUGUCUUAUUAGAGUUGCACUUAUGCAGAAUUAUAUAAGGGAGAGGAUGGCAAAGGGAAAGAGACAAAAAAUAAUUUAAAUACUCAUUAGCCAACGUCUCUUUAUGUACAGUUAACUUUUGUUUUUUUAUUUGAAAACAGAACAAGAAGAAGAGAAGAAACUUGCUGUGACGUUUUGAAAAUCAAAAAGAUUGGGAAAGGCAACAAAGCCCUUGGAGGUUUAAAAGUGGGUAUAAUAAAUAAGGGGUAUUGUUGUAAUUGAAUAAAACAUGGUAAGAAUAAAAAGAAAAAAAAAGAAGAAGAGAUCUGAAAAUUUAGGGCGAGUGCCGGCAGGAGAGAAGGGAGAAACAAGAAGAAAAAGAGAAAAGAGAGAAAGAUAAAGGAAGAAGAAGAAGAUAAGUAUAAAGGUACGAUGUAGGCUUUGAAAUGCAUAAAUGUGCCUUCUUUUAGCUUUAAAUUUCAGUUUUGUUGAAUAUUAGCAUUUUGAGAUUUUGUUUUGGGUUUAAUUAAUGAAUUGAUUUGAAUGUUAUGGGUUGAUUAUUAUGAGUAAUGAUGAGUUGUUUAGUUGAUUUUGGAAGAUUUUAGGUAAAGAUGAUAAUUUUGAGUUAUGAUUUGUUUAAAUGGUGAAUUUGAGUUAGAAAUAUUGAUAUAACAGUAGAUGAUCUAUGGAAAUUCUGGGUUUGAGGUUGAAGAUGACGGAAAUUAAGUUUGGUCCCUCAAUUUGUGAAAAUUGCAGUUUAGUCCUCAAACUUUGAAAAAUUAAAGACUGGUCCCUGAAGCAUAAUUAGAGAUUCUGGACAGAAAUGAGGAUGAAUUAUGGGCAAAAUUCCAGUAUAGUCAUGAAUUUAUGAUAUUUUUAGUUUGGUCCUCCAAUUUGACAAAAGUUACAAUUUGACUCUAAAAAUAUGAUAAAAUUCCAGAUUGGUCCCUAGCUGUAAUAUUAGAUUUUCAGAUUGGUUUGAUGAAUAAAUGAAGGUUAUUUAGUGAAUUAUUAUCAAGUCUUAUUAUUUGUUUUAUUAUGGGUUAGAUUUCGGGAAAGUCCGUUUAAUUUUUGGGUUUUUGGAAAAAAUAACUAGUUUAGUUUAAAAACAUAUGGGGUUAUGGAAUAUACCCUUAGUUAAGUGUAUUAAAUAGGCUGUAUGUUCUUUCAAGUUAUUUUUGCUUUUUAUUAAGAUAAUCCUGAUAUUCUACUAGUGGAACAUUAGUAGAAUUUUCUUCGGUAUUUGCUUCCGAGUUCUGUUUGCUUUCGAGUUAGAUGAGUGUAUAAUUUUUCAUAUGCAUAAGAAAUAUUAUAAAUAUUUGAGUUGUUAAUAUGAAUUGGAUCAUGCUUCUUGAUAAUAUAUAUGUUGAUUAUUAUUCUUGUUACGAUAAAGCAUGAUCAAUUUUUUAAUCUGAAUUUUUGAUAUGAACCAAUAUAUAUUUUGAAUUGAUAGCUUCCCAUUUGAUUAAUGUCAUGAGUGGAGCCUUGAAAUAUGAAUAUGUCUAUUUGAUUAUGAUUAUGAACUUAUUGUAUAUGCCAGUCAGAAUACCCAUGCUAACAUGUUAGUGUUAGUAUUUAUGCACAUCAUAUAUGAACCCUAGUUGGCUAGGGGAGUCACCAACCUGUGUGGACUGAUCAUCCCACAAUACGGAGCCUCAUGCUCAUUGCAUUUUGAUUUUCUGACGAGCUUUACCUUAUGAUAUUCUUGUUAUGACUUAUUUGAGAAACCUUCCUAUAAGAACCUAGAGCCAUAAUUGUAUAUAUAUUCCUCAUUCUUGUAUUACCUUAUGUGUGUAUAUUGAACGUUAUCUACUUAAUGAGUUGUUGAACUCAUCCUCUCAUUAUUUAUCUUUUCAAGCUUAUAGCUUGUUAGCGGGUCACUUUUGUUGGACCUUUAGGAUCUGUUCUUUUGGUUGUUAAUUAUACUUUCCUUUUUAUAUAUCUAGGUAGUGCUCCACAACUAUAAAAUUGUAUUAACUCUUGUAUUAAAACAAUUAAAUUAUAUUAUGAAGUUAGUUUUGUUGUUAUUGUUGCGUUGAACUCUGAUUUAGUUAUUUAAACGAUAAGUUGGUAUGUAAGUUUGGGUUCGCAUAGAUAUGAAACCUUGAAGAGGAACCUUGUCUAUGUGCCGGUCAUGGAUUCGGGAAUCAGGUCGUGCACUUGCAAACCUCAAUGUCUAAAAUUUUUAACAUUAUUAUAUAAAACAGAAAAUUAAAAUUAUUCAUAUAAAUAAAUUUUUAUUUUAGAAGUUUAAAAUUUAACUUAAAACUAUAUCUUUUAAUUUUCAUAUUACUUCAUUAAUUUUAUCAAUUACUCACAUUAAUUGUAUAAUUAAUAAUAUAAUUAUAUUAAAAUUAGUUUAAUAUAAAAUAUAUUAAAAUAUAAUUAGCUUUUCUAAAUGGCUUUUUACCAAUGGAGAGCUAAUUAUAAUGCUAAUUGGUUUAAUUUGUUAAUUACUCACAUUAAUUGCUAAAUGGUAGAUUUAAUUGCCGAAUUUCUUGAUCAUACCUUCUGUUUCAUGUUUGAGCACAGGAGCAGGCCAUAUACAAAAUGGCGUGGAAAGCAAUUGCUGAACCAAGCUAGCUAGUUGAGGCCAGAAGGGAUCGGUACUAGUUUAUCGCUAUAGGGAUUUUCAUGGCUUCCACCAGCGUGCAAGGAAUAACCUCAUCUUCAUCUUCUUCUCCUCCACUAUAUAUGUAUGAUGUGUUCCUUAGUUUUAGAGGCAAAGACACCCGGAACAACUUUACCAGUCAUCUAUAUUCUAAUCUGGCUCAGAGAGGCAUCGAUGUAUACAUGGAUGAUAGGGAGCUCGAGAGAGGAAAGACCAUCGAACCUGCUCUCUGGAAGGCCAUCGAAGAAUCAAGGUUUUCAGUCAUUAUAUUUUCAAGAGAUUACGCUUCUUCACCAUGGUGCUUGGAUGAACUUGUCAAGAUUGUUCAGUGCAUGAAAGAGAUGGGGCACACUGUUCUGCCAGUUUUUUAUGAUGUGGAUCCCUCAGAGACAUAUGAGAAAGCCUUCGUUGAGCAUGAACAAAAUUUCAAGGAAAAUUUGGAGAAGGUCCAGAUCUGGAAAGAUUGUCUCUCUACGGUGACCAAUCUAUCUGGCGGGGACAUACGGAAGAGGUAAAUCAUCUAUCUACUUGUUCUUAUUCUCAAAUCCUCCCUGUAUUGUUUCAAUGGUUGUCAAGGAACCAUCUCAACCCAAUAGCUUAAGCUAUUAGGUGAGGUCCCAAGAUAUGAUUUAUAUUAUUCUCUAACACACCCCCUCAAGUGAAAGCCCUUUAGGCUUGAAACUUGCACAGGCCCACUUUACCUUGUGCUUAAUUUUUAUCAAAUAAAUGGGGAUGGUGAGAUUCGAACUCGUGACCGCUUGGUCAUCAAGGCUCUGAUACCAUGUCAAGGAACCAUCUCAACCCAAUAGCUUAAGCUAUUAGGUGAGGUCCCAAGAUAUGAUUUAUAUUAUUCUCUAACAAUGGUGAACAAAGCUUUUUUUUCUUUAAAAAAAAUGUUUUUCAAUUGAAACGUGUGAUUAAAUAUAAAAAUAAUCACAAUACUACAAGAAUAUCAAAACUAAUUCUUGAAUAAAUAAUUGUUAGCAUAUAUUUUCGAACCAUUAAAUAGCUAUUAAACGACCCUUUUGUCUACGAUCAAACUAAUUUUUCUCUAAUUUUGACUUUUAAAAUAAAAGAGGAGCACAUCUCAAAUCUCAAUUGUCACAGUUUUUAUAAAAUAAAAAUUGAAAACAAGUUAAAAAAAUUCUUGAACUUUUUGCUAAUUUCUAUUAUUUAAUAGAUUGAAUAAUAAAAUUUGAAUUAUCUAAAUUGAAUUUAUUGAGGCAUCUUUAGAAAAAGUCAAUAUUACAAAGACACUUUUAGUAUCACUAGAAUAAUUUUUUCUGAUUGUAUUAUGGAAUAAUAGAGGAUAACUUUAUCAAUUGUAUUAACAAAAAUUUAAACCCUUGGGAAAUUUCUUGUUUACUUAUGGAUUGUAAGAAUGAAUUUACUAAUUUUUCAUUCUAAAAGAUAAGAGGAUCUUUUUAUAAGGGCUAAUUGUCAUUAUAAAAUUGAUAGGGAUAGUUAGGUAUUUCUAAAAAACAUUUGUACAGUAUAAUUAAUUAGUUGCCCUUAAAAUAAUAAUAAAAAAGAUUAGCUAUAAAGAUUUUUUUAAGAUUUCACUUUUCACCGUACAAUAAAAUAACUUAUUUCCUUUAAAAUAAAAAAUUAUUACCUUGUCUUCAAGAGCUUAUUCAUACUUUAUUUUUUGUGAUAAAAAAAGAAGAAAAGUCAUCCUGCCUUAUUUUAAAAUAGAACAUACAAGCGAGUAAGUCGUCUCGCCUUACUUAAGCAGCACGAGUAACGAUUUAUGACACCUAAAAAGUGCCUUUAUUGAUGAUUUCUAAUUCAUCACGACAUGACCUACCUCCUUGAGUAAUUCUCUCUGGAUUGGCGCUAGAAGACUUUUUUUCUUUUCUCUCACUUCUUGAGUUUCGCAUCCAACCUUCUAAAAUUUUCUAGUAGCUUUUUAAUUUUUUUGUUUUAUAUUUAAUCUAUAUUUUUUUAAUUAAUAUUUUUUUGUAUUUGAAUUAUUUUAUAGAAUUGAAAUUUGUUUUCAAUUCUAUACCUUUUAAUUUUUUAAUCUAUUAGAUUUGAUUCUCAUUUUUUAAUUAUAAUUUAUUUUAUAUAAGAUUAUUUUUAAUUUUUUUUUUGAUUUCAUCCUUCAUUUUUUAUUGUUAUGUUCUUUUAUGUUGGCAAAUUUUUAAAAUAUAUAUAUAUAUAUAUAUAUAUAUAUAUAUAUAUAUAUAUAUAUAUAUAUUAUUGAUUUUCAAGGUAUGACAGAUAAUAUAUAUAUAUACACACACGCAACUUGACAUGUAGGUCUCACAUGUCAAAAACAAUUUCCUAUCUUUUUUUGUUAGGUUAUUAUGAUCAUUUCAUUUAUUAUUUUGCACAAAAAAAUAUGUGAACUAAAGUUAAUAUUUAUUUCAAAUGAUCGCUAAAAAAGAGUUAAUUUUUUGCCUAAAAUAUUGUUAUUUUUUUCCCAAUUUAAAUAAAAAUAAGUUUAUAUUAAUGAAAUGAUCAUUAUAUUGAAAUUAAUAUUAAUAUUGUAUAAAAAUUGAAAGACCAAAUAAAAGAUUAAAUAGAGAAGAAAGACAAAGAAAUGGGUUGAAACAAUAAUCAAAGUAAAAGAGAAAAUUUGAGUUGCGUGUGAUACAUGUGUAUCUUAAGGUGUGUGGAUUGGAUUUGCGCAACCAAUUAAAUUAUGUGAAAAAUUAUUUUCGGGCUAUACUAGUAUGAGAAAAAACUCGAAAAUUAAUAAAUUUAAAGUUGUUUUUUUAAAAUUUAUUAUGCAAGAUAAUUGAAUUUUUUGUUAAAAAUAAUUAUAAAAACAACUUAGUGGUUGACAAAAAGUAUGAUAGAACUUCUUUUGCUUUUUGGUCUGUUAAAACCAAACUUCAUGGAUAUUUUAUUUCCUACCUUUUGUUCUUGUAUGCAUGCUUCUGUAGUAUGUGUGAUUCUACAGGCAAUAAGAUAGCUAUUGUACGGAUCAUUCUUAGCAUCAAUACAAUCCUAGUUUCGUUUUCAGUUUAUUCUUUCCUUUUCCUCUCUGUUCUUGAAGCUAUCUAUUAUCAGGGCCCUAUCUUUCUCAAAGGUUGGUGUAUUAAUUUCCGGCUAACAACCAUACAUUUUACAGCUAAAAUAUGCUAAUGUUUAUUUUCCUAUUUCAACCAUGAUUAAUGUUUUGCACCCUCCUAUGCAGGAAAGAGUCGGAAUCAAUAAAAAUAAUUGCUGAAUACAUAUCGUACAAACUAAGCGUCACUCUGCCAACAAUUAGCAAAAACUUAGUUGGAAUAGAUUAUCGUCUAGAGGUAUUAAAUGGCUAUAUCGGUGAAGAAGUAGGCAAAGCAAUCUUCAUAGGGAUUUGCGGAAUGGGUGGCAUAGGUAAGACGAUCGUGGCAAAGGUAUAUUAUGAUAGGAUUCGUUGGCAAUUCGAAGGCAGCUGCUUCUUAGCAAAUGUCAGAGAAGUUUUUGCUGAGAAAGAUGGACCACGUCGUUGCAGGAACAACUUCUUCUGAAAUCUGAUGGAACGUGCUUCUGUAUGGGAUUCUUCUAGAGGGAUUGAGAUGAUAAAGCGGAGGUUACGACUUAAAAAGAUUCUUCUUAUCCUUGAUGAUGUAGAUGACAAAGAACAACUAGAAUUCUUGGCUGAGGAGCCUGGAUGGUGUGGUCCAGGGAGCAGAAUUAUCGUAACUAGAAGAGAUAAAAAAGUGGUUACUGGAAAUAAUAAUUAUAACAUUUAUGAGGCUGAGAAAUUGAAUGAUGAUGAUGCUCUUAUGUUGUUUAGCCAGAAAGCUUUCAAAAAUGACCAGCCUGCUGUAGAUUUCGUGGAACUAUCCAAGCAUGUUGUGGGUUAUGCUAAUGGCCUUCCACUAGCUCUUGAAGUUAUAGGUUCGUUUUUGUAUGAAAGAAGUAUCCAUGAAUGGAGAGGUGCAAUUAAUAGAAUGAAUGAGAUUCCUGACGGCAAAAUUAUUGACGUGCUUCGCAUUAGUUUUGAUGGUCUCCAUGAAUCAGAUAAGAAAAUAUUUUUAGACAUUGCAUGUUUCUUGAAGGGGUUUAAAAAAGAUCAAUAACGAGGAUACUUGAAAACCGUGGAUUCCAUGCAGGUAUUGGAUUACCAAUUCUUAUUGAGAGAUCUCUCAUAAGUGUCUCUCGGGAUCAAGUCUGGAUGCAUAAUUUAUUACAGAUAAUGGGUAAGGAAAUUGUUCGUUGCGAAUCCCCUGAAGAGCUUGGAAGGCGCAGUAGACUGUGGACAUACGAGGAUGUCUGCCUUGCACUGAUGGACAACACAGUGAGUAGCUAAUAGAGAACAUUAUCCAUAAGAUUUCAUAAAGAUUAUUUUAAUUUAAGCUCAAUCUAUACUUUUGGUUGACAGGGAAAAGAAAAAAUAGAAGCCAUUUUCUUAGACAUGCCUGGAAUAAAAGAUGCACAAUGGAACAUGGAAGCCUUCUCUAAAAUGAGCAAACUAAGAUUGCUCAAAAUCGACAACGUGCAGCUUUCUAAAGGACCUGAAGAUCUUUCCAAUAAGUUGCGAUUUCUUGAAUGGCAUUCUUACCCUUCAAAAUCAUUGCCAGCUGGUUUACAGGUGGAUGAGCUAGUUGAACUUCACAUGGCUAACAGUAGUAUUGAACAAUUAUGGUAUGGGUAUAAGGUG